rnacentral:lncRNA from 1 species
UUUACUUUGCGGUCCUCUCUUUCUCGGAAAUUCACCUUCGCUUUCCCCACGUUUCUUGAUGUUUUCCUCGCCUCGAGAGCAAUCAAGAGCCAAAAAUCACCUCUCCUUGAGAAGUCUCAGUCGAUCUUCUUUCUCGGAAAUUCACUUUCGUCUCCACCACGUUUAUUGAUGUUUUCUUCGCAUUGAGAGCAAUCACAGAGCCAAAAAUUACCUCUCCUCGAGAAGCCUUAGUUGAUCUUCUUUCUCAGAAAUUCACCUUCAUCUCCCCCGCGUUUCUUGAUGUUUUCUUCGCCUCGAGAGCAAUCACAUAACCAAAGACCACCUCUCCUUGAGAAGUCUUAGUCGAUCAUCUUUCGCGGAAAUUCACCUUCGUCUCCCCUGCGUUUCUUGAUGUAUUCUUCGCCUCGAGAGCAAUCACAUGGCCACAAAUCACCUCUCCUUGAGAAGUCUUAGUUGAUCAUCUUUCUCGGUAAUUCAUCUUCGUCUCCCCCGCGUUUCUUGAUGUUCUCUUCGCAUUAAGAGCAAUCACAGAGCUAAAAUCGCCUCUCCUUGAGAAGCGUUAGUUGAUCUUCUUUCACUAAAUCUUGUCACAGUUAGCUUUUUUCUUGCGCGCCAUGGUUAAAUUGUUGGUGAAUGCAUUGCAGACGAUCGGCCACAAAUUGGACUCCAUCAAGACUUCGCUUUAAUCACCGAUUGAACAUCAUCAUUUUGGGCCGGCUAUAAAUAGGUAAUCGACUUGACUUUGAAAUUUAAAUAACUGCUCAGUAUAUAUACAUAUCGACAAACGUGGAGGCACAAGAAAGAGACUUGCACAUAUAAAGAUGCAAUCCAAUGUUCUUCUUUGAUGGUAGAGUUAAAGUGAGUGAGUAAGCAAUUAAGGAGAUUGCAGUGUGAGAUCUGGAGAAGCUUGAGAUGAGCUUUGUGCCUUUUGUAGAGAAGAUGAUGUGAGAUUAGCGUUAAAGAUGAGCUUCAUGUUUUUGCAGUUUGCCAUUUGUACCGCUUGCAAAUAAUCUUAAUAUAUUUAUUUUGUAAUACAAGAAAAUUCAGUGCGUUGAAAAUUAAAAAAAAAAAUUAUUAUUUGAUUACUUAGAAAGUGCUCGUUAGACGCUGAUUACAAGAUUCAUUUAAAAAUAGUUUUGUCAUUGGUGGAUGAAUGUAAUAUGUGUCUGUUGGUAAAUGUGUUAAUGAGAAAUGAAUUAUAUAGGUCAUUGACACGAUUAUUGUCGGACAUGGCUAGUGCAAUAGUGAUUCAUGAGCUAGGCAAUUAGCCCACUAAGCCCAUCUAAUAUCGUACCACCGAUUUAUGUUCGUCGACAAAUCUAGUUGAGGGUGCAUCGCUCGGACUGCUCGCAUUAAGUGUGAAUAUGUCUAUCUACCUCACAUUUAUUGGCCAUCUGUGGAAGCUGAUCUUUAUAUUUCCAGCUGAGCAAUCCCAAAGCCGCUGAAUGUUUGUUCAAUAUUCUUAGAAUAAUCAUUUUGUUGUACACUUUGAGAGUUAAAACAAUUGGAAAAUAGUGAUUGAGUGUUGUUUAUUGUGCGAAGAAAUUAUUAGUUAAGAAGCGUAAACACAUUAUCAAAAUAACUCCAAAAUCAAGUAAGGAAAACUAGUUUGGGGGCCACAUUUGACUUCAUAGUAGAGGUAACUUGUUGGGAAGGCUCAAGAACAACUUUUUGUUAGACCCGUUAAACGGGUGGGUCGGGUCGGGUUUGGGUCGGGUCAUAAAUGGUCCGACCCAAAGCGACCCAUUUAACCCGUUUAUAACCCAUUUAUUACAGUGCAAAUUUUUUGACCCAUACCCGACCCGACCUAUACCCAACCCAUACCCGACCCAUUUAACAAAACAUAAAAAAACUUAUAUAUAUAUUAAAAUGGUAUUGUUAACAUGAUUUUAUACAAUACAAAUUUUAAAAAAAUUAUUUAAAAAAGCGAAUUUUAAUUAUUUUUUAUUUUAAAAAAUUAAAUUUUAACUUAUUUUUAUUUAAAAAAUUAAAAUUUUAAUUAUUUUUAUUUAAAAAAUUAAAAUUUUAAUUAUUUUUAAUUUUCUUUUUCUCUUUUCUCUUUUCUUUUUUCUUUUUUCUUUUUUCUUCUUCCUCUUCUUUGGCCGGCCGCCGGCCACGACGACGACCGGCGACCGGCCACAGGCGAGCUGGCUCGCCCGGCUCGCCGACGCCGGCGAGUUCGAGUCUCGCCCGAUCGGCGAGGCUCGGGCCUCAGCGAACGUCGGCGAGGCCUUCGCCUCGCCAGAUCUGGCGAGGCUCGGGCCUCAGCGGACGUCGGCGAGGCCUCCGCCUCGCCAGAUCGGCGAGCUCGAGGCUCGCCAGAUCGGCGAGGCUCGAGCCUCGCCGGACGUCGGCGAGGCCUUCGCCUCGCCAGAUCUGGCGAGCUCGAGGCUCGCCGGCGUCGGGCGAGCUCGAGCUCGCCCCUCGCCAGAUCUGGCGAGGCUCGAGCCUCGCCCGACGCCGGCUAGUUCGCGUCUCGCCAGAUCGGCGAGGCUCGAGCCUCGCCGGGCGUCGGCGAGGCCUCCACCUGGCCAGAUCCGGCGAGCUCGAGGCUCGCCUGGCCGGUCGCCGGCCAUCGCCGUGCCGGCGACCGGAGUUAGAAGAAAGAAAAAAAAAAAAGAAGAAAGAAAAAAAAAGGAAAGAAAAAAUCAUUAUAAUUUUGAUUUUUAUAAAAAAAAUUGUAAAAUUAAAGAGAAGAGGGAGAGAAAAUGAGGUUUUGAGUGAAAAAUGGGUUGAUAAAUGGGUCAUAAACGGGUCAGCUUUUUGACCCGUUUAAAACCCAUAUAUCUUAGUGUAUACCCAUUAAAGCUUAUUAUGGAUGCUUUAUAAGAUAAAGCUUGACCCAUUAAUGACCCAUUUAAUUAUAAAUGGGUCCAUAAAUGGGUUGCACAACCCAUUUAACACCUCUACUUUUUGUGGGGUAUGAAACAAGUCCAGCUUCUGUUCUAAUGUAUUCAUUCAACUUCUUCGAUAGGUCAGAGACCGACUUCUAGAGGAAGUUUAAAAUUGACUUUGGCAAGAGGUUAUUAAGAGUAGAGUUACGUGAGUGAGUAUGCAGAUAUGGAGAUUGCAAUGUGAGAUUCUAAGAAGCUUGAGACGAGCUAAAAGAGGGAAAAUUGAUUAAAAAGUCUUAAAUCUAUUGUAUAACGAUUAAUUCAAUUGUAAACCUUUUAAUUGUGUCAAUUAAGUUGUAAAUUUUUUGAUGAUUUAUCAAUUUAGUAAUAAAUUUUUUUAAUGAUUUGUCAAUUUAGUCAUUUUGGCUAGAAUGGCUAACGCCUUAGUCUAGUUAACACUGUCUGUUUUAUGUGACAUGAUUAGUGUUGAUGUGGAUAGUUUUUGCAAUUUUAUUUAAUUUUAUGAUUAUUUUCCUUUCCUUUUUAUAUUAUUUUCUUCUUCUCUUUUUCACAUUUUCCCUCCGCCAACCCUUGCUUGAGGCUGGUGACCUCAACAACGGUUAACUUGAUUUAGUCUUACGUCAAUGCCUAGCUUAUUCUUCUUAGGUCAAAGUCCAGCUUAGACUUAAGAGAGAGCUUAACUCAACCAUAGUGCCCCCAUUCUCACAUAGGAAGAGGGAGGUAGAAAGUUCAAUUCUUCACUGGGCAUGGAUCUUUAGUUUUAACUAUGAUGCUCGACUUCCACACUUUACAAAGAGGUAAAACAAAAAUCUGAAAGUGAAUUGAAAGUUUAGUUCUUAGAUCACUUGAUACUAAUUACACAAAUGAUCUAAAAUUCAAAACAAAACAUAAGUCGGCUACUUUCGAAAUAUAAUCAACUAACGUACUUGGUGAUGUUUGGCCUUUAAAAUGGUUUGAUGCUUCUCCGAUGCCAUCAACGUUCAAUCACAUUAAUUACUCGAACAACUCAAUGAAUGGUGUACACUAAGGUUGCUCUCUCCGUUCCCCGUUGACUGUUAACAUUACAAUUACCAGCAACACACUGAAUUACGAGCCAAAUUAGCUGUUAUCUUUGUCCUUUCAACUCUUUUUCGAAACAAUUUUCUUGAAAAAGAAGCAACACUUUGGGAAGCACCAGACGAGGUCAUGACUUUGUCACUCAAAAACACGUGGGGAUGGCGGGGGAAACCGAAGAAACACCGCCCUUGCUCUGACUAUUAAAAUUAUUUGUUACGUUUAGAAUUUUCUUCGCAAAUACACCGCUGAGGAAACAAUUAUCUAGCUUAAAAGAUUUGUAAGGCCUUAUUAAAUACAUUAGAUUAGGGAUUAAUUGCAACGAAAUAUUAAAUACUUUAUACUAUGGUCAAAUAGAAAUGUUAACUUUAACUCAUUGGUGAUCUCCAAAAUAAGUUUGGAUUCAUUAUUGAAAUAGUUGGUGCUUUGAAACAAUCAAAUAAUCGUUGGCAAGUGGAUUCAAGUAAGAGGAUCAGACAUUUCCACAAAUAAUUGUCAGUAAAUUAUCAAAAUAAGUGGUGAUUUUGAAACAAUUGAACCUCAAUAUUGAUAAAGCUAAAACUCCUUGAGAACUUAAUCUGUAAAAAGUUGAUAAAUCUUAAAAUUUUUGUGGAUGAUGAAAAUACGUUUUGCGUAUCCAUUUUUGUAAGCGAUGUAAGCAAUUCUUUUUACAAAAAUAUUUACAAAUCAUUUAUUUUUUGCGAAAUAAAUGCACUUGAAAAUGACAUUACUUUUACCUACUUAUCUUACUUAAUGAGCGAAGGCACAUGCUUUACAUUGAAUUUAGUUUUUAGUUUUCAUGUCAAAUCAAAUCUCAUACAAAGCUGUAGUUCAGCUUGGGGUAGAUAACAAAUCUAAUAAAUGUUGAUUUUCCCUCCAUCUCGGAAUCUUUUCUAAAAUUUAUUGAUUAAAAUGGAUGCUCGUUUUAAGUUGAAGGUUAAUCAUUCUCAUUAUUUGUAUCGACACCAAGCAUCACUUAUUUUUGAAACAUCACUUGUUAUCCUGAAUACUAUUAGGCUUUACAAUUACACCUUAUAUAGUAAUUUAUAGUUUAAUGACCAAUUCUUAGCAUUUAGAUACCCAACUACACAAAUUAAUUUCAAUGGUUUUUUCCAUCGUAGUAGCUGGUGCCGCUUUGACUUUAGUCGUUUGCAUAUAUUAUUACCUAACUUAAGGUUUGUUACUCUGCAAGUCCUCUUUGUCACAGAAAAUCAACUUAAUCCUCCUCAGGACUCUUGAUGUUUUCUUCGUACUGAGAGCUACCGUAGGGCCAAAAUUCACCUGUCCUUGAAAAUCGAUAGCUCUGUUUGCAUGCCGUUGUUCAAAUGCCGGUAGUUUUGGGAUUUGUUGGUGAAUGCAGUGUAGUGGAGUGGCCGCAAAUUGGACUCUUUCGGGGCGUCGCUUUAAUCACCGUCAUGAUUAGGAUUAUUUCUGGAAAGAGUGCCCAAUUAACAUUACAAAAGUGCACGCACAAUGCAUGUGUGAAAAAAAAGGUCGUUUAAUAGAUUUUACAAAAUUUUCCUACAAUGAAUUGUUAGAUUCUUUAAUUAAUGAAAAGAAAUUAUUGACAUAACAUGAAGAAGUUGAUCAUAUGUUUGUGGAAAGACAAAAUUAUUUUAAGAUCUGAACUUUUGGUAAGAUAGAAUAGACUCAAAUUUUAAAAUUGAAAUAUGUGAAAGAUAAAAUAAUUAAUUUUGAUAUUUGUCGAUUGAUGGAAUAUCUAUGAAUUAAUUAAUUGAGAAUAUUUUAGGCAUGAAAUAAGUAAUUAUGAUCAAGUAAGACCUCUUUGAUUUAUUUAACGCUAUAGAAGAAGUACUUGAUUUUGUCCUGACAAUUCCAAUAAUAUCAUGAUUAUAUAUUUUACGUAGAAUUCUGAGUUGAUUAAAAAGGAAAGGGUGUGGCUAUGUUUUUCCUUUUGAACUCUUUGUGGCUGAAAAGUAAAAAAAAAAAAACACCUGAGCCCCUUUUUUGGCAAAGAAUAGUAAUAAUCAACUUUUUUUUUUUUUUUACAUUUUUCUCCACUAAAAUGUUCCUUUAAUUAUUAAAAAAUAGUGAAAAUUGUAUGUUCAUACACUAGGCAAUAUUAGACUAAUGUUAAGGUUUCAGGCCCUAAGAUUGAAAAACCAAGAUGUGUAUUGGCAAGUUUUAAAGAAAAAAAUAAAAUAAAUAAAAGUGAAUCUGAACAACUAUUUUUUUUGGUGCAAAAUCUGAAAAACCUAAUUACUUGACUUAAAAAAACAGUAUUCAAUAUCCAAUCAGCUUACUUAAGUUAUUGUUUUGCUGUAAAGAAUAACCUACCGCCUUUCUCUGUCCUCCAGUUCGUGUACUUCUUUUCACCAAGUAACAGUGAAAAGCAUGAAUAGGUUGGAAGGAAGAAAAAAAACACAAAUUAUUUACUCUUUACUUAAGGAUUAAUAUUACGAAAUACUCUAAACUGAUAUAUUUGUAACAAAUUUCUCCAAACUAAUUUUUGCUCACGAAAAAUCUCAAACCAUUACAAAUGUGAUAAAUUUAAUCCAAACUAAUUUUUUGACCCUCAAAGAUCCCAAACUGAUACAUUUAUAACAUGCAUACCAUUCAUUAAAUUAAAUUAAUACCAUAAAAUUGGUAUAAUUAUGACAAAUAGAGAGUAAAAUCCUAAGUCACGUGUAAUCCGACUCAACCAUUAGAAAUUAAUAGAGGGUAAAUUUAUCACAAGUAUCAGUUUGGGGUAAAUUUGUCAAAACUAUAUCAAUUUAUUGUAAAAAUUAAUUUGGGAUAAAUUUAUUACGAGUUUGUCAGUUUGAGUUUUUUUUUUUUUUGGUAUCAACCAUUUACUUAAUAAACUAGCGAAUGUCCUUCUGAAGCCGUUUAAAACAUGGAAUGUUCUGUUAAAUUGAUCCCGAAAUUUCAAUUUUGCCCCUUUCCUUUUUCUUUUUUAUAUAUAAUUGUUUGCAAGAUUUUUCCUUUUCUGAUAUCCAACUCCCUGCUGUUGGGCCACGUGCGUCCCACGUGACUUGGUCUUCACAAAUUUUCCUCCGGGAGCACUUUGCCCUUUGCCCGAUAUCGAUAACUCUCCCUCUCUGUGCGCCUCCAUGUUCUGAUUUUUGCCGACUCCCUUCGUUUCCCAGUACGGCAGUAACUCGCCUUCAACCUCCCUGCGUCGACUUUGCCCUUCUUCUCUUCAACUUGAGAGGUUAUAGUCGAUCUUACUCCUCUGCACCCUCCCAAUUAGCUCUUUUCGCAGAGCGGUUCUUCUGAGGAUGAAUACAGCUGAAAAGAUCGGCCCACAGAUGGAAUUCAACGGAAGUCAGGCUCUAAUGAUCAUCCUUGCUUUGACUGUAGGAGGACUGUAAGUGCUCUGAUUGGGCUUCUGUUCGAGCUAUUGUUGGCAGAUGAUGGACAACAAAAGAAACUUUGCUUGGGGAAAACUUUCGAAAUCGAAGAGAAGGAGGGGCUCGGAGUCAACCUCGAGAACGGAUGAUGCGUCUGGAGAAGAGAACGAGGCGCCAAGGAGGGACUCGGAGUCAACCUCAAGAACGGACGAUCUGUCGGGAGAAGAGGACGAGGCGUUCAACACAUGGGGAACAGAGUACGAUGUGUUCUUGAGUUUCCGGGGACCAGACACACGCAACAACUUCACCGAUUGCCUUUACUGUAGAUUGAGACUCGCUGGAUUCCAUGUCUUUCUAGACAACGAAGAACUCCGAGUCGGCAAAGAAAUCGGUGGUGAGCUUUUGAAAGCGCUCAACAAGUCUCAGAUCUACAUACCCAUCUUCUCUCACAAUUACGCUGCCAGUUCGUGGUGUCUUCGUGAGGUUGCGCAUAUGGACAAAUGCACCUCAAAAUCAAAUGGUAAGAAAGAGAUACUUCCCAUCUUUUAUGAUGUGGACCCUGAUGACGUUAAACUCAAAACCGAAUUGUACAAAAAUGCCAUAGCCAAGCACGAGGAGAAAUUCGGCCUUGAUGAAUUGAAGCGGUGGGAGGCUGCUCUUGUAAAGGUUGCACGUCUCAAGGGAUGGGAUCUUAAACGGAAAGGGUAAUCUUCUUCAAAUUUUUUGGUUCUUGUUAAUAGACGCAGUAGCUACACUUCUCAUUUGAAGAAAUUUUGUCCUCAAAAUUUUAGGAAUAAAGCAAUGCGACAUUUUUUCAUUCUAGGAAAAAAAUAAAAGGGCAAAAAGGUCCACUUAAGUUCAAUUUAUGAGUGAAUCCGAUGACUCUUACUUGAAUCCGGUCUGAUAGGUCUAGUGAUAACUUACCAACUAAAAUCUGUUCCCCUUUUCUUGCGCCCCCCCCAAAAAAAAAAAAAAUUGUUUACUUAGAUAACAAGAGAACAGUUUUACCUAUUAAGAAUAUCUAUUGCGCUUCUUUCGAUUUUGCUCGGGUCCCCGAAUUUUUUCUUUUAUCUCAGAAUUCAGCUGUUACAUUAGCUUAAUCCUAUAAAUAUAUCUCAACAAUACUGGCACUUUGGAUCAUAUGUUGCUGCAUGUUUGCAUUAUGAAAAGAAUAUUAAAGCUUACUCUGUCCAUUCCAUCAAGAAUAUCGCCUUCACGUCAAUCGGCUCAUGCAUUAUCUGAAUCAUCUCUCAUACAUAAAAUUGAGUGACAUUCCAUCAAAUUCCAACAUGUGUAUCAACUGAUUGUGCCACUUAAUUUCCAUCCAUAGUACAUGAAACUGUUGACUUAUUUAACCACAUGGUCCUAGAGAAAGAGAGAUCGUCAUAUCCAUGAGGAUUUUUACCCUUUUCUUUCAUGUCAUUGACAAACAAAUUUUUUCUAUUUUGCUGCAGCCAAGGGGAACUAAUAGACUUGGUUGUUGAAGAGGUAUUCUGUAAGCUUAAUGCCAGAUACGUGGAUGUGCCUAAAUAUUUGAUUGAAGAUCAUCCCCAGAUAAAAGCCAUAACAGAAAAGUUGGAAGUUGACUCUAAUGGUGUACGUUUCCUUGGUAUUCAUGGAGGGGGUGGCAUUGGUAAAACGGUACUUGCGAGGAUUGUGUUCAACAGAUUAUCUCACCACUUUGACGGCGUAAGUUUCCUUAAUGACGUUCGAGAAUCAUCGAAGUGUGGCCUUAUAGACUUGCAAAAAAAGUUACUAUCAAGUUUUGUUGGUUUUGUGAUUGCUCACCAAAUUAAAGACAUCGAGGAUGGGAUGUGUUGGAUCAAGAAAGUAUGCAAUACUAAAAAAUGCCUCAUUGUUCUUGAUGAUCUAGACAAGAAAGAGCAACUCGAAAAGCUAGCUGGAGAAUCAGAUUGGUUUGGUUCUGGUAGCAGGAUCAUUAUCACAACUAGAGACAAAAGUAUACUGAUGACUCAAGUGGAAUCAUCUAAUAAACAAAUCCAAAAUCAAACCAACGGAGUUUUGUCUUAUGAAGUUCGUGAGAUGAAAUAUGGUCAAGCACUUCAGUUAUUUUGUAAGCACUCAUUCAGAAGAGACUCUCCCAUAGAAGGAUAUGACCAUCUUGCAGAGAAAAUUGUCCGUAGAGUGGGGAUGCUUCCUUUGGCUGUCGAGGUGAUAGGUUCAUCCCUUUAUUGUGAGGGCUUGGUCCAGGAGGAACAUUUUGAUAAAAUAGAGCUAUGGAAAGACACGCUGAAGCAGUUAGAUGAAGGUCCUUACAAGGAUGUCCGAGAUGCAUUAAUGAUAAGUUAUGAUCAAUUGGAGCCUAAGCACAAAGAAGUAUUUUUAGAUAUUGCUUGCUUUUUCACCAAUGAGGAUCAAACAUAUCCAAUUAUCAUGUGGCGUGACCAUAAUUACCAUCCUCACCGUGCAAUUAGUAUUCUCCUCCUACGGUCCUUGAUAAAAACUAGAGAUGAUAAAAAGUUUUGGAUGCAUGACCAAGUUCGAGAUCUGGGAAGGUACAUUAUCCUCGAAGAAUAUCCUCGCAAAGAAAAUCCUCACAAAUUUAGUAGGGUAUGGAUUCAAGAGGAUGCUUUAAAGCUAUUGGAGAGAAAAGAGGUAAAUGGAAGAGUAUGUCACACAAUAUUUAUUUGGAAAGAGAGACUUGUUGAAUUUUUUCUUUUAAUUUACAGUUAGCUUUGUUGAACUUCCCAUUUGUCUUCUUAGUGAGGCCACUCUCUCUCAAACAUUUGGGUCAAAAGGUCUUGUAAAUAUGUGGAGAGAGACCAGAUAGAUUGCCUAAUAGUUAGCUCUGUUUUCUUGUAUGAAGAAUUUUUAAAUUAUUUUUAAACAUAAUUACACAAAAAACUAAAGACUAUGGAGAUUGGAUUUCAUAUGGCAAUUAUAUUUCUUGAAAAGUAGCAAAUGAGAAAGGGAGAAUAAAUUUAGGAGAUAUGUUCAAAUGGAGCUGAAUUUUUCUGUUAGUCAUGUGAAAGAAACGUAUUAAGUCAACUUGGGAGAAGGUGUGUGCCGGGUUGAAUUCCUAUUAGAGAAAUUGUUUACCAGCGCUCAUAUGCUUCAUUUCUUUAUAGCUUUUCGAGAGUUUAAAGUUUUAUGAACUCAAUAAUCUUGAGUCUCUGGUGGCAGAGAAAUCCAGACGUUGAAGCUCUAAGCCUGACUCCCAAUGGCUGUAGCCGCAACUUUACACCUGAAGAGUUUGCUGCUCUACCAAAUCUAAGGUUCCUUCGAGUGAAAGAGUUUGAUUUUUGUGGCAACUUCGAGAAUCUUCUUUUGGAGCUAAGAUGGCUUUCGUGGCAAACAUGGGAAACAACUUUUCACGCGAAUAACUUUCACUUUAGCAAUUUGCUUGUGCUCGACCUUUCAGAUAGCAAUAUUGGAGAUGGCUGGGGUGGGUGGGGCCAAAUGAAGGUAUGAUUUGCCUUACUCUAUACACUUCUUUCUGGCCAUUACCUCAUUCGUGAUAAUAGAAGCAACAUAUAUACUUCACUUCCUUGUAUCAUUACCUCAUACAAUUGACCCAAUGGUUGGAUGCACUCCUCGUUCCAUCUGAGUGUAGAAUAUAUUUUGCAAUGAGUAAAUCGCAAAUCUUUUCAUAUCAUGGUAAAAUACAAUUAUGUCCCACAUAAAAAAUGCCUCAUGUGGAUUACAACCUUGGUUUUUUUAUCUCUGAAAGUUGCUUAAGCUUUGGAAAUGGCGUAUUCCAAUAAAAUUAGUGUAUUCCAAUAAGUGUAAGUACCAUUUUGCUUCAAUAUGCACCAGAAUAUGAUUUGAAUGACGUAAACUUUGAGUCAAGUUGAGUUAGAAAAGUCAACUGGAAUCAAGUUUGAGAUUGGUAAUAUUUAAGUUGAUGUGUAAAUGAUCACAAGUUUAUUUGGAAUAGCUAAGUUGAUUAUUUGAAUCAAGGCAAGCUUGAGCUCAAUAAUAUUUGAUUCAAGCAGCUCACUAGCCUAAUUUAAUAGCUGAUUCUCUAUGUUAUGUUUAUGAUUACGUUACUGAACUGUAAAUAAAUGAAAAUUCCAUUACUUUUACUUUUCUAUUUUACCUGAGUUAAUGAGCGAAGGCUCAAGCUUUGCAUUGAAUCAAAUUAGAUCUCACACGGGUUGAAUGUGGUGAUGUUGAAGAUUGUUGUCCAAGGUGGUGUGCUGGUGGUCAAUGGCAGUGGGUGGAGAAAAACUAGGGGUGCUGGUAUUUGGUGCUUGUGGGAGAUCUGGGAAUUAGAGUCUUCUGUAUUUUCGUAGCAAUGAUACUUUAGCCUUUAGUUUAUGGAGUUUUGUUCUAAGAAGGGAACUAAGGGUUUUUGAAAAUAAAGGACGUGAAGUAAAAGUUGGGAUGGUCCUUUGUUAGCUGUGGUAUAAAUUUGACUCCUAACAGGGGCCUAACUCUCAGGUCGGGGAUUAUUCUGAAAAAUUUAAAGUAAGAGAGUUAUUUGCAGCAACCCCAAAAAUACUUGGGAAAUUCAAAUUACCUAGAUCAUCCUAAAUAAUGACAUGGAUAAUAAGCUUAUUAGUAAUAUUACGACACAUGCUGAUGUUUCUCAUUUAUUUUUUCACGUCGACUUUUUUUCUGCAGAUGGAUAGAUUGAAGAUUCUAGAUCUGACGGGUUGCAUAAGGUUAAAAAAGACACCCGAGUUCUCUAAUUUCAUGUCUUUGGAGAAGUUAAUUCUUGCUGGGUGUGUCGAGUUAACCACAAUUGACCGCUCCAUUGGUAAGCUAGAACACCUAACUACUUUGAAUAUCAAGGGAUGCAGGUUGCUUGGGGAGUUACCCGAAGAAGUCGGUGCUCUACAAUCCUUGACAGAGGUUAUCAUGCCCCAAACUUUUCAAUGCUUCAAACUUUCGGAGGCAUUUGGCAAUCUAAAAUCUUUGUUGAGUUUGAUAUUAGACGAGCACCUUGGAAUCAGCCAACUUCCAAGCUAUAUUGGAGGGUUAGUGAAAGUUACAUAUUUAUCUUUACGUUGGUGUGUGGGGAUAGAGAAGCUUCCACGCUCUCUUGGAAAAAUGGAAAUGUUGGUCAAGUUGGAUUUAUCAAUGUCAGGAAUAGUUGAACUACCUGAUUCCAUUGGAGAUAUGAAGAAACUAAAAGUCAUUAGGGUAAGCUAUACAAUGAUAAGAAAGUUUCCUCGUACGAUCGGACAGGUGGAGAUGCUUGAAGAGUUACAUGCCAAGAAAUGUUGGGAUCUAACAGAUGAAAAUCUAGAGGAAAUUGGGAAGCUAUCCCAUUUGAAGACAUUGGACUUAUCAUAUACUCGUGUAUCUAGAUUCCCCACGGUGCUAGGUUGUCUCUCUCAUCUCCACACACUUGAAUUGGGUUUGAGCGACCUUCAGGAAGUACUUGAUCUUCCCUCAAGUUUGACACGCCUUCACAUGCAAGCACGUCAGUCCCCAUCUAUCCUUGACCUCUCAAGUCUCGUUAAUUUAGAUUAUCUGGAAUUAUCUAGAUUAACUGUUUCAAGAGAGGAACCUAACCCAAGUUGGACAAACAAUUUGCCAGUAAAACAACUGAUCCAUCCGCUUCCAAGUGGCUUGUCAACUUUGAAAUGCAGGGGCAUCUGGCUACUACCGUCUCUUUCCAACUUAAGAAAAUUAUCAGUUCUGCAUGUCAUUGAAUAUCCAAUGCCAUACUUCUCUAUCUCUCAUGAGCUAAAACAUUUAAGGGAAUUGAAACUAAGUAAGUGCAAAUUUGUUGAGAUAAUACUGUCGUGCUUGAAUAAUCUACAGCACCUGGAACUAAACAGAUUGGACAGGCUGAUUAAUAUUGAAGGUUUGUCAGAAUUGGCAUCCUUGUUGUACUUUCGUAUUUCUGACUGCUAUAGGAUAAAAAAGUUACCCAACUUUUCAAAGUUAGAUAAGCUGCAACACAUUGAAUUAGAAGCUUGUCCAAAAAUAAAAGCGAUCGAGGGCAUUGAGGGCUUAGAUAGGUUGGUGUGGGAUAAUCGUGGUUGCGUUGUACUAGAGAGAUUACUAGAUGUCUCAAGAUCGACCUGGAUUUCUCGCAAAACACCAGAGUGCCAGGUUUUCCUGAGUUAUAAUAGACUGGACACUUCUUAUAACAUUGUCGAUGUCCUUUACAAGAAUUUGGUUCGUAACCAAAUUUCGGUUAUCAGGGAUGAUGACAUAUUGAGCUUUGGUGAUGGAAUUGGCGAAGAGCUUCCGCAAGCACUCAGUGACUGCCAUAUCUACAUACCCUUCUUAUCUAAGAACUAUGCUUCUAACUGGUGCUGUCUCCAUGCAUUAGCCCACAUGGUAAAAUGCACGUCAAACUCACAUGGGAAAAAAAUAAUCCUGCCCAUUUUCUACGGUGUGGAGGUUGAUGAUGUUAAUCUUAAAAGCGCUUUGUACAGAAGUGCCCUAGAUAAGCACAGGUGGAAAUUUGGCAACGCGGUGGAGGAAUGGGAAAUGGCUCUAAGAGAGAUCGCACACAUAAGGCGGUUCAACAUGAAUCAUGACAGGUAAUGCUGCUAUCUUUUAUUAACUGGACCAAAUUGAACUUUAGCACCAUAGAAUUUCAUGAUAAAAAAAAAAAAAUGUAAACUUCUGCACAAAAACAGUCGAGGACACCAACUGAAUUCUUAUGCUUUUUUUGAAAGAGUUUCUUAGGUUGGUGAAGAAAAAGAAGGCAAAGAAAUUUGAGGUGAAGAAAAUGUAUUCUUUGGGUUGGCUGGAGUUGUAGGGUGCGGAGGUGAAGAUAGUGUAGGGAUGUGAAAAUGAAGAAUGAAAAUUGAAAAUUGGCAUAUAUAUUCUUUGUAUUUUGACUUCUAUGAAGUUAAUUUCUUUGCAACAGCCGAUCAAAUUUGUUUUCUGAACGAUGUAUAUAGAAAGCCUAUUAUUAAAGCAAAGAAGGUUGCCUGGGCUGGACAUCUCAUCCUCCUAUGAAAAUUGAAGUUUUUAAAUAGGCUUUGGAUAAUUACUAUAUAAUCCUUCACAAUUUUGUCAUUUUUUAUUACUUUUGAGAGUUCAUUUGGAAAAGAGAGAAAAAAGUGGGAAUUUCUCCCCUGCUUUCUUCACACGUCGGCGAGAAACAUAAUUGGUUGACCCGGAAAAAUUUUAUUUUAUUUCCAUAUCAGCGUCUGCAUUUUAGGAUUCAACCCAGGCACAAUAAAUUCUUUCCACUCUGAAUCCUGCUUUCCAACGGUGUGUUUUUGUUCAGGAUACAGCUAAAGAAUAGAAGACAAGGCACUAAAAAAUAACGAAGAAAAUUUCUAUAAAUGGAGAAAAGGUGUGAUUUAAAAUUAUUCUAGGAAAUUGAUUUAAAUUAUCACAAGAUGGAAAGAAGUUCAUUGGAGUUUAGAACCCAUAUGAGAUUCAUAAGGUAAAUCAUUUAACUCUCUUGGCCAUUUUAAAUUUCCAAUUUAUCAUUGGUUUGAUGUUACACAAUUAUCAUUUUUUCUUAUCGAGGUAACACAGUGCAUGAGCUUCUGUAGAAUUUUCUAAUAAAUGUUUGAGAUUGAAAGUCGUUUUGAGUGCAUUUUAUGAUAUAGGGUGAUGAUAAAAGGUGCUUUGAAAUAAUCACUUCAAUUGUCUCCAUAAUAGGAACAUAAAAGGUAGUGCAAAAGUGUUUAUCCAGAAUAAAUGCAGUAGUUCCUGGAUUGAAAUGAAAUUAGACUCCUAAAUUUAUGUAUAGAUGGAGUGACUAAGAACGAUCAAUUUGAAGCAUAUAUACAUUGCAAAAAAUUAGAUAACACCCUUCAAGAGCUAGAAAAAUUACUAAAAAAAUCAUAAACUCUUAACAAUUGUGUUAAUUAAGUCCUAAACAUUUUUUUUCUUUGCCAAUUAAGUCUUAAAUCAUUUGCAUUUGAGUCAAUUUAGUCUAUCUGGCCAAUUUUGGUUGGCCAGCACUAACAUGGACAUUCGUCGUCCUACGUAACGCAACCAAUGCUAAAGUGCACAAUUUUUAAUAAUCUUUUAAUUUUUUUUCUUUUUGAAUUUUAUUUUUGAAUUUCUUUUUCCUUUUAUUUAUUUUCUUUCACUUUUUUUCCCUUAACUCCUUCCUCCAGCCAGUCAUUGGACCUCGACGAUUGGCCAAAGGCGAGGGCUGGUGAGCUUGUCAGCCUCACCCUGGCCACCCGCUUGGUUGGUGAGGCAAGAUCGAGACUUGCCUAGCCACUAGUGAGGCUCGAGCCCUCGUUAGAGCUGCUAGGUUGAAGGCCAUGACCUCUUGCAAGGGCGAGUCGCCCAGCUCAGCCCAGCCCAACCUAAGCCACCUUCGUAGCCUUUGGCGAGGGUGAGCCUCACCAGGGUGCGAGGCCGAUAAGGUCAACCUUGCCAACCCUCACCUCUGGUUGGUCGUCGAGGUCUAGCGACCAACUGGAAGAAGAAGAAAGGGAAGAAAAAAAGAAAGAGAAAGAAAAGGAAAAAGAAAUGAAAAUAAAUAAAUAAAUAGUUUGAAAAAUUAAAAUUUUAUUAAAAAUUGUCCAUAUUAGUGCAGUUCAUGUUAUGUACAAUAGCUGGUAUCUAUGUCAACACUGAAUGGUCAAAAUUGGUUAGAUGGAUUGAAUUGACACAACUAUAAAUGUUUUAGGACUCAAUUGACCAAAGAAAAAAAGUUCAAGACUAAAUUGGUACCCUUGAAAUAGAUUUUGAAAUGUUUUGGUAAUUUUUCUUCCAAGAGCUUCCUAUUGAAUGAUAAAUUGAAUUUUGCAACAACUAAUGUAGAAUUGUCAAUGUGGUCUUUUCUACCUUGAAAUGUGCCCUUCAACCAAAAAGAAGAUUAAGUCUUUGAAUUAUAUUUAUUUGUAUUUGUUAUGUGUUAUGUUUCUAUUAUUUUGUACCCUUGGAAGGGGGUGUGUGUAAUGGGUUUAAAGUGGUUUUUUUUUUUAAUUGAAUUUUGUGUCAAAUGCCCCUUGUCUUCUUUAAUUCAAAUAAUAAAUAAAUAAAAUACAUGAUAAGAAAACAUUUCCAUCACUAACCUUAGGAUUAAUCUAAUUUUAUUAAUAAAAAUAAUUAAAAGUUAAAAAGUUAACGAUGAAAAAAUGGGAAAGUUUUUAAGAAGGGUCCAAAGUGCCCUCAAUUUCUAAAAUAGGGGCAUGGAGUGACCAGGUUAGUCUUAAAGAAUGACUUAACCUCAUCGAUUAGUGAGAGCGUUUUCAUCAUUUACUUUUUCUUAUUUUCUUUCAUUUUUCUAUUAUUUUCUCUCUAACCCACAAGCAAGAGGGCUAGGCCAGCCCUCCUGUCCGUUUUUUUUUUUUUUUAAUUUGUAUUUUUAAGUAGUAGUCUUUUUUAUGGAAAAAAUAGAGAAAGCAAAAAAGAAAGCAAAAAAGGGAAGAAAAUAAGAAAAUAUAAAAGAAAGAAAUGCCCUUGACCAGUCAAUGAGGUAAGGUCCUUCUUUGAGACUAACAUGGCCAUUUCUAGUCCUUAUUUGAAGCAAGGCUUACUUUAGGCCCUUUUUUUAGAAGUAAAGAGCACUUCGGGCUCUUAUUUGAAAUUUCCCUUGAAAAAAAUGAUAAAUAAGUAUGAAUAGUUAGAAAAAUAUCUGAUAUGUAUACUAAAGCAAAUGACCAUAAAUCUCUCUAUUUUAACACUUUCAAUGUAUCUAAACUUUUAAGCCUACCAGAAAAGUAGCCAAGUCUUUCUAAUUUGUAUGAAAACUAUAUUCCAAACCCUUUAACACCAUUUAUGAGAAGAAUAUUCGGUUAGAUUCUUUCCUGACUUUCAAUUUUGCCUAUAGAAGAAAGAAGAUUUAUAUAGUUCUAGUAUUCAAGGGAAGACAGUUAAGUGAAAAUAAUGUAACGGAUGCAUAAUUCAAGGGAGAAUAUUUAUUUGGCUUCAUAUAAACUAAUUUUUGUUUAUUAAAUGUAUUUACAAAUUUUUUAUAUGAAGAAAAAAUGAAAAAUUAGGUUCUUCUAUGCAAUAUUCAGAUAAAUCUAGCGUAAAUUUACCAAAUAAAAUCUGUUCACUUUUUUACGCCAAAAUAAAAAAUUUUCACAAAGAAAAUAAUAGAACAGUUUUACCUAUGAAGAAUAUCUGUUGUGCUUAGCACUUUGGAUUUUAUGAAAAAAAAUCCAAGCAUUAUGAAAAAAAUAUUACCUUCUUAAGUUUUGUUAAUCUUACUACAUCCAUUCCAUCAAGAAUGUAUACUUCAUAUCAAUCGGCUCAUGCAUUUUCUAAAGCAUCUCCAAUACAUCAAAUUGAGCAGCUUUUCAUGAAAUUCCAAUGUACGUGUCAGCUUACUAUCAUGCUUAAUUUCCGUCCAUAGAAACAGAGAUGGUUGACUUAUUCAACCAUAGGGUCCCUAGAGACCCAGAGAUUGUCAUAUCUAGAAGAAAUUUAUACCCUUUUCUUUCAUGUCAUUGACGAAAAAAAUAUUUCCUGCUUUGCUGCAGCCAUGGAGAACUAAUUGAAUCGGUUGUUAGAGACGUUUCACGGAAGCUCAGGAGCAAAAAUGUGGAUGUGCCUGAACAUUUGGUUGAGGAUCACAGUCAGAUAAAAGCGAUAAUAGAUAAGUUGGAUGUUGACUCUGGUGGUGUGCGUUUUGUUGGGAUACAUGGAAUUGGUGGUAUCGGUAAAACAACACUUGCGAAGGUCGUGUUCAACGAAUUACUUCUUCAAUUUGACAGUGUUAGUUUCCUCCAAAACGUUCGAGAAUCAUCCCAACAUAGUCUUGAUGGUCUUGUAAACUUGCAGAAAAAGUUAUUAUUGGAUGUUAUUGGUUCUGGGGAUACUGUCCAAAUCAAAGACAUAGGCGAUGGGAUGGCUCAAAUCAAGACAGUAUGUAGGACUAAAAAGGUCCUCAUUGUUCUUGAUGAUCUAGACAAGAAAGAGCAACUCCAAAAGCUAGCCGGAAAAUCUGAUUGGUUUGGUUUGGGUAGCAGGAUCAUUAUCACAACUAGGGACAAAAGUAUCUUGAUGACUCAAGUGGAAUCAUUUGGUGAAGUGGUCCUAAAUCGACCUAAAGGAAUUUUGGCUUAUGAAGUUUAUGAAAUGGAAUUUGGUCGAGCACUCCAGUUGUUUUGUGAGCACACAUUCAAAAGAGACUCUCCUGUAAAAGGAUAUGAGCAUCUUGCAGAGAAAAUUGUUCGUAGAGUGGGAAUGCUUCCUUUGGCUGUCGUGGAGAUAGGUUCAAGUCUUCGUUCCAGUCAAAAAAUUGGAGAAUGGGAAGAUAAGUUGAUGCAGUUAAAUAAAGGUCCUUUGAAGGUUGUCUGCGAUGCAUUAAUGGUAAGUUACGAAGGAUUGGCAAAUGAGGAAAAAGAAGUAUUUUUGGAUAUUGUUUGCUUUUUCACCAACGGGGACCAAAUGUAUCCAGAUAUCAUGUGGGAUGACUCUCAAAGUGCAAUUAGUGUCCUCCUUCAACGUUCCUUGAUAAAAAUUAGAGAUAAUAAAAUUUGGAUGCAUGAUCAAUUGCGAGAUUUGGGAAGGAACAUCAUAGUUGAAAAAUAUCCUCACAAAUGUACGAGGGUGUGGAUUCAUGAGUGUGUUGUAGCAAUGCUAUGGGAGCGAAAAGAGGUAAAAUGGAAGACUAUGUCUCAUAAUUUUUAUUUGGAAAGAGAAACUUCUUGCAUUUUUGCUUUUAUUUUAUUUUUAGCUUUGUUUAACUUCCCAUGAGAGCUCUCUCAAACAUUUGGGUCAAAAGGUCUUAUAAAUUGGUGGGAGAGACCAGAUAGAUUUUUCUAGAUUCUGUAGAGUAGUACAUAGUUUUCUAGAAGUUUUUAAACAACAAAGCGCCGUUUCACGAGCAAUCCGAGCAAAGUCAAAAGAAAAUUGAUAGUAUGAAGAGUUUUUAAUUUACUUUCAAACAAAAUUAGAGAAAAAAACAAAAAAACUAUGAAAAUUGCAAUUAAUAUGCAUAUUAUUCUUCUUGAAUAGUAGAAAAUGGGAAAUGGACAAAUGAUUUAUAAGAUAUCUUCAACUGUAUGCUUAACUAAUCUUGAGUCUCUGUUGGCAGAGAAAUCAAGGUCUGAAAGCGCUAAGCUUGACUUCUAGCGGUGGCCAGAGGAGCAUCUAUACGGCUGAAGAAUUAGUUGCUACAUCAAAAUUAAGGUUCCUUAGAAUGAAAGGCUUGAAUGGCAUCUUCGAGAAUCUUCUUCCGAAGCCAGAAAAACUUUUAGGGGAAACAUGGGGAACGGCUUUCCAUGCAAAUAAUUUUCACUUCAGUAAUUUGGUCAUGCUCAACCUUUCGGAUAGCAAUAUUAGAGAUGGCUGGGGUGGGUGGAGCCAAUUGAAGGUAUGAUAUGCCUUACUCUAUAUACUUCUUUCUAUCAUCACCUCACUCGUGAUGAUAGAAGGAAGACAUAUUUUACUUCUUUGUAUUAUUACCUCAUGUGAUUGACACAAAGUUUGCAUGCACUCCCCAUCUCGUCUGAGUGUAGAAUAUGUUUUGCAUGAAUCAAAGUAAAACACAAUUAUAUCCCACAUAAAAAAAUGCUUCAUGUGGUUUAUAACCUUGGUUUCGUAGUUUUGAAAGUUGCUUAGGAUUUGGAAUUGUACUCCAAUAAAGUAGCCGUUUUGCAUCAAUAUGCAUUAGAUAUGAUUUGCAUGGCUAUAAAAGUUUUGAGUCAAGCUCAGUAAUACAAAAGUUGAUUGGAAUUAAGUUUGAGAUUGGUAAUACUCAACUUGAAUGGUGUAAAGGAUCACAAGUUUAUUUAGAAUAGCUAAGUUGAUGAUUUAAAUUAAGGUGAGCUUGACCAUCACGAGACUUUAUUCAAGGGGCUUACUAACCUAAUUUAGUAGUUAAGUUAUUCUUUAUAAUUGCAUUAAUGAACUGUCAAAUAAACUAGGGGAAUAGAGCUAGCUUGCGGUUUCGUGUAGUGUCAUAAGACGUGCCAGCUCUGCUGUGGGCUUUUCACCCAUUCUCACUCACCCUAAGCGCGGGUGGGUACUAUACCGGCUUAUUUGGUAGUAGUCGGGGCAUGCAAGCACACCUUGACGUGGAGUCUACUUUCCCCACCGUGAGGUUCCUUAAUUCCCUGUCUAUCUUUGUCUUUUCGAUAGAGAGGAAAUACGAAGAACAACGCGGGGUCUCCCACCCCAGGGCGGAUCUCUAGCCUAUUUCCUUCUUGACCCUUUUAAAGACUUGCUCAGGUCCAAAACUGACAAAUAAAUGAAAAUCACAUUACCUACACUUUUGUAAUUAGCUCGAGUCAAUGAGCGAAGGCUGGAGUACUUCAUUAAAUCUAGUUUUUAACUACAACAUCAAAUCAAAUCAAAUCUCAGAGAAAUCUAUGGUAUAGAUUCAGGGUAGAGAACACACGUAAUGGAGUUCCUUGUCUGUUUGCAAAAUUUAAUUUUAAGUCAUUUUUUGAGCUACAAAAAUUGUGUGAAGUCAACUUAGCUCGAUUGGGAACCCUCCCCGCUAACGGUUGCCAUUUAGUCACCUCUUGUGAUCUUUCUACAAUUUUUCAACUUAAAAUGGAUGCUCAUAUUAGGUUGAAGGUAGAAUACCAAAAAUCAUUCUCACCUUUUAUAUCAACUUCACUUUACAUCAAUCAUUUUUGUUAAUUUUGGUUGUUAACGUGCUAGUGUGAGUAUGUGUGCAGGCUAUUCUGCAAAUACCUAUCCUACAAAUAUCUUAUGCACGAUUUUUCUAUAAAUUGGACUGAUUUUUUUAACAAUUUUUAAAUGCUUCACUUUAUAUCUUUGACUAUUAAGUAGGCUUUACAUUACAUUUGAGAGAGAGAGAGAGAGAGAGAGAGAGAGAGAGAGAGAGAGAGAGAGAGGUUAAGAUUGUAGUCGGAGGUGGUAUGCUGGUGCCCAGUGGCAGUGGGAGGAGAAAAACUUAGCGUGCUGGUAUUUGGGGUUUGUGGGUAAUUUGGGGAUUAUAGCAUUUUGUGUUUUCAUAGCAAGGAUACUUUAGUCUUUCCGUUAUGGAGUUCUCUUGUGAGACACAUACUUUUGCAGAUGGCAAAAAAGCUGAAAGUAUUGGACCUGAGAAACUGCAAACACUUAACAAGGACACCUGACUUGUCUGACUUCCUGGAUUUGGAGAUAUUGAUACUUGCUGGCUGCUCCAAGUUAAUUAUGGUUGAUUGCUCCAUUAGUAAGCUACAGCUCUUAAAAACUUUGAAUAUGGAUGGAUGUGACUCUGUUGAGGAGUUGCCUGAAGAGGUUGGUUCUUUAGAAUCUUUGAUAGAGUUCAUCUUCUCUGGAUCUUCCAAAUUGGUCACACUCAUAGAGAGUUUUGGGAAUUUGAAAUCUUUGUCAAGCUUCAGUGUAAAUUAUUGCAAGGGAAUGAACAAACUCUCGAACUCUAUUGGAGGAUUAGCAAAAAUCACAUGUUUCUCUAUAAAAGGAUGUGAGGGGAUAAAGAAGCUCCCACACACUCUCUGGGGCUUAGAGUCAUUGGUCAAGUUGGAUUUGUCAUUCUCGGGGAUAGAUAGUCUCCCUGAUUCCAUUGGAAAUCUGAAGAAACUCAAAGCCAUCAAGAUGGGACAUACAAAGUUAAAAAGGUUACCAGACGCAAUUGGACAGCUAGAGAUGCUCGAAGAGUUACAUUGCCCAGAGUGUUCGAAUCUAUCAGGCAAAGUCCCAGAUGCUAUUGGGAAUCUUUUCCAUUUGCAAAUCUUGGACUUGUCAUGUACUCGUAUUUCUGGUUUGCCAAACACAAUCAAUCAUCUCUCUCACUUGGAAGAAUUACAUGUUCGAGAUUGUAGGGAUCUUACGAGUGAAAUCCCAGAUGCAAUUGGCGAACUAUCCCGCUUGAGAAUCUUGGACUUCUCUGGUACUUGUAUAUUUGGUUUGCCGGCCAUGAUCACUCAUCUUUCUCACCCAGAAGAGUUACAUGUCCAGGAUUAUUCGGAUCUUAUGAGGGAAAUCCCAGAUGCAAUUGGCGGACUAUCCCGCUUGAGGAUCUUGGACUUCUCUAGAACUGGUAUUUCUAGUUUGCCUGCCACGAUCGCUCAUCUCUCUCACCUAGAAGAGUUACGUGUCCAAGGUUGUUGGAAUCUACCGAGCCAAAUACCAAGCGCAAUUGGGGGACUAUACCGCUUGAAGAUCUUGGACUUCUCUGGUACUUGUAUAUCUAGUUUGCCUGUCACGAUCACUCAUCUCUCUCACCUAGAAGAGUUACGUGUCCGAGAUUGUGGGGAUCUUAAGGUAAAAUCCCAGAUGCAAUUGGGCAAACUAUCCCGCCUAAGGGUCUUGGACUUCUCUGGUACUAGUAUUUCUGGUUUGCCUGCCACGAUCGCUCAUCUCUCUCACUUGGAAGAGUUACGUGUCCAAGGUUGUCCACAUCUUACAGGUAAAAUCCCAGAUGCAAUUGGCGGACUAUCCCGCUUGAGGAUCUUGGACUUCUCUAGAAGUUGUAUUUCUGGUUUGCCUACCACGAUUGCUCAUCUCUCUCACCUGGAAGAGUUACGUGUCCACGGUUGUCAUAAUUUUACGAGCAAAAUAACAAAUGCAAUUGGCGGACUAUCCCACUUAAGGAUCUUGGACUUCUCUAGUUCUUGUAUUUCUGGUUUGCUUGCCAUGAUCGCUCAUCUCUCUCACCUGGAAGAGUUACGUGUCCACGGUUGUCAGAAUUUUACGAGCGAAAUCCCAAAUGCAAUUGGCGGACUAUCCCACUUGAGGAUCUUGGACUUCUCUGGUACUUGUAUUUCUGGUUUGCCUGCCACGAUCGCUCAUCUCUCUCACUUGGAAGAGUUACGUGUCCAAGAUUGUCAAUAUCUUACGGGUGAAAUCUCAGAUGCAAUUGGCAGACUAUCCUGCUUGAGGAUCUUGGACUUCUCUGGUACUUGUAUUUCUGGUUUGCCUGCCACGAUCGCUCAUCUCUCUCACUUGGAAGAGUUACGUGUCCAAGGUUGUCUGCAUCUUACAGGUAAAAUCCCAUAUGCAAUUGGCGGACUAUCCCGCUUGAGGAUCUUGGACUUCUCUAGAACUUGUAUUUCUGGUUUGCCCGCCACGAUCGCUCAUCUCUCUCACCUAGAAGAGUUACAUGUCCAAGGUUGUAGGAAUCUACCAAGCCAAAUACCAGAUGCAAUUGGGGGAUUAUCCCGCUUAAGGAUCUUGGACUUCUCUGGUACUUGUAUUUCUAGUUUGCCUGCCAUGAUCACUCAUCUCUCUCACCUAGAAGAGUUACAUGUCCGAGAUUGUGGUAAUCUUACGGGUCAAAUCCCAGAUGCAAUUGGCAGACUAUCCCGCUUGAGAAUCUUGGACUUCUCUGGUACUUGUAUUUCUAGUUUGCCUGCCACGAUCGCUCAUCUCUCUCACCUGAAAGAGUUACGUCUCCAAGGUUGUGUGCUUCCUCCAGGUAAAAUCCCAAAUGCAAUUGGCGGACUAUCCCGCUUGAGUACCCUGGACUUCUCUGGUACUUGUAUUUCUAGUUAGCUUGUCAUGAUCACUCAUCUCUCUCACCUAGAAGAGUUAUGUGUCAAAGGUUGUCAGCAUCUUACGUGAUAUGUCCAGAAUGACACAAGUGCAGAAGAUGAUCCAAAACGUUACAAGUUUAGGAUGAAGCAGGUUCAUAAUGUAGUAGGUCCAGAACGUAGUAGAUUCAGAACGAAGCAAGUUCAUAACGAAACAACUUGAUAGAACAUGACAUAAACCCAAACAUAUAAUAGCUAGCGAUCUGAUUUGGAUUUUACAUUAAGAUAUAUUUGAUUGACUCAAUCUAAUUGAUUGACAAUUGGAUCUUGAAGACGAAAACUUUCUAAAUGAAUAAGCCAUACUUAUGGAAACUAAGAUUUCAUUUAUAUGGGCAAUCAGAAUCAACUUGAAAUUUUACUUUUGUCACUUAAUGGUUACCUAAUCUUCUUAAUACAGAUCUAUCCAAUGAAUAGAUUGGAAGAUGAUCCUCUAGAUACUAUUUAACGGCUAGUUUAAAAGUGGAGGAGUAUUUAAGGAGAUUAAGGAUCGAUGAGUAUGUAAGAGACGGAGUGUAGAAUCUAGAAUUCUAAAGUUUGAGUGAACUUCGAUCAUACACUUGUCUUUCAUGAGCUUAAACGUUUUUGAUCAUAAGAGAAAUACCAAAAUAGUGACUUAGUAAGAUAGUGUGAUCUAUCAUUGAGUGUUUGCACUCAAAGUUGUAAUAUCUUAUUAAUCAUAUAGUGGAAUCCAGCCAAUAGGUUGUUAGCGAGGGAGAGUGGACGUAGGCAUGAUCUAAGCCGAACCAUUAUAAAUUCUGUGUGCAUUCUUCUCUUUUGUUAACUCUCAUUAUUUAAGUCUAUUACACGCUUACAGGUUAUUUCAGAAGUUUGUUCCAUCACAUAACAUAUUUUGAAUAUUUACUAGAAGUCUGGUAACUCGUUUAUCAGACUUUGAUGCUUAUUUAGACUUUUUUCGCAACUUAUUCUAUUUCGCAUUUAUUUGUUAGGAUUUCUUUUAACUACAUAUUCACCCCUCUAAGAGUUCGUACUAGUUCAGGAUUUACUUCAAAUCUCCCUUCCAUUCACAUGAUUUACCUCAAUAUCCUCUAUUAACACUGCAUUAGCGCACUUGGGAUUCAGUGGGGUAGCCCGUCCGCGUGUCCUUGCAAUAAGACCAUUACAUUUUGCUUUCAGACCAUAUAGUAACGAUCCUCCUUGCCCGUCCUUGUUUCUGUGAUCGGUUUUUGCGGAUCCAAUUACAAGAUUGUCGGCAGAACAUUCAUAAAAUGUGGGCUCGUGAUUAUAAUUCUAGUGAGUGAUGGGUAAAAGGCCGUUCUUCUGCUUCUGGAGCUUUGCAUCAUUUCCUUAAGCAAUGAGAGUUAUCAGCGCGUCCCAUUUGUCUUUCAGUUCUUGCAUCGUCGGCCAACAUGUACAUAACUCUGCCCGCUUUCCUUUUCUAGUUCCACUCCAAGCUCAUCUUUAUAAUUUGAAUAUCUAGUGAUUUUUUGUCGAAAUGGCGGCAUGUGCACGAUUUUUUAUGCAAAUGGCCACUUUAUUUAUAUUCUCAACAACAAAGAUAUCGUGUAUUUUUUCCCUUUUUGUGCAUAGAGUUAAAGAUCUUCAAAUUGCAGUUUGUUUGAGAUAUCAAAUCAACAAUGAGAAUGUCAUUUUGAUAUCCUUUUUAAUUCUGUUAGUCAGACUAAAAUUAACCACCUUUCACUGUGCAUUUUCGCAGCCUCAGAAAAAGUUCAUAAGGUUAUUACCGAGGCUAUCGAGACCGCGGUAUUUAUAGACAAGGAAGCACUGACACGUUUAGAGGGCCUCUGUAUCGUGUCGGACACCCUGACACGUGUCCCACCGGCUUGGAUACCGUCAAAGACGCUUGAACAGGAGAUCAACAGGUAUCGGAGUUUCCGACACUCGCGUCGGAGUGUGUCCGGAGGUUUGUGGGCAGAUCCGCAGGUGCGAAGGGAAGAAAGUGAUGGAGGGUGGAGGCUAGGGUGAGGGAGCUGAGGCGACGCCGUGAGCGACGACGAGGCAGGGCUCCGACUGUCAACUGCAACACUAAGAAGCCUUCUCGAUCAUCUUGGUUGGCUGCAACCGCCGAUUGCAACGCCGAGAUGGAAACGGAAAGGCCGUGAUGGAGGGCUGGAUGCGAGCUACGACGGCAAAGGGGGGAACGGAAGCGAGGCAGCGGUGAGUGGGGUGGAGACCAAGCGAGGGAGAGGAGAAAGAAGGCGAUCGCCGAUUGCUAAGGUUUUCAAUUUUUGGAAGAAGAGCAAGGAGAGAGAGGAUGUGUCGACGGCUUCUUGGGAAAAAAGAAAGCGUUGUGCAGUGUGCCUUUGGGAAGAGAUGUGUGCAGGCGGUGGGUGGGGUGGGGGAAAUAAAUGGAUGGGACCAUUUAACCCUAAAAAGAAAUAUUAAACAUUAAAUAAUUUUUUUUUUUGGCAAAAUCUGUAAAAAUUCACUCUUUCUUUUCAAGACAAUGAGAGAAACAGAUCGAGAGCCUUUGCGUACGUUGAAUAACUUUAUGAAUACAUGUUAUUAGUAUAGAUUUAUUAUAGGCUUUUUUUAUUAUUUAUUUAUUUAUGAAUUUGAAUAAAUUAAUUUAAACAUAAUAAUUAAUCAUGUAUAUAUAAAAAUAUUUAUUUUAUAUUUAACGUGUCGGAACGUGUCAAAAUUAUCUACUUUUUGAAAAAUGAUGUGUUGUGUGUCGUGUUAUGUUGUGUCGCGUGUCCGUGCUACCUAGAUUAUAGGACGGACUUCCAAAAGCUUCUUUUGACUCGAUGUGAAAGAGAAAAAGAAUGGAUUGCCUUCUAUGUCAUAAAAUUCUGUACACCUGCAUUCUGUUUCGAAUCUUUAGAGGAUCUGUAUACUUCAUUUUGUAAUGAAGUUAGUUCACAAUUCUAAUCCUUUGGGGCAUUAUUACAAGGUCAGUGUAUCUGUUUCAAAGAGAAUAUCAAUGAAACUCCCAUGCUUUGUUGAAGGGUCAGUGAAACUUUCACGUUUGUCUAUAUAGGCUGUAUAAGUUGGAGGUUUGUUUGUUAAAACAAGCACAGUGCAUUUUCCUUGUCUCACAUAGGAAAAUUGGGAGGAAGUGAGCUAAUUUAAAAGUGCAGGAUUUUCUUUGUGUAUUUAAAGGAAUGAUUGGGUGGGGCUAGACCCCACCAUACCCGCGUGCGGGUGCGUGAUUAUUUGGCGCACUAAUCCCUUUUGUUUUUUUAUUUUAUUUUUUAUUUUUUGGUUAUGUUAUUAAUUUUUUAAUCAAUUCAAAGGUUGCUUUUUUAUUUUGAGAAUUUUCGGAAAUGAAAUAUAAAAUGAAAAUUUGAAAUUUUAUUUAUUUAAAAAAAAAAUAAAAAAUUAUUAUUUUGAAUUUUGUUUGUGUCUUUUCAAGACAACUUUUGGAAAACUUACUUAUUCGGUUUGCAACUUUUCCCGAAGGGUUGCAAUUGUUCGGUUUUCGACUUCUUUCGAAGGGUCACAUUUGUUUAUCUGAACAAUUUAUAAAGGACGUGUUUGUUCAUAUAUUUUAAAAAUUUUACGAAGAGUUGCAUGUAAGACCGUUUUAUAUAUAUACUAGUCAUUUUUCGGAAGAACGAGAGUGAUCAUUUUUCAUCUUUUCGAGCUUUCUGUCUGAAAAAAACUACGGCCAUUCUUUCAAUUGUUUCCUAGAGAGAUCCUGGAAAAAUACUAGAAUUGCUAUCUAGUAUUCUCAUAUGAGACUUUGAUAUCACGCCUCAAAAUCCGAUCUGAGUACUCUAAAUAUCCAUCUUCAUUGUUCAACCAAAUUCGAAGCAAUAUUUUUGCAACAGUAUAUGGGCAUAGAGGAGCUUUCAAACUCAAUUGGAGGGUUAAUUGAGCUUCGUACGACAUUGUUCACGGAGGCCCUCUGCAACAAAAGAAAGAAGCUUCCAUACUCAGUUGGGAAAAUUAGAAUUGUUGGUUGAGUUGGAUUCGCAACGUUUAAAGAUAGUUGAUCUACCUAAUUCAACUGAAGAUCUGAAGGCAUUGAAAUUAACUAGGACAGACAGCUCUUCUAUAAGAAAGUUACCCGAUGCCAUUGGACCACCAGAGGUGACUGAGGUUUACCUUCCAAGUCUAUGGGUUGGACGGAAAAUCUCUAGUGAAAUUGCGAGACGAUAUUGUAUGAGGAUCUUGGGCCUGCAUUCAAUCACGUUAUUUUCGAAUUGCCCAUAACAAUUUGUUCUCUCUCCCAUGUUCAGAAACUUUUUUUUUCCCAUAAACACUAACAAAUUUGACUGUCACCCAAGCUUCUUUUAUCGAUCUUUGUUUUGGCGCAUCUCUCAUCCAGAUUGCUCAUGGCCUCAUGAAUCUGGUUAGUUUUAGAUUUUCCGGACACAUAUGACGUUUCCCUCAAGCAAUAUUUCCAUCGGUUUCCAUGUAGUUUGUCAUUAUUGCGACUUUUGCUUAAGACAUAUUGCUAAUGCUUUCAAUCCUGGAGAACUUUAUGGUCCUCGAUGUUCAUGAGUUUAACCCUUUAAGAGACUUAGAUUACUUAGUGUGCAAUAACCAUACGUGAAAUUGCAAGUUCAUACUUUUAGAAUGUUUGCUUCCAAUGUGAUGAUCGUUCUUCGGUGACAGCAAUGGGGAGAUUGGAAGCUGAUUGCCUGCAGAUUUACGAAUUUCCAUUUUGGCAAGCGGAGGGCCACUGGCCCUGCCGCGUUAGAGGUGUAAUACGACUAGACUCGUGUACCCGAAGCAUGGAAUGAUAUUUUCACCAAGAGGACUUUGCCCGUGCCCUCUAUCAUCGACUCCUCUUUGUCUCUGUCCACCUCCAAGGUCUUCUUCUCGGCGAUAUCAUUGAGAAAGCUGAGCACUGUUGUUGUUUUUUAUUUUUUUUUAAUGGGUCGGAAAUACUGAGAAUUUCAUUAACUAAUUAGAGGGGAGCUCUCUUUUCGAGGGAUAAAAAAGCCAAUUAGAGGGGAGCUCUCUUUUCUACUGGGCCUUUACCACCCAAUCUGCUAACAUAUUUAUCUCUCUUGGACAGUAGGAUAACCGAAUAAAACUGAGAUGGGUCAGCUUUAUUUUGCACUCGUCAGCCCAGGCCCUUAUGUCCCACGGGUCUUUAACUAUAAGCAUAUAGAUUGUUCGUAACCUUUUUUAUCAUGUGUAUUGUUGGAUUUGACCAACAAAUUAACUUAAGGAAAAAAACUACUUAAAAUCUUAAAUUAUAUCCACUAUGAUACGUUGAUCCUGAGCUUUUCUUUAUGACAUAAAAAAUUUACAUUAUGUUCGUUGUGACAUUUACCGUAAACUUUUUUUUUUAUAACAAAGAAAACUCAAAAUAUGUAUUUAUGUGAUAUAUUUAUCCUCCAUCAAUAUUUUGUCAAAUAAUUUUCCAAUCAAAACAACUUCGCUUCACUUAAGUCACAUCAGCACUGUGUUAGUAUUGUUUGCUUUCUAAAGUCUAUUUAGGCAAAUUUUUAAUGGUACUUUUACGGAAUAUUGAUGGAGGGUAAAUGUAUCGCAUAGGUACAAGUUUGGAAUUUUUUAUGUCAUAGAAAAAAGUUAAGGAUGAAUGUUUUAUAGCGGGCAUAAUUUAGAGCUUUUAAUAGAUUUCUCCCUUUAAUUUGAUGAAACUUUAAACGAAAUUUGACAAAAUAGAAUCCCCGCCCAAGGGAAAGAGGAAACUGGACCUCUUAGAGGGAAUAAUUGAGCCCACUUGCACUUUGGAGAAACAAUGCUAGGUUUGGGGGGGGGGGGGGGGAGAGACUUGAAUUGUUGUAAGUUUGACUUGUUGGACCGGAGACUUUCNNNNNNNNNNNNNNNNNNNNNNNNNNNNNNNNNNNNNNNNNNNNNNNNNNNNNNNNNNNNNNNNNNNNNNNNNNNNNNNNNNNNNNNNNNNNNNNNNNNNCUGACCAAGGGAAAGUGGAAACUCGACCUCUUGAGGAAAUAAUCCACUUGCACUUCGGAGAAACAAUGCUAGGUCAGGGCGAAGGAAAAAGGGUUGGAUUGUUGUAACUAUGACUUGGUGGACGUAGAUUUUUUUUUUUUAUUGAAAUUGUAUUUAUUACUUAAAAGGAUGCAAAAGUACAUAGUUUUUAUGAUAAAACAAAACAAAAUAGAGCAUGAAUGCUGAAAAAUAAAGCCAAAUUUAGAAAACAGGGAGGAUCAACGGAGCACGAGCAAAGUUAAGUAUAAACUCACUCUACAUGAAUAGAUUUGUUAAAACAAAAUUGGCGGCCAAUCACUGGAUCUUGUGUAUUUGUUAGUGAUGAGCACACGCUGAAAAUUUCUUUUCCAAUAAUUAUGACGUUGCCAAUUGGUGGUGCGCACUUAGGUUUAAUUUCCUUUACACCAUAGUUGUACGGAGACAAUCAAAAUAGGUUAAACAAACCCAGAUCUAACAUGUGGAUGAGAUUACAUUGAAGUUUUUAUGGCUAAAGAAACGAGUCAAAUGGAAGCUCAUGGGAUAAGAGUGCAAAUAGUGAUUUUCCCAAUUAAAGUGUGUGCAGGUAAUUGGAUAUUGAGUGUCGGACACUGCAAGUGCCAAAAUUUGGCACUGGUUGAUACUUAAGUGUCAAAAUUUCUAAAAAGUAUAUUUAAAUGUUAAAAUCAAAGAAGAAUGGAACAUUUAAUUGUUAAUGACGAGAAAUUCUAGCCAAAUUGUUGACAUGAUAUUUUUUGGAGACUUUUUUUACCGAUGUGGCAAUUCUUUUUUUUUUUUAAAUGUCCACUUGGCACUAUAAGCCCCAAAAAUGAAUUUUUAAUAUAAAUAUUAAUUAAAAUAAUUUUUAAAAAAGGAAGCCAUAGUUGUAGCGAGGGCCUCCACAGCCCUCGCUGUCAUUGCCCCACCAUCUCCAGAAAGAGCCGGCGACAAUGGGGCGAGGAUCGGCUAGGCCUUGGAUAGCUAGAAAGUAUCGACACUUUUUGGGAGCCUUUAUGUCGUGUUGAAUACUCUGACACAUAUCUGACACUCUUCGAUACUUAGUUAACAUGUGUCGGAAAAUUCGACACUUGGUUAACUUUCCUAAUGCUCUUCACCAUGCGAGUCGAGUAUUUUGACACGCGAGUUCAAAAUUCUAGCAUAUGAUUCUAACACGUACGAGAUCAAUUUUAAAAAUUUUCAAUAAAUGAUGGAUUAAAAUGUAACAUGUAAAAUAUAAAAUAACUCAAUAAUAAAGGGAAAAAAGAAAAUACUAUUAUCUUUUUUUCUAACUNNNNNNNNNNNNNNNNNNNNNNNNNNNNNNNNNNNNNNNNNNNNNNNNNNNNNNNNNNNNNNNNNNNNNNNNNNNNNNNNNNNNNNNNNNNNNNNNNNNNUCUUCCGACACGCUCCAACAUGCGAGUCCAAAAUAUGGAUUGCUUAUUUUUUCUCCUCCAAGUUUUAUGAAUUAUUUGACUGGAGUUAAAUUUGUCAAUUUGAAAUAAUAAAUGAUAUUAACUAAUGGCGAACUAAUGUUUUUAAUGUAAAUUCAUUCUAGGCUCCUCAUCAUUUAUUUAUUUGUCAACUUGAAUCAUACUAUUUAUGUUUAUAUAUAUAUAUAUAUAUAUUUAAUAUACAAUAUGUUUCAACAUGUCAGAAUUCUCUAUUUUUUCAGAAACGUGUCGUGCCGUGUUGCAUAUCAUGUGUUGGUGUUGAUGCCACUUAAUUGGAUAGUGGCCAGUGACCUUGGCUGGCACUGGCGAUCAACCAUGGUUGCUAGCCAUUGCUUAGGGCUAGGCAACCUCAGCUGACCCUCGCCCCACCAUUGCCGGCUCUUUCCAAGGAUGGUGGGGGUGGUGGCAACAAAGGCUGAGGAGGCUCUCGCCUAACUCUAUUGCCUCCUUUUUUUUUUUUUUUUUUUUAAACUUAGUUUUAAAAUUUUUUUAAUUAAUAUUAAACUAAUAAAUUUAUGAAUAAAACAACGUUGUUUUGCACAUUCAUUACCGAGUACGUAUUUUAGCAAGCCAUGUAGACCACUUAUAAUGUUAAAAAUAAGUCACGUUAGAUUUCUGACUACCCUUGUCGGUGUUCACAUUUAAGUAUCUCAAUUUUCAAAAAAGUUGCAUUUAAGUAUACAUUUUGAAAGUUUUUGCACUUAAGUGUCCACUUGUGCCAAGUUUUAACACUUGUGCCAAGUUUUGACACUUGUGAUGUACUUUAGCCAUUAGAUUUCACUCAACUCUACCAGAGCUCCAUAUUUCAUUGUAUCUUUCAAUUCCUUGCAUUUAUUUUCAUCUUAAUUCCAAACAUAUAUUUCAUUACCUUACAAUUUUAAGUCCAAUGCAAUUAGCUUUUCAUCACAUUUAUGUUGGUAGUUUCAUACUCCAUCAAGGCCUCGUUUGCAUACUUUGUCCCUGAGUUCGGAACUACAAAUCGAUCUCGAUCAUUUUCCAAUCUUCAAAACUCUGGAUUACCUUAGUGUACAUUGAUUUUCAUCAGCAUCUCUUUUGACUCGCUCGAUUGUCCCCAAAAUGUUCACGUUAAAUGCUUUUGAAAAGCUUCUUAACAAGACCGUAACCAUGAUCGUCCAUUUUAGAUUUUUUUUUUCCCUUUAAACAUGUUUCUUCUCAAUUUGGAGUUCUUUUAUGGACCAUACAAAAUUGAAAGAGUAAAGUUAGUCCUUUGCUAAGAAGGAAAACAUUUUGCCGCUCAACCCCACCAUAUCCGAGAGGAUUUCAAACCAUUCUCAUGUUAGAAUAUACAUAUAAUGCUUUGAUGCAGAUAUGCAAAAGAAAAACAGUGAUUUUUUUAUCUUCAUGAUUUUCACAAUUAGAUGAAGACAUACCAUUAUUUAUAGCGUUGCACUUGAUGAUGAUCGUUGUAGAAAACCGAAUAAUCUCGAACCAAAAGAAGAAAUCCGAUUUCUCUCCCUUAACCCACUAUACUUUAAUGUAUUCUAUUGAUGGAUGAGAGAAUACCCAAUUCCUUUAUGUUAUUGUUGUUCAUUGUGGGUGGAGAGAGGACCAGACUCUAUUUUUACGUUCGUUGAAAAUGUGCCUUCCAUCAAAGCAAUAUACCCUUUCAUUUUAUUAGAGUCGCAACUUCUCGUAACCAAUAAUUAUUUAUUUUAUAGCAUUUCAAUAAUUAUUAAACCAUAUAAUAAAUCAUAUCACAUGGGUCACAAUAAUUCUUACAUUCUCCCACUUGGCCCAUAUGAUUUUCCUUUCAUGAUUUAAUAAAGACUAUAAUGUGCACAAUAACAUUAUGCUAUAAAAUUUCAUUAAAUAAGCAAUCACAUAAUAAUCACAAUUAAGUAAAAAAAAACUAAAGUGAUUCAUAGCAGUUGUAUGUCAUUAAUCGACAUAGUCCCUUCUAUGUACUACAAUUAUAGCACUUUACUUAACAUGAUCCAUAAAUGAGAAGUACAAUAAUAGUCCAACCAUAAUGUUUCUUUAGAAACUAUCCUGUUUAACAUUCAUCAAUUUCCAUAAUGUAUACUAAAUAGAAAACAGGAAAUAUCGGAAACACGUAAGUGAGCUCAAAGUGUCAAAUAUAUAAACUCAAUACAAUUAUAAUACAAACAUUAAUGACGUCUAAUAAUGCCCAUCUUUUCAACAUGCUCAUUAAAUGUUUUGGGCGGCAGUCCUUUUGUUAAGGGAUUUGCUAUCAUAAGAUUGGUGCUAAUGUGUUUAAUUGACACUCUUUGUUUCUGAACUUCUUAUUUGACAAACAAGUAUUUGAUCUCCAUAUGCUUAGCACCCUUAGAAUACUUGUCGUUCUUAGAGAAGAAAACUGCUGCAGAGUUAUCACAAUAAAUUUUCAGCAGCUUGGCAAUACUGUCGACAAUCACAAGCUUCGAAAAAAAAUUCCGCAGCCAUAAUCCAUGAAUUGUGGCCUCAAAGCAUGCCACAAAUUCUGCUUCCAUAGUGGAUGCAGCAAUAACUAACUGCUUCACACUUUUUCAUGAAAUUGCCCCUCCAGCCAGAAGAAAUAAGUAACCAAACGUUGAUUUUCUUGUAUCGACACAUCCGGUUAAGUCUGAAUCUGAAUAUCCAAUCACCUCGAGAUUAUAUGAGCUUUUAUAAGUGAGCAUAUGAUUCUUCGUUCCUUGCAAGUAUCUAAGAACUUUCUUUGCAGCUUUCCAAUGAUCCAUUCCAGGAUUACUUUGAUACCUACCUAGCAUUCCGACAGCAAAACUGAUGUCUGGUCUGGUGCAAGUUUGUGCAUACAUUAAGCUCCCCACAACAGAUGCAUAAGGAAUAUUUUUCAUUUGUUUUCGUUCCAAUUCACUUUUCGGACAUUACAUAAGAGUAAAUUUGUUACCUUUCUAAAUUGGAACUAUUCAUGUUAAACAUUUACUCAUAUUAAAUUUCUCUAAAAUUUUCUUAAUGUAGGCUUUCUGAGACAAUCCUAAUAAUCAUUGUGAUUUAUCACGGAAUAUUUUUAUUCCUAUCACAUAUGUUGCCUCUCCCAUAUCCUUCAUUUCAAAAUUCUUAGAGAAAAACGUCUUGGUUUCAUGUAACAAACCAAGAUCAUUAGCAGCAAGCAAAAUAUCAUCAACAUACAGAACUAGAAAAAUAUACUUGCUCCCACUAAUCUUCAUAUAUAUACACCAAUCAACGGUGUUUUCCUUAAAUCCAAAUGAAGUUAUGGUAUCGUUAAACUUAAGAUACCAUUGUCGGGAAGCUUGUUUAAGUCCAUAUAUUGACUUCUUCAAUUUACAUACCAUGUGUUCAUUUCCUUUAACUGAAAAGCAUUCGAGUUGGUCCAUGUAAACCUCUAAAUUCCCAUUAAGAAAGAAAGGCGGUUUUUACAUCCAUUAACUCCAAGUCAUAGUGAGCCACCAAAGUCAUAAUGAUUCUAAGUGAGUCCUUAUUAGAGACUGGUGAAAAUGUCUCUUUAUAGUCAAUGCCUUCUUUUUGCGUAAAAUCCUUUGCAACAAGUCUGGCUUUAUGUCGUUCAAUAUUGCUUUUUGAGUCGCCCUUGGUCUUAAAGACCCAUUUACACCUGACCUUCUUACAUCCUUUAGGCAAUUCAACAAUAUUCCAAACUUGAUUUUGAUGCAUGGAUUUUAACUCUUCUUCCAUGGCAUUAAACCAUUCAUUAGAAUCUUCACAUUCCAUGACUUGGGAAAAUGAAUCUGGAUUAUUUCCAAUUCCUAAGUCAAUUUCUGACUCUUGUAGAUAAACCAUGUAGUCAUCAGAAAUAACCGAUCUCCUUUCUCUUUAAGAUCUUCUUAAUGCUAUUUCUUGUGACUCAGCUAUUGGAGGUUCAAUAUUGACAUCUCCAUUAUGGAGUGUUUAUUGGGUGUUUGUUGUUCUCGAUUAUUGUUAGAUUGUACUACAAUAUCAUAAACAACAACUUUAGAAGCUUUAGGCAUAGGAACUUCUACCCUUACUUCUUGAAUGCAAGCAUCACGCAUUCUUUCACUCCCACUGAUGUCACCAUUCUCAAUGAACCUAGCAUUUCCAGAUUCAACAAUUCUUGUACUAUGAUUAGGACAAUAAAAUUUAUACCCUUUGGAUUUCUCUGCAUAACCAAUGAAAUAACCACUGGUCAUUCUUGAAUCUAAUUUCCUUUCAUGUGGAUUGUAAAUUCGUACUUUUGCUUGACAACCCCAAACAUGCAGGUGUCGUAAACUAGGUUUCCUUCUCGUCCACAGUUCAAAUGGAGUCUUUGGAACUGCCUUACUAGGAACCCUAUUUAAUAAGUACAUAGAAGUCUUUAAAGCAUACAUCCACAAAGACAAGGGUAAAGAUGAAUGACUCAUCAUACUCCUAACCAUUUCCAUUAAAGUACGGUUACGCCUUUCUGCUACACCAUUUUGUUGUGGUGUACCUGGCAUUGUGUAUUGAGCACAAAUGCCAUGUCUUUCAAGGAAUUUAGCAAAUGGACCUGGACAUUGUCCCGAUUCAUCAUACUUUCCAUAAUAUUCACCGCCUCUAUCCGAUCUUACUAUUUUCACCUUUCUAUCUAAUUGCCUCUCAACCUCUAUAAUAUACACUUCAAGUGCAUUAACUGAUUGAGACUUAUCAUGCAAUAGAUAAAUGUAACCAUAACAUGAAAAAUCAUCAAUAAAGGUUAUGAAAUAGCUUUCAUUACCAAAAGAUGGAACAUCGAAAGGACCACAUAUGUCAGUAUGUAUAAUCUCAAGAAGUUCUGUGCUUCUUGUGGCACUUUUCUUAGUGUGCUUUGUUUGUUUACCUUUAAUACAAUCAAUACACACUCCAAGGUCAGUAAAAUCCAAAUUUGGAAGAAUUUCAUUCUUCACUAAUCUUUGCAUUAUUUCCUUGGAUAUAUGACCCAAACGUUUAUGCCACAAGUAAGCAGAAUUUUCAUUCACCAAACUUCGUUUAGUGCCAACAUUAUGAUGUAAGGUCAUUAAUGUCUCAACAAAAGUAUAAUCAAGUCUAAAUUUAUAGAGACCAUCACAUAAAGUUCUAGUUCCAAUAAGAGUAUCACUCUUAAAUAGACCGAAAUAUUUUUUUUUGGUAAAAUUAAAUAGACUGAAAGAUUCAGAUUCAAACUUAUAAUAAAAUCCCGCCACAUCAAGUCUUGACAAAGAAACUAAAUUGCGAGAAAAUGUAGGUACAUAAAGGGUUCGAAACAAUCCAAAUAAUGCCCAGUAUCUAAGAUCAAACGGUAAGUGCCAGUUUCCCGUAAUCACAUAACUUUCAUUUGGCUUUAUGGCUUGGAUCGUAAGAAAUCCCUACAUCAUAUUUGACACUCACCAAAAUCAAUCCACCAAGUAUUAUGAAGAAUUUCAGUAAAGUUUGAUUUAAAACAUACUAAAGCACAAAGCUUACAUUUCUUUUCGAACCCAGCCUAACAUUUCAGACAAUCUUUCUUCAAGUGUCCAAUUUUGUUGCAAAAAUGACACUUAAUAAGAUUGUGUUCCUUCUUGUAUAUUUGAGGAGCCUUUAAAGAGUCAUUCAGGACGUGUAGUUCUUUCUUCUUGCUCCUUCCACCUUUCCUCUUGAAAUUCUUUCGAACUUCUUGAUGACUUGAGAGAUGAACAAAAUGAGCAUUUUGAUUAUUUAUCCUUGUUUCCUCUUGAACUAGCAUACUGGCCGAUUCAUUUACAUUCCACUUAUCCUUUAUAGUGUUGUAAUUCAUUUGAAAUGACCCAUAUUGCUCAUGAGGCAAAGAAUUAAGUAUAAAUUGUACUAAAAAGUACUCAUCCACGUUCAUUCCCAAAGUCCUUAACUUUACUGCUAAAUUCGUCAUCUCAAGUAUAUGCUCAUGCAUGGUACGCAAACCAUCAUAUUUCAUGGUGGUUAGUGUGCUCAUUAAUGUACCAGCAAGUGACUUAUCAGCAGUUUGAGAACGUUCUUCCACAAAUUUCAUAAAUUCCUUAGCAUUGUUAGUCUUGGGAAGAGAAGUCUUUAAGUUAUUUGUAACUGUCAUUCGCAUGAACAUUAAGCUCAGUUUGUUCGAUCUUUCCCAAACUUUAUGGAAAGACUUUUCAUAAUCACUACUUUCAUCAGUAAUAGAAGCUGGUUUCUCAGCUUGAAGCGUUAAAUUAAGAUCUAGGACACCUAAGUGAAACUGGACUUAUUCACUCAAUCAGGAAAAUUUACCCCAUUGAAUAAGGGAACAGAUGAGGUGUGCGAAUGGAGUGAAACAGGUACAGAUACUGCAAAUGUUUAAGAAAAUACUCAUACAUUAAUACUUUGAGAAUAUGACCUAAUCAGAUUCAAACUAAACGACACAUGUACAUCAUAGUUCUCCUUUGGGCGAUACAUAUAUAUAUACCAUAAUAAUGCUAAUAACUUUUAUUUGAUAAUUGUAAAUAUAUCUUAUUAAAAUUUAUUUGCUAUCUUUGGAUAUACAAACAAAUUUAACAAGUCAUAUUAAUUAUCAACCAUCAUGUUCAUGAAUUAUAAGAAAAUAAUUAACCUUUGGGUUAAUCCCUAAGUUCUUAUGUUAAAUGAACUUCAAUAUACCCAUAACUUCAAUAAUGAUAUAAAACAUAUCAAUUUCAUAUACAUCAAUUAUCAUGGGUAAUUGAAUAAAACAAUUUACAAUAUCAAAAAAUUCAAAAGACUUCAAGGUUUGGCCACUUUGGUGACUAACAAACCAUUCAUAAUAUGAAUUUUUUAAUAUUGCAAAAUAUAAAUAUUUACCAAAUUGCACACAAGGAUAAAAUGUAAUCAAAGCAUAAGGGCAAAAUCGUAAAAACAUAAUUUCGUUAGGGCAAAAUCAUAAAUUUAUAAUCCAAGGGUAAAAUGGUAAAUAACCAGCAAGGGCAGAACCGUAAAUUUCUAAUCUAGGGGCAAAAUGGUAAAUAAUCAGCAAUGGUAGAGUUGUAAAAUUGCGAGAAGGACAAAAUAGGAAUUUUAAAAUUGGCACAGGGGCAAAAUGGUAAAAACAGGCCUGCAGUACGUCAGUCGUGGACACGUGCCCCGCACAUGCGCGUCCAACAUGCAGGCGCGUGCGUUGCAUGCACUUGUCAACUGCCACGCGGGCAGUUUCGCGCGUGUGGACUCCACGCGCCAGCAGUUGGUGUGCGCGUGGAUCCCACGCGCGCAAUGGUUGCCCGCGUGUGACGGCACGUGGUGCGUGGGUUCCACGCGCCUGCAACUGUAGCGCGCACGUGGACCCAUGCGCCUUCUUCCCCGCGCGACCGAGCGUUUUUCUCGCAUUUUUCUUCGCAUUUUUCGUCAUUUCAUCCCUUGGUUCGCCUUUAUUCUUCCAUUUUCGACAUUUUUCUCCAUGAAAACAUUCAUCAUUCAGAUUUUCUUCAACAGAACCAUCCGAAAACAUUUCAACAACAACAAAUAGUAUGAACAAGAUCGUUCAACGAAUCAUCAUACAUAAAUCAUAAUAUUUAUAUAAACGGAAAAUCAUGAGAUCAUAAACCAUGCUCUGAUACUAAUUGUUAAAAUAUACAUAUAAUGCUUUGAUGCGAAAAUACAAAAGAAAAUAGUGAUCUUUUGAUCUUCAUGAUUUUCACAAUUAGAUGAAGACAUACCUUUAUCCAUAGCGUUGCACUUGAUGAUGAUCGUUGUAGAAAACCGAAGAAUCUCGAACCAAAAGAAGAAAUCCAAUUUCUCUCCCUUAAUCCACUAUACUUUAAUGUAUUCUAUCGAUGUAGGAGAGAAUACCCAAUUCAUUUCCAUUAUUAUUGUUCAUUGUGGGUGGAGACAGGAUCGGACUCUAUUUGUACGUUCGUUGAAAAAGUGCCUUCCAUCAAAGCGAUAUACCCUUUUAUUUUAUUAGAAUCUCAACUUCUCGUAACUAAUAAUUAUUUAUUCUAUAACAUUUCAAUAAUUAUUAAACCAUAUAAUAAAUCAUAUCAUGUGGGUCACAAUAAUUCUUACAUCUUAGACAUGUUCAUUUUUUUUUAAUUUUUUUUUGUUCUUCAUUUAAUUUUUCAAUUUUUGGGGGAAAACAAAAACAAUCUAUGACUUCUAUCCACAUUUCAAUCUCAGACAUUGCUUAGAAAGGGAGGGGGUGGGUGUGAGUAGCACUUUUAGUUUUGAGGUGAAUAUGGCCCAAGAGAUAAAAACCUUGAAAAGGCACCAAUACACGGAAUUCCCAAUUCAUAGAAUGGAACAUUGAUACAAACCAAUGGCCCGUGUUGCUAUUGUGACCCUCCUAGAUUGGAGUCCGAGGGAGCGUGUUCAGAGGUAAUGUUGUGCGGGGAUCAAUGAUCCUCAUUUGGCAUAGGUUUCCCCAAAACCUUACCUCACGCAAUGUUGGAAAAUUCAUAUGGUUGAUGAAUCUAUGAAAUUCUAUCUAACUUGGAGUCAUCAUUAACCUAUUGAAGCCAACUAUAAGUCAAGAAGACAUCUCACUUCUUAUGCAAUUGGUUAUCUAACUAAGGCCCUUUCAAUAUUGUAAUUUGAUUGUCUAUCAACUGGAUAGUUAGAAAUGUUACUAUCCUAGCAUUUUUGAGUGUCUCUAGGCUCUUAACCAAAAAUCUGAGUAGUUUUCUAUUAAAAAGCUAUUGCUGAAGGGCUUGAACAAGAGGUUCGCUUAUGGUGGGAAGGUAUAUUUGCAAGAAACUGACUUGGUCUUUCCUAGUUCUAAGCCUAGGUCCAUUUAUGGCUCCAACCAUUUAUUAUCCUACCCACUAAAUGAUGUCUAUACAUUGGCGUGCAAUUAGAAAAAUAAACAACGACAAUUAAUGUGAUAAAUGUAAAGUGCAAGAAAAUUAUUAGAGUAAUUAAAUAUUACGCCAUAACUUUAUCUAAUAACUUAAACUUUUAGAAUAGUUGGCAAUGGUCCCACCAAAAUAUCACAUAAUAUUAGAGUCAGGAAGUCUUGAGUUUGAAUCUUAUGAGACCAAAUUUGCCUUCUCAAUUAUAUUUCCAUAUUUAUUACAAGACAAAAAGACCAAACUAAGUGUGAGAAAGAGUGUUAGAAUAAUUAAAUACUAAAUCACGCAUUUAUCUGAUAGUUUAAACCUUUAGAAUAAUUGACAGUAAUCCUACCAAAUUCACAAAAAUAAACACGAUACGAUAUCGGGCAAAGAAUAUAGAUGACAUCUUUAUUGAGAGCCAAGACAACAACCCCACUAGUUAAAUCAUAUAAUCCAAAUUCUAGUUUGUUGACUAAAGAAGAGACACUAGGAAUUCUCUAAUGAUAGUAAAGGCUCAAAGAGAUACUUGUUGAAAGUAAACCUAAUAUAAAUUCUCCGGUGUUUCUUUUCCUUUUUUUUUUUCACUUUUCUACAAUUUUUAUUUUUUAAUUUAAUUUUUUUAUCUAUGGAGGAACUAUCUAAAAAUUUAAAAUAGCCCUAAAAAUCAAGAAAAAGGUGACAUCCUAAAAUAUGUGAACAUGAUCUAAAGGAAACUCAACCAAUUACAGUACAAGAUCCUAACUAUCUGAUUGAGACCUUUAUUAUUAUUAUUAUUAUUAUUAUUAUUAUUAUUUUUUAUUUUUUUUAUUUUUUUUAUUUCUCUCCCGCGUUCAAACACGUGACGCACAAUCGGAUUCUCAUUUCCUUUUUCUUUGCUUAUCUUCUUCGGUCUAAUGUUUCCAGAAUAAGUAUUCCUGCAGAUUUCUCUUUGUUCCGCUUUCCUGUGCUCUUUCAUUCUGGGACGUGAAUACAUAUUAUGGGAACAAAACCUCCAUUAAACCACACUCAGGUCCAAGCUUUCACAAACUUCCAUUGUUCUUUCUCUCUUUCACACCAAACACCUCCAGGGAGAGACACUUAUUCAUUUCCAGAAAACAAACGAUUGCUUAAUCUCAAUCAUCUAUUCCCAUUCAUCCGUUCACUCUUUCCUUCAUUCCCAGCAAACAAGAACCUCGAUUACAUUAAAAUGUUUCAAUGGUUCAGUCAGUUAUGCUAUGCAACUCAUGCAAUAACUUGCUUCAUAUAUUGAUCUAUAUGCAGCAGAGAAAAUAGCAAAGUGAGCCAGAGUUGAAGACACGACACGUGGAUGAAAUGAUGCUAGAACAAAGCAAGCUUGAUCUAUGGAAAUCUCAUGAUCGAAUCAGAAAUAAUCCAAAACAAAAAUAAAGCAGUGAUACUACGUGGUUUAUGAGUAUAUAUUGAUCGUUAACAACAACCAAGCACAUAUGCUAUAUGAACAAACGAUCAAUAGCCAAGUAUGCUGCUGACUUAGGAAAUUCUUCAAACACAUUAUAGGCGGUGAACUCUCUUUCAACCAAUCACACUUUCAACUUUCACAGAUUUAUCUGGGAGGCUUAAUUGAACGAAAAUCACGAAUCUCACGACCAAUGCAAGCAAUUCUGAAAUAUCGAUAGGAGAGCACCUGUGAGGAGAGAGAGAGAGCCCGGCUUCAAGGCCUUGUAUCCGUCUCUCCUGGGUUUCCAACUUUGGGCUUCACUUGUCAAUUCUAUGGGCCGCAUGAAGGAUUGGAGUCUGAUGGUCCUGCAUUGCUCGGCUCAAUUGAAUAAAUCCGGAUUGCAAGGGCCAGGACUUAGGUGAUGGGCCGAACUGGUCCAGUUUGCACGAGCCUUCGCUUCUAAUAAAAAAUGCUAGGAUAAGAUAUGCUAACGACUUGGUGAUAUCCAAUCACUGAUGAAUUUUAUGCACAAGAAAUAGUAUGGACUACGAAGUCUAGUUUUUUUUUUUUUUCUUUUUAAUAUGAAGUAAGAAUUUAUAUACCAAAAAAAAAAAAAAAGAUAAGUGGACCAAGUGAUUAAGCACCAUGAAACAUAUCAUGCCUCAACCAUCCUUCUAAUGUAUAGUAUCUUAAUAUCUACACAUAAUAAUUUGAAUUUGACGUCUUGACAAAAACAAAUUAUUAUUCACAGUAACUAUGACUUCUUAUUCCUAGCAAUCCAAAUAUGAAUUAUAAGCAGGAUUCAAAACGAAGAUGAUAACAACUCAAAGUGCCUUAAUUACCAACUUGUGCAAUGCCAACAAGUCAUAAAGAAGGUGAAAAUCGAACUCAAUUGCCUUAAUUACUUCAACAGUAAUUAUUUCCAGGAUAUUAUCAUAAAUUUGACAACAAGCUCGUUAAGAUAAUUAAAGGUGACAAUCUAUUUGUUAAAAUCGAAAGACAAUGACAAAGAUAUCAUUUGUUACGAACGAUUUUCGAUUUUGAUGGCCAUGGCACAUCCUAAAAUUGACAGAGCAAUCAUAUUCAAAAGAGUACUUGAAGGAAAAUUGCUAUUCGUCACCCAUGAUGUCAAUUUGAAGAAAGAUGACUUCAUCCAUUUUUAAAGACGAAGAUAUCAUGAACGUGAAUGGGCCCCUAAGAUAAAGUUCUUGCCUAACAAAGCUUGGAAAAUUUCCGAACAAACACGCUAGAUAAUUCAUAUUAACCAAACCCAUUUUUGUUUUUUCCUAUUAUUUUGAAGAGUGGAGAUUCUUUCUUUCCACACUCCAACUUGACUUGAACCCGCUGAUGUUUACAUUUCCUGGUCAACGAUAUAUACUUUUAUCUGUUACUCAUGCAACAAGCUACUGAUGUUCAUAUCUGAGCUAAUAAUCAAUCCAAGAACCCAUGAAUAUCUUCCACGACAAGGAAGUAUUUCUCAUCUUCUCUGGAUGAUCUCCUGCAAGCUUUCUUUCCUCCUCUGCAGUUGUUCCUUCAAUUUUAGAUUGAUUAGCGGCCCUGCAACAUGCACGGAUGAUGAGACUUCAUUUGUAUAACUCAAAAGUUGAAUAAGAAAAAGGAAAAAUGGUGGCCUCAAAUGACAUAUGCGGUGAUCAAGUCAACUUUUGGUUAGGACAAGUCGAGGAUGAAGAUUCAUGUGUUCAUAUGGGUUGUUGAUGAGCAUUGGUUUUUGGUAUGAUCUCCCGGACAAGUCUUCGCUCAACGCUUCAUCAGAGACCCAGCCAUAACCUAAGAAAAAUUGCUAGGACAUGACAUACUAACAACUCGGUGAGAUCCAAUCACCAAUAAGUGUCAUGCAAAAGAAAUGGCAAGGACUGUGAAGUCUUUUUAUUUGUUAACAAGGCUUUGUUUGUUUCACAAAAAAUAUUUUUUAGAAAGUUAUUUUCUAGGAAAAUGACAAUACUUUCUGCCGUUUAGCUGACACUUGAAAAAGACUCCGAUAAAAAAUUUUCAUCAUUUGAUAAGAAAAAAAAUUUCAAUUUUUAAAAUUUAAAAUUUUAUUCCUUUCUUUUUUCCUUCUAAUUUUUUUUUCUUUUUUCACCAGCCGCUUGGCCUUAGCGACAAUCGACAAGGGCCGAGCUUGCGUAACCCAGCGAACUCGAGCCUUGUUGGAUCUUGGUGAGUUCAAGCGUCAUCAGCCUCGACCGAGACUCCACCUUGCCAGAUUCGGCGUGGUCGAGCUUGAGGUGAAGUCGAGGCAAGCUCGAGACUUGCUAAUUCCUGAUUUCGAUUCCAACCUCUGGUGACCCUGAGCUCGCCGGAUUUGGUGAGAUGGAGCCCCGCACGAGGCCAAUGGGGCUCAAGCUCGCCCACCGCCGUGGCCUGCUAUCGAUAAUUCAGCACUGAAACCAAAGGUGGACUAACCUCACGCGCUGCACGUGCCAAAACGACGCGGAUCUUUUCCUAUUCUCGAUUACUAAAGGUAAAAAAUUUGCCCAUUUCAAAUAUUCCGUAUACUCCAGCAAAUCAUAUUUGCUAUUUAUGCUAUAUAAUUAGGAAGAGUCAGUGAUCUUCUAUGCUCCUCCUUUAGUUCUUGUUUGGAUGGUGAUUGCCAUUUUAUCGAACAGACUACACACCACAAUGAACGACAGACUAUUGAAAGNNNNNNNNNNNNNNNNNNNNNNNNNNNNNNNNNNNNNNNNNNNNNNNNNNNNNNNNNNNNNNNNNNNNNNNNNNNNNNNNNNNNNNNNNNNNNNNNNNNNNNNNNNNNNNNNNNNNNNNNNNNNNNNNNNNNNNNNNNNNNNNNNNNNNNNNNNNNNNNNNNNNNNNNNNNNNNNNNNNNNNNNNNNNNNNNNNNNNNNNNNNNNNNNNNNNNNNNNNNNNNNNNNNNNNNNNNNNNNNNNNNNNNNNNNNNNNNNNNNNNNNNNNNNNNNNNNNNNNNNNNNNNNNNNNNNNNNNNNNNNNNNNNNNNNNNNNNNNNNNNNNNNNNNNNNNNNNNNNNNNNNNNNNNNNNNNNNNNNNNNNNNNNNNNNNNNNNNNNNNNNNNNNNNNNNNNNNNNNNNNNNNNNNNNNNNNNNNNNNNNNNNNNNNNNNNNNNNNNNNNNNNNNNNNNNNNNNNNNNNNNNNNNNNNNNNNNNNNNNNNNNNNNNNNNNNNNNNNNNNNNNNNNNNNNNNNNNNNNNNNNNNNNNNNNNNNNNNNNNNNNNNNNNNNNNNNNNNNNNNNNNNNNNNNNNNNNNNNNNNNNNNNNNNNNNNNNNNNNNNNNNNNNNNNNNNNNNNNNNNNNNNNNNNNNNNNNNNNNNNNNNNNNNNNNNNNNNNNNNNNNNNNNNNNNNNNNNNNNNNNNNNNNNNNNNNNNNNNNNNNNNNNNNNNNNNNNNNNNNNNNNNNNNNNNNNNNNNNNNNNNNNNNNNNNNNNNNNNNNNNNNNNNNNNNNNNNNNNNNNNNNNNNNNNNNNNNNNNNNNNNNNNNNNNNNNNNNNNNNNNNNNNNNNNNNNNNNNNNNNNNNNNNNNNNNNNNNNNNNNNNNNNNNNNNNUUCUAUGAAUGGGUACGGGCCCCAAGAGAAAAAUUAUUGGCUAAUGACGUCUUAGGCAAGAUCAUCAUCAUUUCUUACUGGUUUCCCAUGAAAGUUCUCAACUGAAAGAGUGGAAAAUUUUCAAACACAUUAGACAAUUCACAUUAAUGACUAAACUACCAAACCCAUUUUUGUUUCUUCCUCUUAUUUUACUCGAAUAGUCGAUGUUUCCAUCUUUUUGAAUUUGUCCCGGUUCUAGAUCUGAUUUUUGGAGAGUUCAGAUUCUUUCGUUCUCUGCACUCCAACUUGACUUGACUUGUGAGAUGUGAGGCGUGAUGGCACGGUAUAUUAAACUAAUUAGGGCGCGUUUGUUUGUGUUUCUGUUCAAAAAGUGUUUCAGGGAACAGAAAUUAAAAAAAAAACUAUUUUUGUUCCGGGAAACAAUUUUUGACCAGAAAAAUGCGUUUGGUAAACUUGUUCCGAGAAUAAAAAAUGAAUAGAAACAUGUUUGGUAAAUUUAUAUUAUUUUUUUGUUUCUUUUAAAUUUUUAAUAUUUUUAUUUUUAUUUUCCUUUUUUCCUUUCUUUUUUCUUUUUUUUUUCUUUUGGCUGGUUGCCGGCCUCCGGCGACUGGCUAACGGGGGCCGACAGCCUCGCCCAGAUCCGGCGAGGUCGAGCGUUGCCGGCCCUUGGUGAGGCUCGGCCUCGCCGGGGGCCAGCGACGCUCCAGUGAGGUCGCCGACCCUCAACAGCCGGUCUCCGGCCAUGGCCGAGGCCGGCCACCGGUCAAAGAAAAAGAAGAAGAAAAGAAGAAGAAAAGAGAAGAAAAUAAAGGAGAGAGAAAAAAUGUUUUUCAAAAGUGUUUCUGGAACAAAAAAAUAACUUUUUUUUUUUUGUUUCUCAUUUCCGUUCCAAUUUUGUUCCGGGAACAAAAAAAACAGAUUUUGAACAAAAACGCAAACAAACGCGUUUCUGUUCUUUUUUUGUUCCCGAGAACAAAGAAAAAAGAAAAUCUGUUUAUGAACAAAAAAGAAAUAAGCAACCAUGCACGCCCUUAGUCUUUGUUUCUUCUUUCCUGUUUUUGAUAGAGCAAUGAGGUAAUGAGGCCGUGAUCCUCUACGCUUGAGAUCCUCUCUGUUUAAAGUGUAUCUCUUUAAGGUGUCCACGCAUCGACUAUGACCACCCACACAAGUCACUGUGCAUGACGAUAUACAACCCCAAGCAACACUGGUCACGAUGCCCAGCCGAACCUCCACCGCCAGCAACAGUCCGGGCCUCGCGACUACUGAGCCAGAGCAGAGGCCGACGAAGAAGAGAGAUGGGGGGGAGCAGGAUGGGCUGUGAUGGUGGCGGCAGUGCGGAGGCACAGCUGGCAGAACGGAUGGCGGUGCGUCUGGAGCUGGUGCGGUGGAGGAAGGGGAAGGGGUGAGCAAAGGAAAUGUAAAGAUUUGUUUGGUUUUUGGGUAAAUUUUGAAUUGCUGAUCUAGAUAUAACAUUACAAGAAAACAAAUAUAAUAUCAGGCAUAGCCUCACCAAAGUUUCGUCCUGUAGUUUGUACAGGCAUUAGACGAAUCGACCCUAGAUCUAUGAUUUUGGUCAACUCGUACUUCAUUANNNNNNNNNNNNNNNNNNNNNNNNNNNNNNNNNNNNNNNNNNNNNNNNNNNNNNNNNNNNNNNNNNNNNNNNNNNNNNNNNNNNNNNNNNNNNNNNNNNNNNNNNNNNNNNNNNNNNNNNNNNNNNNNNNNNNNNNNNNNNNNNNNNNNNNNNNNNNNNNNNNNNNNNNNNNNNNNNNNNNNNNNNNNNNNNNNNNNNNNNNNNNNNNNNNNNNNNNNNNNNNNNNNNNNNNNNNNNNNNNNNNNNNNNNNNNNNNNNNNNNNNNNNNNNNNNNNNNNNNNNNNNNNNNNNNNNNNNNNNNNNNNNNNNNNNNNNNNNNNNNNNNNNNNNNNNNNNNNNNNNNNNNNNNNNNNNNNNNNNNNNNNNNNNNNNNNNNNNNNNNNNNNNNNNNNNNNNNNNNNNNNNNNNNNNNNNNNNNNNNNNNNNNNNNNNNNNNNNNNNNNNNNNNNNNNNNNNNNNNNNNNNNNNNNNNNNNNNNNNNNNNNNNNNNNNNNNNNNNNNNNNNNNNNNNNNNNNNNNNNNNNNNNNNNNNNNNNNNNNNNNNNNNNNNNNNNNNNNNNNNNNNNNNNNNNNNNNNNNNNNNNNNNNNNNNNNNNNNNNNNNNNNNNNNNNNNNNNNNNNNNNNNNNNNNNNNNNNNNNNNNNNNNNNNNNNNNNNNNNNNNNNNNNNNNNNNNNNNNNNNNNNGGGGGAGCAGGAUGGGCUGUGAUGGUGGCGGCAGUGCGGAGGCACAGCUGGCAGAACGGAUGGCGGUGCGUCUGGAGCUGGUGCGGUGGAGGAAGGGGAAGGGGUGAGCAAAGGAAAUGUAAGGAUUUGUUUGGUUUUUGGGUAAAUUUUGAAUUGCUGAUCUAGAUAUAACAUUACAAGAAAACAAAUAUAAUAUCAGGGCAUAGCCUCACCAAAGUUUCGUCCUGUAGUUUGUACAGGCAUUAGACGAAUCGAACCCUAGGAUCUUAUGAUUUUGGUCCAACUCGUACUUCAUUAGACGGCAAAGCGUACGCUGGUCUCUUAAAAACAAACAUGUCUUCCUAAACACACCGCUCAAUGUGCUGCUUAGCACAUAGGGUUCAGAAUACGAGACAAGUUGCAUUGCUUGAUAUAACGUGCACAGAUGAUGAAAGUUGAUUUGUAUAACUUGAAAGUUGAAAAAGAAGAAAGAGAGAGCGGGGCUUUCUCUUUGUCAGGCUCAUUGGAAAUAAAAGAUGAUUAUCACAUGUUAAAAACGAAUACUUCUCGGGUAACAUUAUGCAUCCUAAUAUGUAGGUCACUAGUCCUUAUAGAUCCGAUUACGUUAUUCUAUCAAAAGUGCAUUAAAUGAGGUUUCACUCAUACAGUGAAGAGCAUAACCUCAUGCUGGGAUUCGAAUAUCAAGUUCGUGGAAAGAAAGUUUAUAGGCUUCUUUGGAAGUAACAAAAAUCUAAGGCUAGUAAUUUGGGUUUGCAUGUUAUAUCCGGGUCUUGUAAUUGUAGCAAGUCAUGUUGUUAGAGAAUAUUAUAUUGUCAAUCAUAUAUAGAAAUUAUGUAUAAUCAUACAUAAUUAUGUUAGAACUUGUUAGUUUGUAUUAGAGAUUGUCAACCCUAGGUGUUCAUCAUGACUUGUCUGACAAAUAACCCAUCAACACAAAUCAAGAGUGUGGGUUUAUAUAUAUAAAGUGGGUCCACGGAUAACUUUUCUAUUUUAAUGAACCAACCAAUCACAUGCAAAAAGAUAAAAAAAAAAGAAAAAAAAGAAUACAUACGUCAGGAUAUCAAUACAUCAAAUCCAAGAGAUAUAUCACUAGUCUAUGUUUCAAAGAAGAACGACGUCACGAAAGGUGCCGGGAAUAAUAUAUGGAUAGGCUCUAAUAAACAAUCAUUACUUGACAAAUGACCACGUUUUUGUUUUCUUUUCUCUCAUUAUUUUACUUCGAAUGGUCAAUGUUUCCCAUGUUCCCUCUAUCUGUAUUUGCCCACCUUCUAGAUAGCAAUUUGAAUGACCUCAAAAUCUCCUUCCCUCUUCCAUCCAACUUGAAGUCAAUACUAAACCAGCGCUCAUUUUAGAAGAUUGAUGAUAAACGAAAGCUUUUCCAAAUACUUAUUAAACAUACUCGAUACGAAGCACUUUUUAUUUUUAGAACCUUUAUCCUUCAUAGUACAAAAAAAGUUUUGGUGCUUUAAAAAUUGAAGAAUUUUCUUAUGUGAUUACUUAACAAAUGCUCGAUAGAACUGGUUAACAAAUUCUAUUUGAGAAUAAUAAUGAAUAUCAUGUGUGUUUGUUGGUAAAUGUGUAAAUGAAAUAUGAGUUAUUCAAGAUUUUGAUGUUGUUAUUUUAGAUUAUCAAGUAAUUUCUGAGUCGUAUAGAAGUAUUUUUUCUUUUACUCGUACGGAAACACAUUAAGUUAAUAUAAAGUGGAGUUUCUUGUAUAUAAUCCCAUUUUCCUUGACCUUUGUAGUCUGAAAUAGUUAGUGCAAUGAUAUUACAUGAGCUAAAAAAAUUUGCCCAAGAAAACCAACCUAAUCUCGUGCCACCUAUUUACGUUCAUCAACAUAUCUAGUUGAUGGUGCAUUGCUCGAACUGCUUGCACUAAAUGCGAAUGUCUUUUUCUCGAGUAUUUAGUGGUCAUCAAUGGAUGCUGACUUUUACAUUAAUCUUUUUACACUUUGAGAGUUGAAAACAAUUGAAAAAUAGUAUUCUGUGUUGUAUUGUGGGAAGAAAUUAUUAGUUAAGAAGCAUAAAUACCUUAUCAAAUUGACUCUAAAACCAAGUAAAGGAAUUUUUUAUUUUCACAUCGUUCCAAUGUUCCAAAUAUACAGAUAUUUUUAGAUAAUUACGAACAGAUCAUGGAUUUCCUCAAGGUCAAUUUUAUCACGUAUUACCUAAAUUUUAUGAUUUUGAUGUGUUUUCUGAUCUUACUCUAUUCGCUAGUUCUCUUAUCCGUUCCAUAAUAUAUCUCGUAUUCUUUUAUUAAAAUGUAGUCGGUUUAUAUUUCAAUUGCUUGAGCUUGUUUUGAGUUGAUCUGCUAAUUAGGUGGAGGUCAUUUGAUUAAACAUGUAACUGCAAUUUGAUCAAAUUGGAAUCUCGAUUGUAGUAUUAUAUAUUUAUAUAGAUAUUCGCUAAUACCCACUUAUAACAACAUUGACGAAAACGAAGACNNNNNNNNNNNNNNNNNNNNNNNNNNNNNNNNNNNNNNNNNNNNNNNNNNNNNNNNNNNNNNNNNNNNNNNNNNNNNNNNNNNNNNNNNNNNNNNNNNNNNNNNNNNNNNNNNNNNNNNNNNNNNNNNNNNNNNNNNNNNNNNNNNNNNNNNNNNNNNNNNNNNNNNNNNNNNNNNNNNNNNNNNNNNNNNNNNNNNNNNNNNNNNNNNNNNNNNNNNNNNNNNNNNNNNNNNNNNNNNNNNNNNNNNNNNNNNNNNNNNNNNNNNNNNNNNNNNNNNNNNNNNNNNNNNNNNNNNNNNNNNNNNNNNNNNNNNNNNNNNNNNNNNNNNNNNNNNNNNNNNNNNNNNNNNNNNNNNNNNNNNNNNNNNNNNNNNNNNNNNNNNNNNNNNNNNNNNNNNNNNNNNNNNNNNNNNNNNNNNNNNNNNNNNNNNNNNNNNNNNNNNNNNNNNNNNNNNNNNNNNNNNNNNNNNNNNNNNNNNNNNNNNNNNNNNNNNNNNNNNNNNNNNNNNNNNNNNNNNNNNNNNNNNNNNNNNNNNNNNNNNNNNNNNNNNNNNNNNNNNNNNNNNNNNNNNNNNNNNNNNNNNNNNNNNNNNNNNNNNNNNNNNNNNNNNNNNNNNNNNNNNNNNNNNNNNNNNNNNNNNNNNNNNNNNNNNNNNNNNNNNNNNNNNNNNNNNNNNNNNNNNNNNNNNNNNNNNNNNNNNNNNNNNNNNNNNNNNNNNNNNNNNNNNNNNNNNNNNNNNNNNNNNNNNNNNNNNNNNNNNNNNNNNNNNNNNNNNNNNNNNNNNNNNNNNNNNNNNNNNNNNNNNNNNNNNNNNNNNNNNNNNNNNNNNNNNNNNNNNNNNNNNNNNNNNNNNNNNNNNNNNNNNNNNNNNNNNNNNNNNNNNNNNNNNNNNNNNNNNNNNNNNNNNNNNNNNNNNNNNNNNNNNNNNNNNNNNNNNNNNNNNNNNNNNNNNNNNNNNNNNNNNNNNNNNNNNNNNNNNNNNNNNNNNNNNNNNNNNNNNNNNNNNNNNNNNNNNNNNNNNNNNNNNNNNNNNNNNNNNNNNNNNNNNNNNNNNNNNNNNNNNNNNNNNNNNNNNNNNNNNNNNNNNNNNNNNNNNNNNNNNNNNNNNNNNNNNNNNNNNNNNNNNNNNNNNNNNNNNNNNNNNNNNNNNNNNNNNNNNNNNNNNNNNNNNNNNNNNNNNNNNNNNNNNNNNNNNNNNNNNNNNNNNNNNNNNNNNNNNNNNNNNNNNNNNNNNNNNNNNNNNNNNNNNNNNNNNNNNNNNNNNNNNNNNNNNNNNNNNNNNNNNNNNNNNNNNNNNNNNNNNNNNNNNNNNNNNNNNNNNNNNNNNNNNNNNNNNNNNNNNNNNNNNNNNNNNNNNNNNNNNNNNNNNNNNNNNNNNNNNNNNNNNNNNNNNNNNNNNNNNNNNNNNNNNNNNNNNNNNNNNNNNNNNNNNNNNNNNNNNNNNNNNNNNNNNNNNNNNNNNNNNNNNNNNNNNNNNNNNNNNNNNNNNNNNNNNNNNNNNNNNNNNNNNNNNNNNNNNNNNNNNNNNNNNNNNNNNNNNNNNNNNNNNNNNNNNNNNNNNNNNNNNNNNNNNNNNNNNNNNNNNNNNNNNNNNNNNNNNNNNNNNNNNNNNNNNNNNNNNNNNNNNNNNNNNNNNNNNNNNNNNNNNNNNNNNNNNNNNNNNNNNNNNNNNNNNNNNNNNNNNNNNNNNNNNNNNNNNNNNNNNNNNNNNNNNNNNNNNNNNNNNNNNNNNNNNNNNNNNNNNNNNNNNNNNNNNNNNNNNNNNNNNNNNNNNNNNNNNNNNNNNNNNNNNNNNNNNNNNNNNNNNNNNNNNNNNNNNNNNNNNNNNNNNNNNNNNNNNNNNNNNNNNNNNNNNNNNNNNNNNNNNNNNNNNNNNNNNNNNNNNNNNNNNNNNNNNNNNNNNNNNNNNNNNNNNNNNNNNNNNNNNNNNNNNNNNNNNNNNNNNNNNNNNNNNNNNNNNNNNNNNNNNNNNNNNNNNNNNNNNNNNNNNNNNNNNNNNNNNNNNNNNNNNNNNNNNNNNNNNNNNNNNNNNNNNNNNNNNNNNNNNNNNNNNNNNNNNNNNNNNNNNNNNNNNNNNNNNNNNNNNNNNNNNNNNNNNNNNNNNNNNNNNNNNNNNNNNNNNNNNNNNNNNNNNNNNNNNNNNNNNNNNNNNNNNNNNNNNNNNNNNNNNNNNNNNNNNNNNNNNNNNNNNNNNNNNNNNNNNNNNNNNNNNNNNNNNNNNNNNNNNNNNNNNNNNNNNNNNNNNNNNNNNNNNNNNNNNNNNCGUUUUGAUGGACUUCGCACUUGAUUCAUAAUCCUUGCACUUUUUCUAACUGGACGUGAGACUUCUUCUUCAGCUGUCUUGGGAUGCGUUGAGUCUGAUGGAGCUGCAAUUGUCCUAGGCUGAACUGAUUCAGAAGGAGCUGCAACUGUUGUAGGCUGAGCUGAUUCGGAUGGACCUGCAACUGGGUUCUUCUCACUCUUCUUUCUUGUUGGCGCAGGCAAUGUCUUCUUCUUUGUUGGCGCAGCCGUUGAUUCUUGAGUUCGGCCUUGAGAGAUAAGAACCUAUGAACUUCUCCCAGGCUUCAAAAAGAAAGCUCAAUUAUCAACAAAAGUUUGCACUAUAAAUUAAAUUAAAUGCAGCUUAUAAAACUUACAUUAAGAAUAACUGUUCCAGAACGGUCAUCUGUAUAAAGGCCAUAACCAUAUUGUUUAAGCCUCUUCCCAAGAGCCCCUCUUGUUCGAAGGGGAGCGUCACUUUCAGGUACUUGUGAUUGGUUGCCUCUUCUUCUCGCAUGUGAUUUCUUCGGCUCUUGUGGCUGUUCAGCUACAGAAGGGACUUCUUCAGCCAAUUCUUCAGCUAGGCGUCUUGUAGAUGGCCUUCUUAUAGGUGGCUCUUGAUUUGGCUUUGGCUUUCUUCUGGUUGUUUUUCUAGUUACGCCUUCAGCUUCAGUGACACCUUCGGUAGGCUUUGGUGGUGGCCCUUGUGAUGACCCUUCUAGUGGCCUUUGUGAUGACCUUGGUGAUGGAUCUUGUGGUGGCCCUUUAGUUAGGCCCUCUAUUAGCAGCUGAGCUCUAGCUUGUCUUCUUCAAACCUGAGAAAAAGGCAAAGGACAUCAUAAAUAUAACAUCAGGCCAUAUUAGAACAUAAAUGAAAAGUAAACUCAAAUCAUUUAACUGACCGGGUAUUUUUUUCUUUGUUGCUGCUGAAGAACAGUCGACUUAAUUGGCCCUCCAGUUGUUUUAGCCAAUCUUGCAGCUGGCUGUCUUCCACCUUCGGUUCUUUGAACGGACCCUUCAUUUUCGGGUAUAGCAGGGGCUUCGGCCAAUUCUUCACGUGUCACCGUGACCUGACAAAGACAAAAACAUUACAUACAUGUCACUUAUAUCUAUGUACAUAUUCAUAACAAACCAUAAAGCAACAUAAACAUAAUUGUCAUGACUUACUGGGUUUAUUGUCGUCGACUGAAGAACAGUCGACUCACUUCGCCUUUCUGUUUCUCCUUCUCUAACUGUCCCUUCACUAGGCCCUUCGGCUAGCCUCAAUUGUUCCUGCUGCUUCUUUAAUUGACAACCCUUAAUAUUGUGCCCUGCUAUGUGGCAAAAAGAGCACUUUAUCAGUACACCCAUCCUAUUCAUCCUACAGUGACAUGAGUCCUCUCCCUCCGUCAUUUUUCUUUUUUUCUUUGGUCUUCCCAUUCUCUUCUUUAGUGGCAAAGGUUGAGGUGCUUCGCGAUCUGUUGGCUCCCAGAACUUGCUACUUCUAAUUGGCUGCAACAUGAAUUGAUACGAAGCAAGAUAUUUCGAUUUCUUGUACCAAUCAUCAAUGUAGUCUUCUGUGUUGUGGCCCUUCAAUUGAAUUGCACAUAUGGCAUGUGCACAAGGAAUUCCACUGAGUUGCCAUGCUCUACAUGAACACUUCAUCGUACCUAAAUGGACAACAUACUUAUCGGAACCCUUCAUUAUCUCAUAUCCUUCAUCCCCAUUCCAAAUGGGAUGACAAUACCUACUUGCAGCCAAGUUGUCAUCCAAUUUCUUAGCAAUCCUAGGACCAUAUUGCUUAGUCCACUUUGCAGUAUCAUCUCUUUGUCUGUGCAGCCGAGUCAUGACCUUCCUACUAACUAUCCCAUGGUCAACGCUCCUUAUCACUCCAAUCUUCAACUUCGCUCUGAUACCACUUAAACAGGAUGUCACGCCCCGAUCCUCAGGCACGCACACAUCCGUCUCACUUGGUCGAUUUUAUAAUGCGAUAUCCCAGGACAAUGUAUCGCCGACCCUUUCAUUUUUUUAGCACAUGCGGAAGCAGUUAAAAUCCCCAGACAAUAAAACGAUGGGAUAGAAAAGCAGGGUCAUAUUUUUCAUAUUGAAAUUUAUAACCAAACUUUUGUACAUGACAUCCACUAAAGAACUUCAUAACUAUUCACAUCAAUUGGAGUUCACAAAAGAAGAUGAAAUCUCAAUCCCUUCAGGUCAUACUCAAAAUCUCUCUCGGUAUUAUCUUCUUCUUCCAAAAGUCCUUCUACUCAGGUUUCACCUCCGAGUUCUCCUUCUCAGAUUCCUCCUCAGCUCCUCAACGGGGUCCUGAAAUGUUUUUCCCCAAACUGGGAUGAGACUACGUCUCAGCGAGUUCUACCCCACUAAGCCCAAUUAGUAAACUAUUAUACUAUAGGCUGCCUAUACACGCAUAGGGCAGAAGACGUACCUUGGCCUCAUAUCCCACCUGCGAGUUAGUACAAUUCAUAAUAGGCACCCAAGCAAUCAGAUCACUUAUCGAAGCAUCGAUCAAAUCGACCUAGUCGAUUAUAUGCCAGGAAGACCAUUCAUGAUCACCUCCAUUCAAUCAUUCAAUUCACAACAUCCAACCAAGGCAAUGAAUCACAUCAAGUCACACUCAGAUCGAAUAAUCGAUCAAUCGACCUAGUCGAUUACAAGUCAAUCAGACCAUCUCAUGGUCAUUUCCAAUCAAUCUGCCCAUUCACAACAUCAGAUCAAGCAAUGAUCAAUCGACCUAGUCGAUUACAUAUCAACAAGACCACUUCCGGUCAUUUCAACUAUUCCAAUUCAAAUCCCAAUUAUGAAUCACGGUCCUUAGGACACAACUUAAUUAUAAGUGGUAAUCAUGGCCCCACCAAACAAUUUUCUUAGAUUUAGUGGCAUCACGGCCCCACUCGGCAAUAUCAUAUGUAGUGGCAUCACGGCCCCACUCAGCAAUGUUAUAUGUAGUGGCAUCACGGCCCCACUCGGCAUGUAGUGGCAUCACGGCCCCACUCGGCAAUGCUAUAUGUAGUGGUAUCACGGCCCCACUCGGCAUGUAGUGGCAUCACGGCCCCACUCGGCAAUGCUAUAUGUAGUGGUAUCACGGCCCCACUCGGCAUGUAGUGGCAUCACGGCCCCACUCGGCAAUGCUAUAUGUAGUGGUAUCACGGCCCCACUCGGCAUGUAGUGGCAUCACGGCCCCACUCGGCAAUAUCAUAUGUAGUGGUAUCACGGCCCCACUCGGCAACUUUUUCAAUAUAUUGGCAUUAUCAACCGAUGCCCGGUUAUUCUUCAAGUAAUAACCAAAGAUUAUUCAAUUUAGGAAUAAAUCCUAAAAUCACUAAUAAAUCAAUUUCUCACAAAUUAAGCCUCGAAUAAAUAAACGAACCACACCAUGACAAUCAGCAUGAAAUUCCGGUCAUCGGCCAUCUCAACUUAAUUUCCGAAAAAUAAAUAAUUAAUUAAUUAAUUUCUAGAAUUAAAUAAUUAAUAUUAAAAACUCAAUUUAGCUCAAAAUAGAGCCCGAUUAAAUAAACGGACUUCACCACGGUCAUCAGCAUAAUUUUCUGGUCACGGGCCAUCCCAGUUGAAUUUUCAGGAAAUAAAUAAUUAUUUAAUUAAUUUCGAAAAUUAAUUAAUAUUAAAAAUUCAAUUUAGCUUAAAAUAAAGUCCGAUCAAAUAAACGGACUUCGCCACGAUCAUCAGCAUAAUAUUCCGGUUCCAAACCAUCUCCUUCAAAUUUUCGGAAAAUAAAUAAUUAUUUAAUUUAAUUCCGAUAAUUAAUAUUUAAAUGCCAAAAAUCUCACUUAGGCCCGAAUCACCAAAUUGAAGCUCAAUUAGGGGUCCGAAAAUUCCCGAGAUGCCUUCAAUAAAUAGUAGACCACGUCUACUUGCUAAUUACGCGAUCAAUUUAUCUAAAUUGCAUCACAAUUGACUAAUAAUUGCUAAUUAAUUCUAAUCUAACAACCUAAACAUAAUUAAUUAAAACUAAACCAACCUAAAGCAUAAUUAGCCAACUAAUUCAGGAUUAGUGAGAUUACUCACCAAAUCGCGCGCAAAUCGGAUCAAUCCGACGGCGGCGACGCGAGGAACGAUUGUUCCCAAAGCGGGCCUCGGGUUCGGGGCCGGGAAACGGCCCAAAACGAGCUCGAACCAGCUGGAAACCCAUUUUCUGCACUCUCUGUGCGCGGCUGAUUAAGGGCGAAGGAAGGCGGAUCCGAAGCUUGGUUGGGUCGGAAAUGGACGGAGGGGUCGAACCGAACCAAGGCGAGGCUUCACGGUGGCCGGAGGAUGGGUGGACAGCUCCGGCGGAGCUCCACCAGAUCUGAAGCUUCGCUGAAACAGAGGGCUGAGCGAGGGAGAAGCCGAGGCAGGCGGAGCACGGGACGGCGAACGGCGAGGCGACGCGGGCCGGGAACGACGUGUGGCGGCGAGGCGGCGUGCGGCGCGACUGUAGCUCCUUCAAGCAACGCCGAUCGUUGCUUCUGUCCCUGCUGGUCGGUUCUGAUCGAACCAGAGGAAGGAGAGAGGGCAGAGGGCGCGCGGACGACCGGUGGAGCAGCGGCGGUAGCUCCGGCUUCGGUGGGCAACGACGGCGACGAGAAGCGCGACGGGCGGAGCUUCUUCGGCUUCUUCGGCUUCCAUGGUGCCGAGCAACCAAAGAGAAGAGGAAGAAAGGGGGUUCGUCGACGGAGGAGGAGAGAAGAAUUUCUCUUUCCUUUCUCUCUCUCUCUCUCUCUCUUAUGUCAGCCACCAGCUGUCUUCCACUUCAUUUUCCUUGCCAAAGAUGCCCCUUCUAGAAGCUUUAGAUAGGCCAAAAUGUGGGGGUAGAGGUGGCAUACGAAUUUGCUAUUUUUCCCUCUUCAAUUUUACUUAAAUUGGUUCACUUCUCAACAAACAAUAUUUCAAUUGAAGCCUAAAUAAAUCCAUCAAGGCAUCCUUGUCCAUUUCAUGACUUUUCCCGUCAUAUAAUCUAACUUGCAUCCCAAUUUCGAAUUCAAGAACGGUCCUCUGAAAUUUUCGAUGAAAAUGGCCCUACCUAUCUAGUCGAAAUUAUGACUCGAAAAAUCUGGAUGUCACAACUCUUCCCCUCUUAUAAAAAUUUCGUCCUCGAAAUUUAAACCUUUACCAAUCCAUAAACGAAAGGUGGGGGGUAUUGCCGUCUCAUCGAGUCUCACUUUUCCACGUUGAUCAUUCGGUCUCGUGGCGUUGUCUAACCACUUGACUAAAGAGAUCAUCUUUGUACACAAAAUCCACUAUUUCUGAACCAACAACUGAACUGAGCUUCUCACAUAAGACAUUAUGUCAUCCACAUCUGAUCUCUUUUUCUCGACUCUCUAAUAAACCUUCGAACCUUAACGAUUGAAAAUUUCUGACAAUUCUGAGUAAUCUAUACUCUGACACUGAUCUGACAACUGCAAACAUUGAUUACUGAGCUGACAUCUGGACUUGCGAUUUUCUAAUUUCUGAUCUCAUCUCAACCGACUGAAAUCCUGUACACUCUGCUUUGCACUGAUUAAAAAGAAACUAUCUGACUGAUCUGCUCUGCUGAAACUGAUAUAACUCUGGCACUGAUCUUGGCAACUGUAAUCACUGGCUACUGUAAUGACUUUGGCCUGAAAUCUUUAUUCACUUUCUUUUCACCACUGAAAUUCUGUACCCUCUGCUAUACACUGCUUAAUAAAGAACCCUCUGAAAACUCUGCCAACUUAUAAUCUCUGAUCUAGAUUCGAGAUAUAAUUCAUCCUCGACACUCCAUGUCAGUGAACUAUCCGAGACACACACUUCGGUAUACCCACUUUAUGGCAAGAUAGGAUCUUCAAUUUCUGAAAUCGAACUUAGAUUGGCGGUUAAUUUCACUUCGACACGCUUUUAGUGUAACCUAGGCUACCGGGUAGUGUUCAGAGCUUUUUAGGACAAAUGACCCGUGGUCGAUUUUCUUCGAGCCACACUGAACUGACUCGACACAUUGGCGACUCUCGAUUGUCGUGAAAAUCUCAAAGGUUCAAAUACGGACACAGGGUCCCAAAACGAUAGAAACAUCAAAUUAGUACCGGUCGAUGAGAAUUUUCCAAUUUAGUGGAGUCACCCACGAUCGGUCAUUCAUCUCAGUCGAGCCGAUCUAUUUCUGAUUUCAAAUCGAUUUUAUAUUGUGCCGCAAUGAUCUCUAAAGAUGAGCACGGUCGAGAAGUCGAUCCAUGGUCGAAUUCUCAAGUCUAUUUGCCUUAAGGUCCUUAAUAACUCACCCAGCUAGUCUAGUUAUCUCAUGAGUGGCCAACUCAGAGAAAAACACUGUAAUCGCAUCGAUGAAAUGCCCAAUUUAUCUAAUCGAAAUCAGAGCCUGAAAUCUGGAUGUUACAUACUCAAAACAAGAUCUACUCAUAUUGUACCAAAGUGGACCAACUCCAUCUAUCGAUCAACCACUAUUCUCAAAUGGUAUCAGUAAUCCCCUGAAUUCUUAGUAAGCCAUAUAUUUCCAUUUCCAGUUGGGACUCUCGAUUGAUGCUAAAAUCUUCCUGAUUUGCAUUACUGAACUUCCACUUACUGACACCUUUGACACUUGCAAUCUGCUUGGCGAUAUCUACCUUCAUAUCGGUCUACCAAUUUAGCUGACGUCGAUUCUAACUUACUUGCCCCAUCUGGUCAAAACUGUGAUACUAUAAUGAACUUCUGACAAGAUCUUUUCCCUAAGUGUUACACUGUUAAGUGCACUCAAUUCCUCAUGGAACCCGAACGUUCCAUCCUCAGAAGUUUCAAAGUUAGAUUCUUUCUUGCCAGUAUCCUCUUAUAAGAUUUUCUUAACAUCUCUGCUUGUCAACUAGGCGUCGAUUUUAACUUGAACAUUUGGUUCAAUUUUGAGGGCGGCUAUAAAAUUUAAAAGGUAGCCUACCUCAAAUUUGAAAACCAAAUUUCAAAUUCUUUUCAAGUAAAGUCUAUACUUUAGCCAGUCUCUGCACAUUGAAAGACUCUCGGCUCAACACAUUAAUUACUUAUUUCAUUCUCCCAAGAUAAUACCAAAUAACAUCAUUAUAGUUCUGCCAAAAUUCUGAUUCACGACACUGUUUCAUGUUCAACUUGUUGGGUCUCAACUAGCGGGACGGUUAUACAACAAUCUUCUCAUGUUGUAUCAAUACAUACCCAAUCGUUGGCAAGACACAUCACUAAAAGUUUCAUGCUUUCCAGAGCCAAAUGAAAAGUUUAGCACAAGUACGAUAGCCAGAUCUUACUUAAGCUUUGGAAAUUAUCCUCGUACUUGUCUAUGCCAAUGAAUUUCUCUUCUUUCUCAAGAGGUCAACCUCACAAUGAUGCUAAUGCUGAAAAUUCUUUCACAACCCUUCUAUAGUAACCUGUCCAAUCCCCACGACUUCUGAUCUCUGACACUGAUGUCAAUCUCAAUCUGCUAACAACUAAUUAGAUCUUGGCUUGGCCCAUGAAGAUUCUCUUACCUAUAACCACACGACCAUUCUUAGGGGCUCUCGUGAUCCUCAUCGCUUAAUGAACACCCUAGAACGUCGCUACAUCACACGAUCACCAUUGAUCUAGGUAUUCUUUGAACACUCAAUUUGUCAAAUCUAUGACAGCGGCUGAAGUGUUCACCAGGCCAAACGAUCUUACAAUACUCUCAUAAAGACCAUAUCAAGUACGAACAGUUGUCUUUCUUACAACCUCCAUCCUGGUUCAUAACUAACGACUUCAUAAUCUCAAGUCGACCUUUAAAACAUCAAUAUUCUUUAUAACUAGUCACACCAUUCAUUGAUCUUUGGUAAAGAACACUUGUCCUUGAUCUUCACCUAAUUGAGUUGACUAUGGUUGAUGCACACUCGCAACAAACCAUCUUUCUUCUUUUCACAAACAAAACUAAUGUUUCCCCAAAGUAAUACACUGAUAUGCACGAAUACCUCAUUCAUCAAUCUUCACAUCGGCAUUUUCAAUUCUACCAGUUCAGACAACAACAACUGGUAAGAAACCUUCGAGAAUAGCUCCAUCUUGGUGCUAGCUCGAUCACACUUUCUAUCUCUUUCUUUGACGGCGAUCUGACAGUUCUUGUGAUAACACAUCUAGAAAUUCUUAGACCACUGAGAUGUCCUCCAUCUCUAGUUCUUCAAUCAGUCCUACCCAAGACAAUCGCUAAGCAACCUUGGCAACCUCCGUCUAACAAACAAGUUGCCUCCAGCCAAUGAGAUUAAUGAAAUCGAAGAUUAUUUUCAACUCCCAAUAACUUCGACACUUUCACAUGUUAAUGGACUAAACUGGCUUACUCCAAGAUUGUGAUUCAUUAUCACUAAAUGCUGCUUGAGCCCACACUAUUCAUGCGGUGUCAAACUCACACCUUAGCAACUAGUCAAGCACAACUGUUGAUAGUGAUUCCCUUCUCUUUCACUUUUACUUCAACAAUUUAAGUUCUAUUACUUAGCACAAAACUCUGCUGCGCUACUCUGAUAAAAUCACUUUCGACACAUUCUUUCUCUGAUUGGUGCAAGGUCCAUUCUACUCCCAUUCUUUCCUGGCCACAGUGACGAUGUCCAUGCCACCUUAGACUUCCACUGACAGUCCUUCACCUGAUGGCCACGCUGGUCAUCAUCACAAUAGGUUCUAGUCAUAUUCGGACACUGGAUUCAUCCAUGCUUCCUUCUACAAUUCUGACACUUAUCAGGUGAGUCUUCUAUCUCUUGCCAAGUGACAGCACACACUCUUUCUGGUUGUCCCAUCGAUCUGCUAAAACCACUCUCGACCUCGAUCUUUUCCCUGACCGAUUUUCAUUUCUGCCUGAACUGGAUCUAUACCUCGGCUCGAAUGCAAUGACUUCUCCUGGAUCACAUCUCCACUUUGGAUCUCAGCAGGUGAAGCGACAACGGCAGUUGCAACACUGACGGCGGUUCGAUCCUGAGCCUCCUGGCUCAUCCAGUUCCCAAGGAAAACUUGCAUCUGAAUGAUCCUAUCGAACUUAGGAUCAUUCGACGCUGCUACACUAGUACCAACCUGCAGUGGUACUCUUACACUCGAGCUGGCCAGAGCCGACACUCUGCCACAACCACCUCGGGUACCGACCUUUGUCAGUGCAUUAUCCCGAGUCACAGAGGACAUUGUCCUCUUACUAGGAGUUCUUAGCUCCUGCUCGCUCAUGGUUCAGUUUAUACACUGCAACCCGUCUUCCAAAUCCACACUGGAUUAGAAGAUGAGCGAUCCACACACAACAAACAAUUUUAGCACUCAGCUAACACAGACAUGCACCAGCAUGAAUUUAAAGGCCUUUCCUACUAACUAUCCCAUGGUCAACGCUCCUUAUCACUCCAAUCUUCAACUUCGCUCUGAUACCACUUAAACAGGAUGUCACGCCCCGAUCCUCAGGCACGCACACAUCCGUCUCACUUGGUCGAUUUUAUAAUGCGAUAUCCCAGGACAAUGUAUCGCCGACCCUUUCAUUUUUUUAGCACAUGCGGAAGCAGUUAAAAUCCCCAGACAAUAAAACGAUGGGAUAGAAAAGCAGGGUCAUAUUUUUCAUAUUGAAAUUUAUAACCAAACUUUUGUACAUGACAUCCACUAAAGAACUUCAUAACUAUUCACAUCAAUUGGAGUUCACAAAAGAAGAUGAAAUCUCAAUCCCUUCAGGUCAUACUCAAAAUCUCUCUCGGUAUUAUCUUCUUCUUCCAAAAGUCCUUCUACUCAGGUUUCACCUCCGAGUUCUCCUUCUCAGAUUCCUCCUCAGCUCCUCAACGGGGUCCUGAAAUGUUUUUCCCCAAACUGGGAUGAGACUACGUCUCAGCGAGUUCUACCCCACUAAGCCCAAUUAGUAAACUAUUAUACUAUAGGCUGCCUAUACACGCAUAGGGCAGAAGACGUACCUUGGCCUCAUAUCCCACCUGCGAGUUAGUACAAUUCAUAAUAGGCACCCAAGCAAUCAGAUCACUUAUCGAAGCAUCGAUCAAAUCGACCUAGUCGAUUAUAUGCCAGGAAGACCAUUCAUGAUCACCUCCAUUCAAUCAUUCAAUUCACAACAUCCAACCAAGGCAAUGAAUCACAUCAAGUCACACUCAGAUCGAAUAAUCGAUCAAUCGACCUAGUCGAUUACAAGUCAAUCAGACCAUCUCAUGGUCAUUUCCAAUCAAUCUGCCCAUUCACAACAUCAGAUCAAGCAAUGAUCAAUCGACCUAGUCGAUUACAUAUCAACAAGACCACUUCCGGUCAUUUCAACUAUUCCAAUUCAAAUCCCAAUUAUGAAUCACGGUCCUUAGGACACAACUUAAUUAUAGGUGGUAAUCAUGGCCCCACCAAGCAAUUUUCUUAGAUUUAGUGGCAUCACGGCCCCACUCGGCAAUAUCAUAUGUAGUGGCAUCACGGCCCCACUCGGCAAUGUUAUAUGUAGUGGCAUCACGGCCCCACUCGGCAUGUAGUGGCAUCACGGCCCCACUCGGCAAUGCUAUAUGUAGUGGUAUCACGGCCCCACUCGGCAUGUAGUGGCAUCACGGCCCCACUCGGCAAUGCUAUAUGUAGUGGUAUCACGGCCCCACUCGGCAUGUAGUGGCAUCACGGCCCCACUCGGCAAUGCUAUAUGUAGUGGUAUCACGGCCCCACUCGGCAUGUAGUGGCAUCACGGCCCCACUCGGCAAUAUCAUAUGUAGUGGUAUCACGGCCCCACUCGGCAACUUUUUCAAUAUAUUGGCAUUAUCAACCGAUGCCCGGUUAUUCUUCAAGUAAUAACCAAAGAUUAUUCAAUUUAGGAAUAAAUCCUAAAAUCACUAAUAAAUCAAUUUCUCACAAAUUAAGCCUCGAAUAAAUAAACGAACCACACCAUGACAAUCAGCAUGAAAUUCCGGUCAUCGGCCAUCUCAAACUUAAUUUCCGAAAAAUAAAUAAUUAAUUAAUUAAUUUCUAGAAUUAAAUAAUUAAUAUUAAAAACUCAAUUUAGCUCAAAAUAGAGCCCGAUUAAAUAAACGGACUUCACCACGGUCAUCAGCAUAAUUUUCUGGUCACGGGCCAUCCCAGUUGAAUUUUCAGGAAAUAAAUAAUUAUUUAAUUAAUUUCGAAAAUUAAUUAAUAUUAAAAAUUCAAUUUAGCUUAAAAUAAAGUCCGAUCAAAUAAACGGACUUCGCCACGAUCAUCAGCAUAAUAUUCCGGUUCCAAACCAUCUCCUUCAAAUUUUCGGAAAAUAAAUAAUUAUUUAAUUUAAUUCCGAUAAUUAAUAUUUAAAUGCCAAAAAUCUCACUUAGGCCCGAAUCACCAAAUUGAAGCUCAAUUAGGGGUCCGAAAAUUCCCGAGACACUCCCAAUAAAUAGUAGACCACGUCUACUUGUUAAUUGCACAAUCAAUUUAUCUAAAUCGCAUCACAAUUGACUAAUAAUUGCUAAUUACUUCUAAUCUAACAACCUAAACAUAAUUAAUUAAAACUAAACCAACCUAAAGCAUAAUUAGCCAACUAAUCCGAGAUUAGUGAGAUUACUCACCAAAUCGCGCGCAAAUCGGAUCAAUCCGACGGCGGCGACGCGAGGAACGAUUGUUCCCAAAGCGGGCCUCGGGUUCGGGGCCGGGAAACGGCCCAAAACGAGCUCGAACCAGCUGGAAACCCAUUUUCUGCACUCUCUGUGCGCGGCUGAUUAAGGGCGAAGGAAGGCGGAUCCGAAGCUUGGUUGGGUCGGAAAUGGACGGAGGGGUCGAACCGAACCAAGGCGAGGCUUCACGGUGGCCGGAGGAUGGGUGGACAGCUCCGGCGGAGCUCCACCAGAUCUGAAGCUUCGCUGAAACAGAGGGCUGAGCGAGGGAGAAGCCGAGGCAGGCGGAGCACGGGACGGCGAACGGCGAGGCGACGCGGGCCGGGAACGACGUGUGGCGGCGAGGCGGCGUGCGGCGCGACUGUAGCUCCUUCAAGCAACGCCGAUCGUUGCUUCUGUCCCUGCUGGUCGGUUCUGAUCGAACCAGAGGAAGGAGAGAGGGCAGAGGGCGCGCGGACGACCGUGGAGCAGCGGCGGUAGCUCCGGCUUCGGUGGGCAACGACGGCGACGAGAAGCGGCGACGGGCGGAGCUUCUUCGGCUUCUUCGGCUUCCAUGGUGCCGAGCAACCAAAGAGAAGAGGAAGAAAGGGGGUUCGUCGACGGAGGAGGAGAGAAGAAGAAGAAGAGAAAACCAAUUUCUCUUUCCUUUCUCUCUCUCUCUCUCUCUCUUAUGUCAGCCACCAGCUGUCUUCCACUUCAUUUUCCUUGCCAAAGAUGCCCCUUCUAGAAGCUUUAGAUAGGCCAAAAUGUGGGGGUAGAGGUGGCAUACGAAUUUGCUAUUUUUCCCUCUUCAAUUUUACUUAAAUUGGUUCACUUCUCAACAAACAAUAUUUCAAUUGAAGCCUAAAUAAAUCCAUCAAGGCAUCCUUGUCCAUUUCAUGACUUUUCCCGUCAUAUAAUCUAACUUGCAUCCCAAUUUCGAAUUCAAGAACGGUCCUCUGAAAUUUUCGAUGAAAAUGGCCCUACCUAUCUAGUCGAAAUUAUGACUCGAAAAAUCUGGAUGUCACAAAUGAUCUAUGGAAAGUUAUGGCAUUCAAGUAAACUUUUUUUAGAAGUUAUGGUACUCAAGUAAACAUCGUAUGAAAGUUAUAGUAUUUAUGGUGUUCAUAUUCAUCAUUUUGAUAUCCUUUAGAUUUCUGUCUAUCCAACUAAAAUGAGCUGUCCUUCAAUUGUGCACUGCUGCAGCCACGAAGAAGUACUUCAAUUGGUUACUGAAGAGAUUUAUAAGGCAAGGAAAUUGUUAGAUGUUGACUCUUGAAGCCUUCUUUUAAUCGGUUGUCAAAGAAAAGGUGAAUGUGUUUACUAUUAAUGUAAUGAAAUUCUCCCCCACUCCAUUCUGAUUCUAUUGUUUGGAGGAUCUAGAUAUUUCAUUUGGUAACGAAAUUGGUUUGCGAUGCUAAUGCUUAGGUGCAUUAUAUACAGGGUGAGCAUAUAUGUAUGACGAGUAUAUCAGUGAAGUCCCAUGUUUUACUAGAGGGUUAAGCUUAUACGUCAGUGUGCACAAGGGUGCUGGACAAUAAUAGAAAAGGAGCUUCCAUACGCUGUUGGGAAAAUUUGAAUCGCUGGUAGAGUUGGCCUGUCAACUGUUAAACAUAGUUGAUCUACCUGAUUUAAUUGGAAAUCUAAAAAGAACUGAAACUAACCAGAAUGGACUUUUCAUCCAUAAGAAUGUUGCCCAAUGCUAUUGGACUGCUAUAAAUGAUUGAGGGGUUAGGUGCUAGAAAAUGAGUCUGACGGUUGAAAUUUUUGGUGAAAUUAGGUGACUAUUCAAACUGUUCGAGGAUUUUGGGCAUAACACUCAUCGAAGUUGCUUAUGGAUUCCCCACGAUGAUCUAUUCUCUCUCCCAUGUCCAUAAACUUUUUUUCUGGAUGCAAUGGAAUUUGACAGCCACCCCAAGCUUCUUCAAUCCGUCUUUGUUUUGAUGCAUACCGGUUUGUUCAUGGCCUCAUGAAAAUGGUUAAUUUAGAUUUAUGGACAGACCUGACCAAUAUCUAACAGGUUCCAUGUACUUUGUCAUUCUUGCCACUUUGGCUUAAGAAAUAUUGCUUUUUUUCAAUCUUGAAAAACUCUUUGGUUCUCGAAGUUCAUGAGACUCAGAAGCAUUAGUCCACUGCCAAACUUUUGAAACAUAAUGAAUUUGGCAGAAUUAUGUCCUUGGACGUCCAAUGUCAAAGCUUACCUGUCUCUCCAGAACUAACACGUUUGAGGGGACUGAAAAGAAUUAGAUUUGAAUUCCUUGAGAACAUACCCUGUCGUCUCUCUUGAAGAGUCUACCAUGCUUGAAUAGGCUCGUUGAGAUUCGAGGUUUGUUCAAGCUGGAAUUUCCUUUGGUUUUUUUUUUUUUUGGCUAUUUUAGUUUUUCUUUUUCUGAUGUGGUGCUCACGUACGCCACAUCAUCGCCACUUGUCCGGGAAAACAAUGAUAAUGCGAUGCAAGCCACCAUGUAGAAUAGCUAUCUUCGAUAGAAAGGUUAUAUGUGUCCCACUUGAUGGGUUUUUCAUUUGUGGGGCUAAAUGAAGCCUAUCCGCCCAUGUUGAGCCAAAACUGACCCAUAAAGGAAGGGCUCAUAAGAGGAAGGAACAGUUAUUUUUUGUAUAAAUAUGUAAAAUGAGGAAUGUUAAGAAUAGAAUAAAAAUAAUAUGUUCUUUUCCUUCCCUUGAGAUAAUAGUAUACUCUUUCUUGAAGAACGGAAUUCUAAGGCUUCAAUCAAUUCCUCUGAGACUGUAACAAGUACUUAAUUUGUGACAAACAAGAUAUGUCCGUUUUCGUAAUAUACCUUUUGAUUGGUAUUAUAUGUUUCUAGGCAUAUAUCUGCAUUUGUUUUUGGUAUUCAAUCGUUUGAGUAUCGAUUCAUCUUUCAAAAAUCCAUUUUCAACAUUGGUAUCACAGCAAUGUUGUUAAUGUUUCUCUAUCAUUGUUGACAUUUAUAAUUUAUUUUUGAUCGAAAUUUUGAGAAACGUCGCCGGCUGACUUUUGGAGAUUGAAAUCCCGACACCCGCGUACUAUUCACCCCUCCCUUUUUAUUUUUCAUGAGUCAAAACUCAUUUUUGAAAGUACAAGGUCAUAGUUUUUGUCGAGACGAGAAAAACAACGGGUGGCUCACCACUAGGGGCCUUCGGACGUGCCCCCACGCGCUGCCAGAAGGAGUGGAGUCGUCAACUCGUGCACAGCAUGCGUGCACGGUAAACCAUUAGCAAAUGCACUGCAUAUGCGCGGUAACCGCACGCGAAUGCUCGGCAUGCGCGUAGCAACCGCCGGUGCAUGCAUGGUAUGCGCUACAUAAGUUUACUCUUUUGCCCCUGUUUUUAUUACAUUAUUACCAUAUAGCUCAUUGUAAUAUUUCAAGUGAAUGGCACCAGCGGAUUCUUCAACUCUGGUCGGAGACCGAUCCUGAACCUCCUAGCUCUAUCAGCUAGAUCCUCUAUCAGUCUCGGGACGUACUAAGAUAACUCUAGAAAUUUUUAGAUACUAUAUUAACUAGUGCCAUUUUAAAAGGGUGGAUAUCAAUUUUUCUAGGUUCAAUCUGAUCGUGUAUCCAUACACGAUUAUUUUACCAGGUGUUUUUUAUAUGAAGAAAAUAUGCCAAGUUCACUAUUUUAAUUGAGACAUUUGAGUGCAAUGCACGGUGUCCUUAGCUGGGAUUGAAUGAUCGUGUGAUGACUAUAAAUCUGUCAUGAGCUGUUAAGAUAGACGAUGCCCCUAUAUGGGAUGUCCCAAGUCAACGGAUGCCAGUCGCAGUGGAUGCUGGACCGAUGCUUCCUAGUGGAAUGCCAUCUAGGUAUAGAUGUUGUCGUGCUCGAUGGUGGCUACGCCGAAAGACCGCUAACUGUUAAGUCGGCCAUGUCCAUUAGGUCGUAAUCAAUUGGGAAGCAUGAAUGAGUGAAAUUGACGCUCCUGAUUAUGGGACAAAAUUGUGUAGCACGGUAUGAGACGUGUCAUAAUGAUUUGGCCUUAUAAUCGGGACCCCUAUAGUUGUUUGAGAUAUGAGAUGUGGCGUUCCAAUUGAUUGAGUUUUAUUACUACUUAUGUCUGUGAUAUGAACUGUACUAAGUACAUGCAGGGAGGAUUUGAGAUGAGGUAAGUCUCUGUGGUUGUGUGGUUAGGCCGUCUCUAGGCGUAUUUUCUUCAAUGUCGGGGUUUAGGGAGUGAACUUGCUAAGACGUUGUCUCACCCCAUCGUGGGCUUAACUUUUCAUGUCCUUCGAUAGCGGUUCCUCUGGAAUGUUUUAGUCAGCUUCGGGGGGUUAUCGAGUGGAGCAUGGACGUCCCUGUCCCCGGAAGUCAUUGGGCUAUGAGGUUGUCGUGACCAUUGUCUGAGUCGAUGAUGGCCUAUCUCAGAGGGUACCUCAUCAAUUUAGGGUGUGAUUCUGCCAUGGACUCAAUGGGUAUAAGGUAGGUCCCCUUCAGGGUUUUAAUAUCCCUGCCGUUGCGCUCAAUGCCACUUUGGGUGAGGGUGCAGCUGACCCUUCUGUGGAGUUGUGGAGGACCCGAAGCCCCGGAGCCUGUGGAGGUGGAGUCCGAAGGAUCGGUGAAUGUGUCCAACUAGUAGAUCAUAGGACAGCUUCUUUUUUAGAGCUGAUCUUUUUGUAGACAGACUAUUUUUGUAUAUAACCUGGUUUGUUUAUAAAUGUGUGUUUUGUUUGUGAAUUUGUUGUCCUACUUUUCUAUCCCAUGUUGUUUGCUGUAAGGGGUUUUUAUUUUGCUUUUGCAUAUGUAAUAAAAUGAAUUGGUGGGUGACGUGUCCUAGGAUGUUGCAAAUUUUAUCGACCACCGAGGGAUGUACACGCGCUCGAGGCUCGGGGCGUGACACAUAACAUGACUGAAAAGAUACCCAAAAAAGUUAUGAGUAUGGAAUGAUUGAGGUAUUAGGAAUUUGGAACUGGAGCAAAAUUAAUGAUACACAUAAAGAUACGUCUAGUUGGAGUGUCUAUAACAUUUGAUUGUUUCAUCGAAAAUCAACAAUUGAAAUUUUUUUCUUGAUUUUUUACUUUUUUCUAUCAUUUAUGAAAAUGAGUCAAUAUUAAAUAUUUUCAUAUUGACUAAUUCCUGCAUUUACAUACUUUUGUUGAUGAUAGAAACUUUUUUUUUGUUGGCUCAUUUUCUUAAGCAAUACAAAUAACAGAAAGUUUUUGUUUUUGUUUUUAUUGCUGAUUUACUGAGAAACAACUGAAAUGUAAGAAGAACAAUAUAAUCUAAGCAUGUAAUAUAUCGUGAAAAUGCAUAACAUUCUGUAAGUCAACAAUUAUAACCAAAAAAAAGAAUUCAAGAACUAUGGAGUAAAGGGAUACACUGUGUCAACAGAAGUUCAAAUCUUUAAGAUCUUCAAGGGAAACACUACGAAAAUGCCCAAAGAGUACGGGAAGCACGUUUGUUAUACGUAGGAAAGAUAAAGAAGUUCAUAUAUCUUUCCAGAGUGAUUGUUUUUUUGAAUAAAACUGAUUAAUGUCGUUUCUAUUAGCACAUCACUGGAACAACUUGUAAGAAUAUGCACUAAUUUUUCAAGAUCUUACUUUGAAGUAUGGAUUAGACACAUGGGUUUAGAAUAGUGGUCAAUGAAACAAUUGAUCGUUAAGUGAUAUUGUCAAGUGUGGUUGGUGGAUCCAAUUUCAUCCAUUCCAUCAAGAAAACUUCGGAUCAAUAUCUGAUGAUGAUGUUUAUACUUAUUUCCACGAGCUUGACAAAUAAAUUAGAAUGGUUGAUUGGGUCGGACUUGAAAUGGUUAAAGAUCGUCGAUCUGCCCGAUUUAGCUGAAAAUUUGUAACGAAAUCAAAGGGAUUCUAGAAUGGAAUCGAAGAUUUAGCUCAAUUGUUAUCUGAUUUGCUCAUCUCACAAUUUAAAUUCUGUAUCGAUCUAAAUGUCAUUUCAGAUAUAUCUAUGGGUUUCAAAAGUUGGUCUAUCAAUGAAGUAAUAUAAGCUCUAUUUGGUUCAGCUUUGGGACUCUAAAGUCCAUUGGCCAAAUGCAAAUGUGUUUGGUUCGAUUUUUUGGGCAACUUUGGCAAGAUGCAAUUGCAUCUCCAAAGGGCCCUAAGGGCCCUUAGUCUAAAGCAGGUCUGGAGGUCUUUUGGGAACUUGCAUUUUCGAAAUGCAAGUUCUAGUUAUUGUUCACUUCGAGGUUAUUGUUCAUCUACGAGGAAAACCACCACAGGGAGGCUGAUGGUCAUCGGCCAAGGGGUCGUGCGCACCGGCGACGCGUCAGCGACCGUCGCCUGAGGGUUGCUCGACCCCGGCAACCGUCACCGAACCUUAGGCGACGCUUGGGUCGCACGACCCAAGCGACUGAUGGCCUGAAUUGUGCGAUCCACAAGGUUGCUGGAGGUCGGGCGACCGUUUGGGGGCCAGAUCUGGCGGUUUGGUCGCCAGAUCCGGUAGUCCAGUGGUCAAACUUAAAAAAAAAUACAAAUAUUCUUUUGUCUUUUUAAUUUAAUAAAAGUCAUUUACAAAUGUAAAUUUUACCAAACAAUAUUUGUAUUUCGGAAAACUCCAUUCACCCAAAGGUAUUUACAUUUUUGUAAAUGCAUUUGCCAAAAGUUGAACCAAACAGGCUCAUAAUGACAAUCAGAUUCAAAUUUGGCAGUUGGAUCUGGCUCCACCCAUUCCAUCAAGAAUAGCUGCUUCAAAUUGGUUCAUGAAAUUUUUGGAGCAUCUUAAAACAUUUUUCAAAUUGAGCAAUGUUCGACCAAAUAUUGGUAUAGUUGUAACCAAAAGUUGUCAUUGUGAUAUCCUUUUCAUACGUGCUUGAUGAAAACAAACUAUUUGUUUCGUUGUGCAUUGCUGAAGCCCUAAAAAGAGUUCUUGAAUCGGCUAAGGAAGAAGUCCUUGAGACAUCUGAAACAUGAUCAUCACAAUAAUGGACUAGAAGAGGGUUGGGGUGUGAAUUGAAAAAACACAAGACUGGAAAUCUUUCAAGAGAAAUCAUAAAAUUUUGGGAAUGUGGUCAAAUCUUGGUGAAGGGAAAGAAUUGCAGGGGGUUUCAAAAACAGAAAAAAGAAAAUAAAGGAAUCGACUAAAGAGUGGACGAUAUUUGCAAGUAUUUCUGAAUAUAGCAUGCUUUUUUAUCAAUGACGACAAAACAUAUGUGGUUAUCAUGUGAAAUGAUUGUAAUUGUUAACCUCACACUGCAAUAGGAGACGAUAAUAGGUUUUGGAUCCAUAACUAAGUUCGGGAAUUUGGAAGGUACACUAAUGUUAAAGAAUAAACUUGUGAGUUUAGAGAGAGAGAGAGAGAGAGAGAGAGAGAGAGAGAGAGAGAGAGAGAGAGAGAGAGAGAGAGAGAGAGAGAGAGAGAUAAAGAGAGAUAAAUGCCAUGAAAACUUUAACUUUACCACAAUAGAAUUUCCUAGUCAUUGCAAUGCAAACUUUUUCACAAAAGCAAUCAAGACACUCAGGUGCCGCUGUGUUUGGAAAAGUUUUCUAGGUGGGUGUGAAGAAAAAGAAGGUGCAGAAAAGAUAUUCUUUGUGUUGGUUGGAAUGACUCCAAUGGACUAUGAUUUUAGUGAUUGCUACAUUGUUCGAUAGAUUUAGAACGAAAUUCAACUAGCUUGUUCAUGUGUAAGAUCUAGGAAAUCAUUGACCAUCCGUUUUAAUGUUGCUCAAGCAAGCAUUUGGUUGGCUCAAUGUCAAAGAAAAAAGAAAUGGAUUUCCAUUGAUUUAUUCCAUGUCAUAAAAUUUUGCAGAGCUGCAUUCAUUUGCUAAUUAUCAACGAUGUAAAAACUUAAUUUUGAAAUGAAAAUGGAUUAUGAAUUUAAUGUUUGUACACUGUUGAAAGAUUAAAAUGAAAUUAGACCAACUUGUUCAUGUAAAGGAUCUAAAAAAUCAUAACUUGUACUCUAUAUUGGGUGGUUAAUGAAGCUUGCAUGUUUGCAAGGGGUGCCAGGAGAUAGAGGAGCUUCUGAAUUCAAGUGAAGGACUAGUUAAAGCUUACACAUUAAUGUUGAUUUGGAGCUUCCAUACUCAUGUGAAAUUCAAAUUGUGGAGUGAGUUGGACUUAAAAAUAUUAAAGAUGGUUGAUCUAUCCGUUCAAUUGGCAAUUUAAAGAAAGUAAAAGUAAUUAGUGUCGCGACCUACUAUUUCCAUUUGGAGGGAAAAUUGCACAUGGGUUUAAGGGUAUUGCCCAAAUGAUGAGCUUAAGGCACCUGAUUAGACAUGGGCCCUCCCAGCUCUUACUCCAUUUGACAUUGGAGUAUUUAAUGUUAAAUGAAAUUGAUGGUAUAAGUAUUUUCAAAUAUGUCACCACUACCCUAUUAGAAUCAACUAGAAACCAAGCAAAGUAUGUGAGUAUACCUCACUUCCUAUGCAACUAGAGAAUUUAGAGUCGGAGACUUGAUUAAACUAAUUAAGCAACUAGUAUACUUUCGUCACCUAAUCUUGUUCAACAAGAUGUUUAUCAAGUUGGAUUGAUUUUAAGACUCUAUCCAUUAACAUGUAAUGUGAUCAUGUAGGUGUGCAAUAAUUAAAAUAGCAAUCAAUAACAAAGGAAUUAUUAAAUAAAUUGGAAGAAAAAAAAAGAAUCUAGCACUAAUAGAUAAGAAAAAUCCCAUUCCUAACUAGAAUAAAGGGAAACAAUAAUCAACACAUUGAGAACGUGUAAUCCAAUGAUAAUCGAAAUAGAAAUGUGCAAACAAUAACCUAGCAUUUGUCUUUAAGAAUAUUCAAAACUUUAUUUAUAAACUUUAAAAAGUUGUUCAAUUUCGAGCGCAAUUUUUUAUCAAGAAUUUUCAUACAUUUUAAGGAAAAAAUAUUAUAAAGUUAAUUUUUAAGCUUUUUCCUAAUUUUUGGAGGAAAUUAAAAUUUUCGGAAUUUUAUAAUUUUUUAAAAUAUUUUUCAAUUAAAAAAAAUUUCAGUUUUUUAGUUAAACUAUUUUUUAAAAUAAAAUAAAAUAAUCCCUUAACCUAGCCCGAACAAGAGUUGUUAUAGUCUUUCCAGCUUGGGCCUCGGACGCAAAUCGGGCUAUUACACUAGGCCCUUCCUUCCAACAAGGCCAAUCUGCUAAGGAACAGAUUCAGCCCAAAGAGUUAUCACAUGUAAUAGCCUCAAGCCCAUCACAGCUGAAUUAAACCUAAAUCUGACCAAGCCCACCCAAGGUACUUAAACAAGUCUUUCUUUUGUUCUCUGUCGUCUACACCCACUCUCAUUCCCAGAACUCCAACCUCUUCACCGCAUCGUUCCCCAACAUCAAAACUCCUUCUUCUCUUUAAUUUCAAUAUUAAGGUUUUUGGGAAGGAAAAAAAAAAAAACGCACACCAAAGGGAAAGCUCAUUUGUUGACAAAGCUCUCAAGGCACUAAGCCAAGCCUCACUGUUAUCCACCACCCCGUGGGACAACCCAGAAACUAAUGGUCGAACUUCAACUCUGGCGGCGCUAGAUCUUCAUCGCUUACCACAUAUCGAUCUAACACGAAUGGGCCAUCACUAACCACCACCGUGGCUUACCACCGAAAAAACCAAAUUUGCUUCCAACAUCCACCGUCACAUUGGCCACUCAUCCCCGUUCAAUGGAGGAGACGCAGCAUAUAUCAAACAAAGUGAAACGCAGUGGCUUCAUUGUCAUUGAAAAUCAAGUUUAACAACUAGUGACCCAACGAGCCACAUCAAGACGCACCUUCAGAUUCGAACCAAAACAAAAGUCAUUUCUUAAACACUUCUCAGAAACAUUUCGUCGAGCAAGUCUCAGGCGUUCGACUAAAAGCAAUAUGGCAUGUCGAUGACCCAACACUUUGGUGUCGAGUUCAUCCUACAUCAAUCAAUCAAAGGACAUCUUAAGUUGAUGAAGAUAUUUUAUACAGAUCCCUGACAUGCUUUCACAGAAACAAACCAAACCUCCGUCUCAUUUUUACAACAACACUAACUGAGGCAUUAUAUCGACUAUCGAGUAUUUCAAGCACACUCGCUGAAAGAGAAAGAAAAACCAAACUGACAAGGCUCAAACUUGCGCCCAAAUUUGCGACCAUCAACAAGCAACAAUCUAAAACAGCAGCACACAAACAGACGGGGACGGGACUCCUGCGACGCCAGCUACCCCUGCCGGCCUGACCCCCUACCGGACGUCUUCGCGCGACACUCGCUGCGGUUGUAAUGUUCCCCACCGUACCAGUGUCCUCGUCGCGCUGCAGAGGGAAAAAGAGAGGGAAGAGAUGAGCAGUGCACAGGCCGGGUCGGAGGGAGAAAGAAAAAGAGGAGAGGAAGGAAGCUGGGUCGGGCCGAGAAAAAGAGAAUGGGCCGACCCACACGGAAAUUCAGCACGAAAACAAAGGCGGAUAAGCCUCACGUUCCAAACUCAAUAACCAAUUUCGUACAUGCAAAAUUUGUUCCUUUUCCUAUUCUCUAAUAAGCAUGGGCGUAUAACCACUGGGGGUUCGCCCCAGUGGCCACCCUUCUAACUUGGAAGGGGGAGAUUGAAGAUUCAAAUCCUCACAUUUUUAGGGGGAAUUGGGGUGGGGACGAUUUCAUUUCAGUAGUGGGUUUUGACUCCCACGCCCUGCAAUGAGGCAAUGGAAAAAGUCUGAGAGUGAGUGUUAGAGUAGGAUUAGAGUAGGACCGACCGAAAAAAAUAAAAUAAAUUACUCAAAUCAUAUUUACUAAUCAAUUCCAAAAUUAGGAAAAGCUGGAAUCCGCUUUGCUCUUGCUUAAAUUCUUGCUUGGAUGGUGAUUCCCAUUUUGUCAAAAAUAAAAUAAAAUUGUACAUCACAAGAUAACAACCAUGAACAACAUCAUAGAGCAUGCAUUACUAGACAUCACACUCGUCACUUACAUGAAUCAUAUUGAUUCAUAAAAUAUGUCUGCGCAUACACGACCUAUAUCUAAUUUACAGGCAAUUCUUACAAUCAUAGAAAAAAGAAAACAUAUAUUUUCAAAAGUGUCUUCAAUUUCUCCAAAUUGAGGGAUGUUGGAACGAAUUUUGGUAUAGAUGUAGACCAAUUGAUGUUGACACCUAAAUUUUUGUUAAUAAACUGAGUACAUGUUUUUCCUAAGAAAAUAAAACAUACAUAUAUAUUAAUAUAUAAUGAGCAACAAAAAAAUGAAGCUAUAAAUAAAACCUAGACCCAUCAGGCUCAUCUCGCACGACCCAAGACCAUUAGGUUCUUCAGCCCAAAAGAAGAUAUGGAAAAUGCCUGCCGAGCCUCAAGUCUUUCUAGGUUACUUUCAUGAGGAAGACAGAGAGGGGCACGCAUCCACGAAGAACACGCCGACACGGCCAAGAGAGAGAGGUGGAGUAGGUGGAGGAGGCGGCAUUCACGGAAAGUUCACCUCCAUCGUCCCGGCGUUCUUGAUAAUUUCCUCGUAUGGAGAGCGCAGAGCCAAAAAUCACGCCAGUUGUUUUGGGAUUCAUUAGUGAAUGCAGGGUAGUGGAUCGGCUGCAAAUUCAACUCCAUCGAGGCAUCACCGUCCGAACUCCGUCCACUAGCCAGACCGUAAGCACGUAAUCUACUUGACUCGAAAUUUAAAUAAUUGCUGAGAUAUAUACAUUAUCUUGGUAGAGGUCGAGGGGUGAGGAAGAAACUCGCACGCAUAAAUGUUUGAUGCGAUUGGUUGUGCUUGUUUGAUGGUAUUACUAUUUCCGAGUCUCGUUAGGUUGAAGCCAUAAUUGUUGGUAGGUUCUGAGACAAUUGACCAAAAUGAAGAGGACGAGGAGCUCGGAGGCAAGCCUGAGCAUGGAAACUAAGCCAGAAUCCGAGUACGACGUGUUUUUGAGUUUCAGGGGAAGCGACACGCGCCUAAACUUCACUGAUUUCCUUUACCGCAGCAUGGUACAUGUGGGGAUCCGCGUUUUCCUCGACAGUGAAGAACUCGAAGAUGGUGAAGAAAUCAGUGAAGUUUUGAAGGCAGUGAAUGAGUCUCGGAUCUGCAUACCCAUCUUCUCUCAAAACUUCGCCUCCAGUUCAUGGUGUCUCUGUGUGGUAGCCCGCAUGGUAGAAUGCAUCUCGAAAUCAGAUCCAAAGAAAGAGAUCAUCCCCAUUUUCUAUGAUGUGAAGGCUGAUGAUGUGAAGCUCAAAACCAAUUUGUACAAGAAAGCCAUACUCAAGCACAAGGAGAAGGUUGGCUCUGAUGAAUUGGAGCGAUGGGAAAGUGCCCUUGUCGAGAUUGGAGGUAGAAUUGGACGGGAACUUUUGGGCAAACGGUAAAUUUCCUCACAUGGUAUCGAGUUAGUAGGUCCUGAGUUGGAAUUUUCCAAGCCCAUAUUUGCCUCUCCAAUCGCAUAUUUAUAUGCUUUAGGCUAAGGUCAAAGGUUAGCCUACACUUAAUAGAGAGUGUUAGAAUAUUUUAAUAAUAAUUAAAUAAUAAAAUAAAUUUUCAUCUAACAGCUUAAACUUUUAGAACAUUCAGCGGUGGUCCAGCAAAACUUCACAUAAUAUCAAAGUUAGGGAGUCUUGAGUUUGAUUCUUCCUAACCUUACGAAGAAUUUUAAUUUCAACCCCAAUUUUUUUAAUAAUAAAGUUAUAUUUCCUGGAAAGUAGAAACAGAAAAUGGGCAAUAGUUUCUCAGAGAUGACGUUGAAGCGCUAAGCCUUUUGUUCGGUGGUCACGGCUUCGCACAAGAAGAUUUAGCUUGUCUGAGGUUCCCCUGAUAUUAACUACUUGUGCUUGAUUGGUGCUAUGCAAAAGAAAUAAAAUAAACGGAGCUUCAGUAAUCAGUUAAAAAAAAUUAGAAUUGCAUCUAAUUGAGGACAUGGAAAGAGGCCCUAAUUGACGUCGCAGCUAUGAGGGGGUUCUUGAAAACUAACAGGUGCUCUGCUAUUUCACCACUAAAUGUGAGAUACAUAAGUCAUUCAACUGAACUUUACAAAAAUAGAGAGUUCCAAUGCCCAAUGCAACCCUUUUGCAUACAAAUAGUUGUACACUCGAGCAAAUUCGUAUCCCAUGGAAUAACUUAAGAAUAGAAAAACUGGUACAGAAAAGGAAUGGAGAAGAUUUAACUGACGAGAGAAAGUUUGAUUUAAGUUAUUCUGUAAAAUAGGCUUAAUUUGUUGCAAAACAGAGAAAAGCUUAUUGGAGAUUAGAACAAGAUAAAGAUCAUUCCGAUUUGAGUCCACUGUUGACGAAACACAGUUAAAUAUAUUUGUUACAAAGGUGUGUGAGUUUUCGUAGGACUUUUUAAAUGAAUGUUCGAGGUGUCUUCAGGUCCUCUGCAAUACAUAGAGGAACAAUUCCAAGAUUCCACAGCCAUAAAAAAGAUUGACACAAAGUUAUCAACGUUUUGGUCAUAAAUUAGUAGUAAAAGGUAAAGGGCAGAAUUUAACAAUAAAUUAUCGACUAAGUUCCAAAUUGACCAUUUCAAUAUAAAGAGGAAGAAAAUGCUCGAAGAAAUAGGAGAAUCUCCUCUCGUUGCACAUAAUAUAGAUAAAGGAGUUAGCAUAAUACUACAAACUAAAAUCCUUUUUUGUUAGAAUCUCACUAAGAAUAAUUUGUAAGAAUGUGCCAUGAUUUCUCAAGAUUUUACUUGGUAUAAUUUGCUUAUCUCAUAAUUCAAAUCCCUUAGAAACCGACAUCUCAUUUCAAAUCGAUCCCUAAAUUUCAAAUGAUGGUCCAUCAAUGAAGUAACAUAAUGAUGACCUAUUCAAGUUUGGUAGUUUGAUCCAAUUUCACCAAUUCCAUCAAUAAUAUCUAUUUGACAUUGGUUCAUGAAUCUUUUAGAGCGUCCUAAAUUUCCUCAAAUUUAACAAUGUCCGACCAAAUUUUGGUUGGCUGUAGACUAAUUGGUUGUCAUUUGAUAUCGUUUUAUCCUACACCCAAUAAAACAAACUUUUUCUUCAUCAUGCAUUGCUGCGGGCUACUGAAGAGGUUUUGAGACAGCUGACAUAUGCUACAAGAAGGACUCAUUCAUUCAACUUCUUUGAGAGGUUAAAGACCGACUUCUAGAGGAAGUUUCAAAUUGACUUUAGCAAGACAUUAUAAAGAGCAGAGUUGGGGUGAGUGAGUAUACACAAAUACGAAGAUUGCAAUGUGAGAUCCUGAGAAGCUUUUGAUGAGCUCGGAGAUGGAAAAUUGUCCAAAAGGUUUUAAACUUAUUGUACGACAGUCAAUUCAUUUUUAAACCUUUCAAUCGCGUCAAUUUAGUAUUAAAAUUUUUGACAAUUUGCCAAUUUAGUCCUAUACAUUUCGAUGAUUUAUUAAUUUAAUCAUAAAUAUUUUAACAAUCUACUAAUUGGUCGGUAAUCGCUGAAGUGGCAGUUGAGUCAUCACCAGCCGUCCUACAUUGCAUGACAAGCGCCAAUAUGGAUAACUUUUACAAUUUUUUUUUUUAAUUUUAUGAUUUCUUUUCUUUUUCUUCUUUCUUUUUCACCAUUUUCCCUCCGUUGGCUCUCACCCGAGGCUAGCAUCCUCAAAACCAGUUGACUUGAUUUAGUCUUAGACUAGCAUGAUUAAGCUCCAAGUUUGGUUCCUCUGUGAAAUUUUCAAGCCAUUAUCCUUUUUCCUCUUACUAAAAAAAAUGCACCCAACAAGAAAAUAACCAACAAUCAUAUAACAUAGCAUAAUAUAUAUGUGGAUAUUAUUCAUACGCUCUUGUUAUAUAUGAACUCGGGAGCAAUAGCUGAAAAGUUCACAUUCAUAGGUCGCAUAUGUGUACGUCACUAAAGGCCUGACACUUCCAUGUUAUAUCUUAGUCAAAGGGGAUCUUAUCACAAGAAUAGUUUUUUUGGAAAAUAAAACUUCCAUCGAAGAUAAACAAAUGCAAGGCUUUCAUAAAAUUAACGAAUGACGUGGGUUGAUGAAUGAUGGGGGAACUUAUUUCUUUUCAGUCCUAGAUGGAGAUCACUUUUGCUAAACAAAUAAUAAAGAAAGAUCUCACCAAGCAAAUGAGUGAAAGUUAACAAACAAAUUGAGCCUAAGACAAGGUCAAUGGGCUAAACCAAACUUAUGUAUAAAGCAAAAGGCAUUGAAAUUGUGUCCCAAUUUUGGAACCGCAGAGUGAUCUUGAUGAUUUUCCAAUAGUUAAAGUUCUAUUCACCUUAGCGCAUGUAGAUUUUCAUCAACAUCUGUUUUGGCAUGCCCGCAAAUUGAUUUAUUCCAACGUGUUCACAUUAUAUGCUCGUGGGGAACUUCUUAACAAGACCCUCACCAUAAUUGUCCAUUUUGUAUCAUAUGUUUUACGACUACAACAUUGUUUAUCUCAAUUUGGAGAUCUUUUAAACAUCCGAUUUACCAAUCGGACGGGCCAAGUUAAAUUGGAAGGGUAAAAAUUAGUCAUUUGCUAAGAAAGAAAACAUUUUGCGCACCAACAAGACUAAGAUAAUUUCAAACAGUUCUCAGACAUCUAUAAAAAUAAAAAAUAAAUAAAAAAAUCCUUUAUGUUCCCUAUUUAAUUUUCAAUUUUUGGUAUAAAAAAGCACGAUCGAUGACGUAAUAAAAAAAGAUACCUGCAGUUCCCCCUGGACAUUGUUUAGAAAAAGGAGGACCAUGCGUAAAUAGCACUUUCGGUUUUGGGCUGAAUGCGGCCCGAGAUAGAAAAUCUUGAGAAGACGCUAAAACGUAGAACUUCUAAUUCAAAUAGGAUAGAUUGGAACAUCUAUACAAAAUAAUGGACCAUAAAUUCGAUUUGAGAGGCUCAAACUUUAGGCUGCUUAAGUAUGGAAUGGACUAAACUUGAACAUAGUAAUACUUGAUUUGAGAGGCUUCUCUAAACUUUAUUAAACUUUUUCAUAUUGGAGUUGUCAAGACAUCGCAUGUGAAACUUGAUAAUGCGAGAAAUCUAACUUAACCCAUGCAUUAAUUCCUUCAUACAUGUUUGCUAGGGACUCAAAACAUAAUUGUCUUUUUUCCUCUCUAAAUCUUGUGUUAAUAGCUCAUUACAUCGCUAAUCACACAAUUAGUUGCACUAUUGGUGAUUUAUUAAUUCUUGCUUAGCUCAGGAGAAUUCUCAGUUAAGCAUGAAAAUGGUUUAUUUUAAUUGAUCAAAACCUUUGCUUUUCUGGAAGAUAAAACUCAUUUCCAAUAUAAAAAAAAAAGGAAAAGAAAAAACAUUAGUGGAGCCCAAUUACCAUUUAGCAGAUCCCAAGAAUGGUCAAAUGAGGAGAAAAAACAGGAACUUGCUUCGUGAGUUUGACCUUGACUCCCUAAAGUUCGCCGAAAAUAGCGUGUUAGUACAUAGACGCAACCAACGAUGAAGGACCAUGAAAAGCCAAGUCAAGUCAACUCAAGUCAACUUUUGAUUAAGACAAGCCGAGGAAUGAAAUACUUGAUUUGAGAGGCUUCUCUAAACUUUAUUAAACUUUUUCAUAUUGGAGUUGUCAAGACAUUGCACGUGAAACUUGAUAAUGCGAGAAAUCUAACUUAACCCAUGCAUUAAUUCCUUCAUACAUGUCUGCUAGGGACUCAAAACAUAAUUGUAUUUUUUCCUCUCUCUAAAUCUUGUGUUAAUAGCUCAUUACAUCGCUAAUCACAUGAUUAGUUGUAGGAUUGGUGAUUUAUUAAGCCCUGCUUAGCUCAGGAGAAUUCUCAGUUAAACAUGAAAAUGGUUUAUUUUAAUUGAUCAAAACCUUUGCUUUUUUGGAAAAUAAAACUCAUUUCCAAUACAAGAAAAAGGAAUAGAAAAAAAUUAGUGGAGCCCAAUUACCAUUUAGCAGAUCCCAAGAAUGGUCAAAUGAGGAGAAAAAAGAGGAACUUGCUUCGUGAGUUCUAUCUUGACUCCGUAAAGUUCGCCGAAAAUAGCGUGUUAUUACAUAGACGCAACCGAUGAUGAAGGAUCGUGAAAAGCCAAGUCAAGUCAACUCAAGUCAACUUUUGAUUAAGACAAGCUGAGGAAGGAAAUACUUGAUUUGAGAGGCUUCUCUAAACUUUAUUAAACUUUUUCAUAUGAGAGUUGUCAAGAUAUCGCAUGUGAAACUUGAUAAUGCAAGAAAUCUAACUUAACCGGUGCAUUAAUUCCUUUAUACAUGUCUGCUAGGGACUCAAAACAUAAUUGUCUUUUUUCCUCUCUCUAAAUCUUGUGUUAAUGGCUCAUUACAUCGCUAAUCACACGAUUAGUUGCACGAUUGGUGAUUUAUUAAAGCCUGCUUAGCUUAGGAGAAUUCUCAGUUAAUCAUGAAAAUGGUUUAUUUUAAUUGAUCAAAACCUUUGCUUUUUUGGAAAAUAAAACUCAUUUCCAAUAAAAGAAAAAGGAAAAGAAAAAAAUUAGUGGAGCCCAAUUACCAUUUAGCAGAUCCCAAGAAUGGUCAAAUGAGGAGAAAAAAGAGGAACUUGCUUCGUGAGUUUGAUCUUGACUCCGUAAAGUUCGCCGAAGAUAGCGCGUUAGUAAGUAGACGCAACCGAUGAUGAAGGACCAUGAAAAGCCAAGUCAAGUCAACUCAAGUCAAGUCAACUUUUGAUUAAGACAAGCCGAGGAAGGAAAUACUUGAUUUGAGAGGCUUCUCUAAACUUUAUUAAACUUUUUCAUAUUGGAAUUGUCGAGACUUCGCAUGUGAAACUUGAUAAUGCGAGAAAUAUAACUUAACCCGUACAUUAAUUCCUUCAUACAUGUCUGCUAGGGACUCAAAACACAAUUGUCUUUUUUCCUAUCUCUAAAUCUUGUGUUAAUAGCUCAUUACAUCGCUAAUCACACAAUUAGUUGCACGAUUGGUGAUUUAUUAAGCCCUGCUUAGCUCAGGAGAAUUCUCAGUUAAACUUGAAAAUGGUUUAUUUUAAUUGAUCAAAACCUUUGCUUUUUUGGAAAAUAAAACUCAUUUCUAAUAAAGGAAAAAGGAAAAAGGAAAAGAAAAAAAAUUAGUGGAGCCCAAUUACCAUUUAGUAGAUCUCAAGAAUGGUCAAAUGAGGAGAAAAAAGAGGAACUUGCUUCGUGAGUUCGACCUUGACUCCGUAAAGUUCGCUAAAAAUAGCGCGAUAGUACAUAGACACAACCGACGAUGAAGGACCGUGAAAAGCCAAGUCAAGACAACCCAAGUCAACUUUUGAUUAAGACAAGCCGAGGAAGGAAAUUCAUGCGUUCAUAUGGCGUGUCGAUGAACAUUGGUUUUCGGUCUUGUCUCUUAGACAAGCCUUCGCCUCUAAUAAAAAUUGCUAGGACAACUACUAACGACUACUUGGUUUCGAACAGAAAAAAAAAACAACUACUUGGUGAUAUCCAAUUACCGAUGAAGCGUGGACGGUGAAGUCUUUUUAUUUGUUUAUAAGUAAGAAUUUAUAUACCAUAGAAAUUCAAGGUGGACCAAGCCAUUAAGCACAAUAAGUAACUGUAAUAGAGUUAUCGGUAAAAUAACCAAAAAAAUAUUAAAUUUAUUAUAUAGAUAUCAAUUCAAUCCUAAAUUUUUUAUUCAAUUUAAUCUUACACAUUUACGAGAAGUUCCACGGCAGUCCAUUAAGUAAAUUGUGAUUGAAAAUCAUUGAUGUAGCGGUUUAAUAAUCUUUGACCGUCCUACAUAGCACGCCAGGACAUGAAUGUCAUUGUUAUGAUUUUUUGAUUUUUAAAUAUUUUUCAGUUUUUUUUUUCAAAAUUGCUCAAAAUGACGUUGAUUUGAUUGAUGUAGUAAUAAUUAUCCGAAAAACCAUAGGAAUUAUGAUUUUCUUUCAUCCCGCCCAAUGUUAUUAUUAAACAAAGCUUAUUUUAGAGAGGAAUAAGUGCAUUCAAAAUUUUAAGGCUUAUUAAGAAAGUGCAAUUCCUAAAAUAUUCAAAAUGUGCAAUUAAGUUCUAAAAUUUAUCAAAUAGUGCAAUUAAAUCCUUCCAUUAACCUUAUUUAAGUUGGUUUACAAAAAAUGCUAAUGCAGAUUUUUUUAUUGUUUUAUCUCUCCUAAAUAGGGUUAAAUUUGUUAAAGCAUUAAGCAUAAGAUUAAGACGUCAUCGUUUUGAUCCAAAUGUUUCUUUUUAACCUAAUUCUUAGUUAAACCUUAUUAAAAAAAAAGGAUAAACUUUUUUUUUUCAGAAAAAAGGGAAAUGAAAGCGCACAGGUAAGAGCAAUUGGUGAGGGUUGCCAAACUAGCAAAAUGAAAAAGAAAAAAAAAAGCGCACACCGAUAAUGUCACGUCGGAUUUUUUGUUAGUUAAGUUUAACUAAGUUGAAAGUGACUCGAUUGCAUCAAUUGGAUAAGUUUUAGAACUUAAUUACAAUGAUGGUUCAUGAGUUAAGAAAUUACCCUUCAAAAUCAACCUAAUCUCUCACCACUUAUUUAUGCACAUCGACAUAUGUAGUUGAUGGUGCAUUGCUCAAACUACUUGCAUUAAGUGUGAAUAUAUCUAUCUACCGCAUAUUUUGUGGCUGCAUAUGGAUGCUGAUUUUUAUAUUUCAAGCUAAGCAAUCCUAAAAUCGCUGCAUGUUACUGUUCAUUAUUCUUAGAAUGUUCAUUUGUCCUACACUUUGAGCGGUAAGAACAAUUGGAAAAUAGCGAUUCCAUGUUGUAAUUUUGGGAAGUUAUUAUUAGUUAAGAAGCAUAAAUACAUUAUCAAAAUGACUCUCAAACCAAGUAAUGAAAGCUAGCUUGGGGCCACGUGUAACUUCACCAUGGCGAUAACUCAUUGGGUAGGUUCAAGAGCAACUUCUUGUGAACUUCUUCGAGACGUUAGAGAUCAACUUCUAGAGUUAGAUCAUCAAAAAAAAAAAAACUUCUAGAGUUAGAUAAAAUUGAGUGAGUAUGCAAAUACGGAAAUUGUAGUGUGAGAUUUUGAGAAAUUUGAGAUCAACUUCCUGCUUUUGGUAGAUAAUAUGAUGUGCAAUUAGUCCUCAAAACGAGAUAUUUCUCUAGAAAAGAAUCUACAAUCAUCAGCCUCCCUUUCCGCUUAAUGGUGUGCUUUCAAUUGAGUAAAACUUUGAAUGCCAUUUUUAAAGAAAAAAACCAGUUUCAGCUUUAAAUUUAUGAAACCGGAUUGAUGUUUUCAAAAGAAAAUGAGGAGGAAAGUGGACGAUCCCCUUUAAAGCGAUAGCAGCACCUACUGAUCAGUCAAAAGGAGCUUAUUCUGCUGCGUCUGCCACUAGCUGGGUGGUCGGUGCCAGGUGGAGCUUUUUGACUUUUGGGGUUUGCAUAAUUUACUCUGCAGGUCCUCUCUUUCUUGGAAUUUCACCUUCGCUUUCCCCCAAGUUUCUUGAUGUUUUCUUCGCCUCGAGAGCAAUCACGGAGCCAAAAGUCUCUCUCCUUGAGGAGCGUUAGUCGAUGUUCUUUCACUAUAUCUUGUCACAGUUAUCUUUUUUUUCCCAUGCCGUGGUUAAAUUGUUGGUAAAUGCAUUGUAGAAGAUCGCCCACAAAUUAGACUCCAUCAAGACGUUGCUUUAAUCACCGUCUGAACUUCGUCGUGCUGGGCUGGCCAUAAGUAGGUAAUCGACUAUACCUGGAAAUUUAAAGAACUGCUUAGUAUAUAUACAUGUAUCAACAAAGGUCGAGGCACAAGAAAGAGACUUGCGCAUAUAAAGAUGCAAUUCAUUGUGCUUGUUUGAUGGUAGAGUUAGAGUGAGUGAGUAAGCAAUUAAGGAGAUUGCAGUGUGAGAUUUGGAGAAGCUUGAGAGGAGCUUUGUGUUUUUUGUAGAUAAGAUGUGAGAUUAGCCUUAAAGAUGAGCUUCAUGUUUUCUCAGUUCGCCAUUUGUACUGCUUGCAAAUAAUUUUGAAAUAUUUAUUUCUUCUUUAUAUUUUUUAUAAAUAUAAUUUGUCCUUGACAGACACAAAAGAAAAUUAAUUAUAGUGUUGUCAAAUUUUAAAUAGAUGACUUCUUUGGGAAACAUGGCAUUUCCUAAUAUUUAGCUCGUCUAAUCCCACAAGUAUUUUUCUCCACAAGGAUCAGGAGAUUACCGAGUGUUGUGCCGUGUGCAUUGGGCUUUAAAUUUUCUACCGGGAGGACUCCUCCCAGUCUCUGUGCCCGUCCAAAGGUCUGAUCUUCGGCGACGUUGCUUCGUUUCCCAGAAACUCGCCGUCGAUUUUCUAGGUUACUUUCCAGAGAGAGAGAGAGAGAGGCGGGGCGCGCACCCAAGAAGAGCACGCAGACACGGCAGAUGGUGGAGAAGGUGGUAUUCAAUUCCUUUUUCCAUAACCCGCUAGAAAUCGUUCGGGCGACCGACGAACGCAGAGAGGAGGAACCGGUUUUGAGGAGGGAGCGGUGAACGCCAGAUUUUUCUACUAUGGGUACUCUAUAUCCCAGAAGUUCACCUCCAUCGCCCCGGCGUUCUUGAUUUUUUCCUCUUAUCGAGAGCGAUCUCAGAGCCAAAAAUCAGGCUAGUUGUUUUGGGAUUCGUUGGUGAAUGCAGGGUAGAGGAUCGGCCGCAAUUUGAACUCCAUCGAGGCAUCACCUUCUGAACUCCGUCCACUAGGCAGACUGUAAGUAUGUCCGUAAUCUACUUGACUUGAAAAUUUAAAUAAUUGCGGAGAUAUAUACAUUAUCUCGGCAGAGGUCGAGGGGUGAGAAAGAAACUUGCACGCAUAAAUGUUUGAUGCAAUUGGUUGCGCUGUCUGAUGGUAUUCCUAUUUCCGAGUUAGGUUGAAGUCCAUAAUUGUUGGCAGGAUUUUGAGACAAUUGACCAAAAUGAAGAGGACGAGGAGCUCGGGGGCAAUCCCGACCAAAAUGAAGAGGAAGAGGAGAUCGGAGGCAAGCCUGAGCUUGGAAACUAAGCCAGAAUCCGAGUACGAUGUGUUUUUGAGUUUCAGGGGAAGCGACACGCGCCUAAACUUCACUGAUUCCCUUUACCGCAGCAUGGUACGUACGGGGAUCCGUGUUUUCCUUGACAGUGAAGAACUUGAAUAUGGUGAAGAAAUCAGUGAAGUUUUGAAGGCAGUGAAUGAGGCUCAAAUCUGCAUACCCAUCUUCUCUAAGAACUUCGCCUCCAGUUCAUGGUGUCUCCGUGAGGUAGCUCGCAUGAUAGAGUGCUCCUCGGAAUCAAAUCGGAACAAAGAGAUCAUCCCCAUUUUUUAUGAUGUGAAGGCUGAUGAUGUGAAGCUCAAAACUGAUUUAUUCAAGAAAGCCAUACGCAAGCACAAGAAGAAGGUUGGCAAGGAUGAGUUGGAGCGAUGGAAAAGUGCCCUUGUCGAGGUUGGAGGUAAAAUUGGACGGGAACUUAUAGGCAAACGGUAAAUUUCCUUGACUUCUUAUGGUUAAUAGGCACAAUCUUUACAUUUCAUUGGAUUAAAGUUUGUCCUUAGAAAUUUCUGCACGUAAAGCAUUGGGGCAUUUAUUUAAGAUUUGCUUUACAAGAUACUGAAAGCUAGAUCCAACAUCUGAGAACCCACAACAGAAAAUAGAAUUGGCCGAUUUUUUUUAAAGCACAACAAACCGGGUCAAACCCGACCAAGACAUGGCAUUUUUCAAUUCGUGCCCGUUAACCCAAUAUGACCCAACAUGGAAACCAACUUUUUACUUAUCAUAUUUUUUACUUGAUCAACUUUUUGACUUACAUGUCAAGACAAUGGAAAUCAUGCGCUUUUAUGUAAUUUUCCACCCCCCAUGGUCAUCGCAAAAUUUUGCACAAUAAACAUACUCUUGGUAAGUUGUCAAAUCGACGGUAGUAUUUUGAUUUUAAAAUUAUACCAAGACAUGAUCAGAAUUUGUUCCAAAAAGAGUGCAUAAGUAACAUUACAAAAGUACAUGGUCGUUGCAUGCAUGUAUAAAAUGGACGUUUAAAAGAUUUUACAGAAUUUCCCUAUUAUGAAAUAUUGGAGCUACUAAUUAAUGAAAAGAAAUUCGACAUGAUACGAAAAAUUUGAACAUAAUAUAUGAGAGAAUAAUAUUUCUAUAUUUGUACGGAAAGGAUAAUGUUCAGCUCAAAACCAGUUUGCAAGGAAAAGAGAUAUCCAACCACAAGAAGAAGUUUGGCCCUGAUGAAUUAAAGCGGUGGAAGUAUGGCUCUUGUCGAGGUUGCACGUAUAGAGGGAUGGGAUCUCAUAGUCAAAGGAGUAUUCUCCUGCACUUUUUCUCAUGGUCAGUUAAUUGGAACUACAUCUGUCUGGAAGAAACUGUGUGUCCAAAUUUUCGAACUUAUAGCAAUGUGGUAUUACAUUAGAAGUUAAUGGAAUCUAGACUGAAAUUGUGCUCGAAAACCUACAAUUUAGGAAAUGAGGUGUGGGUGAAGGGGAUCUUUUUCUCAAACCCGCAAAACACUAUGUCAAACCCAACAUGUAUACAAAAUAUAAUUACCAGUACAGCUGAUUAUAAUGCUUAAUUUCCAUUUGUUUGAGGUGUUGAUAUAGCUGAGUUAUGUAUCCACAUGUUUCCUAGAGUCCUAUAGUCUAUCAUGUCUAUAACUGAAACAAAAUUAUAUGCUUGCUGCAGCCAAGGAGAAGAAAUUGACUCGAUUGUUGAACACGUUUCCCGUAAGCUUAAUACAAGACACAUGAGUGUGACUGAACAUUUGGUUGAAGAUAGUGCUCAAGUGGAAGCCAUAAUGAAAUUGUUGGAUGUUGGGUCUGAUGGUGUACGUUUUGUUGGUAUCCACGGCACGGGUGGUGUUGGAAAAACAACUCUUGCCAAAGUCAUGUUCAACAAGCUAUCUUCUCACUUUGAAGGUUGUUGUUUCCUUGAAGACGUUCGAGCAUCAUCGCAACCUCCUGAUGGUCUUUUAAAGUUGCAGAAAAAGCUCUUAUCAGGUUUUGUCAGUUCCACAAUUACUGACCAAAUUGAGAAUGUUGAUGGUGGGAUCAAGAUGAUCAAAAGAGUACUUAGAAAUAAAAAAGUACUCAUCGUACUUGAUGACGUAGAUGAGAAAGAGCAACUUGAAAAUCUAGCCAGAAAAUCUGAUUGGUUUUGUUCUGGUAGUAGAAUCAUUAUCACAACUAGGGAAGAAAUCAUCCUAAAGACUCAAGUGGACCCCAAUGGAAUUUUGCUUUAUGAAGUUCUUGGAAUGAGAUUUGAUCUAGCACUUUAUCUGUUUUAUAAGUAUGCAUUUAGAAGUGACUCUGCUGUAAAAGAAUAUGAGGAUCCUUCAAGAGAAAUUGUUCGUACAGUGGGCAUGCUUCCUUUGGCUGUUAUGGUGAUAGGGUCUCAUCUUUUUGACUUGGGCAAUGAUCUGGGGCAUUUGGAUAAAAGAGAAGUAUGGGAUGAGACGCUGAAGCAGUUAAAGGAAGGUCCUUUUGACAAAGUCCGAAAAUCAUUAAUGAUAAGUUAUGAACGAUUAAAGCAUAAGGAAAAGGAAGUAUUUUUGGAUAUAGCGUGCUUUUUCACCAAUGAGGACAGAACAUAUCCAGUCAUCAUGUGGAAGGAUUGGAGUUACCAUCCUCACACUGCAAUCACAGUUCUCUCUCUCAGGUCCUUGAUAAAAAUUAGAGAUGACAACAAGUUUUGGAUGCAUGACCAAGUUCGAGACUUUGGAAGGUACAUCGUUCUUGAAGAAUACCCUCGCAAGUUUUGUAGGGUGUGGAUACGUGAGAAAGCCUUGAACCUACUGGAGAGAAAAGAGGUAAACUAUGAUGGUUUUUGAAUUAAUAUACUUGUUAUAUUUCCUGAAAAGUAGAAGCAUGAAAUAUGAUAUCUUCAGUAAGAAACCGAAACUUGAAAAUUAGUUUAUGUAGAAGAGGAAGAAACAACUAGCUGUUGGGAAAAAUAGUAAACCAUAGUUCUGGAAAUCGCAUGUUGCAUGCUCAACCAUUGGAGAAAUUGUUUGACAGCGCUUGAUGUGUCUCUUUGUUGUAGCUCUGUGUCUGUAUGUUGCAUGCUCAAUAUUGAGUCUAUGCUAUGCAGAAAAAUGAAGAUGUUGAAGCGCUAAGCCUGAUGUUCCAUGGCCACAGCUUCACACGAGAAGAAUUAGCUUGUCUACCAAAACUAAGGUUUCUUCAAGUGAGAAAGUCUGAUUUUUCUGGCAACUUCGAAAAUCUCCUUUCGGAGCUAAGAUGGCUUUCUUGGCAAACAUGGCAAACAACUUUCCAUGCAAGUAACUUUCACUUUAGUAAUUUGGUCGUUCUCGACCUUUCAGAUAGCGAUAUUGGAGAUGAUUGGGUUGGGUGGAGCCAAAUGAAGGUAUAAUAUGCCUUACUCUAUAAACUUCUUUCUGGUCAUUACCUGAUUCACGAUGAUAAAAGCAAGAUAUAUAUUUUACUUCUUUGUAUUAUUACCUCAUAAGAUUGACAUAAAGGUUGGAUUCACUCCUCAUUUCAUCCGAGUGUAAAAUAUAUUUUGCAUGAGUAAAUCCUAAAUAUUUUUAUAUCAAAGUAAAAGACAAUUAUGUCCCUCAUAAAAAAUGCUUCUUGUGGUUUAUAACCUUGGUUUCUUAGCUCUAAAAGUUGCUUAGGCUUUGGAAAUUGUGUAUUUCAAUAAAAGGAGUGUGUUCCAAUAAAUGUAAGUGCCAUUUUGCCUCAAUAUGCAUUAGAAUAUGAUUUGAGUGACCUAAAGUUUGAGCCAAGGUGAGUAAUAGAAAAGUCAAUUGCAAUCAAGUGUGAGAUUGGCAACAUUUAACCUGAACCGUGUAGAUGAUCACAAUUUUAUUUGGAAUAGCUAAAGUUGAGUCAAGGUGAGCUUGAGCUUCAUAUAUUUGAUUGAAGCGGCCACUAGCCUAAUAUAUUAGCUGAUUGUCUAUAUUAUGUUUAUGAUUACAUUAACAAACUGUAAAUAAAUGAAAAUUCCUUUACUUUUGCUUUUACUUUUACUUUUCUAUUUUACCUGAGUUAAUGAGCGAAGGCUCAAGCUUUAUAUUGAAUCGAAUCAGAUCUUUCACAGAGGGGUUGGAUAGGGUGAUGUUGAAGAUUGUGGUCGAAGGUGGUGUGCUGGUCGUCAAUGGCGAUUGGUGGAGAAAAACUAGGGGUGUUGGUUUUUGGGGCUUGCGGUUGAUCUGGAAAUUAACAGUUUUUCGUAUUUUCGUCGCAAGGAUACUUUAUUCUUUUGAUUAUCGAGUAUUGUUCUAAGAAGCGAACUGAGGGUUUUUGGAAAUAAAGCAUGUAAAGUAAAAGAUGGGUUGAUUCUUUGCUUUUACCUGUGGAAUAAAUUUGACUUCUAACAGGGCCCUAACUCCAUAAAAAAGAGCUCAGGUCGGAGAUUAUUCUAAAAAAUUUAAAGUAAGAGGGUUAUUUGCAGCAUCAUAAAAAAUAUUUGGGAAAUUCAAUUUACCUAGAUUAUCUUAAAUAAUGACUUAUGGAUGAUAAGCUUAUUAGUUACAUUACGACACACGCCAAUAUUUCUCAUUUAUUUUUUCACUUCAAUUUUCAUUUUUGGGCAGAUGGAUAAACUGAAGGUUCUAGAUCUGACGAGUUGCAUAAGGAUAAAACAAACACCUGACUUCUCGAACUUUAUGUCUUUGGAGAAGCUAAUUCUUGCUCGGUGUGUUGAGUUAACCACAAUUCACCGUUCCAUUGGUAAGCUAAAGCACCUAACGACUUUAAACAUCAAGGGAUGCAGCUCUCUUAGGACGUUGCCUGAAGAAAUCGGUGCUCUACAAUCUUUGAUGGAGGUUAUCAUGCCCCAAACUUUUCAACCCUUCAAUCUUCCGGACGAAUUUGGCAAUCUAGAAUCUUUGUCGAGUUUGUUAUUAGACGAGCACCUAGGAAUCAGCCAACUUCCAAGCUAUGUUGGAGGGUUCAUGAAAGUUACACAGUUAUCUUUACGUUGGUGUGUGGGCAUAGAGAAGCUUCCAUGCUCUCUUGGAAAAAUGGAAAUGUUGGUCGAGUUGGAUUUAUCAAUGUCAGGAAUAGUCGAAUUGCCUGAUUCCAUUGGAGAUUUGAAGAAACUAAAAGUGAUUAGAGUAAGCUAUACAAUGAUAAGAAAGUUUCCUUGUACGAUUGGACAGGUGGAGAUACUGGAAGAGUUACAUGCUAGGAAAUGUUGGGAUCUGACAGAAGAAAACCUGGAGGAAAUUGGAAAGCUAUCCCGUUUGAAGAUAUUGGACUUAUCAUAUACUCAUGUAUCUCGAUUCCUCACAAUGCUAGGUUGUCUCUGUCAUCUCCACACACUUGAAUUGGGUUUGAGUGACCUUCAGGAAGUACCUAAUCUUCCCUCAAGUUUGACACACCUUCACAUGCAAGCACGUCAGUUCCCAUCUAUCCUUGACCUCUCAAGUCUCAUUGAUUUAGAUUAUCUAGAAUUAUCUAGAUUAACUGUUUCAAGAGAGGAACCUGAUCCAAGUUGGUCAAACAAUUUGCCAGUGAAACAACUGAUCCAUCCACUUCCAAGUGGCUUGUCAACUUUGAAAUGCAGGGGCAUCAGGCUACUACCACCUCUUUCUAACUUAAGAAAAUUAUCAGUUCUGUGUGUCAUUGAAUAUCCAAUGCCAUACUUCUCUAUCUCUCAGGAGCUAAUACAUUUGACAGAAUUGAAACUAAGUAAGUGCAAAUUUGUUGAGAUAAUAUAUGUGUCACUCUUGAAGAAUCUACAGCACUUGGAACUAAACAGAUUGGACAGGCUGGUUAAGAUUCAAGGUUUGUCAGAAUUGACAUCCUUGUUGUACUUUCGUAUUUCUGACUGCUAUAAGAUAAAAAGGUUACCGAACUUAUCAAAGUUAGAUAAGCUACAACAUAUUGAGGUAGAAGCUUGUCCAGAAAUAAAAGUGAUUGAGGGAAUCAAGGGCUUAGAAAGUUUGGUGUUGGAUAAUCGUGGUUGCACUGUACUAGAGAGAUUGCUGGAUGUCUCAAGAUCAACUUGGAUUUCCCACAAAGUACCAGAGUGCCAGGUUUUCCUGAGUUUUAAUGCACCGGACACUUCUUAUAGCAUUGUCGAUGUCCUUUACAAGAAAUUGGUUCGCAACCAAAUUUCUGUUUUCAAGGAUGACGACAUAUUGAGCUCUGGUGAUGGAAUUGGCGAAGAGCUUCCGCAAGCACUCGACAACUCCCAUAUCUACAUACCCUUCUUAUCUAAGAACUAUGCUUCUAGCUGGUGGUGUCUCCGUGAAUUAGCCCACAUGGUAAAAUGCACGUCAAACUCCCUUGGGAAAAAAAUAAUCCUACCCAUUUUCUAUGAUGUGGAGGUUGAUGAUGUUAAUCUUAAAAGCGCUUUGUACAAAAGUGCCCUAGAUAAGCACAAGUGGAAAUUUGGCAACGAAGUGGAGGAAUGGGAAAUGGCUCUAAGAGAGAUCGUGCACACAAGGCGGUUCAACAUGAAUAGUAAGAGGUAAUGCUGCUAGCUUUUAUUAACUGGACCAAAUUGAACUUUAGCACCAUAGAAUUUCAUGAUAAAAAAAUGUGAACUUUUGCACAAAAACAGUCGAGGACACUGAAGUGAAUUCUUAUGCUUUGUUUGGAAGAGUUUCUUUGGUGGGUAAAGAAAAAGAAGGCAAAGAAAUUUGAGGUGAAGAAAAUGUAUUCUUUGGGGUGGCUGGAGUUGUAGGGUAGGGAGGUGAAGAUAGUGUAGGGAUAUGAAAAAUGAAGAACGAAAAAUGAAAAUUGGCAUAUCUAUUUCUUCGUAUUUUGCCUUCUAUAAAGUUAAUUUCUUUGCAACAGCGCUGAUAAAAAUGGUUUUUUGAACGAUGUAAGUAGAAAGCCCAUUGCCAAAGCCGAGAAGGUUGCCUGGGUUGGACAUUUCAUUCUCCUAUGAAAAUUGAAGAAUUUAACUAGGCAUUGAAUAAUUACCAUAUAAUCCUUCACAAUUUUGUCAUUUUCUAUUACUUUUGAGAGUUCAUUUGGAAAUGAGAGAAAAAAAAAGGGAAUUUCUCCCCUUCAUUCUUCACACCUCGGCGAGAAACAUAAUUGGUUGGCCUAGCAAAAGUUUAUUUUACUUAAUGACUCCUAAAUUUAUGUAUAGAUGGAGUGACUAAGAACAAUCAAUUUUAAGCAUAUAUACAUUGCGAAAAAUUAGAUAACACCCUCCAAGAGCCAGAAAAAUUAUUAAAAAAAUAAUAAACAUAUUACAAUUUUGUUAAUUAAGUCAUAAAGAUCUUUUUUGUCAAUUGACUCUUAAAUCAUUUGCAUUUAUGUCAAUUAAAUCCAUCUGACCAAUUUUGGCAGGCUAAUGCUAACAUGGAUGUCAUGGAUGUCAUCGUCCUAUGUGACACGGACGAUACUAAAGUGAACAAUUUUUAAUAAUAUUUUAAAAUUUUUAAUAAAUUUUGUUGUUUAAUUUCUUUUUCCUUUUAUUUAUUUUCUUUUACUUUUUAUUUCCCUUCACUUCCUUCUUCCUCAAGCUAGUCGCUGGAUCUUGAUAAUCAGCUAGACAAGAGGGUCGACGAGCUCGUUGGCCUCGCCCAAGCCGUUCGCUUGGUUGGUAGGGGAAGGUCGAGACUUGCCUAGCCACUAGUAAGGCCCGAGCCCUCAUUAGAGUUGUAAGGUUGAAGGCCGUGACUUCUAGUGAGGGUGAGCCUCACCAUAGGGUGAGGCCGAUAAGGUCAACCUCGCCAUCUCUCAACUCUUGUUGGUCGUCUUAGUCUAGUGACUGGCUGGAGGAAGAAGAAAGGGAAGAAAGAAAAGGAAAAAGAAAUGAAAAUAAAUAAAUAGUUUGAAAAAUUAAAAUAUUAAAAAUUGUCCACAUUAGUGCCCAUCGCUCGACGUAUGAUAGCUGAUAUUUAUGUUUUGAUCAGAUGGACUGAAUUAGCACAAAUGCAAAUGUUUUAGGAGUCCAUUGACAAAAAAAGGAAAGUUCAAGAUUGAAUUGGCACAAUUAUAAUAAAUUUUAGAAUGUUUUGAUAAUCUUUCCUCCAAGAGCUUGCCAUUGAAUGAUCAAUUGAAUUUUGCAACAAUUGAUAUAGAAUCUCAAUGCGAUGGUCUUUUCUAGGCAUAAGUGCCAAAACUUUCAUAGGAUGCUUGCUUGAAUGUUAAAAUUUUUUCACUUAAGCUUAACAUCAGAGAAAAAUCGAUCACUUGAGUGUCAAUUCCAGCCAAAUAUCCUACAUGGAAUUUUUUUUACUUUCUAAAUUUUUUUAUUUCCAUCUGUAUUUUGCUUUUUUUUUUCUUUUUUUUUUCUUUAGGGUUAACGAGGGUCACUGUGACUGCCUCACCCUUGGCUGCGGAGGCCCUAGGCAAGGCUGUGAGGGUCCUCAUUGCCUGUGAGUGACGCCACCUAAAGCAGGUGAGGGUCGUUGCGGCAUCGCUAGUGGUUGGCAAGGCCCCGAUGGCCUUUCCCAAGGCCUUUGCAGCGAGGGUGCUCGCCCUCGCCUUGGGUGAGGCCGCGGAGACCCUCACCAGUGUUGCUUAGAGCAGGUGAGGGUUGUUGCGGCCUAGCCAGCGAUCAACGGAUAGACUCGCCCUUGGUUGUGAAGCCACCUAGAGCAGGCGAGGAUUGUUGCGGCCAUGCCAGUUGUUAAUGAGGCCCCGACAGCCUCGCCUUUGACCGCGAAAGCCUUAGGUGAGGUCGUGAGGGCCCUCACCAGUGUCGCCUAGAGUAGGUGAGGGUUGUCGCAGCCUCGCCAAUGGUCGUCCUUGCUGCAAAGGCCCUGGGCGAGGUCAUUAGGGCCUUGCCGUCCGCUGGUGAGCCCGCAACGACCCUCUUCUGCUUUGGGCAGCAUUGCUUGCGGCUGACCGAAGCGACCCUAACAACCUCACUUAGGGCCUUAGCAGCCAAGGGUGAGGCAGCUGCGGUUGGUGAGGGUCUCCGGCGACCUUCAUCAACCCUAAAAAGAAAAAAAAAAAAAAAAAAAAAAGCAAAAAAAAUUCAAAAAAAAUAAUAAAUAUUAAAAUAAUAUUUUCCCGUGGCCAUGUCAACUUUUCUGACAAGGCAAAUCGAAAAUGGCACUCAAGUGAUCGAUUUUUCAAAUUUGUGGCACAUGAGUGAGCGAAAAAAUCUUUUGGUACUCAAAUGAAAUUGACACUUAUACUGUACUUAAUCCUCUUUUUUACCUUGAAAUGGGCCCUUCAACCAAAGAAGAUCAAGUCUGGGAAUUAUAUUUAUUUAUGUAUUUGUUAUGUAUUAUGUUUCCAUUAUUUUGUACCCUUGGGAGAGGGGGAGGGGGUGGUGUAAUAGGUUUAAACUUUAAAGUGGUAUUAUUUUAUUGAAUUUUAUGUCAAAUGCCCAUUGCCUUCUUUAAUUCAAACAAAAGAUAAAUAAAAUGCAUAACAAGAAAAAAUUUCCACCACUAACCUCAGGAUUAAUCUCUUUAAUUAAUAAAAAAUAUUUAAAAGUUGAAAAGUUGAAGAUAAAAAAAGGAAAGAAUUUCAAUUAGGACCCAAAGUGCCCUUGAUUUUUAAAAUAAGGGCUUGAAAUUAAUAUUUUCUCAAAUAGAGACAUGAACUGCUCUCAUUUUCUCAAAUAAGAGUAUGGAGUGAUUUUGUUAGUCUUAAAGGAUUUGACCUCAUUGAUUGGUGAGAGCAUUUUCAUCAUUUACUUUUUCUUUCAUUUUUUAUUUUUCUAUUUUUUUCUAUAAAGCUAAACUCUAAAAAGAAAUAAAGAGGCUAAAACUUAAAAUACACACGCACACAUCACACAUAGACACAAGGGAGAGCUGCCGGCCUUCCUUAGCUGUAGCCAUCGCCCCAUCGCUAGCGACCAUAGGCAGGAGGGCUAGCCCCAGCCCUCCCGCUUGCAACCUCAUUGGCCAUGGCUGAUGCCCCACCAUCGAUGGGGUAGUGGCCACAAGCAGGAGGGCUUGGUUUUUGUUUUUUUUUAUUUGUAUUUUUUUUAAGUAAUAGUCUUUUUUAUGGAAAAAAAUAGAAAAAAAAAAGGAGAAAAGAAAGAAAAAAUGGAAGGAAAUAAGAAAAUAUAGAGGAUAGAAAUGCCCUUGACCAGGUGAGGUAAGGUCUUCCCUUUAAGACUGACAUGGCCAUUUCAAAUCCUUAUUUGAAGUAAGAUUCACUUGAGGUCCUUUUUUGAGAAAUAGAGAGUACUCCCAUGUCGUAUUUGAAAUUUUCCUUGAAAAGAAUGGUAGAUAAGUAUGAAUAUUUAGGAAAAAUUAUCUGAUAUGGUUAUUACUUAAAGGCCAAAUGAUGAGAUAAAGGCCAAAUGACAAAGUAAAUCUCAGUUUUUUUAACACUUUCCAAUUUUAUCCUAACCUUUUAAACCAAUUAGAAAAAUAGCCAAAUCUUUCCAAUUUGUAUCAAAACUAUCCCAAACCAUUUAACACCAUUUAUGAGAGGAAUAUUCGGUUAGAUUAUUUCCCGAAUUUAUCUAGUUCUAGUAUUCAAGGGAGGACAUUUGAGGGAAAAUAAUGUAACGGAUGCAUAAUUUAAGUGAGAAUAUUUAUUUGGCUUCAUAUCAGCUAUUUUUUUUAUUAAAUGUAUUUAUGAAUUUUUUAUAUGAAGAAAAAAUGAAAAACUAGGUUCUUUUAUGCAAUAUUCAGAUAGAUCUAGCGUGAACUUAUCAAAUAAAAUCUGUUCACUUUUUUAUGCCAAAAAUAAAACUUUUCAUGAAGAAAAUAAUAAAAUAGUUUUACCUAUAAAGAAUAUCUGUUGUGCUUAGCACUUUGGAUUUUAUGGAACAAAACCGAGCAUUAUGAAAAAAAUAUUACCUUCUUCAGUUUUGUUAAUCUUACUACAUCCAUUCCAUCAAGAAUGUAUACUUCAUAUCAAUCGGCUAAUGCAUUAUCUAAAGCAUCUCCAAUACAUCAAAAUGAGCAGUUUUUCUUGAAAUUACAAUGUNNNNNNNNNNNNNNNNNNNNNNNNNNNNNNNNNNNNNNNNNNNNNNNNNNNNNNNNNNNNNNNNNNNNNNNNNNNNNNNNNNNNNNNNNNNNNNNNNNNNUGUCAGCUAUGUUAUGCUGAUCGUUCAUAGAACUGAAAUGGUGACUAUUUAAGCAUAGGGUCCUAGAGACCCAGAGAUCGUCAUAUCCGGAGAAAUUUAUACCCUUUCUUUCAUGUCAUUGAUGACCAAAAUAUUCCUGCUUUGCUGCAGCCAUGGAGAGCUAAUUGAAUCGGUUGUUAGAGAGGUUUUAUGUAAACUUGGGGGCAAAAAUGUGGAUGUGCCUGAACAUUUGGUUGAGGAUCACAGUCAGAUAAAAGCAAUAAUAGAUAAGUUGGAUGUUGACUCUGGUGGGGUGCGUUUUGUUGGCAUACAUGGAAUGGGUGGUAUCGGUAAAACAACACUUGCGAAGGUUGUGUUUAACAAAUUACUUCUUCAGUUUGAUGGUGUUAGUUUCCUACAAAACAUUCGAGAAUCAUCCCAACAUAGUCUUGGUCUUGUAAACUUGCAGAAAGAGUUAUUAUCGAGUGUUCUUGGUUCUAGGGAUACUGUCCAAAUUGAAGACAUAGGUGAUGGGAUGAAUCAGAUCAAGAGAGUAUGUAGGACUAAAAAGGUCCUCAUUGUUCUUGAUGAUCUAGACAAGAAAGAGCAACUCCAAAAUCUAGCUGGAAAAUCUGAUUGGUUUGGUUCGGGUAGCAGGAUCAUUAUCACAACUAGGGACGAAAGUAUCUUGAUGACUCAAGUGGAAUCAUUUGGUGAAGUGGUCCUAAAUCAACCUAAAGGAAUUUUGGCUCAUGAAGUUUAUGAAAUGGAAUUUGGUCGAGCAUUUCAGUUGUUUUGUGAGCACACAUUCGGAAGGGACUAUCCCGUAAAAGGAUAUAAGUAUCUUGCAGAGAAAAUUGUCCAUGGAGUGGGAAUGCUUCCUUUGGCUAUUGUGGAGAUAGGUUCAAUUCUUUGUUUCAGUCAUGAAAUUGGAGAAUGGGAAGAUAAGUUGACGCAGUUGAAUAAAGGUCCUUUGAAGGUUGUCCGCGAUGCAUUAAUGAUAAGUUAUGAAGGAUUAGCGGAUGAGGAAAAAGAAGUAUUUUUGGGUAUUGCUUGCUUUUUCACCAACGAUGACCAAACGUAUCCAGAUAUCAUGUGGGAUGACUAUCAGAGUGCAAUUAGUGUCCUCCGCCAACGGUCCUUGAUAAAAAUUAGAGAUAAUAAAUUUUGGAUGCAUGACCAAUUGCGAGAUCUGGGAAGGAACAUCAUAGUUGAAUAUCCUCACAAAUUUAGUAGGUUGUGGAUUCAUGAGCAUGCUGUAGCAAUGCUAUGGGAGAGAAAAGAGGUAAAAUGGAAGAAUAUGUGACAUAAUUUUUAUUUGGAAAGACAAACUUCUUGCAUUUUUGCUUUCAUUUUAUUGUCAGCUUUGUUCAACUUCCCAUUUGUCUUACUAGUGAAGAAUUCUCUCAAACGUACCAGAUAGAUUCUUCUAGAUUCUGUAGAAUAGUACAUAGUUUUCUGGGAAUUCUGAAACGACAAAGCGCCGUUUCACGAGCAAUCCGAGCAAAGUCAGAAGAAAACUAGUGGUAUGAAGAGUUUUUAACUUACUUCCAAACACAAAUAGAGAAAAAACCAAAAAAAAAAAAAAACUAUGAAGACUGCAAUUAAUAUGCGUAUCAUUUUUCUUGAAUAGUAGAAAAUGGGAAAUGGACAAUUGAUUUAUAAGAUAUCUUCAACUAGAUGCUUAACUAAUCUUGAGUCUCUGUUGGCAGAGAAAUCAAGGUCUGGAAGCACUAAACCUGACUUCCAGCGGUGGCUGGAGGAGCAUCUAUAUGGCUGAAGAAUUAGCUGCUACAUCAAAAUUAAGGUUCCUUAGAGUGAAAGGCUUGGAUGGCAUCUUCGAGAAUGUUCUUCUGAAGCUAGAAAGGCUUUUUGGGGAAAAAUGGGGAACGGCUUUCCAUGCAAAUAACUUUCACUUCAAUAAUUUGGUCAUGCUCGACCUUUCGGAUAGCAAUAUUGGAGAUGGCUGGGGUGGGUGGAGCCAAAUGAAGGUAUGAUAUGCCUUCCUCUUUAUACUUAUUUCUAUCAUCACUCAUUCGCAAUGAUAGAAGCAAGACAUAUAUUUUAGUUCUUUGUAUCAUUGCCUCAUGCGAUUGACAUAAAGGUUGCAUGCACUCCCCAUCUCGUCUGAGUGUAGAAUAUGAUUUGCUUGAAUCAAAAUAAAACACAAUUAUAUCCCGCAUAGAAAAUGCUUCAUGUGGUUUAUAACCUUGGUUUUGUAGUUUUGAAAGUUGCUUAGGAUUUGGAAUUGGUGUACUCCAAUAAAGUAGCUGUUUUGCAUCAAUAUGCAUCAGAUAUGAUUUGCAUGGCUAUAAGACUUUUGAGUCAAGCUCAGUAAUAGGAAAGUUAAUUGGAAUUAAGUUUGAGAUUGGUAACACUCAACUCGAAUGGUGUAAAGGAUCACAACUUUAUUUGGAAUAGCUAAGUUGAUGAUUUAAAUUAAGGUGAGCUUCACCAUCAUGAGACUUUAUUCAAGGGGCUUACCAACCUAAUUUAAUAGUUAAGUUUUUCUUUAUAAUUGCAUUAAUGAACUGUCGAAUGAAUGAAAAUGACAUUAUCUAUACUUUUGUAAUUAACUCGAGUCAAUGAGGAAGGUUGGAGUAUUACAUUUAAUCUAGCUUUUAACUACAGCGUCAAAUCGAAUCUCAAAGAAAUCUAUGGUAUAUAUUCAGGGUAGUGAACAAAUGUAAUGGAGUCCCUUGUCUGUUUCUAAAAUUAAAUUUUAAGUUAGUUUUUGAGCUACAAAAAUUGUGUGAAACCAACUUAGCUCGAUUGGGUACCCUCCCCGCUAACGGUUUCCAUUUAGUCACCUCUUGUGAUCUUUCUACAAUUUUUCAACUUAAGAUGGAUGCUUGUUGUAUUAAGUUGAAGGUAAAAUGCCCAAAAUCAUUCUCACCUUUUAUAUUAGCUUCUAUUUGCAUAAUUCAUUAUUGUUUAUUUUGGUUGUUAACAUGCAAGUGUGAUUAUGCAUGUAGGCUAUUCUGCAAAUACUUAUUCUACAAAUACCUUAUGCACGCUAGAUUUUUCUGGAAAUUGGAUUGAUUUUUUUAACAAUUUUAAAUCCAUCACUUUAUAUCUCUGAUUGUAAGUUGGCUAAAGGNNNNNNNNNNNNNNNNNNNNNNNNNNNNNNNNNNNNNNNNNNNNNNNNNNNNNNNNNNNNNNNNNNNNNNNNNNNNNNNNNNNNNNNNNNNNNNNNNNNNNNNNNNNNNNNNNNNNNNNNNNNNNNNNNNNNNNNNNNNNNNNNNNNNNNNNNNNNNNNNNNNNNNNNNNNNNNNNNNNNNNNNNNNNNNNNNNNNNNNNNNNNNNNNNNNNNNNNNNNNNNNNNNNNNNNNNNNNNNNNNNNNNNNNNNNNNNNNNNNNNNNNNNNNNNNNNNNNNNNNNNNNNNNNNNNNNNNNNNNNNNNNNNNNNNNNNNNNNNNNNNNNNNNNNNNNNNNNNNNNNNNNNNNNNNNNNNNNNNNNNNNNNNNNNNNNNNNNNNNNNNNNNNNNNNNNNNNNNNNNNNNNNNNNNNNNNNNNNNNNNNNNNNNNNNNNNNNNNNNNNNNNNNNNNNNNNNNNNNNNNNNNNNNNNNNNNNNNNNNNNNNNNNNNNNNNNNNNNNNNNNNNNNNNNNNNNNNNNNNNNNNNNNNNNNNNNNNNNNNNNNNNNNNNNNNNNNNNNNNNNNNNNNNNNNNNNNNNNNNNNNNNNNNNNNNNNNNNNNNNNNNNNNNNNNNNNNNNNNNNNNNNNNNNNNNNNNNNNNNNNNNNNNNNNNNNNNNNNNNNNNNNNNNNNNNNNNNNNNNNNNNNNNNNNNNNNNNNNNNNNNNNNNNNNNNNNNNNNNNNNNNNNNNNNNNNNNNNNNNNNNNNNNNNNNNNNNNNNNNNNNNNNNNNNNNNNNNNNNNNNNNNNNNNNNNNNNNNNNNNNNNNNNNNNNNNNNNNNNNNNNNNNNNNNNNNNNNNNNNNNNNNNNNNNNNNNNNNNNNNNNNNNNNNNNNNNNNNNNNNNNNNNNNNNNNNNNNNNNNNNNNNNNNNNNNNNNNNNNNNNNNNNNNNNNNNNNNNNNNNNNNNNNNNNNNNNNNNNNNNNNNNNNNNNNNNNNNNNNNNNNNNNNNNNNNNNNNNNNNNNNNNNNNNNNNNNNNNNNNNNNNNNNNNNNNNNNNNNNNNNNNNNNNNNNNNNNNNNNNNNNNNNNNNNNNNNNNNNNNNNNNNNNNNNNNNNNNNNNNNNNNNNNNNNNNNNNNNNNNNNNNNNNNNNNNNNNNNNNNNNNNNNNNNNNNNNNNNNNNNNNNNNNNNNNNNNNNNNNNNNNNNNNNNNNNNNNNNNNNNNNNNNNNNNNNNNNNNNNNNNNNNNNNNNNNNNNNNNNNNNNNNNNNNNNNNNNNNNNNNNNNNNNNNNNNNNNNNNNNNNNNNNNNNNNNNNNNNNNNNNNNNNNNNNNNNNNNNNNNNNNNNNNNNNNNNNNNNNNNNNNNNNNNNNNNNNNNNNNNNNNNNNNNNNNNNNNNNNNNNNNNNNNNNNNNNNNNNNNNNNNNNNNNNNNNNNNNNNNNNNNNNNNNNNNNNNNNNNNNNNNNNNNNNNNNNNNNNNNNNNNNNNNNNNNNNNNNNNNNNNNNNNNNNNNNNNNNNNNNNNNNNNNNNNNNNNNNNNNNNNNNNNNNNNNNNNNNNNNNNNNNNNNNNNNNNNNNNNNNNNNNNNNNNNNNNNNNNNNNNNNNNNNNNNNNNNNNNNNNNNNNNNNNNNNNNNNNNNNNNNNNNNNNNNNNNNNNNNNNNNNNNNNNNNNNNNNNNNNNNNNNNNNNNNNNNNNNNNNNNNNNNNNNNNNNNNNNNNNNNNNNNNNNNNNNNNNNNNNNNNNNNNNNNNNNNNNNNNNNNNNNNNNNNNNNNNNNNNNNNNNNNNNNNNNNNNNNNNNNNNNNNNNNNNNNNNNNNNNNNNNNNNNNNNNNNNNNNNNNNNNNNNNNNNNNNNNNNNNNNNNNNNNNNNNNNNNNNNNNNNNNNNNNNNNNNNNNNNNNNNNNNNNNNNNNNNNNNNNNNNNNNNNNNNNNNNNNNNNNNNNNNNNNNNNNNNNNNNNNNNNNNNNNNNNNNNNNNNNNNNNNNNNNNNNNNNNNNNNNNNNNNNNNNNNNNNNNNNCUUUUUGUGUUUUCAUAGCGAGGAUACUCUAGUCUUUUGGCUAUGGAGUUUUGUUCUAAGAUGCAUACUUGUGCAGACGGCAAAAAAGUUGAAAGUUUUGGACCUGAGAAACUGCAAAUGCUUAACAAGGACACCUGACUUGUCUAACUUCCUGGAUUUGGAGAUACUGAUAUUUGCUGGCUGCUCCAAGUUAAUUACGGUUGAUUGCUCAAUUAGUAAGCUACAGCUGUUAAAAACUCUCAAUAUGGAUGGAUGUGACUCUAUUGAGGAGUUGCCUGAAGAGGUUGGUUCUUUAGAAUCUUUAACAGAGUUCAUCUUCUCCGGAUCUUCCAAAUUGGUCACACUCAAAGAGAGUUUUGGGAAUUUGAAAUCUUUGUCAACCUUCAAUGUAAAUUAUUGCAAGGGAAUGAACAAACUCUCGAACUCUAUUGGAGGAUUAGCAAAAAUCACAUGUUUCUCUAUAAAAGGAUGUGAGGGGAUAAAGAAGCUCCCACACUCUCUCUGGGGUUUAGAAUCACUGGUCAAGUUGGAUUUGUCAUUCUCAGGGAUAGACAUUCUCCCUGAAUCCAUUGGAAAUCUGAAGAAACUCAAAGCCAUCAACAUGGGACAUACAAAGUUAAAAAGGUUACCGAACGCAAUUGGACAGCUAGAGAUGCUUGAAGAGUUACAUUGCCCAGAGUGUCCCGAUCUAUUAGGCGAAGUCCCAAAUGCUAUUGGGAAUCUUUUCCAUUUGCAGAUCUUGGACUUGUCAUGUACUUGUAUUUCUGGUUUGCCAGACACAAUCACUCAUCUCUUUCACUUGGAAGAGUUACAUGUCCGAGAUUGUAGGGAUCUUACGAGUGAAAUCCCAGAGGCAAUUGGUGAACUAUCCUGCUUGAGGAUCUUGGACUUCUCUAGAACUAGUAUUUCUGGUUUGCCUACCACGAUCGCUCAUCUCUCUCACCUAGAAGAGUUACGUGUCCAAGGUUGUUGGAAUCUACCAAGCCAAAUACCAGAUGCAAUUGGGGGACUAUCCCGCUUGAGGAUCUUGGACUUCUCUGGUACUUGUAUUUCUGGUUUGCCUGCCACGAUCACUCAUCUCUCUCACCUAGAAGAGUUACGUGUCCGAGAUUGUGGGGAUCUUACGGGUAAAAUCCCAGAUGCAAUUGGCAGACUAUCCCGCUUGAGGAUCUUGGACUUCUCUGGUACUUGUAUUUCUGGUUUGCCUGCCACGAUCACUCAUCUCUCUCACCUAGAAGAGUUACGUGUCCGAGAUUGUGGGGAUCUUACGGGUAAAAUCCCAGAUGCAAUUGGCAGACUAUCCCGCUUGGGGAUCUUGGACUUCUCUGGUACUUGUAUUUCUGGUUUGCCUACCACGAUCGCUCAACUCUCUCACUUGGAAGAGUUACGUGUCCAUGGUUGUCGGAAUUUUACGAGCAAAAUCCCAAAUGCAAUUGGCAGACUAUCCCACUUGAGGAUCUUGAACUUCUCUGGUACUCGUAUUUCUGGUUUGCUUGACACGAUCACUCAUCUCUCUCACCUAGAAGAAUUACGUGUCCACGGUUGUCAGUAUCUUACAGGUAAAAUCCCAGAUGCAAUUGGCAGACUAUCUCGCUUGAAGAUCUUGGACUUGUCUGGUACUUGGAUUUCUGGUUUGCCUGUCACGAUCGCUCAUCUCUCUCACCUGGAAGAGUUACAUGUCCAAGAUUGUCAGUAUCUUACGGGUGAAAUCCCAGAUGCAAUUGGCGGACUAUCCCGCUUGAGGAUCUUGGACUUUUCUGGUACUCGUAUUUCUGGUUUGCCUGCCACGUUCGCUCAUCUCUCUCACCUGGAAGAGUUACGUGUCCAAGGUUGUCAGUAUCUUAUGGGUGAAAUCCCAGAUGCAAUUGGUGGACUAUCCCGCUUAAGGAUCUUGGACUUCUCCGGUACUUGUAUUUCUGGUUUGCCUGCCACAAUCGCUCACCUCUCUCACCUGGAAGAGUUAUAUGUCCAGGAUUGUUGGGAUCUUAUGUGGGAAAUCCCAGAUGCAAUUGGCGGACUAUCCCGCCUGAGGAUCUUGGACUUCUCUAGAACUAGUAUUUCUAACUUGCCUACCACGGUCGCUCAUCUUUCUCACCUAGAAGAGUUACGUGUCCAAGGUUGUCGGAUUCUACCGAGACAAAUACUAGACGCAAUUAGGGGACUAUCCCGCUUGAAGAUCUUGGACUUCUCUGGUACUCAUAUUUCUGGUUUGCUUGCCACAAUUGCUCAUCUCUGUCACCUGGAAGAGUUAUAUGUCCAGGAUUGUAGGGAUCUUAUGAGGGAAAUCCCAGAUGCAAUUGGCGAACUAUCCCACUUAAGGAUCUUGGACUUCUCUAGAACUGGUAUUUCUGGUUUGCCUACCACGAUCGCUUGUCUCUCUCACCUAGAAGAGUUACGUGUCCAAGGUUGUUGGAAUCUAGCGAACCAAACACUAGAUGCAAUUGGGGGACUAUCCCGCUUGAGGAUCUUGGACUUCUCUAGAACUGGUAUUUCUGGUUUGCCUGCCACGAUCGCUCAUCUCUCUCACCUAGAAGAGUUACGUGUCCAAAGUUGUCGGAAUCUAGCGAGCCAAAUACCAGAUGCAAUCGGGGGACUAUCCCACUUGAGGAUCUUGGACUUCUCUUAUACUUGUAUUUCUGGUUUGCCUGCCACGAUCACCCAUCUCUCUCACUUAGAAGAGUUACGUGUCCGAGGUUGUUGGGAUCUUACAGGUAAAAUCCCAGAUGCAAUUGGCAGACUAUCCCGCUUAAGGAUCUUGGACUUCUCUCAUACUCGUAUUUCUGGUUUGCCUACCACAAUUGCUCAUCUCUCUCACCUGGAAGAGUUACAUGUCUAUGGUUGUUUGUAUCUUCCGGUUGAAAUCCCAGAUGCAAUUGGUGGACUAUCCCGCUUGAGGAUCAUGGACUUUUCUAGAACUAGUAUUUCUAAUUUGCCUACCACGGUCGCUCAUCUCUCUCACCUAGAAGAGUUACGUGUCCAAGGUUGUCGGAUUCUACCGAGACAAAUACUAGACGCAAUUAGGGGACUAUCCCGCUUGAAGAUCUUGGACUUCUCUAGUACUCGUAUUUCUGGUUUGCUUGCCACAAUUGCUCAUCUCUGUCACCUGGAAGAGUUAUAUGUCCAGGAUUGUGGAGAUUUUAUGAGGGAAAUCCCAGAUGCAAUUGGCGGACUAUCCCACUUAAGGAUCUUGGACUUCUCUAGAACUGGUAUUUCUGGUUUGCCUACCACAAUCGCUCAUCUCUCUCACCUAGAAGAGUUACGUGUCCAAGGUUGUCGGAAUCUAGCGAGCCAAAUACCAGAUGCAAUUGGGGAACUAUCCCGCUUGAGGAUUUUGGACUUCUCUAGAACUCAUAUUUCUGGUUUGCCUGUCACGAUCGCUCAUCUCUCUCACCUGGAAGAGUUAUAUGUCCAGGAUUGUGGGGAUUUUAUGAGGGAAAUCCUAGAUGCAAUUGGCGGACUAUCCCACUUAAAGAUCUUGGACUUCUCUAGAACUGGUAUUUCUGGUUUGCCUACCACGAUCGCUCAUCUCUCUCACCUAGAAAAGUUACGUGUCCAAGGUUGUCGGAAUCUAGCGAGCCAAAUACCAAAUGCAAUUGGGGGACUAUCCCACUUGAGGAUCUUGGACUUCUCUUAUACUUGUAUUUCUGGUUUGCCUGCCACGAUCACUCAUCUCUCUCACUUAGAAGAGUUACGUGUCCGAGGUUGUGGGGAUCUUACAAGUAAAAUCCCAGAUGCAAUUGGUAGACUAUCCUGGUUGAGGAUCUUGGACUUCUCUGGUACUCGUAUUUGUAGAUUGCCUGCCACGAUCACUCAUCUCUCUCACUUGGAAGAGUUACGUGUCCAAGGUUGUUGGAAUCUUACGGGUGAAAUCCCAAAUGCAAUUGGCAGACUAUCCUGCUUGAGGAUCUUGGACUUCUCUCAUACUCGUAUUUCUGGUUUGCCUACCACAAUUGCUCAUCUCUCUCACCUGGAAGAGUUACAUGUCCAAGGUUGUCAGUAUCUUACGGGUGAAAUCCCAGAUGCAAUUGGCAGACUAUCCUGCUUGAGGAUCUUGGACUUCUCUGGUACUUGUAUUUCUGGUUUGCCUGCCACGAUCACUCAUCUCUCUCACCUGAAAGAGUUACGUGUCCAAGGUUGUCGGCAUCUUACGGGUGAAAUCCCAGAUGCAAUUGGUGGACUAUCCCGCUUGAGGAUCUUGGAUCUCUUUGGCACUCGUAUUUCUAGUUUGCCUACCACGAUCAGUUGUCUCACUUGCCUUAAAGAACUUGUGUUGGAGAACUGUGAGGAGCUUCGACUAGUGCCACAGCUUCCCUCGAGUUUGAUAAGCCUUAUCCUUGAUGCUUAUCAUUGUGAAAUCAUCCCAGACCUCUCUAACUUAGUUACUUUAGAUCACUUGAACUUGUCCUUUCAUACGUAUGAUUUCGAGGCUCUUCACCAGUCACAGGAAAUUCUGUCCCCUUGGAAGAUGGUAGAAUCCAACCACCGGCUUCCGUCUAGUUUGUCAACUUUGCAUCUCACGGAUAUACUACCACCGCAGCAAUUUUCCAACUUCAGGAACCUGUCAAGUCUCUCCAUUGUUAGCCACUCACAUUUCCCGGAGCUUGAAGACUUGGAGAAGUUGAGGCAAUUGCCCAUGAAAGUCCGUCCAUCCCUCGAGAGAAUACUUGAUCUAUCAUGCUUGAAGAAUCUAAAAACCUUGCGUUUGUAUGGAUUGUAUAGUCUUGUGGAGAUACAAGGUCUUGGGGAGUUGGGAUCCUUGGAGUCACUAGAGAUCUACCGUUGUAAGUCAUUAGAAGCAUUACCUCAACUAUCAAAGUUGGCAAAGCUCAAUUCUUUUGUCCUAUGGUCUUGCCCAGUGCUACGGGCCGUCGAGGGUCUCGAUCACUUACAAUGUUUGGAGCAUUUGACUAUUGGGGAUUGCGUGUCCCUAGAAAGGUUGCCUGAUCAUCCAAAAUUAUACAAGCUAAACACCGAUUGGGAGUAGCCAGGAACGUCGAGUCCCUGCGUCUAUAUCAGGGGCUAGCAUCAAUCAAUGUGUUACUUAGAUUUUGUACCCUUGUAAGUCUUGUCUCUCCAUUUAUCUGUGCACAAUGGGCUCCUAAUAACGAAAGACGUGGGUUGUACAUAUAUAUUAGUUUGUUCCGCAAAUUCAAUAAUGGCGGUGAGUAUUUCAUUCUUCAUUUCUUAAUGAGAUGCACGUGUGAGUUGUUUUAGAAAAGUUUCAUAUCAGAGAAUUGAUAUGAUGUGAAGUAAUUAAUAUAUCUUAAUUGAUCCACAAUUCAUUAUCCUUAAUUUUUUUACUGAAGGUGGAUCUAAAUAAAUGUCAAUAGACUUAGAUUUUGGCUCCUCCCGGGUGAAGGUAUUAAAAAUUUGUGUCUUCUUCUCUUACUUUCGUGCUCCUAAUACUCCUAUCCAUUCCUUACUUUUAUAAUUUUAUCAAUAUAGUAAAAUACAUCUUGUAUCAUACAUUAAUUUUUUUUUUUUUUAUAAUUUUAGUUUCCUAAAUGCUAUUGCUAGAGUAUUAAGUCUUUACUUUCAAUUUUUCAAUCGUGCCUGACUUUGUUACAGGUUUUACAUGAUGUGUUUAUCAUCCUAGCGAAAAGUUAAAUUAAUGGUGGGAAAUAAUGAGGCUGGAUGGACUGAAUUAAUAUAAUUGUUAAAUGUUUAGAAUUUAUUAACAAAAAAAAAAUUUAGGGCUAAAUUGACACUAUUGCUAUAAGUUUAUGAUAUUGUUUAUAAUUUUCCUGAGCAAAGUCCCCUGCAAUAAAUGUGUAUAGCCAACAAUGAGUCACGCCUCUACUGCUUCGAAUGUGUGGUUUGAUCCGCGUGAAAGCCGGAUCAGAUUGCCACUUGUGAUGAUUAUGAUUGGGUGAUGCUUCGUGUACUAAUAUAUCUAUCUGUAUUUCCUCUUGAUUAUAGCUAAUCCUAAGGCAUCAUGACGAUGCUUGUUCAGAAGGCUCUCUAAUCUAUCGCUGUUUUCGCUAUUUGCGUUGGUUUGAAAUAGCUUCUUUUGCUUGAAGUUUAAACUCAAGCCAAGCGUUGACCUCAUUAGUUCCAAGUCAAGGGUUACAAGCUUGAAUUUCUCUAGAACUGGUUACUUACCUCGCAAACCGAUAAUUUAGAUGUUAAAAUUAAGGUUUACCUUAUAUUCUUAUUAUUUUGUGCUCGUAUGAACCUGCGAGGGCUCUUCUUGGCUGUUCCUUAACAAUAAGUUAACUCCACGCGACCGCCACUUGCCAGAUCUAAUUCCUUUGAAAACCUCCAGUGUUCUGACUCUUUUUGAGCACUGCAGGACUUGUUCUUUGACUUUUCUCCUAUGGGUAUUGUCUUCAGCCCUGCCCUCCACUUAGCAAUUAAUACGAAAGGAUCGAAUCUUAUUGGAAUUCUUCCAAACCUGGGUCGGCAAGUGGGGAGUGAUGUGAGACGAUGAAGCUAUGGGGAGAGAGAGUUCGUGGAUAUUGUCUCUUGCGGACGUGAAAGCACUGCAGGAAAUUGCUGAACCUGCGAAUCCUUGCACCCGAGGGCCUGAUUUUGCGUCUGGACUGGCCACACUAGAUUGAUCGGGACUGUGAACUCGCUCGAGGUGCUGAGAUGGCCUAUGGAAAACUUCGCCCAUACCAGCGCACUGGGAUCUCAUUGGAGCUGGAACGUUGCGAAGAGGCUUGCUGGUGUUGCUUGGAUCUCACUGGACAGAGGAGACUCGGCUGGGAACAAAGGUAAAGACAGAUUGGAGAUCGCCAAAAGGCAAAAGCAGCUCAUGAAAGAGAUUUUGUAUUUAAAGCCUCCCUGGCUGGGACGGUAAUUGAUGACUUCUGCACUUUUUUCACUGCGACAAUCGGUCUGGAGCACAAAGUAGUAAUGGGAUAUGUAAAGAAAGGACACAUAUCUGGUUCUGGAUUUGAGCAGCUUUUGAUAAAAGGAGGUUACGCCUAUUUCCUAUGGCAUAGUAGCUGCUAGUGCUACUGACAUUUACAUGUUUCUAUUUUCCACAUUGAUUCAAUACCCUAAUUAACCAUUUCCUCCUACCAUAUGCUGCACUUUUCUAUUUUUUUCCUUUCCUUCUUAGUUCGUCUACUUGCUGUUUUUGGCAUAACAAACUUCCGAUGCCAAACCUGGUCUCUGUAAUAAACUUGCCCUGGAUAUGCAAAUCAACAAAGAUGAAUUGUUUAGCGAAAAAUCAGGGUAGAAGACUCUUGUGGACUGGUUUUCCUAUGUAUCUUUUCAUUUUUUAGUACAAUUUUUUAGUGCAAUUUAUGUGCCUUUUUAGUGGAGUUCUGUGGCCAAAAACAUUGUAAUGAAUUACUGAGAAUACAAGUUCAAAACUUCAUGAUACCUAAGUGUUGUCAUAAUCGUAGGUAAUAACAGAGAGGCAGUUUUCAUUGAUCAUGCUUUUAGCUUGCUUGCGUCCAACCACAUUACGGUCAUCCAGAUGUGGUACAGACGGCCACAAGAGCUAGCGGAGUUUCUUGUGCAAGAGAAUGAUGUUUAAACUGAAGCUGAUAGUAUCUACCAGGUGACUAACUGGAACUCCUCUUGAGAUUACCAAUUUGUACAGCCUGAGAACUUAGAUAAUUCCUGUUUUUGGGAUACAAAGUUUCAGUUGAAAUUUCUGGAGAAAUUGGAGAUUUGAGGUCCUUUGACUUCUCAAAACACCAAGAAGAUGACAUUCGACACGUAAAGUCACAAGCAAUUUGGUCUUAGAUUUGUGUUGGACCAAAUUCGACGAAGGGAGGGUCUACUUUGCAAUGCAUUAAUCUAAAUUUUACCAUCUACUUCAAAAAAACAUUGCAAAAAUUAUUCACAUUAGGUCCGUCAUGCCACAUUUUGAUUAAACGACUAUAUUAAUAAAUUAUCAAAAUGUUUAGGACUAAAUUGGCUAAAUUUUUUUUAAAUAAUUGAAUUGAUUGUUGUCUAGUAGAUUUAAAAUUGAAUUAAUUGUGGUUAUUCUAAUUGGUCAACAACAAUCAAAAUAAACUAUAAGUAAACACUUAAUGUGCAAAUAGUUUUUUAUACGCCACUAAAAAUUUAGGAUUGCAUUGGCUUGAGUGGAUUUGUUAAACAUCACCAAAAGUUUGUCCCAUUAAUGUGUGAACAAUUUGCUAUCCGUCUAGCGUAUAUUGCGGCUUUUGUCUUCUUUUGACUAACCUUAACUUUUUUCUUUUUUUUUUUGGACUCUCUUAAUUGACGCCAACGAUUUAACUGAGGCUGGGCACCGGGCCUUGCUUAAACAUGCAUGGCCUGAGCGUGCCAGGAUCGGCACAUUAUUUUGUAGGCCCAUUUGUCGGGUCUUGUUCAUGGUUGGCCUUGGCCCGAUUUUUAAAAGGAAAAAAAGUUCAAUAUAACUAAUUUUUGUUAGCAAGAAAAAUAAUUGAGAAAGUUGAUGAAAAAUCAUUAAAAUUAUACCAAAUUAAGUACAUGUACAUCUUCAUAUAAUUUGAAAAAAAAAAGUGUACACAAGUUGCACCAAAAGAAAAUGCAUAAUAAAUAAGUUAUUUUCAGCAUUAUAUCCCUCACUAUAAUCGGGUGAUACAGUAUCAUCAUUAUCCUUUGGCUCAUGUGGGGUGCAUUCUUCUAUAGUUUCUUACAAAAACCAAUCAUGUCGUACCACUACCAAAUUUAAAACUUUAGCAUAUUGUUAACAUUCGAACUUUCUUGAAGUUUUAAGUAAGAAAAUUCAUUGGUUCAAGAUCUCAAAUUGUGGUGAGUCUCAUUUCUUAAAAAAAAAAAAAAUCGGUGUAAUGUCCUUAGCAUCUCAAUUGCAUGCAGAAAUUAGGAGUAUUGCAUUUCAUCAGUAAUUAGGCGUCAAUUUUUCAAUAAACCAAGAGUUGAUUUUUUGAAUUUGGUGGAUAUUUUGGGCUAGUCAAACCCAAAAAAUCAACUCUAAGUAAAAAGAUUGCAAAAAAAAAAGACAUAAAAAAAUUGUAUAUAGAUGUCAAUUUAUACAAUUUAGAUAGGUGCGUAGGAUUAGGCCUUUAAGUUUCGAAUUGUCGUAAAAAUGGCCAACCGGUUGAAUUUUUUGUCAAACCUUCAACCGAAAAAUCAGAAUUUCAUUAGUUUCUAAUCCGUUUUUCUUAUACAUUUGAUUUAAAGACUGCAAAUUUAGAAGUUUUCAAUCUGAUUAAAGAAAUCUCAACCUACGGAACCAAUCACUCAUUUAGAGUAUGAUAUUUGGCACAUAAGAUUAGAAUUACUUAAACUCACACUUCGUGCCACUUGAUGUAACCGCACAAAAUCCUAAAGAAAAAAAAAAUGUAUUCUUCUACCCAUUUUGGACGGGUAGCGGCACAUGUAAAAGAAGAAACAAUCCCUCUUUUAUUGAUCAAGGUUUACACCAUUUUUUUUACGGAGAGAAAAUCCAGAAGAAAUUCCCUCCAGAAGUUGGCUCUCCCGAGUCAGCCACCGAACGACACCACCGUACGCCGUUCACCAUCCCCCAUCAACACACCUCCACUCGCUGGCCAAUGCAGAACCGAGAGGGACCUUUUCUCAAAGCACGUGAGAAAUCCUCCUCAAAACCAGUUCCCGACGUCUUCCAUCUAUCUUGAACACGGCUGAUCAUUGCUUGUCACCGUCAGCUAUGGUUUCGAAAGGGUGCCCAACGCGCUCCGCUCUGCUCUGCUCGGGUUCAUUGCUGAAAGUCAGAUCCUUUCGUUGGCCGUGACUUUGAUCCUCAACGACAACCAAAGCUUCCGAUCCAGUUACUGAUGACAGUUUUGCAAGGGUGAUUAUUGGCGAGCAAAAUGAGCAAGAGUCACGGAUAUGCAUAUUGUCGAAUCUCUAUUAACGUAUUUUCAGGUGCUUGGAUCGGCCUUGGUGGUUCUUAAUAUACUAAAGAACGUUCUGCAAUAUCGGGGGGCCUUAUCUUGGAAGGCCCGUGAAUGGACACGGCGGUAUUCCGGAGGCGGUCAAAUGGCGGUUGCGGGUAGUAUAUGAACGGUUCUAGCUGAAUCAUGGUCGUUCGUAGAUGUCAUCUUAGAUUUGCGCGUGUUUGGUCAAUAUAGAGAGAGAGAGAGAGAGAGAGAGAGAGAGAGAGAGAGGGGAUGGGCUUUAUAUUGGAAAAUAGAAUUAGAGUGGUUCAGGGCUUAAUCCAUAAUUGGCUUAGUACAGUCGUCCUUCAAGAUGGGCUUAAUUAGGUUUAAUGAACUUUGGGCUUGAACAGUCUUAACUGAGCUUGGGUUUAGUUUAGUGUGAUUUGGUUUUGGGCUGAGUUUGUUCUUUAUUGAGUUGGGCUUACACUAACUGGAAGACAUUUUGCUCAACACCAACGUAGCUGAGAGGAUUUCAAACCAUUCUCAGACAUCUUACAAUUUUUUUUUCCCUUUUCUGUCCUCUAUGUAACUUGUUAAUUAUUGGGGGAAAAACAAACAUAAUCGAUGAUGUCAUAAAAAUAAAGCACCCACAUAUUAAUAUCAGACACUGCUUAGAAAGAGGAGGGCCAGGUGUGAAUAGCCCUUAUAGCUUUGGGCUGAAUGCAGCCCGAGAGAAAAAACCUUGAAAAGGCACUAAAACAUGAAAUUUCUAAUUCAAAUAGAUUAUAAUUGAACAUUGAGACAAACCGAUGGCUAUGAGAGGCUCAAGUUUAAGCUGCCAAAGUAUGGAACGAACUAAGCUCGAACUUAGUGAUACUUGAUUUGAGAGGCUUCUCUAAGCUAAUUAAACUUUUUUAUACUACAACUGCUUGAGACGAAGCAAGUUAAACUUUGAUCAUGAAAAAAAUCUGACCUAACUCAUGCAUUUAAUCCCCUCACACAUGUUUGUUAGGGACUCGAAACAGAACUGUUUUUUUUUUCUUCUAAUCACUAGAUUACAUGAAUGAUUGUUCAUUUAUUAAGGCUUGCUUAGAUCAUGGGAAUUCUCAAUUAAACCUGAAAAUUGUUUAUUUAUUUGACCAAACCCUUCUCUUUCCAUGGAAAAUAAGAAAGCUCCAGUUUAAUGAAGAAAAAGAAAAAGAAAGCGUGGUCUGGACUCAAUGCAGAUCGCAAGGACUGUCAAACGAGGGAAAAAGAGAAGAACUUGCUUCGUGAGUUCUUCCUCGACUCAGUAAAGUUCCACGCAUUCACUUCACCAAUAAUAGUGCAUCGGUGCGGAAGACGCGAUUGACAUCAAAGGACGGGAAAACGCCAAGCCAAGCCGACUUUCGAUUAAGACAAGCCGAGGAGGGAAAUUCAUGUGUUCAUGUGGCUGGUCGAUAGACAUUGUUUUUUGGUCAUUAUCUCAUAAGAAUUGCGAGGACAAUGACGUAAUAACAAGAAGUUGGUGAUAUCCAAUCACUGAUGAGUUUCAUGCACAAGAGAGCGUGGACUUGCGAAGUCUAUUUAUUUGUUUAUAAGUAAGAAUUUGUAUUCCAAAAAAUAUUGUAAGUGGAGCAUGUCAUCAAGCAUCACGAAACAUAUCAUGCAUCAACCAUCCUUCUAAUGUAUAGUAGUUUAAAAAAAUCCACAAUCAAUUUCUCGGUAAAAUCUACAUAUAAUAAUCUGAAUCUAACAUCUCAUAUGAAUAAACAACUAGGACGAUAAACGAUGCUAGCAAAUAUUUGGACAAAACCAAAAUACUCUUGUGACAUGUGAACGAGCCAUAAAGCUUCAAGAUGCGAAGGUAAAAAUCGAAGUCAAUUGCUUUAAUUAAUUAAGCCGUAAUACUUUUUGGAAAAUUGUAUUAAUUAUGAUUCCUUUGACAACAACUUGCUAAGACAAUCAAGGGUGAAAAUCUAUUUAUUGAGAUCGAAAGCUGAUGAGGUCUAGAUUGUACAAUUGAGCAACCAAUCAUAUAUAAAAGAGUAUGUCCAACAUUCGUCAAUUAUGAUUUCAAUAUCAAGAGAGAUUAUCUCAUCUAUUUUUAAGAUGAAGUUAUCACAAAAUUAAUGUAUUAUGAUUGUAUAUGUGUCCUACGAGAGAAUUAUUGCCCGACAACAUUGAUAGACAAGAUCAUCCGCAUAAAAAUUCUCAACUAACAGCAUGGGAAAUUUCCAAACAAACACACUAGACAGUUCAUGGUACUUAGUACUUACACAACCAACUUUUGUUUUUAUUUUUUUCCUCUUAUUUCACUCGAACAGCCAAUGUUUCUAUCUGUAAUUUUGUCCACCUUCCAGAUUCUUUCUUUCCUUGCACUCCAACUUGACUUGAACCUGCUGACGUCUACAUUUCCUGUUCAACAAUCGGAAGACUAAUUAAUUAAUUGAUUAAUUAAUUAUUAAUUAUAUUUGUUUGUUGUUUGUUUUUUAAGCAUUCCACAAGCAAGAGGAAAUUCAAGUUUGAGCACAUCAAUAUAUUCAGUUGGAAUCAACUUCACUCAAAAACUGUAAUGGAUCAAGUAUAAUAUAUUAACUACUCUACUCCAUAUCAAUUUUCCAAUAUGGUGUUUUUCUAACAUAAUUUUAUAAGCGCUAAGUAUAUGUCAAGACAAGGCAUUUUAAACUUUAGUCAUGCAAAAAAUCUGACCUAACUUGCACAUUGAAUCCCCUCACACAUGUUUGUAGGGACUCGAAACAGAAUGCUUUUCUUUUUUCCCUAAAUAUAGUGUUAAUAGCUCGAUUACAUUACUAAUCACUAGAUUAUAUGUGUGAUUGAUUAUUUAUUAAGGCCUAAUUAGCUCUCAGGAUUUCAAUUAAACCUGAAAACUGUUUAUUUUAAUUGACCCCCUUUCCUUUCCUGGAAACUAAAACUCGUCCAACAUGGGUCGGACUCCAUUGGCAAGGAUGGUCAAAUGAGGAAAAGAAAAGGGAGUAACUUGCUUCUUGAGUUCUAUACCUUGACUCGGUCAAGUUCCACGCAUUUAGUACACCAAUAAUAGCGAGUCAGUGCAAAAGACGCGACUGAAACAAAGGACCGGGCAAAACUUUCGACUAAGACCCGCCGGGGAGCGAAAUUCAUGUGUUCACAAAUCACCGAUCAGUUUCGUGCCCAACAAAUAGGGAGGUCUUGCGAAGUCUUUUUAUUUAUUUAUAAGUAAGAAUUUAAAUACCAAAAAAUAUUAUAAGUGCACCAAGUCAAUAAACACCGUGAAACUAAUGCAUGAUAGUUUGAAAAAAAUCCAUAAUCAAUUUCUCCAUAAUAUCUAUAUGUAAUAACCUAAAGCUAACAUCUCUUAGAUAAUAAAUUAUGCUAGGGGUGAGUAUGGUCCGAGUUGGGCCGGUCCACCCCCUAACCCUAGGAUCAACCCGUACAGUAUUGGUCCUCAAUUUUUGGGACCGAUGACUGACCCUAUUGAGUUUGGGACCGAAGACCGAACCGACCCAAUGGGUUUAGUCUUCCAGGAUUAAUCCGAGACCAAUAGAUAAUUUUUUUAUUUCAUUUUUUGUACUCCAUAAAAAGGUGAUCGAUGACUAGACUAACCCAAUAGGUUUGGUGACGAGCGAGGUUAGCUAAGAGAGGCCAGGGCGAGCAUCGAGUGUCGAGCGUGGUGAGCAACAAGUGGUAAGCGGCACGAGUGGCCAAAAGCGAGCAAGUCGAAUGUCAAAUGGCGAGUGAAUAAGUUGUUUCUAUUGAUUUUGACAAAUUGAAGAUUAAGAUGACAAAUAAGACAAAAAAGAAUGAGUACUAGAGGAGGAUGCUAUGAGGAGCUAUUUAUGCCAUUUUGGACGACGUGUGGACGACGUGAGGACUCCUCAAAAAAACAUUUUCCUCAUUUGUAAAUUAUCGUUGUUGAUGUCAUAAAAUACAUUAGAAAUCUAAGUUAUUAAAGAACAGUGUAAAAUUACUUGGACUCCUCACUAAGGAGUUGUUUAAUGUUGUUGGCCGUUUAUUUUAGAGUUUUCUCUAUAUAAAAAAUUAUCAAUAAUAUAUUAGAUAUAUAAUAAUUAUACAAUCAAGGUUGGUAUGGAUUAAACCAACCUUAAACUCUCAGUACCGAGGAUCAACCCUCACAGUGCUAGUCCAUGAAUCCUAGGAUCAAAGAUCGACCCAAUCUCCCUGGGAACCAAACUGGGACUAGCGGAGUUGGGUCGGUCUAGAGUCGGUCUAGGGUCAACCCUAGACUAAUGCUUACCCCUAAACUACGCUACUGAAAAUUUGAACAAAACCAAAAUAAUCUUGUGUCAUUUAAAAAAGCCAUAAACUUGAAUAUGCAAAAGUAAAAAUUGAAAUCAAUUGCCUUAAUUAAUUAAGCCAUAAUACUUUUUGGAAAAUUGUAGUAACUAUCAUUCGUUUGACAACAACUAGCUAAGAUAAUCGAGGGUGAAAAUACAUUUAUUAAGAUCGAAAGGUGAUGAGGUCUACGUCGUGGUAGGUGGACUGUGAGCACGUAAUCUACUUGACUUCAAAAUUAAAUAAGCGCUAAGCAUAUGUCCAAAUCUUGACAGACUUUGAGGCAUGGCAAAGAAACUGGCACAUAUAAUUAAUGCAAUUGGUUGUGCUUGCCUGAUGGUCUUCCUAUAUCCAAGUCUCAUUAGGCUAGAGUCUAUAAUUAUUAGCUGGCUUCUGAGAUGACUGACUAAAAUCAAGAUGAAGAGGAACUCGAAGGCAAUCCUAAGCAUGGAUAUUGAGCCAAAAGACGAGUGCGAUGUGUUUCUGAAUUUCAAGGGACUAGACUGUUGUGACCUCUUUUUCGGUGCCCGUUCAAGGCCAGGUGCCUACGGAGGCUAAUGGUUUGGCUAGGUCUAUUAGGCUUAGCUUGGACUCUUCCAAGUCCACCAAUUCACGACUUAAUGGUCCAAGUUUUUUUAACCUGUAAGUUAAUUUUAAAUAAGAAUCGUCACUAAUCAAUUUAGGGUGGGUCGAUUAGAAACUCAAGCGAAGUAUUGGGAGAAAUACUCGCUCAUGCGUAACCAGAGAAACUAGGUUCGGGAACUUGAUUAUACUUAAUCACUAAUGCCCUUCUGGUACCUAAUUUUGUUUAAACCCUAAUGUUUUUUUUUUUUUGGAUUUUUGAGGGGUUUUCCAUGCAUUUGUGGAGGAAAAACAUUUUUUUUAUACUUUUCUAUUUUUUGAACAUAAAAGGGAUUUUUGGACUUUUUGGUCUUUUUCUGGAAAAUAUAAAUAAUUUUUUUUUGGCUUUUUCUGAUUUUGGGAAAAUAUGGGAUAUUUUUUAUUUUUUGAUUUUUCUGGAAAAUAAGCAGCCCCCUUUGGCUGCUAAUUUUUUUGUUUUCUCUUAUUAUUAUCUAUUAUUUAUUAUCCGAAAAAGGAAAAAUACAUAAAUAGAGAAAUUAAGGCCUAAUUAAUCAAAAUUUAGGUGUCAACAUAGACACACACCUGACCUUAGCUGAUAGCCCUCACGUCCACUUGAUGCGCACCGCAUGGUCAAAUGGGGAAAAAAAAGAAAACAGAAAAAGAAAACAUGGGCUGAACAUCAUUAGCAAAGCCCAAGGAUGAUUCAAUGAGGAAAAUAGAGAGGAACUUGCUGCGUGAGUUCUAAGUUCGAGCUUGACUCAGUAAGGUUCGAUGCACUCCCUUCACCAACGAUAGUGCGUUAGUGCGGAGAUGCAACUGAAAACAAAGGAUCGUGAAAAAGCCAAGUCAACUUUUGAUUGAGACAAGCCAACGAAGCAGAUUCAUGCGUUCAUAUGACUUAUCGAUAAUCUUUCUGUGAUAUUUAAAAGGCGCGUUUAGUAACGUUUUUAUUCAAAAAUUGUUCCCGGAAUAGAAAUAGGAAAAACUAUUUAUAUUCUAGGGAAUAAUUUUUUAACAGAAGAACAUGUUUGGUAAACUUGUAUAACUUUUUUAUUUCUUUUAAUUUUUUAAUAUUUUUUAUUUUAUUUUUCCUUUUUUCCUUUUUUUCCUUUUUUCUUUGUUCCUUUUAUCCGGUCGCCGGCCUUGGCCAUGGCCGGUGACCGGCCGACGAGGGCCGGCGGCCUCGCCCAGCCACGACGAGGCUCACCAGCCCCCGAUGAGGCCGGUGACACUUCGGCGAGGUCGCUAGCCCUCAACGGCCAGUCACCGGCCAUGGCCGAGACCGGCGACCAGCCAAAGAAAAAAGAGAGAAAAAACAAGAAGUGUUUCUCAAAAUUGUUCUCGGGAACAAGAAAUAAGUUUUUUAUACUCUUAUUUUUGUUCCAAAUCUGUUCCCGGGAACAAAAAAAUAGAUUUUUUGUUCUUGAAAACAAAAAAAAAAAAUAGAUUUUUUGUUCCUGAAAACAAAAGUGUAAACAAAUGCAUUUUUGUUCUUUUUUUGUUCCCCGGGACAAAAGAACAAAAAUUUGUGUUGCGGGGAACAGAAACAAAUUUAAACAAACAGCCCCAUAGACUCUAUAGUUACUUAGAAAGUCAAUUUCCAAUUAGUGGUCAUUGAGACUCAUGGGCAAUGCGGAUUAAUAUGUAGGGAUAGAUAUUACCUCUCCUUUUUCCCUUUCAAAAAAAUUGGAAUGAUUGAAAUUUUUCUAUUUGGAAUUGUCUUAGGUCUAAUUCAAAUUACUUUAGCUGGAUUAUUUGCAACUGCAAAUUUACAAUACAAAUGUGGUUUCAUUUCUCGGACAAGCCUUAGCCUAGUGCUGCAUCAGAGGUCAUCUAGAGCAGGGUUAGGGCGAGUGAAUAUAAGAUUGCAGUGCGAGAUUUCGAGAAGCUUGAGAUGAGCUUCGUGUUUUUGGUAAAGAAGAUGAUCUGAUAUUAGUCUUUAGCAUGAGAGAUAUCUAUAAAAAAGAAUCUGCAACCAUCAACUUCCGUGGGGGGGGGGGGGGGGGGGGGGAGACGGUAAAAAAGGAAGCUGUGGACGCACCUUGUUCCAAUCCCAAUGCUCCCGACCAUGUCCCGACCGCUUGCUACUAUUCUGGGGUUUAGUGGUUUGCAUAUUUGAUUGCUACUAUUCUGGGGUCCGCUCUUUUGCGGAAACUUAUCAGGAGAAACAAAAAUUUCAUUUUACAGUGUAAUGCGAUAAACUCUUACCCAUUUUUUUUUUUCAAAUACCCAACUGCCCAAUUAAUAUUGUUCCUCUUUUCCCCAGUGGCUCGCAUCUUAACUCCUGUCUUUCCUCUCUUUCUCUGAAAAUCACCCUCAUCCUCCCUACGUUUCUUGAUUUUUCUUCAUUUUGGUUGCAGAGCCAAAGAGAAACACUUGUCCUCGAGAAGCGCUAGUCGGAUCUUCUUUCAUCAAGUCUUGUCGCAAUUAGCUCUUUUUACAGGCCGUGGUUAUAUUGCUGGUGAAUGCAAUAGUAGAUGAUUGGCCGCAAAUUGGACUCCAUCGAGGCGCCAUUUUUAUGACAUUCUGAACUUCGUCGUGUCAAGUGAACUGUAAAUACGUAAUCUACUUCACUUCAUAUUUAAAUAAGUGUUAAGUAUUUUUACAAAAAUUGACAGACCUUGAGGCAAGGGAAAGAAACUUGCACUUAAAAAUGUUGGAUGCAAUUGGCUGUGCUUGUUUGGUGAGAUUACUAUUUUGAAGUCUCAUAAGGCUGUAGUCUAUACUUAUUGGCAGGAUUCUGAGACGACUGACCAAAAUCAAGAGGAAGAGGAGCUCUAGGUAAUCUUGAGCAUGGAAACUAAAUCAAAAUUCGAGUAUGAUGUGUUUUUGAAUUUUAGGGGACUGGACGUGCAUCGGGAUUUUGCUUCUUUCCUUUGUACCAUGUUGAUGGGCGCCAGAGUCGAUGUUUUCUUAGAUGACAAAGAACUCCAAAAGGGUGAAGAAAUUGGUAGAGAGCUUUUGAAAGCGAUUGACAAGACUUGAAUCUACAUACCUAUCCUCUCUGAGGGUUAUCCUACCAGUUCGUGGUGUUUUUGUGAGGUUGCACACAUGGUAGAAUGCACAUCAAAAUCAAAGGGGAAUAAAGUGAUACUCCCCAUUUUCUAUCACGUGGAUCCUACUAAUGUUAAGCUCAAAACCCAAUUGUACAAGAGAGCUAUAUCUGAGCACAAGAUGAAGUUUGCCUCCGAGGAAUUGAAGCGGUGGGAAAAUGCCCUUGUAGAGGUUGCCCAUAUAAAGGGAUGGCAUCUUAAUGUUAAAAAUGACGAAAGGUAAUUUUCUUCGACUUUUUGGUUAGCAAGCCCAAUACUUACAUUUCAUUGGAUGAAAUUUACUCCCUUGAAAUUUCCAAAUAUUUUUGGCUAUUUUUUGCUAAUAUUUGCCUUGGAAGUUAGUGAAAGCUAGACCCAACACCCGAUAACCCGCGUAACGAACCGCCACCCCGGCAAGGCAUUUUCCAAUUCUUGUUGGGUUAACCCAAUAUGACACGAUAGGUAAUACCCACUUCACACUUAGUAAUAACUUUUACUUAAUCAUGUCAUCACAAUAGAAGAGGAAAAUUGUCCAAAAAGUCUUAAAUCUAUUGCGCUUUGUCAAUCGAAUCUAGAAAAUUGGACUUUUGCACUCUAUUGGGAGGUUAGUGAAGAUUGCAGGUUUGUCGUUAAGGGGGUGCUAGGAGAUAGAGGUGCCUCCGCACUCUCUUGAAGGGCUUAAAGUUUACUCAACCGUGUUGAUGUGGGUGUUGUGAUAAAGGAGCUUUCAUACCCUUGUGAAAAAUAAACCCGUUGGUUUAGUUGGACUUGAAAUGUUAAAGACCGUCAAUCUACCGGAUUCAAUUGGAAAUUUGAAGAAGUUGAAAGUAACUAGAAUGGACUCUUUAGUAAUAAGAAAGUUACGUAGGUCAUAUAUAAGUCCGACAGGUGAAAUUUCCAGUGAAAUUUCCUGAUUUCUCAAGAUUUUGUUAGGAACUCGUGUCCAAUUUGCUUAUCUCGUAAUUCAAGUUCUGUAGCAAUCAACAUAUUAAUUUGAAUAGAUCCAUGGAUUUUAAAUAUUUGUUCAUCAAAGAGCUAAUGGCAAAUGAUCCUUCAAGCAAAUCCUUGUAGUUCAUCAUAGCCAGAGGCAUUGAGUGGGGGAAAAUAGACCAUAAGUUCUUUUUUUUUUUUUUUUUUUCUGUCUCUUCUUUGGUGUAUGAAUUAAAAUGAUCUCGGGUUAUGUUUCUUAGAGUCACCAAUGUGAACUUUUCGUUCUUUGUGUGUUGCCGCAACCCUGAAGAAGUGGUCAAAUUGACUAUUGAGAGGUUUCGAGACAUCUGAUGGAUGUCAACGCCAGAUUUUGAUAGAAGUUUAAUUCAAGAUGGUUGAUAGUCGAUACACGUUGUAAGCCUGUACAAAAUUUUGGGAGAACGCAGAUAGGCACAAGAUCUCUUCUAGAAAGUUAUCUAACUUUCCUAGCACAAAUACCUUGAGGAAUUUCAACAUAAAUCUUAUGGACGUUUACUAAACUUUAGCGUACUUGCUAUCAAGCCAAUGAAUUUUGAUUUCUUUCAUUAAGAGCAGGAAACUUUACCAUUUUUUUUCAAUCUAAGGAUGCAUUUUUGCUAGAUUCUGCAUAAAUUGAAAAUCUUCCAAUGUUGACAUGGUGAAAAUGCGGUUAAUUUUUCUGAUGCCAUGUAGCUACACAUGUUCACUCAUCACUAUCAUGUGUCCACCACAUUAAUACAUCACUAGAAAAGUGAUUGUUGCGGUUAAAAAGUACAUCAAUUGUAAAAAGAAGAAGAAGAAGGUACAGUGCUAUGAGUGGUAGAAUAAUUACAAAAUCUACCAAAAUUCAGUCACAUAUAAAUAUAGAUAUUAAAAGUAUUUGCAUUACUAGUAUUAAAAUUUACAAAAAAAAAAAAAACCAAUUAUUAUUAUUUUUAAAAAAUGGAACCUGGCUCGGCUCGUUUUUCUUUUUCUUUUUCUUUAACCCACGCGGGCCGGCCCACGAGCGGGUCUUGUUCUUUCCUCACGUCGCGCAACAGCGACAUACAGAAGCAUAUCAGCAAGAACAGAAGCAGAGCAGGCCGCGGCGGCAGCACAAUCCUAGGGUUAGGGAUCAGUCGACCAUGGCAGGCUGGCGGUGGCAGAAGCCAUGUGCGCCAGCCUGUAGUCUUUGAAGAGAAAGAAAAUCAGCCAAAAGGGUUUCGGGGAAGAGCUUGAGAAACGGAGAGAGGAGAGCUUUCUUUUUUUUCUUUUUUUUUAUAACAAGGGGCGACAGAGAGAGGGUGAGGGCUCCAAACAUCUCGGCCACGCCCGGAUCCGUCCGACGACCUCUCCCGGCGCCGAACAAAUAAGCCUCGGCUGUGCUAUUGUCCUGUUUUGACUGCGCCAGGCUGGAGCUCGUGGCCGUCCGGUUCAGGCGAUCUCCGGCCCCGUCAGUCCUAUGACCUGUUGUCAUUAGUAUUUGCUUGUCUUCCGUCGAGAACCCAGCACGGGGUUGAGUCCCGUUCGAGUCGAAAACUCCAUUACCAGUGUCGCACGUCCCUUGUUUGUGAAAAUGCCUCAACUAGAUCCGCAAACUUUUUCUUGAGUUCGAUUUGCUUCAGGAAACAUAGGUCGUUUCGCGCAUCCUUUGUUUGUGUCGUGACAGGUUCGCGGAGCAGUAACGUUUACAGGGACUGGGGGUCGGCUUGGCCGAGGACAACUCCGUGUUGCUCGGACUUCGACUAAUGGAGGAGUCAGGGUCUGUAACGGUUUGGUCUGAGUCGGGUCUGUCGAGCACAAAUCGCUCAUGAAGACGCUCCAAUAGUCAAUGGUGGUCGUUGGAGGAUCGAGUGAUCCUUGAUUUAAUAUAGGAUAGUUAGCGUUCUGUUGUUCUGGGUUUAAUGGACGCCGUUGGUUUCGGGGAAUGCUGGAGAAGACGUGACGGAGCAAGCGUGGAAGGCGAUAGGGGCAUAAUGGAUUUUAGUGCAGGUGGGCGUGGUUCUAAUUAUAAGUGGGUUGGUGUUUCCGGGCUUGGAUUGACUAACUGAAAGAGGGCUUCAGUAACGGCUUGGUGUUGCUUCAGGAAGAGAGUGGGCUUGUGAAGUUUUAAUUAAAAUAGGCCCAAUGGUAAGCCCAUUUGAAGCAUGACCUUUUAUAACCCAAACCUGAGCCGUAAAUUAAGCCCGCGACUCACGGCCCAGUACAUCAGGCCCAGUCCGUAUGAGGGCCUGGCAACCCGGGCCGGAUACCGGAUCCGGAUACCGACCCGGGUCCCUAUUUCCAUAUUAAAAAAUAAAAUAAAAUAAUUUUUUUUAAAAAUUCCAAAAAAUAUAUCUUUUCUAAAAUUAGGAAAAAGCUUUAAAAUUAUUUUUGAGUAGUUUUUUCUUAAAAUGUGUGAAAAUCUCUAAUAAAAAAAUUGUGCUCAAAUUUGAAUAAGCUUUAAAAGUUUUAUAAUAGGGUUUAAAUAUUAUUUUUUUAAGAUAAAUGCACUUGAUUGUGCAUUUUAAAUAUGUUGGUGCAUUUUAAAUAUGUUGGUUAUGGUUUCCCUUUAGUCUAGUUAGAGAUGGCAUUUGUCUUGUUUUUUAAUAUUGGAUUUUUGUUUUUUCUUGUAAUAUAUCUAAUGCUUUAUUUAUUUGCUAAUUGUUAUUUUAAUGAUUGUGCAUUUAUAUAAUCACCUCACACGUUAAUGAAUAGAUUUAGAAUCAAUCCAAAUUACUUAACAAGCAUUUUGAAAUGAAUAAUAUUAGGUAAGGAAAUUGCAUUAAUUGUAACUAAGUUCCCAGCCAAAUGGAGCUUAAAUGUUUUGUUAAUCAUAUGAAUGAAAAUAUUAAGUCAACUUGGGAGAAGGUGUGUGCUAGGGUUGGUCCCUUGUUGGAGAAAUUGUUUACCAGCUCAUAUGCUUCCUUUCUUUAUAGCUCUUCGAGAGUUUAAAGUUUUAUGAACUCAAUAAUCUUGAGUCUCUAUUAGCAGAGAAAUCUAGAUGUAGAAGCACUAAGUCUAACUUCAGGUGGCUAUAGCCGCAACUUUACACCCGACGAGUUUGUUGCUCUACCAAAUCUAAGGUUCCUUUGAGUGAAAGAGUUUGAUUUUUGUGACGACUUUGAGAAUCUUCUUUCAAAGCUAAGAUGGCUUUUUUGGCAAACAUGAAAAACGACUUUCCACUCUAACAACUUUCAUUUUAGUAAUUUGCUCAUGCUUGACCUUUCGGAUAGCAAUAUUAGAGAUGGAUGGGGGUGGGUGGAGCCAAAUGAAGUUUUGACUUGCCUUAUUCUAUGUAAUUCUUUAUGGUCAUUACCUCAUUCGUGAUGAUAGAAGCAAUAUAUAUGCACUUUAUUCUUUGUAUCAUUACCUCAUACAAUUUACCUAAUGGUUGGAUGCACUCCUCGUUUCAUUUGAGUGUAGAUCAUAUUUUGCAUGAGUAAAUCCUAAGUCUUUUUAUGUCAAAGUAAAACACAAUUAUGUCCCACAUAAAAAAUGCUUCAUGUGGAUUCUAACCUUUGUUUUUUAGCUCUGAAACUGAAACUUGCUUAGACUUUGGAAAUGGCGUACUCAAAUAAAAGUAGUAAAUUCCAAUAAAUUUAAGUGCCAUUUUGCUAUAGUAUGCGUCAGAAUAUGAUUUGAAAGACGUAAAGUUUGAGUCGAGUAAUAUAAAAGUCAAUUGUUAUCAAGUUUGAGAUUGGUAACAUUUAACUUGAACCAAGUAAAUGAUCACAAGUUUAUUUGGAAAAGCUACAUUGAUUAUUUGAAUUAAGGCCAGAUUGAGCUUCAUAAUACUUUAUUCAAGCAGCUCACUAGCCUAAUUUAAUAGCUGUUUCAAAUAGCUAAUUUAAUAGCCUAAUUUAUGUUAAUGAACUGUAAACAAAAUAAAUUCCAUGACUUUUACUCUUCUAUUUUACCUGGGUUAAUGAACGAAGGCUCAAACUUUACAUUGAAUCAAAUCAGGUCUCAUACAAAUCUGUAGUUCACUUCGGGGUUGAGAACAAAUCUGAUGGAGCUCCUUCUCCAUUUCUAACGUAAUGUAUUUCUUCUUUAAACUUCUAUAUUUACUGUGUUUGACUCACAUUGUUGCACGAUCUUGAGAAUUACUAACCAAAUCAAUUCAUAAUAAUUUUAAUGUAUAUGCUAUGUAAAUUAAAUGCCUCUCUCAAUCAUUGAGUGCCGGACACCCCAAGUGUCAAAAUUUGGCAUGGAUGAACAGUGAAGUACCAAAACUUCCAAAAGAUACACUUAAAUGCCAAAAUUGAAGAAGAAAAUACUCUUAAGUACUAACGGCAAGAAAUUAUGGCCAAAAUAUUAACGUCCCAUUUUCUAACGACUUUUUUUGUUGACUAGGCAAUUAUUUUUAAAAAAUUAUUCAUGCGGCGCUGACGUGACAAUUACUUUUUUGAAAAAAUUAUCCACGUGACAUUAACGUUGCUAGCUUGUAGAGGUAUCAAAAUGGGUCGUUAAUGGAUGAAGCCUAUUUCCUAAAGCACCCAUAAUGGAUUUUAAUGGGUCAAGACUGAGAUAUAUGGGUCUUAAAUGAGUCAAAAAGCUAACCCAUUUAAGACCCAUUUAUCAACCCAUUAAAAAUAAACCCAUUUAUUUUCACCAAAAACCUCACAAUCUCUCUCUUCUCUCUUUAACUUUACAAAAAUAAAUUUUUUUUAAAUCGAAAUUAUAAUUAUUUUUUAUUUUAAUUUUCUUUCUUUCUUCUUCCUCCAAUGGCCGGCGAUCGGCUAGGCGAGCCUCGAGCUUGUCGAAUUUGGUGAGGCGGAGGCCUAGCCGACGCCGGCAAGUUCGAGUCUCACCAGUCGACACUCAGCGAGGCUCGAGCAUCGCCGUUCUAGCAAGACUCGAACUCGCCGGCAUCAGGCGAGGCUCAAGCCUCGCCAAAUCCGGCGAGGGGCAAGCUCGAGCUUGCCCAAUGCAGGGAGCCUCGAGCUCACCAGAUCUGGCGAGGCGAAGACCCCGCCAACGUCCGACGAGGGGCGAGCUUGAGCUUGCCUGACGCCAGCGAGCCUCGAGCCUCACCAAAUCCGGCGAGAGGCGAGCUCGAGCUCGCCCGACAUCGGCGAGACGGAGGCCUUGCCGACGUCAUGGGUUGGGUAUGGGUCGGGUAUGAGUAAAAAAUUUUGUAUUGCAAUAAAUGGGUCAUAAACGGGUUAAAUUAGUCAAUUUGGGUCGGACCAUUUAUGACCCGACCCAACCCAUCCGUUUAACGGGUAUACUAGCUUGUCUCAAAACAACAUUGUUUUGUCCCAAAAAUUAAUUUUUAAUACAAAUAUUAAUUAAAUUAAAAUAUCUUUAAAAAAAAAAAGGAGGGGAGGGGAGCAAAUCAGUGAGGGCCUUUAUGACCCUUCUUGUUGUCGUUGCCCCACCAUCGCUGGAAAAGCCUAGCGACGAUGAGGCAAGGGUUGGCCAAGGUUGUUGGGCCUUCGAUUUUAUCCCCUAUUUACUACGGUGACGAAGAAUGCCAACAAGCCAUUGCCCAAAGAGGCUAAGGACCGUCACUAGCUAUGGCGAGGCUAGGCGACCCCACCCCAGCCAACAAUGGCCUUUGGCCCAACUGGGUGAGGGCUAGCAACCCUCACCGAAUCUAGGAAAGGGUCGUGAGCCCUUGCCCUAGAUAUAGGUGAGGGCUUGGUGGUUAGCCAGGGUUGCCACCUACUUGUUGGGGCUUGGUGACCCAGCCGACCAUCACCCCAUCGUUAUCAGCCUUUUCAGCAAUGGUGGGGUGGUGGCAAAAGUGAGGGUCUCAGCGAGGGCCAAACACUGCCCCCUCCCCCUUUUUAAAUUUAAUUUAAUCAAUAUUUAUCUUAAAAAUCAAAUUUUGGGCAAAACGAUAUCGUUUUGCACUUUGAUUGCUGAGUAGACAACUCUGAUGAGCUAUAUAGACUACAUUUAUUUUUAAAAUAUGCCACAUCAGAUUUUUGACUAUUCUCAUCAGAGUUGGCUGUUGACACCUAAAUUUAGACGACCCGUUUAGUCAUUUAUCGCAUUAAAAAUUAGGGAUUAAUUUUUAACCCCUAAAAAAAUUAUUAUUAAUUAAUUGCGUAGCAUAUAAUUUUAUGUGCAUUUAUUUGGAUCGAUGACGAAUGUGUUUGAGUCGAUGGUUCUGAGCUUCUAUUUGGUGAGUUGACAAAAAAAAAUUUGGCCAAGCCCAUUAUUCCUUUGAUGGCUAAAGUUAUGCAUGCAAAGAUUUCAUUGAAAUGCGCAUGAUAUUUGAGUGGGGGCUGAAUCUUUUAGCUAUGGGAAAGAAAUAAAGGGGAAAAAGGAAAAUGAAAGUAGAUCUGCAAGUUCGCCUUGCAAGUUCGCCUCUUCGCGCAAGGAAAAUAUAUAGAUUACAAGAAGUGGGAUCGGUCAACAUGGGGAAUAUAAUCGAGACCAUCUUUAGGCACCCACGGGCACAAGCAAAAGGAAAGAAGUCAGAGUAAAAUAUAUCUUGAACAUUCCUCAGAGGAAAGGAAAUUGGACACGGCAAGAUUUAAAUCAAUUAAGAUUGUCUCAAAGAGGAAAGAUGCGUAAGAAGCAAAAAGAAAGCAAGCAUAAAAGCCAAGAAAGUGGACUAUCUUCCGGUGGGGGAAUACAUAGAGAACACACGAGAGAGAGAGAGAUAAGGAGCUCUCGGCCAAGCCUUGGCCGAGACGUCCUUCUUGCAGCCCGCCGCCGUGCCUUGCACUGAAGUGAGCCCAAGCCUUGCUGUCCUUGCUUUGCCGCGGCACCCGACGACACCCGCCCGCUGUCCAUCGUUGCCAUCGACACUGAGGUGCUGCCGCUCAAAUCAAGCCAUUAUGAGGAGCUGUUGUCUCCAUCUGCUCCCGUGCUGCCAAGCCCGACGUGAGCGACGACCAGUGCCACUCGUGCUGCAAACCUGUUGCUGCACUGACCAGGGACGAUACGCUUGACGACGCUGACCGCUACCUGCUGUUCAAGCCCAACGCCAAGCUACUGCCCCAUCCCGCGUAGGCUCAAGCCAACGUCGACGAUUUUGCUGUGCUCCGAAGUCAUCGAGCGCCACCCACUGCACCUGAGCUUCGGUCCUACACCUCUUGCGGCGUUGACCAGCGAAGAAUGGUGACUUUGUGUGAACUCCAGCAACGUCCAGCGAAUCCAGAAGUGUCCUUGUAUUGAAGUCUUAGUGGGUUCCCAAUCAUUCCCAAGCCCAGCAGGUCAAGCGUUGGUCCUAUCCGCGUUUAUUCUUUUCUGCAUAUUUACUGAUAUUCAUCAAGCGGGCGACACAUCUUUGAGCGUGGACUUCAUGAAGGAGAGGCACCUCAUUGUGGAGUCCAUCCUGUCGUUGUCACUACCGCGAGCAGCACCUUCCUUGACGGCCGCCUCGUGAGUUUUGCCGACCACCAACUUUUAAUCACCGGUUACUCACCAAGCACCCAUGAAGUCUCGGUAAUACCUCAUUUGUUGAUCCGCAAGCCUUGACUCGCCGAGAAGCACCAUUGGCCACCGACAGCUCGAGCCAAGAGGUCCACAUCAACAUGAGCAGUUGCUGCUAUGAGUCACUCACCACCCCCGUUCACCCGUGAGGAGCUGGUUGCGAUCCGGUCCGAUUGCACUUAGUCCAAAUUUGGAAAGAAUAUCUUCAAAUUAGGUAAAAUGCUCAUCUCUAUUAUAUUUGGAUAUUUGAUUGCCUAAUAUAUGUCUAUUUAUAUCUAGUGUUCAUAUCCAUGAGUGAUGGACAUAAUUUUCAAUUAAGAUUUAUUGCCUAAUCCGCAACCGCACGGAUUUUUUAUUCCAUCUAUAAGGCUUUAGAUGGAAUAAUUAAUCACGCGGGAAUAAAAUUGAUAUCUUGAUCUUUAAUGCUUAAAAUCAAUUUAUCGAUUUUAUUAGCGAAAUAAUCAAGUUUGAUUAAAUAUCAUUUCCAGAUUUGAGCGAUGGAUAUUAUCCUUGGUGAUCACGAAUGAUUUGGUGUUUGUCUUUUAAUUGCUUUGUUUAUCCCAAAAUGCAACAAAAAUCAUCAUGCAUAUGUCAUGUAGAAUUAGGGCAUAUUUUGUACGUCAUUGCAUAUUAGGGUUAAAUUGCACUUAGUUUAAUUUUAGAUAACAUUUUUCCUUAAUUUAUUAUAAGUUUAGGUAUUUUUUAGAUAUAUAUUACAUUUUAGGAUUAUUUAGGUUAAGAUAAUGUUUUAGUUUAAAUUAGGAUUUGGCUCAACCUAAUUCCUAAUAUAAAUUAAAUAGGAUCUUAAUCUAGCUAGAUAAUUUUCACAUUUUACCUAAUUUCGAAUUUCAUGAAAAAUACAAAAAAUGACAUAGGUUGAAUUAGUUUUAUUUUCUAGGAUAGAUUGCAUUUUUUUAGGAAAAAGAAAGAAAAGAAAAAAGAAAAAAGAAAAAAUGUCAUAUGCACGUCAUUAGGAUUGGAUUCAUACAAUGCACGUCAUUUAGUGAUUUUUGUUAGAUUCAUUUAAUUAGAAAUUGCCCGUCAUUAGAAUUAGGUCAUUAGAUUAAUUUAGAUUGCAUAUUUAAGUGUUCCAUUUAUUUAAUUUCGAAUCUCAUGGAAAAUACAAAAAAAAUAUUUUUAAGAAUAAAUCCAUCUCAUGCUUCAGGAUAGAUUACAUGCUUAUUUAUGUCAUAUCACUUAGGUCAUAUAGCUAAGUCAUGUUGCAAUGUCAUAUCAUUUCAUGUUAAAUUAGUGGCAUGCAUUGCAUAAAGCAUGAUUAUCAUUAAUUAAGUGAAAAAAAAAAAAAGAAAUUGAGUGUUAAUUAGAAAUCAUAUCUAGGGAUGAUGUGAAUUCUGAUCUAACAACGCAGAUGCUUUUAUUGCUAGGAGGUAAGUUCUACAAUUUAUUCAUUGCUUUCUUGGAUGUUAAAUUGGUGGUUUGCGCACCCGCAUGAUCGCUUCACAUGUUAAGGAAAUAAAUUUAAAAUCAAUCCAAACUGCUUGCCAAACAUUUUUCAAAAAAAAAAGAAAGGUACCGAAAAGGCGUUAGAGAAAUCUAGUGUAACCAAAUCCCCGAACUCAUAAAUCUCUAGUUCGUAGAAAUAAAGUAAAUCUCACAUUACUUUACUUGGGUUUUUAAUCGGCCCACCAAAAAUAGAUUAGUGACGACUCAUAAUUGAAAAUCAUUUGUAUGUUAAGAACUUGAAUAUAAGUCGCGAAUUGGUAUGUGCUUGGGAGAGUCUGAGUUAAGUUUAGGCUUAAUACUCCAUUAGCCAAACUUUAGGUGAUUCAAACCCGAAAAAUUGACCGCAACAUUGGCACUUAAGUGUCCAAAUUAAAAAAAAAAAAAAAAAAACACUUGAAUGUACCUUUUGAAACUUUUGGUACUUAGUAUUCAUCCAUACCAAGUUUUGGUAAUUGCGGUGUACUUUAGCCCUCAAUCAUUUCUUAAAUUUUCUUUUUUGUGACGAAAAGUCGAGCGGAGCUAAGUUUAUCCAAAUUCACGUUCAAUAAAUGACGUUUGGUCAUGUCCAGCAACCAUCCAGCACCGAUCAAGGCAUUCGUGACCAAGACACAAAAUCAUUUUACAACAAACUAGCAUGUAAUCGAUGUAACGUUUUCCUACAAAAGCAUAUGAUGAGCCAGUGCAAUCAAGAUGAGAGCCAAUUUCCAUCAAAUCAUCAUCAAAUUGAGGUGGCGAAAGCAAGAAUAGCAGUCAUGAAUAAAAAUCCUGCAAGUUUCAAGGCACAGCAUCAUGGUUAAUUCGCUAAAAAAAUUAUCACCAAUUCACCAUAACAUUCUCCUAAAUCGUCAUACAUGUUCAUAUAAUAAAAAUGGCAUCACAAAAAGUCCAGAUUGUACUCCAAUUAUUUAAGCCAGCAAGUCCAAAUUUCAUUCCAGCAUAAUCAAACAUGGCCAUGUACCUAAUUCUUCAAAAUUGACACGUAUUCUUCACAGCCACUCAUUGCCCACUCAUUGUAUGAAAAUUACAUGCAAACAUAACCAAAUUGGAACUAAAUUGACAUCAAAACAGUCAUGACCAGUAAGCCACAAAGUUAAUUCUAGCAGGUUCAAGUUCAGAAGGAUCCUAUUUGACGAGAAAUAGAUGUAUAUCAAUUAUCAGGGGUAUCCAUACUCAUGUAUACGCUCUUAAAGCUUUAAUAACAAACAACUGAUGCCAAAACAGCCUUGGUCUCAUAUAGAACCGACCAAGCUGAGGGAGGAAUAUCGAAAUGAUUUUCAAAGCAUAAAGUCAAUACACUAAUGAGGAGGCUUCUUUUAUUAACAUAGUCAACCAUGAUUCAAAAGUACAUGUAAGCUCAAGCGACUCUCAACAAUCAUCCUAAAGUACCUUAUGCAAAAUACAGAAGAUAGGAUCUCAGCACAUUCGUUCACAGAAAAGACAUGAUCCAGAAUUCCCUCUCAGGAAAAGAUAUGUAUAGCAAAUGAGAUCUGCGCUCCAAUGUAUAAGUCCAGAUGGUGAGUUUAUGCCUCAUGGAUGCAUCAGGGACCAUCAACGAGUAUUUACAAUUCAGCACAUCAACAUUUUUUUAGCUAAUUUGACAAAGUCAAACUCAUUGCCUGCGAACAUCGGAAGUGCAUCAAGACUGAGAUUUUCGGGAAUGGACUCAAAAGUGAAUAUCAAUUAGAUUUACUUAACCUAUGCAACCAGUAUAAAGAAUCAAUCAAGCAGACAGAAUGAUUACAAUCAAAUUCGAAGUCAUGUUCAUACUUAAUACGACUCAGGCAUUUCACCAAACAACUAAUGAGCAUUCAAUCGACAGGCACAACGUAACAAUGAGAUAGUGAGAAUCACAACCCAAUCAGUAAAGAUCAUCAAGCUAGAUUCUAACUCGUUAAUAUAGUCUCGAUCGUGAACAAUUUUCAUGCUAGCAACAACGAAGCCCUCGGCUUCUAUCUUAUACUCGUAACACUUAAAAACAGAGCAGAGAGCCUUUACCUUAGCUAGAAGCGAUCGUCGGUCACAUUCGGUCGUUCAACCAGUCAGAGGAGGCCGUGGAUGCGUUGGCAAUGAUGAUUGAAGGCAGCGAAGGAGAAUUGAACGGGCCGUGAGUGCUUCGAGCACUCUGAUCGGAUUUACAGAGCAGAACCAAGAAAGCCCCAUUCAACGAGAUCUUUGACAAUCUGAAGAGACCAGACUUCGGUGACAAUCUAGGAAGUUCCAAAAUAAUCGAAGGAAAAAGCUCGGCAAAGAAGGAAUAUGGAUCCUGAGACUGGAGUUGAGCUCCUGAGUAGAUAGCGUCAUUAGAAUCGGAGAUGCGUUGAGGCAUACCCCGGUGACACAAGCAAGAACAUGGAGAAAUCAAUAUCACUGAUUGAAUCGCGCAUGGAAAAUCAGAGAAGAAGAGGGUGACUUCACUUCCAUGCCAUUGCAGUAAUCGAAGAAAUGAACAGGAAGGAGGAGGUGCGUUCGUUGGAACAUAACAGAACUGAGAAACGUGGAAUCCGCCGGAAUGAAGAGAGGCUGAACAAUCCCAAAAGGUUGCCACUUGCCAGGCCGAGCCUUAAUGGGUUCUGAUCUUUGAUUGGGCUAAUGGACUGAAAUCGUGGACCUGGGUUAGUGGGCCGAACGAAGCGGGCUUAUUGGAUCAGGGCCUUUCCUUCAUGACCCAAUUGGACCCUUCGACUAUUUUUCUUCUUCUCUUUUUCUCUUCUUGCAUCUUUGCUUUUUUUUCCCCUUAUUUUCCUUUUCCUUUUUGUUAUUAUAUGUAUUGUUUACGCAAAGUCUAUAUGAUUUGUCGACAAAGAUCUAAGUGCCCACAAGAUGUGGGAUCUUUCAAAGUGGGUCGUGAGUGAAAACCUGCGAUUAGUCUUAAAAAGAAGGGAAUAAGCUGCAACCAUUGGGCUCUCUUUCCCAUCAAUGCCCUGUUUUAAAAAGAGAGUGAGAACAGGAAAGGGGACCAUUCUCUUUAAAGCAAACAGCACUGAGCCAAAAAGGCACUUUAUUAAUAAUCUGAACGCACCUCAUUCAACAGUUAAAAAAUAAAAAAUAAAAAAAUUCAUGGUGAUGCAUAAUUGAGUUGUCCAAGGUAAUGCAAAAGUCUUACUUUAAUGCCCGACAACACAAAUUAAAUUAAGCCAUACUUUACAAUCGCAGCCGCUGGUUUGCAUAAUUGAGUUGGCCAAGGUAAUGCAAAAGUCUUAACAUCACUUGAAAAUGCACAUAAAGUUCCAAAGACAAAGGUCCACAAUCAGACAACUAUAAAAUACCUUGGACAGCCUUCUUUAUGAAAAAGAUGCUCCCGGUGUAGCCUAGACUAAUGAGUUACUUAGGUCCUACAUGGUAAAUUGCCUAUUUUUUUGCUCUUUUUCUUUUUUGUUUUUCAAAAUUAAAAAAGAACAGAAAUCUAUUUGGUAAGAUCAACUAAUUUUUUUUUUUUAAUUUCUCGAAAUAGAAAAGGAGCAAGAAAAUAGAUUUGGAACAAAAAUAAGAAGUAGAAAAAAAAUGUAGCUUCUUCAAUUUUUAGAAAUAAGUCAGUUUUUUCUUCUUCUUCCUCGCCGUUUGUCGCCCCCACUGCAUGUUACUGCCUACCUUUGCUUGCCACUACCGCCAUUGGUUGCUAGACCAAAAAGAAGAAGAGAGGAAAAAAAGAAAACCUAAAAAAAUUAUUAAAAAUUAAAAGAAAUUUUAUGUUACAGAAAAAAAUUAUAGGUCAUAUCAAACUCAUUCUUAUUUUUUUUAUUCCAAGAAUAUAAAUUUUAUAAAGUUACCAAACACAUUUUUUACCCAGAAAUCAUUUCAAAGAGUAUAAAUAGAAAAUGACUAUUUCUGAAAAGGAAUUGUUCUCCAAAACGGAAAAGUUACCAAGCGCACCGUAGCGACCGGGGGCGACACUGUUGCCAACAAUAAUGAGUGGUGAAGAAGAAGAAGAAAAGGAAAAAAGAAGAAGAAGAAGAAGAAAGAAAAUGAUUUAUUUCUAGAAAUUGUUCAUAGUUAGAAACAAAAAGUUACUCUUUUUGCUUCUUAUUUUUAUUUUAAAUUUAUUCCCAGACUAUUUUUCUAUUCCAAGAAGUAUAAAAAUUAGUUGACGUUACUAAAUGAAUUUCUAUUUUUUUUUUGAAAGAACAGAAGAACAAAAAGCCCAAAGAAAUUGGCAAGUUGCCAUUCUCUUUAAAGCAAACAGCACCGAGUCAAAAAGGCACUUUAUUAAUAAUCUGAACGCACCUCAUUCAACAGUAAAAAAAAAUAAAAAUCAUGGAGAUGCUAAGACCUCGUUUGUAUAAAGAUUUAAAGUGUAAUGCCACCAAUUCUUUACAUUUAAUAUGCGACAAUACAAAUUAAAUUAAGUCAUACUUUACAAUCACAGCAACUGGUUUGCAUAAUUGAGUCGUCCAAGGUAAUGCUACAGCCCUUGAAAAUGCACAUAAAGUUCCAAAGACAAAGGUCCACAAUUAGACAACUACAAAAUACAUUGGACGGCUUUCUUUAGUAAAAGAUGCUCCCGGCAUGGCCUAGACUAACCAUCUCUAUGAGUUGCUUAGGUCCUACAUGGUAACUUGCCUAUUUUUUUGUUCUUUUGUUUUUUUUUUGUUUCCCAAAAUUAAAAAAAGAAUAGAAAUCCAUUUGGUAACCUCAACUAAUUUUUUUAUUUCCCGAAAUAGAAAAAUAGUUAGAGAAUAGGUUUUAAACAGAAAUAAGAAGUAGAAAAAAAUGUAACUUCUUGAUAUUGGGAACAAUUUCUAGAAGUAAGUCAUUUUUUUCUUCUUCCUCACUAUUUACCGCCCCCACCACAUGUUGCUGCAUACCUCCAUUGGCCACUGCCACCAUUCGUCGUUGGACCAAGAAGAAGAAUACAGGGAAAAAAAGAAAAACUAAAAAAAUUAUUAAAAAUUAAAAGAAAUUUUACGUUAUAAAAAAAUGUGGGUCGUAUUAAACUCAUUCUUAUUCUUUUUUAUUUUAUUUCAAGAAUAGAAAUUUUUAUAGUUACUAAACGUGUUAUUUUACUCAGAAAUUAUUCUAGAGAGUAGAAAUAGAAAAUGACUAUUUCUGAAAAAGAAUUAUUUUUUGGAAUAUAAAUGUUACCAAAUGCACCCUAACGACUAGUAGCGGCACUGGUGAUGACAACGAUGAGUGGUGAAGAAGAAGAAGAAAAGAAAAAAAAAAGAAAAAAAUGUCUUAUUUCUCGAAAUUGUUUCUAUAAACAAAAGGCUACUUUUUUUUGCUUCUUAUUUUUGUUUCAAAUCUACUCUCCAACUAUUUUUCUACUCUGAGGAGUAGAAAAUUUAGUUGACGUUAUCAAAUAGAUUUAUAUUCUUUUUUUUUUUUUAUUCUGAGGUACAAAGGAACAAAAGACCAGAGAAAUUGGCAAGUUGCCAUGCAGAGCCUUAAAUGCCAAAAUUUCUAAAGCAUAUACUUAAGUGCCAAAAUUGAAGAAGAAAUGAAUACUUAAGUGCCAUAGUGAGAAUUUCUGCAAACUAUUGAUGUAGCUUUUUUUGNNNNNNNNNNNNNNNNNNNNNNNNNNNNNNNNNNNNNNNNNNNNNNNNNNNNNNNNNNNNNNNNNNNNNNNNNNNNNNNNNNNNNNNNNNNNNNNNNNNNNNNNNNNNNNNNNNNNNNNNNNNNNNNNNNNNNNNNNNNNNNNNNNNNNNNNNNNNNNNNNNNNNNNNNNNNNNNNNNNNNNNNNNNNNNNNNNNNNNNNNNNNNNNNNNNNNNNNNNNNNNNNNNNNNNNNNNNNNNNNNNNNNNNNNNNNNNNNNNNNNNNNNNNNNNNNNNNNNNNNNNNNNNNNNNNNNNNNNNNNNNNNNNNNNNNNNNNNNNNNNNNNNNNNNNNNNNNNNNNNNNNNNNNNNNGUAAUUAUGAUCAAGUAGGACCUCUUUUAUUUAGACAAAUACAUACGAAGUUACCUAUUCCAUCCCGACACUUCUAGCAAUAUCAUGAUAACGAAUGUUUCACUUACAAUUUUUAGUGGAUUAAUAAGAAAAGGAUGUGGCAAAUUUUCCUUUAACUCUAAAAGGGAAAAAAACUCACCCGAGCCUGUUAUUUUGGCUUGACUAAGAAUCAACUUUUUCACUUUCUAUAUAGAGUAUUCUUUCAAAUAUAAAAAAGAAAAAAUCUGCUGUAUAUAUAUUUAUUGUAUAACAUGAAAAUUUCAGGUGGUAAAAUUGAAAAAAUAAAAUAAAAAUCAAAGCAUGAGUCGCAAAGUUUGUAAAAAAAUUAAAAGAUAAAACUCAAUCUGAACAUAUCAAUUAGUUGAUUGAAAAAACACCAUUGACUAUCCAACCACGUUACUUAACGUGAUCCUUUAGUUGCGAAAAGAAGGGGGAACUAAAAAAAAAACUACCUUUCCUCUGUCUUCUAACUCUUGUAAUCUGUUUUUUUGUUUGACCAAGUGCGAAUAGGUCAGGAGAAAAGAAAACAAAAACCAAACCAUUUACCAUUUACUAGGUUAUAAAAAAGGGCAUAUACUCCCAAAUUUGAGAUAAAUCUAGAAAAUAUCCUCCUAAUGCUGUUAAAACAUGGAGUAUUCUGUUAAUUUCUCUCGAAAUUUCAAAUUUACCCCCUUUUUCUCAUUGUUUGUGGGAUUUUUCCUUUUUUAAUCUUCAACGACCUCCUGUUUGAUUAUACUAAUAUUGGACCAUGUGAGUCAGAUGUGACUGGUGAUAUUGGGCUUUAAUGUCAAAAUAUAUAAAGUACUUUUUUUUUUAAAUUUUUGGCUCAAUAUUUUAUCUUUCUCCAUUUCUCUUGUGAUAGACAAGCCUUAAGAAAAGAAGGAAGAAAUGCAUCAAUAUUAAAACGUUUUAGUAAAGUAGCAAUAAAGAAAAUAGUCUUGGCCUAUAAGAUAAGAAGUUUUUGUUGGCAUAAACAAAGAAAUAAUAGUCUUGCUAAAGGCCUGCAGGUGUUUACUUACACUCUGUACUUAUCUGUUUUUUCCCUUAUGGAAGAACUCGGUUAGAUUUAAUUCUGUUCUUGCAGUGCCAUUUGAUUGCAUAUAUUCUAUAGAUGUUAGUAAGUUUUAUUUUAUUUUAUUUUAUUAUAAUGGUCUAAAAAUACCAAGAAAUAAUGUGCAGCAAAAGCAAAACUAACUUUAAUCUUAAUUGUUGGGGAUAAGUGAACAAAAAUUUCCUAGAAUUUGUCGUAAAAGUGCAAUCAAAUUUUACAAGUUUCAAAUGGUAAAAUAAAAUCCUAAAAUUUAUUGAUUUGGUGCAAUAAAAUCCCUCCAUUAACUCUGUUUGAUUUGGCUAACAAAAAAAACUAAUAUGUUAUUUUUAUUAUUUUAAACACGUGGCACUGAUUUGGCCCUUAAUGAUUACAAUAUCGGAAAAAAAACUUGAAAAUUGAAAAGAAAAAAAGAAGAAGAAGAAGAAGAAAAGGAGGAUAAAAAAUAAAAAGAGAAGGGUAACAGAAAAAAGGACACGAAUUAAAAAAUAAAAAAGUUGAAAGUCUAAGUGAUGAAGGAUUAAAGGAUAGGCAAAAGGAAGAUCCGCCAGCUUCCGUAUAGUUUUUUAGUCACUUUCAUGACUUUGGCAUAACAAAUCAUUGGCAUUGUUUUCAAACUUGAAGAACUUACGGGUUCUGGAAGUUCAUAAAUGGUCGAUUGCACACUUCACGGUCCUUGUAGACUUAGAGAUGCUAGAAGGUAUUGAAAUUAAUUUUUCUAUAUAUAUAUCAAUUGGGAGAAAUUCUUACAUAUCCUGCUUGAAGAAUCCACCCUACUUUGUUUCGAUUCAAUUAGAGAGCCUUCUUUAGAUUGAAGGUUUUUUGUGUAAGAACAAUUGCGGCCUAGAUGAUAUUGUCAAUGGCUUAAUAUUUGUCUACAUGCCAAAAACAUAUUGGUUAUGAAAAUUUGCAUUUUUUUUUAAUGAAGAUAGCAUAUGAAAAGUCACAACCUUUAUGAAGAUAGAAAAUUCUAUGUGCUUUAAUUGAACACUUGUCGAAAACAUCUAUUGAUAGCUUAUAAAAGAAGCCUAGUCCUCUCUCCACCCAUCAAGAAAAAGAAAAGUUAUAUUCUAUUCUUUAUCAGAUAAAAUACAUUAAGAAAAAAUGGGUUAAGGGAGAGAAAUCGGAUUUUAUCGUUUCUCCUAUUUUCACAAUAAUCGAAAGCUCAAGAAUAUUACAUUUUCAAGGUUAUUUAUGGAUACAAGUAUACCUAAAUACCUCUUGUCAUGAAUAAAUUAUGAAGAUCUAAGAUUCUUUUAUUAAGAAGUUCCGUAUUAUCGAUUACAUUAUUGCUAACAUUUGGAAGAAUCAGAAUCCUUGAGGAACCUAGAGAUACUGGGAGUGGUUCAAUGAAAGAACACCAAAUCUUUUGAAGUUGAAAAAAUCUAGGGCGUCUUAACAAGAUUUUUCCUCGGAUGCUUGAUUAAGACCCCUUAUUGGAAUACCAAUCACAGUUUAUUGUAUCAUUUAAUAAAAAAAUUAGGUUUGGUACACAAACAUGACUUUUCUCCAGUGCCAAACUUCACGCCUCCCCCAGGUGGUCACUGGCUUGGAGCUAGAGCUUUGCCUAACCUGUUUUUGUUUCAUUCCUUUUUUUUUUUUUUGUACUCUGCAUUCAUCUGACUCCAUUUUCGACAUUGUUAGGUUCUUUUCGUGUUUUGUACACACUUACUCCGCGUGUGCUUUUUUUCGCUAGCUUCGAUGAAAAUGGUAAAAAAGAAUCUUUACAAACACAUAUGCUAAAUGGAAAAAAAUUAAUCAAUGGAUUGUCAUCGUUUACACUUCUUCAAUAAAUAUAUAACGAAAAACCAAUUUAAUCUCGCCAUCUCCAUACCAUGUGUUUGUUAUAUUAAAAUAUUACCACUACAUGUCAUCUAAUAGUUUAAGAUUUUUGAAUAGUUAGUAAUGGUCCCAUACAAUAAGAGGUGAUGACUUCAAAUAUUUCCAAACCCAUAUUUGCUUCCAAUAUUAUAUAUUUCCACAAUUUAGUCUUAGGUUAAACUCCAGCUAGUGCGUGGGGGGCAUAUUAUUAAAUAUUAAGACCACGCAAUUAUUUUACGGCUCAAAUUUUUAGAACAGUUAAAAAUUUUAUUUAUUGUUUAGUUAUCUAUUAUUCAAAUGAACCAAAUGUCUUAAGUAUCCAAUAAUACAUACAAAUAUACUUUGUGGCUUUUGGCAUUUGAAAGAAUGACGAAAAUUUUGAUGAAGGGAGGGAUGCGUGAUUAAAGUUUUACGAAAUGCCUUUGAACCGGAGAAAACUUGAUUAAAUAUUAGAACCUAUAAAAGUUUUACGAAAUGAAGCGUUAUCUUUGUUGACAAUUGAAAUUUUCCAAUUUCUCCUUUUUUGUAUGAUACACAGUUAUUAUGCUUUGUUAUAGUGUGUGGCUUCGGCGAAAUUUUAAGUGAAAGUUUAAGUUGAAUGUCUAUUGAGUCCAGUCUAUUAUAGAGAGAUAAUAGCGUUAAUGGAGCUGUGAGAUCCACUUUUUUUUCAUUGAAUCCCAAAAACCGACAGAAAAGAUACCGCAAGGUGCUAAGUACGGAAUGACCAAGGUAUUACUUUCACUGUAACUCACGGUAAUUUAAACUGAAACAAAAAGUGAUGACUCAUAAAGAUAUAUUUAGAUGGAGCGACUAUAACAUUUGAUUGUUUUAUAAAAGGUGAACAAUCGAAAAACAUUUCUCAAUUUUCCUUUGUGUCAUUUAGGAAAAAAGAGUUAAUAGAAAAUGCUUUAUUGUCUACAAAAACCUACAUUUAAAUGUUAUUAUUGAUGAUAAAAAUAUUAUUUAUUGGUUCAUUUUCUUGAGAAAUACAUUUUAGUAUUCGUAUAAUAUGUUUAUGACUUUUUUGAUAAUUUUUCCAAAAAAUGCUCAAGCACACCAUCAAAGACCUUCUUUUUUUGUUUUGUUUUGUUUUAUUUUGUUUUUUGUCUUUUUCAUUGUCUCUUCUUUUUCUCUUUAGAAUUACGUCUGUACUAAUAUAAUCGUGUUUUCAAUUGGAAUACGCUAAAGAUGAUUGAUCAACAUGAUUCUAUUGGAAAUUUAAAGAAAUAGAAAGAAAAUGAGGAUGGACCCCUUAGUAACGAGAAAGUUAGAAGAAACCAUUGGACAGCAGAAGAUGCUUGAGGAGUCACAUGCAGUGUACUGAGUAAAAUCCCUCAUUUAAGUACUAAUCAUAGUUUAUUUAAUCGUAUGAUAUAUAAAUAAAUAAGGUUCAGUAUCCAAACAUGAUUUUCUCUCCUAGGCCAAACCUCACACGUCCCCCGGGUGGUCGCUAGCGGCUUUUGUUUCAUUCCCAUUUGUUUUAGCACUUUGAAUUCAUCUAAAUCCAUUUUCAAUGUUAUUAGGUUCUUUUUCGUGUUUUGUACACACGCCACGUGUUCUUUGUUUGCUAUGGUUAUGACAAAAAGAAAAUAAAAUUAACAAAAAUAAGAAACGAAAAAAUUUGUUUAUGUUAGUAUUGGCUAUCCAACUAGCACGACCGACAACCACAUUAGCUCAAAAUUGACCAAAAUGACUAAUUGGGUAAAUUUUAAAAAAUGUUUAGGAUUAAAUUGAUUUAAUUGAAAUUUCCUAACUACAUUGGCAUUAAUAUAAUAGGUUUAUGACUUUUUUGAUAAUUUUCCUAGAAAUUGCUCAAUAGCACACCGUCAAAGACCUUCAUUUUUUGUUUUGUUUUUUUUAUCUGUUUCAUUGUCUCGUCUUUUUCUCUUCAGAAUUAUGUUUGUUUAAAUAUCAUUGUGUUCAAUUGGAACGGUUAAAGAUGAUCGAUCAACAUAAUUCAAUUGGAAAUUUAAAGAAAUAGAAAGGAAAUUAGGAUGAACUCCUUAGUAAUGAAAAAGUUAGAAGAAGCCAUUGGACAGCUGAAGAUGCUUGAGGAGUCACAUACAGUGUAUAUUGGUCUGACUAAAAGCCCUUAUUGAAUCAUAGUUGUUGACACCUAGAUUUUGACGGUCCGUUUAGUCAUUUAUCGCAUUAAAAUUAGGGUUUAAUCAAUAAUUAAUUAAUUGCAUAGCAUUUAGUUGUAGGUGCAUUUAUUUUUUAUUUGCAUUUACUGGACCGGUGAUGGAUGGGUUGAAUCGGUGGUUUUGAAUUUUAAAUUAAUAGGCCGGGCUAGGCCCAUGAAAGGAUAAAAUUAACCCAAACCCGUCGUUGUUGUUUAAUUGAUUAUCUUGUGAAAAUUUAAGAUUUGAUGCGAUAUUAUGAUGAUUUUUGGAAAUUUAAAAAUCGCAUUGUAAUCUUAAAGUUGGGAAUAUUAAGGAGGAUAAGGAAUAUUCUAAAAUAUUUUGUUGCGGAUGGAUAUCUCGAAAGAUUUUAGAAUUGAAUAAUGGAGUUUUAUCUAAAGUGAAUUAUUUGGAAAAUCUUCACAAAAAAAUUCCAGUUUAUCUUCAAUCGCUGAGUCAGCAUAUAAAAUCUUCAAUGAUCGAGCGAGUCAGCUUGGAAGAUUUUAAUAGAUGAUUUCAAUGGCCGAGUGAGUCAGCAUACACAAUAAUCUCGAAAGAUGAUCUUCAACGAUUGAGUUGUUAUGCAAAUCUUCGUAGGUUGAGCAGACUAAGUUUUCACUCUAUAAAUAGGGGUGGCCUUCUCUUCGUCCGGGGGGAGCUUCUUUUUAAAAAAUUCAGAAAAAGUGAAAGGGGAGAGAAGCCAUCCGUGAUUCCGUGGAGGUUAAAAGGAAAGAAGAGGAAAAAGCAAAAAGCUUCUGCAGAAAAGCGAAGGAAGAGGGAGAGUGACGUGAGAAGAGAGAGAGAGAGGAGAAAAGUAAAGGGGUGAUUUGACCCCUACUGUUCAUCGUCUUCCCAACUUGCUGCCCACGUUGCUGUUCCAGUCACGACGCCAUUGAUCCGACGCCCUCUCUGCUCGACACUACCGCGCCUUGCCGCUCACCCUCUUUUGGAGCGUCCGUCCGUGCACACUGCCUCCACUCAGCCGACGCCGCCUGGAACCCGAAGCCCACGACCUGCAGCUUGCGCCCGGCGGCACAGUGGUCUGCCUCCACUCAGCCUACGCCACCAUAUCAGCCCGUGCCCCGCCGCCGUUGCUGCUCUGAUUUGCUGACCCACGACGCCGAAACUAAACGCCGAGCCACUACGCACCCGUGGGACAACAUUGCUGCGACCCGCAACCCCGCUGUUCGCCGGUCACUGACGCCGCGCCUCCCUGUUGCUGCUGCCGCCCAGUCCGCGCCAAAACUCCGACGCCGGCUGUCUCCUUCGCCCGUGCCGCUCCUGUCUCGCCUGACCCGUGACCAGUUGGGCCUGCCUUCCAUCGCGACACCCACACUCGGAGUCUUCCACCAGUCUUCGCCCGAGCUCUGAACCCCGAAGACCCAACCUCCGGUGACCCACCGAAGCCGCUCGACCGUAGGUGAAGAAAGCAGGAAAAGGAAAAAAAACAAAAGGAAAAGAAAUUAGGUAGCUUUAUUUCUAUUUUUCUAUUUGUUUUAUUUAUUUCUUUUAUGUUUUGGGGUGAUCUUUAUUUUAUGGAUUUAGUAUGCAUUAUCCGCAGGGAUUUUGUCUGGAAUUAUUAUAAUUAUUAAUUUGAUCUAAGAGACAUUGAAUCAUUUUUUUAAUUAUUUUAAUUGUUGGGCUUUCUGAGUGAAAUUUUAAUUGUUAAAUCACAAUGAUUAUUUAAUUUGGUCCGUAAGACUUCGGAUCAGAUUUGUAAUUAUUUUGAUCUCUCUGCUGUGAUAACUAUGGUUAGAAUAACCGUUAAUUUGACCUGUGAGACAACAUGUUAUUUUUUCGAUUAUUUUAAUCAUUUAUUGCUUGAUUUUGUUGAUAGUUUAGAUUUAAUAAUUACUUAUCUCUUAAAAAAAACUAAAAAAAUCAUAAGAUAAAAAAAAUCAAAAUUCUGCAUGAGUAUAUAGGUUUAGUAAAUCAAGCACGUAGGUUUAACAAAUUAGGAUUUUCUUAGGAUUGCAUUUUUAAGAUUGCAUUUUUAAGAUUGCAUUUUUAGGAAUAAGUUAGGAUUGAACCUAAAUAUUUUUUUAGGGUUUUAGAUAAUGUUCGCAUAUUCUAAUUAUCUCAUUUUCCCAAAAAAAUAGCUUUCUAAGAUAGGAUAGGGUUUAAGUCAAACUAAUCCCUAGAAUAAAUUAGAAAAUUAUCAUUUUUAGAUAGAUUAAUUAAGGUUUUCAUGAAUUCUGAAUUUCAAUAAAAAAAAUGCAAAAAUACUAGGUGCAUGUUAACUAGUUUGCAUAAUAGGAUUAUUUAAUCAGAACUUGUUAAUUAGUGAAGUUAGGUCAUGAGGUGCAUAAUAAUUAGUUUGCAUAAUAGGCCCAUUUAAUUAAAAUUUGCAUAUUAAUAAGAUUAAGUCAUUUGGUUUAAAAAUGCAUUUUCAUAAAAUCAUUCUAACUUUUAAGAAAACCCAAAAAAAAAAAAAUGAUUGCUUGCUUUGUGUGAUGCAAUUUAUUUAUUUGAUUGCUUUAAUAAUGGAUGAGCACCCGUGUGGUCACCACAUUUGCAUGAUAGUAAUUUAGGUUAAAAUAAAUCAGCUGCUUGCAAAAACAUUUUGAAAAAUUAAAAAGAAAUGGUACCGAAAGGGCAUUAGAAAAUUCUAAUGUAACCAAGUCCCCGUACCCUUAGUCUCUGGUUCGUAGGAGUAAAAUAAAUCUCCCUUUAUUUUACUUAGGUGUCUAAUCGACCUACCAUAAACCGAUUAGUGGCGACUCCUAGAUAAUCAUCUUUUGCAUGUUAAAAAAAAUUAAACCUAAGUCGCGAUUUGGUAUGGGCUUGGGAGAGCCCGAGCUAAGUGUAAAAGCUUAGCAGUCCAUUAACCUAGUCAUAGGUGCUUCACACCCGUGAAAAUCUGGUCGCGACAAUAGUUUAUUUAAUCAUAUGAUAAAUAAAUAAGGUUCAGUAUCCAAACAUGAUUUUGUCUCCUAGGCCAAGCCUCGCACGUCCCCCGGGUGGUCAAUAGCAGCUUUUGUUUCAUACCCUUAUUUUAUUUUAUUUUAUUUUUUGCACUUCGAAUUCAUCUGAAUCCAUUUUCUAUGUUGUUAAUGUUCUUUUUCAUGUUUUGUACAAACUCACUCCAUGUGUUCUUUGUUUGCUAUGGUUAUGACAAAAAGAAAAUAAAAUUAAGAAAAAUAAGAAAUUGCAAAAUUUGUUUAUGUUAGCAUUGACUAUCUAACUAGCACGACUGUCGACCGAUGACCACAUUAGCUCAAAAUUGGCCAGAAUGACUAAUUGGUAAAUUAUCAAAAUGUUUAGGAUUAAAUUGGUUAAAUUGAAAUUUCUUAAUUGCAUUGGCAUUCGUAUAAUAGGUUUAUAAUUUUUUUUUUUAUAAUUUUCCUAGAAACUGCUCAACAGCUCACCAUCAAAGACCUUCAUUUUUUGUUUUGUUUUGUUUUUGUUUUUGUUUUUAUCUUUUUCAUUGUCUCUUUUUUUUCUCUUCAGAAUUAUGUUUGUUUAAAUAUCAUUGUGUUUUCAGUUGGAAUGGUUAAAGAUGAUCGAUCAACAUAAUUCAAUUCAAAUUUAAAGAAAUAGAAAGGAAAUUAGGAUGAACUCCUUAGUAAUGAGAAAGUUAAAAGAAGCCAUUGGACAGCUGAAGAUGCGUGAGGAGUCAUGCAGUGUAUAUGGGUCUGACUAAAAGCCCUUAUUUAAUCAUAUGAUAUAUAAGUAAGGUUCAGUAUCCAAACAUGAUUUUGUCUCCUAGGCCAAGCCUCACACCUCCCCCGGUUGGUCACUAGCAGCUUUUGUUUCAUUCCCUUUUUUUUUUUUUUUUGCACUUUGAAUUCAUCUGAAUCCAUUUUCUAUGUUGUUAGGUUCUUUUUCAUGUUUUGUACGCACUCACUCCACGUGAUCUUUGUUUGCUAGUAACGACGAAAAGGAAGAAUUUGAGACAUAUGCUAAAUGUAAAAAUGAUAAAUGAAUGGUUAUCAUUAACACUCUUCAAUAUGGGCAUGUUUUCACUAUAAAAACCCACCCAACUACUAUUCAAAUCUGGAAUAACUCAACAAAAACAAAAUGAUAAAUCAAUCUGGAAUACCUCUUGAUCUCUUCUUAAUCCCGUCACCACAAUACUAUCUGCUGUCUGAAAAAAUUAAAUUAACUUAAAUUUUGGAAAGUACUCUACAAAUGUACUCUUUGAUGUUUGGCUUUGCAAUAAUUUGACACGACUCCAAUGCCAUCAAAUUUCAACUGCAUUAGUUACUUGAAAAACUCGAUGAUAGUAUAUAAUAAGGUAGCUCUUUCUUUCCUCAUGAACUGUUAAAACUAAAAUCGCCGGUAACACCUUCAACUUCGCGGUAAAUUAGCUGUCAUCUUUGUUCUUUCAACUCUUUGUUUUCCCCUUUAUUGAAAUAUUAUGGGGCAUAGCAGUAGCAGUUCAAGAAUGGAUUUUAUUGAAGAAGAAGCAACACUUUGGGAAGCACAAAACAAUGUCCGAUGAGUUUGGAAGAAGCAACGCCGUCAUUGCUCUGUUUAUUAUCAUUAUUCGUUACGUUUAGAAUCUUAUUGUUAAAUACACCAUUGAGAAAACAGUUAUCAAGUUUACCGUACAUUAAAUUAAUUUAUGUUUUCAAUAUUUGGGAGGCCUUUUUAAAUAUAUGUUACAAAGAUUCUGAUACCCGUAUACAUUGAUUGAGGCAAAAUAUUAUAUAUGUUGUAUUUCACCUCAUUUGUAAGUUCCAAAAUAAGUUUUGAUAAACUAUUAAAAUAGUUGGCACUUUGAAACAACGAAAUAAAUGUUGGUAAAUGAAUUCCAGUAAGAGUUGUUAAUUUUUCAUAUGAGCUGGUAAUCUUAACAGGCAGAUAACAUCUGCAAAUAAAUGUCAGUAAAAUAGUAAAAUAAAAGGUGAUUUCGAAGCAAUUGAAUAGAUGUUGAUAAUUCAAUCAAGUAAAAGUUAGUAAAUUUCAAACUAUAUGAUAACUUAGUCUGUGAAAAGUUGGUAAAUCACUUAAAUUGAUAUGUAAUUUGCUAUAAGAGUCAGUAGCUUUAAUCAAUGAACUGUUGGAAACAUAUUACAAACUAAAUAAGUUGCCGGUCAAAAUUUAAUUACUGAUAAAUGAUUUACCAAGGCGUUUAAGGAAUUACCAAUAUGAUGGGAUACAUAAUUUAGAGAAAAUCACUUUAAGAUUAUAGCUUUUUUGGUAAAUUGUUUGUGAAAUAUCAAAGGCUAUUCUUCUGUUGCAAAGAAAGAGGUCGGAAGAAGAAAAACCUGAACCAACCUAUAAAUCGCAUGUGCUUUUAAAUUUCAGACCAAUCUAGCCAAUGUCCCCUUUAACCCCGUUAAGACAUGCAAUAUUCUGUUAAAUUUCUCUCGAAAUUUCAAUUUCGCUCUUUUCCGUUUUCUUGUUUUAUUUGUUUGCUGGAUUUUUCCUUUUUUAAUCUUCGACUAUCUGUCGUUUACUUUUACUAGUGUUGGACCACGGGCGUCGUACAUGACCCGGUGAUACUGGGCUAUAAUUUUUCUCCCAGGAGGACUUUGCCCUUGCGCUCCUAUUGUUGACUCCUCUCGGUCUCCGUCCGCCUCCUCUUCGUCUACUUGAGAAGUUUCAGGCUCCCUUCACUGAACCGUCCCAAUUUGCUCUUUUCACAGAACGCUUCUCUUCUUCGGGUGAAUACAGCUGAGAGGAUCGGCCCACCGAUGGGAUCCAAUGGAGUUCAGGCUCUAAUCACCAACCUCGCCUUGACUGUAGCAAGAGUGUAAGUGCUCUAACUCCGCUUCUUUUCGAUCUCUUGUUGACUGAUAAUGCACAUUGAAACCAAAUUUUGCUUCUGUAAAUGUUUGAUACAUUUCAGCCUGCUUGUUCAGUUCACAUUCCUUAUUUUACGUCUCGUUCAGGUUACAAGUCUGUAAUUUUUGUCUCACGGAAUCGAGGAGAAGUAGGGACUCGGAGUCAACCACGAGAACGGACAAUGGGUCUGGAGAAGAGGAGGAGGCGUUAAGGAGGGACUCUGAGUCAACCUCAAGAGCUGAUAAUCUGUCUUGCGAAGAGUAUGAUGUGUUCCUAAGUUUCCGGGGACCAGAUACUCGCAAUGGGUUCGCCAAUUGCCUCUACCAUCGCUUGAGAGAUGCUGGAAUCCACGUUUUCUUUGACAGCGAAGAACUCCGAGUCGGUGAAGAAAUUGGUGGAGAGCUUUCGAAAGCACUUGACAAGUCUCGAAUCUAUAUACCUAUCUUCUCUAAGGGUUACGCAAACAGUUCAUGGUGUCUCCGUGAGGUUGCGCAUAUGGUAGAAUGCACCUCAAAAUCAGAUGAAAAGAAAGAGAUACUUCCCAUCUUCUACGAUGUGGAUCCUGAUGAUGUUAAGCUUAAGACCAAGUUGUAUAGUAAAGUCAUGCCCAGGCACAAGAAGAAGUUUGGCUCCGAUAAUUUGAAGCAGUGGGAAAAUGCCCUUGUUAAGGUUGCACAUAUAAAGGGAUGGGAUCUUAAAGGCAAAGGGUAAAUUUCCUCAACUUUUUAUGGUUAAUAUGCAUAGUAUUUACAUUUCAUUGAAUGAAAGUUUGUCCCUCAAAAUUCCCAGACAUAAAGCAUUUGGACAUUUUUAUUUAAGAUUUGCUAUAGAAGUUAAUGAAAGCCAAAGUCAAACAACUGAGAACCCACAACAGAUAUUGGAAAAUGGCUGAUUUUUUUUAAAAGCACAACAAAUCGGGUCAAACCCAACCCAAACAAGGCAGUUUUCCAAUUCAUGUCGGGUUAAGCCAACAUGACCCGACAGGUAAGAUCAACUUUUUACUUAAUCAACUAUUCUACUUAACCAACAUGGAAGGGGGAGGUGUGGGGUUCAAAUCCUCACCUCCUCAGGGGGGAUGGGGUGGGGACGCGUAAGUUUCAGGAGUGGGUUUUGACUCUCACGUCCUACAAGAGGCAGAGCAAAAGUCUGAGAGUAAGUGUAGAGUAGGAAUAGAGUAGGACUGACCAAAAAAAAAAAAACUAUUUUACUUAACUGUAUUACCCCAAUAAGUAUAGUGGAAAUAGUGCCAUUUUCUGUAAUUUUCACAUCCUCUGGUAAUCACAAAUCUUGUGCAGUGACUAACUUGUGUGAAAUUGUUGAAUUAAUAUGAGUAUUGCAAUUUUAAAAUUAUACCAAGACAUGAUUAGAAUUUUUCCUAAAAAGCGUGCAUAUUAACAUUACAAAAGUGCACAUGCGAUGCAUCUAUGCAAAAAUGGGACGUUCAAAAGAUUUUACUAAACUUCCCUGUUAUGAAAUAUUAUAAUUAUUAUUUAAUGAAAAGAAAUCGUUGACAUAAUAUGAAGAAAUCACACUGUGAAAAGAACAUAUAUAUUCAAGAUUUAUACGGAAGGGGUAAUGUAACUCAAAACCAAUAUCUACGGACAAGCGUCUCCAUGCACUAGAAGUUCGGCCCUAGUGGAUUGAAGCGGUGGAAGAAGGCUCUUGCAGAGGGAAAUUUUCCUGCACUUUUUCUUUGGAAGAAGCUUUGUGUCCCAAAAUUUUCAUACUUAUAUCAAUGUGGCAUUACAUUAGAAGGUAAGGGAGUCUAGACUAAAACUGUGCUAGAGAACCCUACAAAAGGAAAAUGAGGCGUGGGUGAAGGUGUACUUUUUUCAAACCCGCAAAAAACUUUGUAAAACCCAACCUGUACCCAAAAAUUUCCAGUUCAACUAAUUAUAAUGAUUGAUUUCCAUUUGUUUAAGUUGUUGAAAUAGCUGAGUUAUGUAUUCACAUGUUCCCUAGAGUUCCGGAGUCUAUCAUGUCUUUGACUGAAACGAAAUUUUCAUGCUUUGCUAGCCAAGGAGAACAAAUUGAAUCGAUUGUUGAGGUGGUUUGCCGUAACCUCAAUACAAGACACGUGAUUGUGACUGAUAAUUUGGUUGAAGAUAAUGAUCAGAUGGAAGCCAUAAUGAAAUUGUUGGAUGUGGGCUCUGGUGGUGUACGUUUUGUUGGUAUCCAUGGCAUGGGUGGUGUUGGAAAAACAACUCUUGCCAAAGUCAUGUUCAACAAACUAUCUUCUCACUUUGAACGUUGUAGUUUCCUUGAAGAUGUUCGAGCAUCAUCCCAAUCUCAUGGUGGUCUUUUAGAGUUGCAGAAAAAGCUCUUGAUAGAUUUGGCCGGUCAUGGGAUCGCUAACCAAAUUAAAGAUGUUGAUGGUGGGAUCAAGAUGAUCAAAAAAGCAUUAAGUAAUAAAGAAUUACUCAUAGUUCUUGAUGAUAUAGACAAGAAAGAGCAACUUGAAAAACUGGCAGUUGGAAAAUCUGAUUGGUUUUGUUCUGGUAGCAGAAUCAUUAUCACAACUAGGGACAAAAGCAUUCUGAUGACUCAAGUGGGCUCAUCCAGUAAUGAGAUCCUCAACCAACCUAAAGAAAUUUUGUGUUAUGAAGUUCAUGGAAUGAGAUUUGAUUUAGCACGUCAUCUAUUUUAUAAGCAUGCAUUUAGAAGUAAUUCUGUUGUGGAAGAAUAUGCUGCUCGUUCAAGAGAAAUUGUUAUUGCAGUGGGCAUGCUUCCUUUAGCCAUCGUGGUGAUAGGGUCCAAUCUUUUUGAUUGGGGCAAAGAUUUGGGGCAUUUGGAUAAAAGAGAAAUAUGGGACGAGACGCUGAAGAAGUUAAAGGAAGGUCCUUUUGAGGAUGUCCGAGAUACAUUAAUGAUAAGUUAUGAACGAUUGGAGGAUAAGCACCAAGAAGUAUUUUUGGAUAUAGCCUGCUUUUUCAUUAAUACUGACAAAACAUAUCCGGUUAUCAUGUGGAAGGAUUGUGGAUACUUUCCUAGCAUUGCAAUGAGGAUUCUCUCUCAAAGGUCCUUGAUCAAAAUCAGAGAUGAUAAUAGGUUUUGGAUGCAUGACCAAGUUCGAGACUUUGGAAGGUACAUUGUUCGUCAAGUAUAUCCUCGCAAGUUUUGUAGGGUGUGGAUCCAUGAGGAUGCCCUGAAACUAUUGGAGGGAAAAAAGGUAAAUAGAACUGCACAUGUUUGAAAAUAUUUGGUGCAAGAAAUUCUUUGAAAUUUUCUUUCCCAUUUAAAGCAGCAAUUUGGUUAAAUAUGCAUUCAAUAGAUAACUUUGUUUAACCUCGCUUUGUCUUGCGGGGGUUGCAUCUCUCUGUCAAACCUUCUGGUCAAAUGUCUCAAAGUUUGAAGAGAGCUAAAAGAGAUUGCCUGACAGUUGGCUUUAUUUUCUUGUAUCUAGUUUAUACAGUUUACGUGUGAUCCAAGUAAAAUGAAAAGACUUGCUUAAUCGAGAAUUUUAAAAUUAUUUUCAACCCCGAUUAUUUAGAACAAUCUAAUAAGAGGUUGAAUUAAUAUGCAAAUUAUAUUUCCCGAAAAGUAGAAACUCGAAAAUAUGAUACAUUUAAACUCGAAAACUAGAUUAUGUAGAAGAGGAGGAAACAACUACUUGUUGGGAAAAAGAGUGCCAUUGUUCUGGAAAGUUUAUGUGGCAAGCCCAACUAUUGGCGAAACUGCUACCGUGCUUCUAGGUCCUCUCUUUUCUCGCUCUGUACCAUAUGCCGCAUGCUCAGUAUUGUGUCUGCCAUAUGCAGAGGAAUGAAGAUAUGGUGGCAUUAAGCCUGACUUUCGAUGGCUGCAGCCGCAGCAUUGCAUGUGAAGAAUUAGCUGCUCUACCAAAUCUAAGAUUCCUUCGAGCAAAAGGCAUUAAUUUCUUUGGCAACUUUGAGAAUCUUCUUUCGGAGCUAAGAUGGUUUUCUUGGGAAAUUACACAAAUGGAAUUUUAUGAGGGGAGUUUUCAUUUCGCUAAUUUGGUUGUGCUAGACCUUUCAAGGAGCGAUAUCAAAGACGAUUGGGAUGGGUGGAGCCAUAUCCAGGUAUGAUAUGCCUUAUUCUAUUCAUCUUUAUUCAAUCUUUAUGGAUCAUUCAAUGAAUCGUGCACAUCAGUGGUGUGCUCCCCUGAUCUAAAUUUUUUUAUGUUAGUCUAACAUCUAAAAUCGACUUCAACCAAGUAAACACAUUUGAAAAGAAAGAAGAGGAAGCUAUACAAUAACAUGGCAUCAGCACAUCAUCCCAGUAAAUGAUAUCACAAGCAGAAUACCAUUGUUAUUCUAUAUUUCCUCCAUUCACUACAGACUGCCUUAGUAAUCGAGCCACGGAUAAAUGUGAUAUCGUACAAUCCGUACUAGCACAAAUCAGCACCUAUGCUCACCAGUCCAUGUUACUAUCCAAGCAUCCGCCAUCGCAUUGUUUUUUAGGAGUUGAAAACUCGCCUACUUCGGAGUUUGAACUUUGGAUGCUUCAUGGCUAGUCUGAAGACCUUUAGUUGAAAUUUAGACGGCCUUCACCUUUUCUUAAGAAGGGAAGAGCUGGCAUUGGUGUUCCUUUGGUUCAGCCUUGCACGAUACAUCUCUUUUUUCUACGACAAUUUCAACACUUGAUCACCACCUAGUAUUGCAACAUCUAAAUUUUCUUUCAUGACGAUUUACAAUAUCUUUUUUUUUUGUGACUUAAUUACGACUCUAUGUUGAGAAGAUAUGCAAAUGAGGGUUAUAUAGAAGUGCCACGUUCUCGUAUAGUUGAUAGACUCAAAAUAUAGUUCCACGAAUAACGUUUUCAAAACCAUGGAAAAAUUCAAACUUCAAGGUCUAUUUACAAGCAAAUUUCCAUAAAAUCAUUGCCGAAACAAAAACUCGUUCGUGCGUUGUAAACCUGAACGAUAGAUGGCAGAUUUGAAAUAUCAUUGAUAGGUAAGAAUUGAUUGGCAACUUUUUAGUUCGAUUAAUUAUCAACAAAAUAACAAUUUUACCAUCAUCAAACCUAAUAACGGAUUGCCAAUUGUUUUUUAAUAUUACAAGUGAUCCCCUUCAUUAAUUAGUAGAUAACGGAUCGCAUAGACACUUUACUAAUAGUGUCGUUUAACUAUUCUAACUUGCAAACAAAAUUUUAUUUACAAUGGCAAAUAGUUAGUUGAUUAUGACCGUCACUUUGAUUUUACUUAGUACCGAGUUUUAUUUUUCAUUAACAUACAAAUAAAAUAAUUAACAUAUAAGUUUGAAAUAGCCUUGUAACUACGAAAGCUUUGACAAACGAGCACGUUUUUCAGCUAGUAAACUACAAAUUGCUUACAUAUUUUACUAGUAGUAUUGUUUCCCGGCUGUAACUUAUGAACAAAAAACCUAUUCUUUUACUGUGAAUUCAAGUAGAUUAUUAAAUUUAUUUCAAUUUUUCAAGUACCAACUCAUAUAAGUCAGUAAAAGACUAACGAAAUAAUCGAUUUACCAAGCUUGCCCUAGUAUAUCAUAAACAGCCUUUUGACAUUUCACAAAUGAGCAGGUUUUCCAGUUGUAGAGUAUGGAUUGAUUGCUUAUAUACUUUACUAGUAGUAAUGGUUGCCAUUGAUAUUUUUACGAAUAAACUGGUUUAACACAAUAUAUCUCUAGUAGGUUAUGAAUUUCACUACAAUUGACCAUUUCACCGAUAAGAAUGAGAAUAAUUACUUACAUAAAGAAUCUUGGAUGAUUGAUGUGUUUCAUUCUUUUCAAUUCCAUAUUUUCAUUUUUUUUUGCAGAUGACAAAAAGAUUAAAAGUUCUAGAUUUAACGGAUUGCACAAAGUUGCGGAGGACACCCAACUUUUCUAAUUUCACAUCUUUGGAGACAUUAGUACUAGCUCGGUGUUCUAACUUAUUCACAAUUCACCCCUCCAUUUCUAAGCUUCAACUCUUGGAGACUUUGAAUAUCAAAGGGUGUAGUUCUCUUGGGGAGUUGCCUGAAGAAGUCUGUUCUCUACAAUCUUUGAAGCAAAUUGUCAUGCCCCAAAAUUUUCAACUCAUGAAGCUUCCGGAGAGAAUUAGUAAUUUGAAAUCUUUGUCGAGUUUUGGAUUAAACGAGCACCCUAAAAUCUGCCAACUUCCAGACUCAAUUGGAGGGAUGGUGAAUCUUACGUACUUAUCUUUACAUGGGUGUGUGGGGAUAAAGAAACUUCCAAGCUCAAUUGGGGAGUUAAAAAUGUUGGUAAAGUUGCAAAUAUCAACGUUAGGCAUAGUUGAACUACCCGAUUCUAUCGGAAACUUAAAGAAACUACGGGUGCUGCUGUUAUGUAGAACGAAGAUAAAGGAGUUUCCUCGUACUAUUGGAGGGCUGGAGAUGCUUGAAAGUAUAAACGCCGAUAGAUCUUGGGAUUUGACAGAUAAAAAUUUGGAGGAAAUUGGGAAGCUAUUUCAUUUGACAACGUUGAACUUAGCAUUUACUAGUGUUUCUAGAUUGCCUCCAGAGAUUAGUCGCCUCCAUCUCCAAAAACUUGAAGUGGGUUCGAUUGAGCUUCGACAAGUGCCUGCUCUUCCAUCAAGUUUGAAAUUCCUUGCGGUUCAAGCUCUAGACUUCUCUCUUGUCCCUCACCCCUCAAGCAUCACCGAUUUAGAACAUCUAGAAUUACAAAGAUUCAGCAAUUCAACAAAUAUACCUCGCUCUACUUGGCAAGACUAUCAUUCAAAAGUUGAAGCAGCUAUGCUGAGAGAGCAACCGUCCUAUCAGCUUCCAUCUCGUUUGUCGGCCUUGAAACUCAGGGGUAUCAGUCCACUGCCACAUUUUUCCAACUUAAUAAAUUUGACAGUUCUGCAUGUAAUUGACUGUGCAAUAUCACACCUACCUAUCAAUCCAGGCCUAACACAUUUGAGGGAACUGUUCAUACGUAGAUGUAAAUCCCUUGAGAAAAUACCUGGUCUAUCACUCUUAAGGAGUCUGGAGCGCUUGGAACUGAAGGGCUUGAAUAGGCUAGUUGAGAUUCAAGGAUUGUCGGAACUGGAAUCUUUGCAGUAUCUCCUUCUUUCCAGCUGUGAUCUUAUAGGACAGUUACCCAACUUAUCCAAGUUGGGUAAGCUGCAACAUCUGGAGCUAGAAGCUUGUCCAAAUUUAAGAGCCAUUGAAGGCAUCGAAGGCUUAGAAAGUUGGGUGUUGGAUAGUCAUGGCCGCACUACACUGGAAAGAUUAUUGGAUGUCUCAAGAUCAACUUGGCUUUCCCAUAGGUUACCUAUGUAUGAUGUGUUCCUGAGUUUUAGGGGAGGAGACAUUCGUUUCGGCAUUGUCAGUUUCCUUCACUAUUGGAUGUUACAAGAUCGAAUUUCUGUUCAAAGUGAUGACGAUGAUUCAAAGUCCAAUGAAAGUAUUGGAGAAGAGAUUCUACAAGCACUUGCUAACUCCAAUAUCUAUAUACCCAUCUUUUCUAGAAACUACGCUUCCAGUUAUUGGUGUCUACGCAAACUUACCCACAUGGUAAAAUGCACAAGAGAAUUAAAGGGGAAAAGAAGAAUCCUCCCCAUGUUCUACGACGUGGAGAUUGAUGAUGUUAAACUCAAAACUGAUUUAUAUAAAAGUGACCUAGACAAGCACCAGACGAACUUCGACCACAGUGAAGUAAAGGCAUGGAAAGAGGCCCUAAUUGAGGUCGCAGCAAUGAGUGGGUUCAUCUUGCGAAAUAACAGGUAAUUUUGCUAUUUCGCCACUAAAUCAUGAGCUAAAUAAGUCAUUCAAUUGAACUUUCCUGACACAGAGAAUUUCCAAGUUACUGCAAUGUAACUCUUUCGCAUGCAGAGUUGUCCACUCAAGCAAAUUCAAUCCUAUAGAAUGAGAAGUAGAUCCUUCUAAUUUGUAAUAUCUGGAGGAACUCUAUGGUCCAACUGAACAAAAUUGCAUACUAGUACAGCUGCACAAAUUUUUUUCUAUUGUUUUGUUGUCUAAUAAAUCAAAUCAAUAAUUAGAUUAUCACUUUAAGGAGAAGAACACCACAAGUAUCAUAACUUUCGAAAUGAUUACUCGAGUGCCAUAUAACUUUUUAACUGAUCACUCAAGUGCCGUAACUUUUUUAAAAUGUUCACCAUAAAUGCUAUGUCACGUCGAAUUUUCGGCACUUGUGUGAACGUUUUUUUUAAAAAAAAAUUGACUCUUUUAAUGAUUCAUGGAAAGUUAUGGCACUCAAGUUUUUUUUAAAAGUUAUGGUACUCAAGUAAACAUCAUAUGAAAGUUAUAGUAUUUAUGGCGUUCUUAUUCAUCAUUUUGUUAUCCUUUAGAUUUCUGUCUAUCCAACUAAAAUGAGCUGUCCUUCAAUUAUGCACUGCUGCAGCUACGAAGAAGUACUUCAAUUGGUUACUGAAGAUAUUUAUAAGGCAAGGAAAUUGUUAGAUGCUGACUCUUGAAGCCUUCUUUUGGUCGGUUGUCAAAGAAAAGGUGAAUGUGUUUGCUAUUAAUGUAAUGAAAUUCUGCCCCACUCCAUUCUUAUUCUAUUGUUUGGAGGAUCUAGAUAUUUCAUUUCGUAAUGAAAUUGGUUUGCGAUGCUAAUGCUUAGGUGCAUUAUUUACAAGGUGAAUGACGAGUACAUCAGUGAAGUCCCAUGUUUUACUAGAGGGUUAAGCUUAUACGUCAGUGUGCACAAGGUUGCUGGACAAUAAUAGAAAAGGAGCUUCCAUAAUCGCUGGUAGAGUUGGACUGUCAACUGUUAAACAUAGUUGAUCUACCUGAUUUAAUUGGAAAUCUAAAAAGAACUUAAACUAACCAGAAUGGACUUUUCAUCCAUAAGAAUGUUGUUACCCAAUGCUAUUGGACUGCUAUAAAUGAUUGAGGGGUUAGGUGCCAGAAAAUGAGUCUGAAGGUUGAAAUUUUUGGUGAAUUAGGUGACUAUUCAAACUGUUCGAGGAUUUUGGGCAUAACACUCAUCGAAGUUGUCUAUGGAUUCCCCACGAUGAUCUAUUCUCUCUCCCAUGUCCAUAAACAUUUUUCUGGAUGCAAUGGAAUUUGACAGCCACCCCAAGCUUUUUCAAUCCGUCUUUGUUUUGAUGCAUCUACAACCGGUUUGUUCAUGGCCUCAUGAAAAUGGUUAAUUUAGAUUUAUGGACAGACCUGACCAAUAUCUAACAGGUUCCAUGUACUUUGUCAUUCUUGCCACUUUGGCUUAAGAAAUAUUGCUUUUUUUCAAUCUUGAAAAACUCUUUGGUUCUCGAAGUUCAUGAAACUCAGAAGCAUUAGUCCACUGCCAAACUUUUGAAACAUAAUGAAUUUGGCAGAACUGUGUCCUUGGACGUCCAAUGUCAAAGCUUACCUGUCUCUCCAGAACUAAUACAUUUGAGGGGACUGAAAAGAAUUGGAUUUGAAUUCCUUGAGAACAUACCCUGUCGUCUCUCUUGAAGAGUCUACCACGCUUGAAUAGGCUAGUUGAGAUUCGAGGUUUGUUGAAACUGGAAUUUCUAUUAGUUUGUUUGGCUUUUUUAGUUUUUCUUUUCUGAUGUGGUGCUCACGUACGCCCCAUCAUCGCCACUUGUCUCAAUGCGAUGCAAGCCACCAUGUAGAAUAGCUAUCUUCGAUAGCAUGUUGAGCCAAACUUGGCUCAUAAGAGAAGGGCUCAUAAGAGGAAGGGGUAGUUAUUUUUUAAGUGAAAAUAACUAUUGUAUAAAUAUGAAAAAUGAGAAAUGUUAAGAAUAGAAUAAAAACAAUACGUUCAUUCAUUCCCUUGAAAUAACAGUGUACUCCUUCUUGAAGAUCGGAACUCCAAGGCUUCAAUCAAUUCCUCUGAGACUACAACAAGUACUUAAUCUGUGGUAAAUAAGAUAUGUUUGUUUUCGUGAUAUGCCUUUGGAUUGGUGUUACAUGUUUCUAGGCAUGUUUCCGCGUUUGUUUUCGGUAUUCAAUCGUUCGAGUAUCGAUUCAUCUUUCAAAAACCCAUUUUCAACAUUGGUAUUAGAGCAAUGUUGUUCAUGUUUUCCGAUCAUUAUUGACAUUUAUAAUUUGUUUUUUAUUGAAAUUUUGAGAAACGUCACCGUCUGACGUUUGGAGAUGGAAAUCCCGACACUGGCAUACUAUUCACCCCUCCCUUUUGAUUUUCUGUGAGUCAAAACUUAAUUUUGAAAGUGCAAGGUCAUAGUUUUUGUCGAGAUGAGAAAAACGAUAGAUGGCUUGCCAUCGGGGGCUGCCGAAUGCACCCUCAAGCGCGGCCCGAAGGAGAAGACUCAUCAACAUGUGCGCAGCAUGUGCGCAUGGUAAACCACAUGCACAUGCAUUGCACAUGCGCGGUAAUUGCACGCACAUUCUCAUGCACGUGGCAACCGCCAGUGCAUGCACGGUAUGCGCAUUGCAUAAGUUUACUCUUUUGCCCCUGUUUUCUUUACAUUAUUACCAUUUUGCCCUUGUCUAUUUGUUUUUACAAUUAUGCCCUUAUUUUUUAAUCAAUAUUACUGUUUUGCCCCUCAUAGACCUAGCUGACCCGUUAACCCAACCCGGUCAUCCAUUGACCAACAUUGAUCAUUGACCUACCAUUGACCAACCGUUGACUGGCAUUGACUGUUGAUCGAUGUUGACCAUUAACUGUUUCCCAAAAGAAAAAAUGGAAAAUGCGUUUUUCAAUUUUGUUGUGGAUUUUAUGUAAUCACUUUUGUUCUGCAUUUGUUGCAGGAACAAUGAUGCGUUCUAUAUGCACGCCUAUAUUCCUGAGAGCGGACGAACAAAAAGUGAGACUUAAAGGGCUAAAAACAAAACUAGCUAAUUAUCGGUGGAAUGAUAGUGAUGUAGUGUGACACAUGAUCAGGGUCAACCAGAUAAUACAAUGGAUCAUAUGAAAUAAUUAUCUUAUGCUAAAUUUUCAAAAGGUACCAGCUCUAAUGAACAUUCUUCCAUCAUAAUGGUAACUAGUGUUAGAUCGCCCAUGGGAGGUCAACGUUGUCACAUCCCGAUCCUCCAAGCGCGCGAACAUCCCACUCUAGUCGAUACAAAUGCGACUUCCCAGGACACGUCGCCGACCCAUUCAAUUUUUAUUAUGCAUGCGGAAGCGAAACAAAUCCCCUGACAAUAUUUAACUUGGGAUAGAAAAGCAGGCAAUCAAUCACAACCAAACAAGCUUUCUAUAAACGCAUAGGUUUAUAUACAACACUGGAUUGUCUACAAAAUAGAUAGGCUCAACAACUAGGGAACUGUCCUAUGACCAACUUGUCAGACAUGUUCAUCGAUUCUUCAGCCUCCACCUUCCGAACUCCAGGACUUCCGGUCCUCCACGACCGUCAUCUAGGGACCUGAAAUAUUAUCCCACAACCGGGAUGAGACUACGUCUCAGCGAGUCCUACCAUCUAAAACUCAAUUAGGGAGAAAAUACGCCUCAGGGUGCUCUAGCCACACAAAUAGAAUAGAGGACUUACCUCGCCUCAGUCCCUUUCCUGCACGUCAGUACAAUUCAUAUUCAAACAAUGCUCGCACAAGCUGAAACUACCGACAUACCCAUCGGUCUAUCAAUUCAGUCAAUCCAAUUGAUAUCAUACGAUCCACACAUCUAUCAAUUCAUAUCAUCUAUUAAACCAUACCAUCUAUUCAUCCAUCAAUACAAUUACGGCUCGCACAAGCUGAAAUGGAUGCAAUGCUCUCACAAGCUGAUAUAGAUGGUAGUUCGCACAAGCUGAUAUAUACAUAGAUGAUAGCUCGCACAAGCUGAAAUAUGAAUCGUUGCUCUCACAAGCUGAUAAACGAUCAUUGCUCUCAUAAGCUGAUAAAUGAUCAUUGCUCUCACAAGCUGACAUACAGUGCUCAUACAAGCUGACAAUGAUGCUCACACAAGCUUAUACAUAUAUAAACCAAUUGCUCGCCAAAGUUGAUAAUUCAAUAAUAAACCAAUUCAUACCUCAAUUCAAUCAAUCAAUCAAUCCAAUCGAUUCAAACUAGUCAUACAAAGCAAUUACGGUGCUAAAAGCCAACACUGGGUAUUUUCAAGUUAAAUACCACAACUUCAUCAAUUUCACACAAUUCCACACUUUUGGAAUUAUUAACCAUAAUCAUCAAUCACUCAAUUUCUCAAUUUAAACAUACAAUUAACACAAACCGACCGCACUGCUGCGAUCAGCGCGAAAUUCUAACGACCGGCCAUCCCGGCAUAAUUUUCGAAAUUAUUAAAUAACUAAAUUUAAUUCCGAAAAUUAAAUAAUGAAAUAUUAUUUUAUAAUAAUAUAAUUUAAUAAAAUAAUAUUUAUAAAUUCGAAAUAAUUAUUUAAUUAAAAAUAAUUAAUUAGGGCUUAAACUAGAUUACACUAAUUUAAACAUACAAUUAGCCCUAAUUAAACAUCCAUUAAACUAAUCACACAACUAAUCUAAUUUACAUUAAAAUAAUCUAAUCUAACCACCUAAACCUAAUUAGACUAAUCUAAGCACCCCUUAAGUGUCAUUAACUCACUAAGCAAGAAUUAGAGGAUAAACUCACCGGUUUUGCGCGCCGGUGAGUUCACGGCGACCCCGACACCAAGGCGGUCGAUAAAUCCCAAAGCGGCGACACCAACGGAGGCCGGGAAGGGCUUGAAAACAGGCCACAAAGUCUCCAAAACCUUGCUGUCUUCUGCUUCUGAUCUGGACUGAACUGCAGAGAAGAAACCAGCAACUUCAACGGCGAAAACGGGCCGAUCGGAGCUCCGGCAAGCGGGUGGUUGGCAACCAAUGGCUCCCGGGGGUCUUGGGGAUCGUGUAGGAGGUUGGGAUGGGCAAAGGAAGGGUCGGAAAGGGGCGAAACAGCAAGAAAACGCGAAACAGGCGGAGCAGGGCGGAACCAGACGGUCCGGCGAGCGGCAGCUUCGGGCGGCCGUACGGGUCGGCCGGAGAAUCGUUCCGGUGAGCGAUGAGGUGCUCCAAAACGGUCUGGAUGUCUUCUUCAUGGCGAUGGGUGGCUCGUUCGCUGAUUCAACCGGGAAGUUAACUUUUUACUCGGAUCUUUGGCGAAAGGUCGGCUGGAGCAGAAACUGGAACGAGGGGAAAACAAGGGAGGAAAACGGCCGACGGUGGCCUUCCGGGCGUGCGACGAUGGAGGGGCUGGUGAGCUCGGUUUCCUCUGGUUCUCUUGAGCUUUUCCUAAGCCUCAACCAUGGAGAAAGCCAUGAAUGAAGGAAGAAGAUGGUCUGCUGAAGAGGGGGGCCUCCUUGGUGGCUCACUAGAGCUCAACACUUGUCUAAACCUCAUUUGCUUUGCCCCCACCAUGACAUCACAUGACAUCAUCCACUCUCUCUCCUCAAUCUUCCUCCACAACCUUGCCAAUAGGUGCAAAAUAGCUCUCCCCCCAUGGUAUACGAAUUUCAUACAUUUGUACAUCAAAUUCAAUCAAUUCUCACUCAAUUCCAUCCAAUUGAAGUUCAAUUAAAUCAACCCAUGUGUCCUCAGCCUUCUCAUGACAUUUGCCCGUCAAAUGAUCCAACUUGCAUCCCGAAGAUUCGAUUAAAAACGGCCCUCUGACAAUCCUGAACAAAAACGGCAUUACUUUGCUUUUCCGCCAAAAAUCUCGGUUUGUAGAAAAAUCUUCUAGAGAUGAGUCGACAUUCCUAAAAUGAAUUGUGGCUUGACAGAACUUCCAAUUUCUGUAAUCGGGUUCAAUUUCACGGUUAAAUUCCAUCUAGUGCGACUUUAGCGCGUCCUAAUCUACCGGGUAGCUUUUAGGAAUUUUCUAUGCAAUUGACCUGUGGUUGAUUAUUCUCAAGCCACAAAUUGCAUCUUCGACACAUUGACGACUCUUGGUUGUCAUAGAAAUCUCAAGGUUUCAAAUACGGACACAGGGUACCAAAACGAUAGAGAAAUCGGUCUAGUGCCGAUCAACAAGAAUUAUGCAAUUAGGUGGAAUCACCCACACUGAAUUACAUGGUUCUGUUGAAUCGACCUAUCUCCGAUCUCUAAUCAGUCUGUGCCGUAAUGACCCUUGCAGAUUAGUACGGUCGAGCAGUCGGUUCCUGGUCGAAUUCUCAAGUCUAUUGCGUUUAGAUUCCUUAACGGCUUCACCUGAUAGACUAGUUAUCUCGUGAGUGGCCAACUCAGAGAAGAAAGCUAUAGACGUGAAGAUGAAAUGCCCGACUUAUUUAAUUGAAACCAGAAUUGGAAAAUCGGGAUGUCACAAACGUGGUUUUAGAUUAUAAAAAGCUUGUAGUGGCUUUUGUGAGAGAUAACUAUAGAAUUGAGGCACAAAGACUUCAACCGUCAAGUUGAGUGUCACUUGGCGUAGAAUGAGUGUGCCUUGGAGGAGCCAUAAGGCUCUUUGAAGGUCUUUCAAUGAUUGCCCAAUGUGCUUUUAGAAUUCUCAGAGCAAUUUACUAAGAGAUUAGAAGAAACUUUCCCAGUUUAUGAGAUAUAUAAGCAUCUUUGAAUUUAUUUAUUGUUUUUCUUCGAUGGUUUGAGAUAUUUUAGGUGUAAAUAUUUCUUUCUAUAUUGAUGUUGAUAUGUUUCCUUUGAAUAUAUAAUUUCAUGUAAAUGACAUACUUAGUUAAUUAAAAUUCAAUAUUAUCUACUGUUGCAAAAUAUUAUGUUAAUGUACAAUUAUUUGUGGGAAGUUCAAGAAAGUUUUAGUGACUUUGGUGAAGUUAUUUUUGCAUAAAUGAUUAUAUUAAUAAUAAUUUCGAGUUAGGAUUUUUGGAUGAUGAUUGGAAACAAUAGUAACCUUUUGAUUCUAAAACCUUAUUUAAAAUUAUUCAUUAAUAUGAUUAGUUCAUGCAAAAUAGAUGCAUAAAUGAUAGGUAUUAAUAAUUCGUGCAUGUAUAUCUAAUAUGUUCAAAACCAAUGGCUUCGGCAACUAAGAGCAUAGUAGUUGAGUUGAACAAAGGAGAGAAAUUGAACGGUGAGAAUUAUGAGAUAUUGAAUAUAAAAAUUCAAUAUAUGCUAGAAAAAUAAUAAGCACUAAAAGCUCUUAACUUAGUAAUGGAAGAACUUGGGGCUGCUAUACAUCACCUUGAGCUAGUAGAGAACUGCCCUAUGGCAUUUGAAUGGGAAUUAAAUAUUUGUUGUGUUGGUUUUAGCUUAGAAUGGGCUUCAAGCUUUAAGCGCAAGCGCAUUGAUUCGUUCAAAAUGUGAAAAUACAAGAAAUCAAGUUAUUCAAGCAAGAAACUAAGAGUUGAUUAACAUAAGAGAGGAAAACAUCCUCGAGUGAAGAGAAUUUCAACGGUAAAGUGUUACAACUAUGGUCAGAAGAGUUACUAUGCUUGUGAUUGUUGUUAGCCAAAUAAGGUAAAUACUUAUUGUAUUCUUAAGAACUUUGCUUAUGAAUCAAAUUAUGUAUUAUUAACUAAAUCUAAUCCUUUGUGGACUAUAGAUUUAGAAGCAAUAGGUCAUAUAAUGAAUGAUAGAAAAUCCUUUUGGAAUUUCAACGAGUACUGAUCGGAACAAAAUGAAUCUAUAUAGGAAACAACUCUAAAAUUGAAGUAAAAUGAAUUAGUACCUAACAAUUAAAUAUGCAUGGUGGAUGUACUUGGUUCGUACAUUAUGUAUUAUAUGCUCCAAGAAUUCGUCGGAAUUUAGUGUUUAUGUUAAUGUUGAUUAAAUUAGGUUUCAGUUUAAACUUUCAUAAUAAUUGUAUGGAUUUGUAUUUGGAUACAAACUACUAUGGUUGUAAUUAUUUUUUGAAUGGUUUUAUUACAUUGGAUGUUAACUAUGGUAAUAUCAAUGUUUAUUAUUCCCUCUUCACGUCUUCUAAUUCAUAUAAUAAUGAUGUGAAUAUAUGGUAUGCUAGAUUUGGUUAUAUUGGCUAACAACGUAGGAAUAGAUUAGCCGAAAAGAACCUGUUGGAUAACAUUGAAAUAAUUGAUUAGUCCAUAUAUGCACAUUGGCUAGUAGGGAAAACGACAAGGAAACCAUUUGGAAAAAGUAAAUAAAAAAAAUUGAAUUUCCUUUGCAAUUAAUCUAUUCUGACAUCUAUGGUUCAAUAAAUAUGAGAGGAAAGCAUGUGACUGUUUAUUUCAUCAUGUUUAUAGAUGAUUUUACUCAAUUCGGAUAUGUUUAUUUGAUUUCUCUUAAAUUUGAAGUAUUGAGUUUUUUCAACAAGUUUAUGAGCUUGGUAAAAAAUCAAUUAGAUAAGAAAAUAAAGUAUUGAGAUCCGAUUGAGGUUGAUAAUAUCUAUUUAAAGAGUGUAGAAAUUUAUGCAAUGAAAAAGGAAUAGAAAAACAAUUGUUUAUUCCCUAUACCCCUCAAUAAAAUGGUGUUGUGGAAAAGGGAAACAAAACUCUACUGGAUAUGAUUAGGUCAAUGAUGGUUCAUAUUAACUUACCUACCACAUUUUGGAGUGAUAUUUUAUCAAAUUCUACCUAUAUACUUAACCGUAUGUUUUCCAAAUCAGUUACUUCUACUCCAUAUGAGUUAUGCCGCCUAUGCUCAUGAGCCCUCUCACAAGUAUGGGAAAUUGGGUUCUAAGAACAAGAAGAGUAUUUUCAUAAGAUACUCAGAACACUUGAAAUAGUAUGUAUUUAUAUGUGAGUAGGAAAGUGAGAAUAUAAUUGAAUUUGGAUCAUGAGAUUUAACAUUCUUAAAGAAUGAAGUUCCUAAGAAUUGUGAAAUAGGUGAGGACUACUCCCUAGUUGAAACCUUGGAUCGAGAUAAUGAAUUAAAUAGAGAUUGUCCAGGUGGAAGUAAUAUGAUAAAUGAGAAAUUAAAUUUGACUCAAUCUCAAUUACAACCACUCGAUAAGACGAUAUUGUCAUUAUCUAAUUCAAGUGAGAGCAUAAUGAAGAAUAAUGUGCAAAGUGGAUAAUAUUUUGUACGACAAACAAGUGGCAAAAGUAUUCCCUAUAAACAUUUUGACAUUGAAGAGGAAACUUUUAUGCUUGCUCAACGAGAUGAAGACGAGCCAAAUAACAUAAAAGAGGAUCUAAAUUGUCAUAAUAAGGAAAAAUUGAUGCAUGCAAUUGAAUAAGAAAUGGAGUUAAUGAAGUCAAACCAUAUUUAGAAAUUGGUUGAUCUUCCAAAAGGACGCAAAACCAUUUAGAACAAAUGAGUUCUCAAAAUAAAGCGUAAAGGUGAUGGCUCAAUAGAAAGACAUAAGGCUCGUCUUGUGGUGAAUGGGUAUAAUCAACAUGAAAGAAUUGAUUAUGAGAAAAUAUUUUCCCUCGUAGUGAGAUUUUCCUCAAUUCGUUUUAUUUUGACAAUAGUAGCUAGUGUGGAUUUUGAGUUACAUCAAAUGGAUGUAAAAACUGAUUUUCUCAAUGAAAAAUUAAAAGAAGAAGUUUAUGUGGAAUAACCGCUAAUUUCAUUUUGAAAAGCUAAGAAUAAAAGAUAUGUCAACUUUUGAGAUCAAUAUAUGCCAUUAAUCAGUUAUCGAGAUAAUGAUAUAUGCCACAAUGACAUAUGAUUUUACAAUUAUUGAUGAAGACCAUUAUGUAGAUAUCAAAAGAUCCAAAGAUCAAUUUGUGAUCAUAUCAUUAUAUGUUACCAUGAAUGGACCUAGACUUUGAACCAGGGAGGGCCAAGUCAAUUUUCUGCAGGUAUGCCUUCCCACAGUGGGCGAACAACCCGUUCAAGCCCUUUAGGGAUAGCCUUUAGCAGAAAACCACCCAGCCCUUUAGUUCAGAGCCUAGAGACACUCAGAGAUGCCAGGAUGGAAACGUUUCUAAUCUACCCGAGCUGCAUUUCUUGGAGGAUCCUACCAGGCUGGAGAAGAAGAGGAGUUUAGAAAGCCAUAGAGAGGUUUUCCACAAAACACAUAUUUUUCUUCAGGGGACUCUGCCCAACACAUUACACCCUCCUCGCCUUUUAUAGACAAUAAGAGGUCACAAAGACACUCACAAGGACCAUGCUCAUGGGUCCAGAUACAAAUAAAGGCACCGGAAACUUCUGGGAGGGAAUUAUUCGCACAUUAUGAAUAGUGACUGUACUGUGAACAGUACUUUCCCUAGCCUAGUGCUACAAUAAAAGUGAUUUGCUACAGUGAAAUUGUACAAACUCAGUGGUCUCGUCCUUCACGAGCAUUAUAGUCAUAGUCGGAGUCAUCCGAGCUGUACAUUGUUGCUAGGCAAUGUGCAUCAUAUUUCUGCUCAAGGGCUUCAAGGUCUUCAGGUGAUAAAAUCUGGUUGAGCUGGCGAGAUGAGGAUGCGGAGGCUUCUUCAUGAGCCCAGUGGGAUGCUUCUUCUUUGGCCCAAUUUGUGUUGUCACUUGUUGUGUUGGCAGGAAUGCUUGGCUGAGGCCAAUUGGAUGGUUGUGCAUAGAAGGAUGUGUCCAUGUUCUGGGAUAAGGACGAAGGUCCUAGAUCAUAGGGAUCUUGGGAAAGAGGACCUCCCCAAUGUGCAUAGGGGUCCUGAGUAGCUUGGACAACAGUAUCUGCACUUGUCAUUUCAUGAUCUUGGGAUGAUACAGCUUGUCUACAUUGCCUGAGUGCUUCCUUAGCCUCUGGUGCUAGGUCAUAAUGAUCCCACGUAGUGGGUACAUUGUUCCAUACAUCUUCAAGAAUGGUCUUGUUCUCUUGGCACAAGAUUCUCUGGAGUUCUCAGUAUUGGUGUCCACAAUAUCUAACAGAUCUUGGAUAAGAUUUGUGAAUCCGAGCUUCUUGAUUGUUUAGGUGAGGUCUAUAGGAUGUGGUUCCUAUAUCUUGUGGAGCAUCGAUGAUGUUGUCAUUGUUUCUGAAAAAAUGCCAUGGACGUCUGAAAAACAGGAUAGUAUGGACUUCAGGAUUUGGGGUCAUGGUUCUCAAUUCUUUUUCCAAGAGAUGUUUCUAGUGAGUAGGAUUAUAGAACCAAUUAAGAAAGUCUAAGAGAUUCUUGUCACUUUCUUUCUCAACAUUUCUUCCGAGUAAGAAUAUCCUGGUAAGGUUGACAAUGAAUCUUCUGGUUGGAAUUUCAAUAGCUAUUAAGUACUUAUUGGUUAAGUACGGUAAUAACGUCUUGAGUUGAUCUGGGAAAUCAUCUUCCUUCUAGAUAAGGGGAUGAAUGAAUGGAUAAUUCAAAUUUAGCCCAAAAGGAUAAAGAAUCGAACAUCCAUUGAAUUUGAAUAGAUCCGUGUGGCAUUGCCACAUGAGAUUUUCCAUGUUUUCAGUGAGGCUGUCAUUCUGGAUUUGUUCUACAAUCUUCUGGGGAUAUUUCUAGCUUGGUAAAUCUUUGAUCUUCUCAUUCUUGUAUUUUACUCUAUGAUUGAGAAUGUGAAAAGCAGGCCUCUUGAUAUACAUGUUGAUUUCGGCUGGUGCUUUUGGUCUUGACAAGAAGCCGCAAGCACAUUCUUUUGCCCGGGAAUAUGUUUGGUUUCAAAAGAAUAUUUUGACAACCAUUCAGCCCAUCGAAGCAGUUGGGAGUUUGGAAUAUGCUUUUAUUUAAACUUGGUCAUUUGAGGGAAAGAUGCCAUAUCUAAUUCUACCAGGAAGUGAUGGCCGAUGAGGUGAAAUUCAAACUUUUUUAUUUCAUUUUUCACUGCUAGAAUUUCUUUUAAAGUGGAACGGUAAUGCAUUUCAGCUUGAGAAAACUUUACACUUUUGUGAGUACAAAGAUAUCUCUUAUCAUCAAUUUCUUCAAAUAGGAUGGUUGCCUAGUAUUCAUCACUAGCGUCAGUUUGAAGGAUUCUCUUUCCGGUUGAUGGUAAUUGCAAUGGUGGGAGAUUUUGCAUAAUCUCCUUGAGCUCAGCAAUUGCUUUAGUCUGAGGUUUUCCCCAAUGUGGGAGAUUCUUCUUCAGCAUGGAUUACAAAGGAAUCAAGAGCUUUGCAAUGUUUGGGACAAAAUCCCUAAGAUAAUUGAUUAUCCCAAGAAAUUGUUGAAUUUGUUUUAUCGUGAAGUUAUCCUCAGGAAACUUCAAUAAUUCUUGAGCGGUAUAUGGCCCUGGGUAGUAUGUACCUUUGUUGAGAUGCAUACCAAGAAAUUCAAUUUCUGUCUAGGCAAUAUUCAUUUUCCUCUGGGAAAGCAUAAUACCAUACUUCUUCACGAUUUCUGCGAAUUGCUCAAGAAGUCGGCAAUGUGACUGCUCAUCAGGACUAUAGAGAAGAAUGUCAUCAAUGUAUACAGCUUCACUUGACAAGAUUGGUUGGAAAAUACGACACAUGGCCUUUUGGAAAAGGGAUGGUGCUACCUUUAAACCAAAAGAAAGAACUUUUCACUGGAAGUGCUAGUUAGGGAUACAGAAUCCUGUUUUGGAUCUGUCUUCAGGAUGGAUGCCCAAUUGCCAAAAUCCGGCUUUGAGGUCAAAUUUAGAAUAAAUGUGGGCCUUGGUUAAACCAGUAAAGAGGCAAUUUCUGGAGGGCAAAGGGAAUUUAUUAUCUUGGAGAAAAAGGUUGAGGGGUUGGUAGUUGAUUACUGGCCUCAUUUUUCCUCUGUUCUGCUCGGCACGCUUAUUGACAUAAAAGGCUUCACAAGCCCAUUAAGAAUUGGAAGUUUCAAUAAGGCCUUGCUGCAGUAAUUCUGAACAUUCCCUUUGAGCUAAAGCCAAGUAUUCUGGCUUCAUUCCCAUAUGACUCGCCUUUGUUAGAUUGAUGUCUUCAUUCUUUUUGAAUGGAAGACGGACAAAAAACUCUGGAUUUUCCCAUAGAGGAUGAGAACAUUUAUGAGUGAAUUCAGAAUGGGAUUCUGAACAAGAUUCCAACAAUUUUUGCAUGAUUUGAUUUAAUAAACUCAUUUGAAUAGAAAAGAGUCUCUGAAUAUUGACAAACUCAGAGAAUUGGUCUCUAUACCCAAGACCUUUUCCAGGAAUGAUUCAAAGCUGAGAAAUUUGAAUCAUGAUGUCCCAACCAAUGAUUAAGUCUUUGUUGGGAAGAUUGGAUCCAAAGAUUUUUGUGGAUAUUGAACACUGAGGGAAGAACUGGACAGUUAUGGGGGUGGUUCUGACAUUCGUGGAGAAAGUAUUUCCUGAGGCAGAAUUGAAAUAUCGGAUAUAAGGAGUCCAGAAUUCUUCAGGAAGAACUUUGGUGUCCAGUAUUGAACAACUUGCUCCAGUAUUAAUGAGAGCAAUGACAUUAAUUGGUGGCAAACUUUGAAGUAAGGAUUUUUACGGGGAAAUGAGGACAAUGAGUCUGACUCAAAAAUAUGUCAGAGCUUGGUUCUGGAGAUGUGAGUGAUAUAUGAAAAAUAUCUUCAAACUCAGAAUCUGACUCAGUUUCACUAGAAGUGGAAUAAUAUGGAAUGACACAAAGAGUUUGUUCGCCUGGUUCUUCAUCAACAAAGAAUAAUGAUUCAAUAUCAUCAUUUUCAAGAGAAAUACCUGUUUCAUUCUCAAUUUGAUGUAUCAAAUGAUGUUGACCUUUUCUAGCUUGGGGGCAAUUUUUGGCAAAGUGCCCUUUCUGGUUGCAGAUGAAGUAGCGAUUUGAUUUUUUGAGGCCUGUAUGAUCUUUCCUCUUACGAAGGUAUUGCCAUUUCUUCUUUCUUCGGAAGUGCUUACGGCCAUGUUUGGAUUUCUUUAACCAGAACUUCUUGAAGUGUUUCUUCUUUCGAGAAGACUUUCCACAAGUACCAUCACAGUCUUUCUUGGAACAUUUGAUCUUUAACUUCUGGCGAGAGUAGGCUGUCUCGAGUUCUCUCUCAUUUAUGAUGUAGGUAUGGACCAUCUGGCGUUUUAGGCACAAUUCUUCAAGGCAUAGACAGAUUUCUUGCUGUAUUUCUCCCAAGGGAAUAUCCUGUACUCUCCUUUGUCUUCCAAAAAAGGAUCUUUCAACCAUCUGGGAUAGUUCUUUAGGGAUGGAAGUCAGGAAAACAUGUUUUAGAUUUGGAUCUGCUCCAAUCUGAUAAAAAAGUUGAAGCAUUUGCCGAUAAUGCUUAUCAAGAUAUUUCUUUUUGAGGGAGCAGCAUUUUCUUUCGAAAAAUUCUCUUCUUUUCAUUUCUAUGAGGUCAGUGAGUUUCCCUACAAAGAAAUGAUAUAAGAGAGUGAUGGCAUGGCUAAAAUCAGGUGACAUUAAAAAAUGAUUCUGGUCUUGUUCUGAAACAGAUUUCCACCAAAGUUUGAGGCUUCCUGUGAACCUCGUCACAAAAUUGUAGAGGGCAUCAUUCAUAUCAUAGUUGGUGAUAGACUGAGUAUUUAACCAAGUAUUAAAUUCCUCAAGUCUUUUUAGCCAUUUAUGGUAGGGGAUGUCAUCUAUCGUGAAAAACUGUUUUGAAGCCAUGGACACAUGGUGUCCUGGAUUGUUCUGAACAAUCUCUAGGUCAGAGUAAUUUGAUUCCAUUUCCUGAUUUGGAGGAUCAGCCAUAAAUAUGGAUGAAGUUACUGGUGCAAUAAGAAGGGAAUCAACUUCAGGAAUUGAAAAGGAUGAAGAGGAGGAAAAUGAUACUGAUUCUGAUUCAGUAUCAGAAGUGAUAGGAAUAGUUUGUUCAACUGGGAGUAGAAUCUGAUCAUUUGAAAUGGCAGGAUCAGGCUGUUUCUAAGUACCCAAAUCCUUGAGAAAAGAUUCUAGCGGAUUGGAUAACAUCGUCUGAUCUGGCCUUUCUUUUAUAACGAUCGAACUUUAUUCUGUAGGCAUUUUUUCUUUUCCUCUGUCCUUUUGUAGAUUUUUGUGAUGAUUUCGCAUUUCUGCCAUAUCUGGUUCUUUUCUGAAAGAAUCUUCUGGGAUGGUAGCAAAAAUAGACGGCUAGGGUUUUGGAGGCAAAUACCCAGUUCUGAUAGGAGGUGCCAGUGGAUCGAAAGGUCUAAACGUUCCUUCUUCAAGGAGUUGGAUUUGCCUUUUGAGCUUUUCUAUCUCCGGCUUGGGGCUCUCAAGAUGAUGAUACCCUAGAUGUUGUCUUGAUUCCAAGGCAUUUAGCCUCUUUUGGAAUUCAGAAAUCAUUUUCUUGGUGGUUUCAUCAUACUUUCGAAGGUCUUGUUGCACAUUUCCAAUCUUGGAAUCAAUUGCUUUGAAGGCAUUGUUUUGUGCUAACAAAGUCUCCGAUUGCCAAUUUAAAACAGCUUCAGCAGCAGGAGUUCUUCUCUGUCUUCCAUGUUCAUCCACAUCAGUGGGGGCAGCUAUCUUAGGAGUAUGAUGAUAUCUGCCUUGUGGAUCAAUGAAUUCCUCUGGAGGAAACGAGAGUUUUGAACUUUUUCUAACAAGAGGAGGAAAGUCUGUAUCAUAAAACAUAGCAAUGUAAAAAGUGGAUGGUAUUUCUGCUGGAACCUCAAGUGGGUAAGAAUGCUUCUUAGCCUAUUAUAGGAUUGGUUUGUAAAACGGGGAAAGAACUUGUUUUUUCUGAGGAGGAGAUGGUGGCGGUGAUUUUGAUAGAUCACAUGAAACUUGGGAUGUAGUACUAAACUCCGGUGGUGGAGGUGGUGAAUAAGAAACUAUAAACUGGUAUUUAUCACACUUACCAAGAGUAUGAACGGAGGGAUCUCCGUUUAAGUACUUUUGGUACACUUUAUCCUUUGGCCUUUUUCGACGAGGUGGAGAUCUUGCAAGAGGAUCUACCUCGUCAGGGGAGUUUGUACAAUAGGAACAUUGGCAAAAAGGAUCCCAAAAACAAUGACCAUAGUUGUCUUUAUAGUAAUGGACAUGAUGUCCAUCACCAUUAAAGUGUCAAAUAAGUUUUUUUGGAUCUGGCUCGGAAAUUGCUUCUGGAACGCAUGAUUCAAUCAUGAAGAGGGUUUGGAAGAUAGAAUUACUUUCUUCCUUUUCCUUGUCAAAUUUGAUGGAAACAAUUCCAUCAUUUUUUCCGAAGAAACUCAGAGUCCGUAGACUGGAAUGGCUUGUUAUGCUGAUGUAGCUUUUCGUAAUUGGCGAUCCAAGUCUCUGGGAGGAGCUCGGCUAACGUAUCCUUUGGGAUCUGCCUAGGAACAUGGAUACAUGAUGCUUGAUCAUUUUGCAUGGAGAUAAACAAGGCAUCUUCAUUACCAUUAUUGAAGUUGAGAUCAAGAGCAUGGUUCUGCACUCGAUAAACCAUCUGGUAAUGUAGGGUUGCAGCUAUAGAGUCAGCAGUUUGAGGAGCUCCAAUGAGCUGAACUUGAACUUUUAAGAAAGAAAGUAGCUGAGGGUCUAAAAGAGCGAUGUUGAAAUUUGGAUAUAAAGUCACGAAGACUGUUCCAGCAUUCAAAGUAGUUUGAACAGUACCAAUGCAGGCAUGCUGGUACUGUAAAAACCUAGUAUCCAACAACGCAAUUCGUGCCACAACUGGCAAACCUUUACGACCAUGGAAGGUAAGAGCAAGACGAACAGCGCCAUAAUGGACGUGAGUAUAUCCUUGCUGAGCCCAUUGUUUGGGAAACUCUGGGGGGAUCUGAAGAGUAACAAAAUACUCAUUUUUAGUAGCAGGAAUGGGGUGUUGGUCGAAUUUGGAGGACUGGACGUACUCCUUGACUUGCUUUGGGGUUUGGUGAAUAAGUUGGUUGAUGGAGCGGAUGGGUGAGAAAGAUGUGUGUGGUUUGACAAAAGCGGAGUAAGGGUUCAUGAGGGGGAGUUGGGUUUCAAAGAUCUUGGUUUCAUCACUAAGAGAGACUUCAUAAAGGUAAUCUAUCUUAGAGGCAUUAGAAACACGAAAUUUUGGAGAGGUUGAAGAUGAAGGAGAUGAAGUAAGAGAAACUGGUGCUUCGAGAAUUUCUGGUUCGGUAGACAUGAUGAGAAGAGAUCUUCUCAGCACUGAAUUCACCUACCAAUCGCAUGGAACGGAUAAUAUUAGGAACGAAACCAUGGCUUUGAUACCAUGAAGGAUCUAGACUUUGAACCAGGGAUCUAGACUUUGAACCAGGGAGGACCAACUACUGUUAAGAGUUGGUUAUCUUACAACUUUAACAUGAAAGAUAUGGGUAAGGCUGCAUACAUUCUUAGAGUUAAGAUUUUAAGGAAUCAUUUGAAGAGAUCAUUGUCUUUUUUACAAGAGAUCUAUAUAAACAAGGUUCUUGAACGAUUUUGUAUGAACCUAUAAAUAAUCUUAUUGCAAAAGGUAAAUGAUUGAGGCAUAGAUUUUGUCCAAAAACUCCACAAGAGAAGGAACAAAUAAAAUACGUUCCUUAUUCUACUACUGUUUGAAGCUUAAUGUACGCUAUGAUGUGUACAAAACCUUAUAUAUGUUUUAUAGUUGGAAUAGCAAGUAGAUACUAAUCUAAUUUUGAACAAACAUAUUGGAAAGUUGUUAAAAGAAUACUGAAAUGAAAUACGUUCCUUAUUCUACUACUGUUGGAAGCUCAAUGUACGCUAUGAUGUGUACAAAACCUAACAUAUGUUUUAUAGUUGGAAUAUCAAGUAGAUACUAAUCUAAUUUUGAACAAACACAUUGGAAAGCUGUUAACAGAAUACUGAAAUGAAAUAUGCUUCUUGUUCUACUACUGUUGGAAGCUUAAUGUACACUAUGAUGUGUACAAAACCUAACGUAUGUUUUAUGGUUGGAAUAGCAAGUAGAUACUAAUCUAAUUUUGAACAAACACAUUGGAAAGCCGUUAAAAGAAUACUGAGAUAUUUAAAAUGAAUUACUAAUUAUAAACUGAAUUAUCAAGGAAAUGAUUUACAGCUUGAAGGCUAUUCAAAUAUUGAUUGGAGAGGAGAUUUAGAUGAAAAAAAAUCUACCUCUAGAUUUGUUUUCAAUUCAAACUGAAUAAUGGUGCCAUAUCUUGGAGCAAUAAGAAACAAACGUGUAUAGUCUUGUCCGUGAUGAAAGCUAAGUUCGUGGCAUUAUUAACAGUAAUACAAAAAGGUGUUUGGCUUUAGAGAUUUUUGGAUCAUUUAGGUAUUAUUAAGAAUGUUGCAAACUCAUUGUUGGUUAACGGUGAUAACCAAGUAACAAUAAUGUACACCAAGGAUUCAAAAUAUCAUGGUAAGACCAAAUAUAUAAAUGCCAAGUAUAAUUUUGUCAAAGAUAUAUUUGUACAAAAAGAUGUGAACAUACAGUACAUAUCUACGCAUAUAAUUAUAGUAGAUUCUAUGACGAAGCCAAUACCUAGAGAUGUAUUUUAUAGUCAUAUAAAAUCACUAGAACUAUGUAGAGGCUAAUGUACUCAAUAGUAUAAUUUUCCUAAAUGUUCACAUUUAAUGAAGUUAUCUUUCAUUAUUAAAACCUAUGAUUUUUGUUUGACGUUUAUGCAUUUUAAUACUCAGUGCAUCAUAUAAAAUUGAGAAAAUAUGUCGGGCAAAUAAGAGGUUAGCUUACUCUCACAGGUAAUCGCCUGUAUUUACUAUGUGAUAAAUAGAGAUGAGAUAGUUUUUAAACUUAUUAUUUAAGUAAUAAUCGAGAGUUCAAGAUUAAAAUAUCGAUAUAACUGAGUACUAAGAUGAGAACAUAAUAUUUACUCUGUCUGAAAGUAAAAUAAUCUACAUAUUUUACUUUAUUUGUCUUUGAUAUCAAAUGUGAGUUCUGAUAAAUUUUUGAAAGAGUAAAUACGUGAACUCAAAUUAUAUUAGGUAUGUUUAAACUAUCAUAUGUAUGAUAUUAAAAUUGAAAACAUACAUUCCAUAGAAAAUGAGUUAAUACCGUAAUACGUAUUUCAACUACGUAGCAUGAGACAACUAAUAACAGUGGCAAAAGUUUUGAUCUCAACUUUUAUGCCGAGUGAAACUCUUUAGGAAAAAAGUUCCUCAAUUAAGUGCCCUCAUGACUCUUCCUUAUUCUCAAGAUUUUUAUUCAAUAUUUGCUAUCUUAGAAUGUUGUCAAUGAUUAUGAAUUGAUUCGAUUUAAUUGGACAUUUCUAAAAAAACAAGUUCAAUUAAAAUUAAGAGUUUCAAGAAAAGAAAAAGAUUGAGUUUGAGAUAUCACAUUCUAAUUUUGUAUUCACUGAUUGACCAAUUAUGAUUGUUGUGGGAUAAUCAUAAUUGUAAAUACAAUAUAUCAUUAUUAAAAGGAGAUCAAGAGAAAUAUAAAUGUGUUCAAUCAAUUUAGGAUACUGCAUAUUAUAUUUACUUGAAAACGUAAUACCCAUUUUGACCUACUAUAUAAUCCUAACAGAUGUAUGAGAACGAGCUCUUAAAGUAUGUUGGUCACACGGAUUAUUUACCGGUAUAAAUGUUGAAGAGAGAUGAAUAAAGAGUUUUAUUAAGCCCAUCAUGUGCAAGUGGAACAUGAUGGGUUUUUUAUUUAAUGGGCUAAAUCAAGCUCAUCUGCCCAUGUUAAGCCAAACCCAGCCUAUAAAAGAAGGACUAAUGAAAGAAAUGAGCAAUUAUUUUUUAAGUGAAAAUAACUAUUGUAUAAAUAUGAAAAAUGAGGAACGUUUAGAAUAAAAUACAAAUCAUACAUUCUUUUCCUUCCCUUGAGAUAAGAGUGUACUCAUUCUCGAAGAAUGGAACUCUAGGGCUUUGAUCAAUUCCUCUAAGACUGCAACAAUACUUAAUCUGUGGUAAACAAUGUAUGUGAUAUAUUAUUUGAUCGGUGUUACAUGUUUCUGGCCAUGUUUUCGCAUUUGUUUUCGGUAUUCAAUUGUUUGAGUAUUGGUUCAUCUUUUAGGAAUCCGUUUCCAACACCACUAAUACAAGGUAGGGUUUUUUGUGACCAAAAAAAGUUAUUUUUUGGGAAAAAAAAUUAUUGGUUUCACAUUGUAUACUUUUAGGUUCUUGAUAGAAUUUUCUCUGGAAUCUAUUAAAGAUUUAAGGAAUUAAGUGUUAGCUUUGUCGACUACUGUAAAAAUUUCAAUUUCUCCAUUGUCGGAGAUACAUAGCUGUUAUUCUUUUGUAUAGAGCGUGUGGGCUUUGGUGAAAUUUUUUAAUGAAAGCUUUGUUAAAUGUCUUCAAGUCCACUCUAUAAUAGAAAGAUAAUAGCAUUAAAGAAGCUGUCGGAUCGAUUUUUUUUUUUUAAUUGUAUCCAUAACAUGACUGAAAAGAUAGCCAAAAAAGUGAUGUGUAUGGAAUGAAUGAGGUAUUACUUUCAUUUUAACUUAGGGAAUUUGGAACUAGAGCAAAAUUAAUGAUACUCAUAAAGAUACGUCUAGAUGGAGUGUCUAUAACAUUUGAUUGUUUCAUCAAAAAUCAACAGUUGAAAAGAAAUUUUCUCGAUUUUUUACUUUUUUGUAUCAUUUAUGAAAAUUAGUCAAUAUUAAAUAUUUUCAUAUUGACUAAUUCCUGCAUUUACAUACUUUUGUUGAUGAUUAUAAACUUUUUUUUUUUGGCUCAUUUUCUUAAACAAUAAAAACAACUGAAAGUAAGAAUUGUUUUUUUUUUUUUUUAUUGUUGGUUUACUGAGAAACGACUGAAAUGUAAGAAGAACAAUAUAAUCUAAGCAUGUAAUAUAUCGUGAAAAUAGAUAACAUUCUGUAAGUCAACAAUGUUAACUAAAAAAGAAUUCAACAACUAUGGAGUAAAGGGAAAUACUGUGUCAACAGAAGUUCAAAUCUUUUAAAAUCUUCAAGGAAACACUAUGAAAAUGCCCAAAGAGUACGAGAAGCACAUUUGUUAUACGUAGGAAAGAUAAAGAAGUUCAUAUAUCUUUCCAGAGUGAUUGUUUUUUAAAUAAAACUGAUUAAUGUCGUUUCUAUCAGCACAUCACUAGAAACAACUUGUAAGAAUAUGCACUAAUUUUUCAAGAUCUUAAUUUGAAGUAUGGAUUAGACACAUGGGUUUGGAAUAGUGGCCAAUGAAACAAUUGAUCGUUAAGUGAUGUUGUCAAGUGUGGUAGGUGGAUCCAAUUUCAUCCAUUACAUCGAGAACAUUUACUUCGUAUCAAUAUUUGAUGAUGAUGCUUAUACUUAUUUCCACGAGCUUGACAGAUAAAUUAGAAUAGUUGAUUGGGUCGGAUUUGAAAUGGUUAAAGAUCGUCAAUCUACUUGAUUUAGCUGAAAAUUUUAACAAAAGCGAAGGGAAACUAGUAUAAAAUCUAAGAUUUAGCUCAAAUGUUAUUUGAUUUGCUCAUCUCACAAUUUAAAUUAUUAUCGAUCUAAAUGUCGUUUCAGAUAUAUCUAUGGGCUUCAAAUGUUGGUCUAUCAAUGAAGUAACGUAAUGAUAAUCAGAUCCAAAUUUGGCAAUUGGAUCUGGCUCCACCCAUUCCAUCAAGAAUAGCUGCUUCAAAUUGGUUCAUGAAAUUUCUGGAGCAUCUUAGAACUUUUUUCAAAUUGAGCAAUGUUCGACCAAAUUUUGGUGUAGCUGUAACCAAAAGUUGUCAUUGUAUAUCCUUUUCAUACGUGACUGAUGAAAACAUACUAUUUGUUUCGUUGUGGAUUGUUAAAGCCCUAAAAAGAGUUCUUGAAUCGACUAAAGAAGAAGUCCUUGAGACAUCUAAAACAUGAUCAUCACAAUAAUGGACUAGAAGAGGGUUGGGGUGUGAAUUGAAAAAAAAAAACACAAGACUGGAAAUCUUUCAAGAGAAAUCAUACAAUUUUGGGAAUGUGGUCAAAUCUUGGUAAAGGGAAAGAUUUGCGGGGGUUUCAAAAACAGAAAAAGAAAACAAAAGAAUCGACUGGAGAGUGGACGAUAUUUGCAAGUAUUUCUGAAUAUAGCAUUUUUUUUCAUCAAUAACGACAAAAUAUAUGUGGUUAUCCUGUGGAAUGACUAUAAUUGUUAACCUCACACACAAAUAGGAGAUGAUAAUAGGUUUUGGAUCCAUAACUAGGUUGGGGAAUUUUUUUUUUUUUGGUCAAAAUGUCAGACUGCAUUCAGAUGAAUGGAACAGUACAACCCGCUGCAAUAGUGUCCAAGUAAAGAAGAUCCAACAAAAAGGGGUGGGGGGAAAGUGGCCCAAUUCGGAGAUAAAGAAUCGUUGGUAUGGGCCUUAGCAGCCCAAUCCGCAGCAAGUUCGCUUCACGCCUGCAAAACCUAACUUGAAGAUGAGAGAAACAGGGGAGAAGUGCGGCGGCUUCAGCGAGUAAAGGUCGGACCUCCCAUGGCAUCGCUUGAGGAUCAUUCACGGCUUCAACCAACAUAAGGCAGUCUGAUUCGAUCAGGAGUGGAGCUUGAGUCUUGCCGUGUUGUAGAAGAUGGUGCAGAGUUAUACUUAGCGCCUAGACCUCAACCUGCAAAGCCGAGGAAGUUGCAACACCUCUGGUAAAUCCUUCUAUCAUUUUGCCAGUAUGGUGAUAGCAAAUAUAUGCCAUUGAACCUAUCACGCUCCGAUCCUCAGGCACGCACACAUCCUUUACCUUUGGUCGAUUUUAAAAUGCGAUAUCCUAGGACUACAUAUCGCCGACCCUUUCCUUUUCAAUAGCACAUGUGAAAGCAGUUAUAAAAAAUCCCUAGACAAUAAAGCGAUGGGAUAUAUAAGUAGGACUAGAAAAUUAAACUUGAAAACCAACACCCUUAUGUACAUCUAUAAUGGCUCAGUAAUACAUGUACAUAUACAAACCAUGCUAAAAAGGUUGGUUUCUACUCAAAUAGAUUCUACAGCAACAGUCAUCAGGAUUCUACUCUGGAUCAUCCUCGGGGUUCUCCUUCAGAUACUCCUCUUCAAGUUCUUUCUCCUCAGGUUCUUCAUCAGGGUCCUGAAAUGUUGUCCCACAACUGGGAUGAGACUAUGUCUUAGCAAGUUCUACCCAAAAAAACCCGAUUAGUAAACUAAUACACCUUAGGGUUGCCUAUGCACAACAUGAGUCAGAGGACUUACAUUGACCUUAGAUUCCACCUACAUAUUAGCACGGAUCAAAUAGGCACCCAAGUAAUCACAUCACUGAUUGAAGCAUCGAUCAAAUCGACCUAGUCGAUUACACACCAACAAGACCACUCACGGUUAUUUCCAUUAUUCCAACCAAUUUACAACAUCAAUUCAAGGUAAUGAUCAAUCGACCUAGUCGAUUAUGACUCAAUCAACUAUUCGGCGAUCAUUCCAUUCAAUCAACUAAUUCACAAUACCAAAUCAAAGCAAAGUUUAAUCGACCUAGUCGAUUACAUGUCAAUCGGACCAUUUAUAGGUCAUUCACUUCAUCCCACAUAACCUCUAAGGCUCCAAUAGCACACUUAGUCAUAGAGCUCCAUUAAUACUCUCGGGCGUCAUUUUCGCCAAUGUGACAUAAGUAAUAGACAGUCUACGUGCGUUCUUUAAGGCGCCGUUUUCACACAGUGAUAUCCUUAAUCAUCGAACCACACUUGUUACAAGUCAUAGACAGUUUACGUGCAUUUUUUAAGGCGCCGUUUUUGCACAGUGAUAUCCUUAAUCACUGAACCACACCUGCCACAAGUCAUAGAUAGUUUAUGUGCAUUCUUUAAGGCGUCGUUUUCGCAUAGUGAUAUCUUUAAUCAGUGAACCGUGUCUAUCUAUACUUCGUACCUGAUCGGUCUCAGCCAAUAGAGUUCUCAAUUCACUCUCACGACUCUCUCCACUUUACAGCUCAUCAAGGCAUUAUAAAUGCUAAAUAGCCAUACUCAGCCACUUACCAAUCAGUCAUUCAAUUCCACUCAAUUUCAAUCAAUUAAGGAAUAAUUCCUUAAAUUGCACAAUCAAUUUAACUAAUCACAAUGUGGAGUUCAAAUAAAUAAACGAAUUGCACCACGACAAUCAGUACAAAAUUCUGUUCACCGGCUAUCCCGGUUGAAUAUCCAAAAAAUAAAUAAUUUAAUAAUUAAUUUCGAAAAUUAAGUAAAUAAAUACAAUAAUUUCGAUUUAGCACAAUAUAAAGCUCAAUUAAAUAAACAGACUGCACCACGAUCAUCAGCAUAACAUUCCGGUCACUAGCCAUCCUAGUUGAAUUUUCGGAAAAUAAAUAAUUAAAUAAUUAAUCUCGAAAAUUAAUAUUUAGUUACUAAAAAUUCCAUUUAGGCCCAAGUUGCCUAAUUAAAAACCGAUAAGGGUCGGGAAAAAUCCUGAGAAGCAUUCAAUAAAUACUAUAAGCAAUUCUCUAGUUAAGUAUACUAAUCACCUGUCUAAUAUGCAAUGCAAUUAACUAAUAAUUGCUAAUACAUUCUAAUCUAACCACAUAAUUGCACUUAAUUAAAUAUAAUCAACCUUUAAGUAUAAUUAGUACACUAAAAAGGCAUUAGUGAGCAAAACUCACAAAAACGACGGGAUCGAUGCGAGGAUCGACUUUCCUCAAGGCAGGUUGAGCAUUCGGGUUCGGGAAGAUGGCCAAAAUAGGCCAAAACGCUGCUGUCAUACUCAUUUUUGCACUCUUUGUUCACUGCUAGUUGGGGUCGGAUUUGGGCUCGGGUUGAGGCGACAACUGACCUAGAUGGACCGAGGGGCUAAGCCAAACCUAGGCGGGGCUUCACGGUGGCUGGAGAUGGGAUGAAUGGCUCCGGCGGAGCUCCACCAGAUCUAAAAUAGUCACUGGAAUAGAGAGCUGGACGAGAGGGCGGCCAAGGCGCGCAGCUAGCAGCAGCGGGUGAGGACGGCAGCACGGCGGCGAAUGGCAGAGGGCGGUGGCGUCAUGUGCGGUCGUUGGCUGCUCCAACAUCCUCAGAUCUGCUGGGUCUUUGAGCAGCAACCAGAGAUGGAUGAGAGAAGGCUUCGAUGAUGCAAGAUGGAGAGAAAGAGACGGAGGUGAGGAUGGCGGCCAAGGAGUAGCGACGGCGUGCGGUGUGAGGCGGCGACGACAGCUUAGCUCCGGCGUGAUGGCAAUGGCAGCUCCGUCUUCACUGGUCUUCAGCUUCUUCGGUUGCUGCUGAAGACCAAAACACAAGGAAGAGGGAGAUGAAGGAGGUGCUCGACGGAGGAGUGAGGGGAAACCGGUUUUCUCUUCCUCUCUCUCUCUCUUUGGUUCCACCAACUUGGCCCACCACCUAGCUAUCCUCCACCCACAUUUUCUUGACCAAAUAUGCCCCUUCUAGAAGCAUUUAGGUAGGCCAAAAUGUUGAGUAUAUGUGGCAUACGAAUUUGUAGGCAAAAUGGCACAAAUCAGACCCCAAUCCUUCUUCAAACAAUUUCAUCCGGCCUUUGAAAAUUCAACCGUCAAGUUUUUGGUCGAACUAGAUUUCUUCCUCUCCAAUAUAACCCACUUGUAUCCCAAUUGCACAAUAAAAACGGUCCUCUGCAAAUUCUGAUAAAAACGGCCCUAACUCAACUUUUUCCCAAAAAGUCUCGAUUGUCAGAAAAAUCUUCUGAGACUGAGUUAACGUUCCUAAAAUUUAUUGUGACAAGACAGAAUCUUCAAUUUCUGAAAUCAGACUCAGAUUGGUAUUAAUUUCACUCGGGCGCGUUUUUAGUGUAACCUAGGCUACCAGGUAGUUUUCAGAACUUUUUAGGACAAAUGAUGCAUGGUCGAUUCUCUUCGAGCUACAAUGAACCCAUUUGACACAUUGGCGACUCAGUUAUCAUGAAAAUCUCGAGGAUUCAAAUAUGGACACAGGGUACUAAAACAAUAGUAAAUCAAAUUAGUGCCGAUCGAUGAGAUUUUCAUUUAGUGGGAGUCACCCACGAUCGGUCAUUCAUCUCAGUCAAACUAACCUAUCUCUAAUCUUAAUUCAAUUUUUAACUGUGCCGUAAUGAUCUCUAAAGAUGAGCAUGGUCGAGAAGUCGAUUCAUGGUCGAAUUCUCAAGUCUAUUUGCCUUAAAGUCCUUAAUAGCUUACUCAGCUAGUCUAGUUAUAUCAUGAGUGGCCAACUCAGACAAAAACACUAUAGUCACGCCGAUGAAAUGCCCAAUUUAUCUAAUCGAAGUCAGAACCCGAAAAUCUGGAUGUCAUAGAACUAGUAGUGCUUGCUAUUUGAAAAGCCCCAUCGAUGUAAAUCUUUAGGACGCCUGGAUCAGGAGGCCGCCAUAAUGUGCUUGGAUCUGAAUGAUUUCGCCCUGAUCUCACCGAGAUUGAAGAGGAGUUCUGAGCAAUUCGAGCUUGGGCGAAGGCUGCAUCCAUGACAGAGGUCGGAUCAGGGCUUUGACGACAGAAAAUGAACUUGUUGCGUGCCUUCCACAUCUGCCACAAGAUUGUGGCUACAAUCUCCAUAUCAGGUGAGGUCUUCGUAUUUGCAAAUCUGUUUGCUAGCCAUGCAUCUAUACGUUGUACUUCUGUGGGUAGAAUUCGUAUACCAAUCUGUGGGCGAGACCAAAUUCUGAAUGUCCAUGGACAGAGUAGAAAGAGAUGUUCCAUCUGUUGGAGAAAUCUUCUUGAAGUAUUUUGAAGUUGACAAAACGUUUCUAUCAGUCUAGUCUAAAGGUUUGCAGACUCUGUUAUUUAAAGUCUGAAGACCUCCGGACAGCCAGACUCAAGACUCAAAGUCUAUCCUCAUUGACAGUCUCUAAUCCGUUGAAGAAAGGUUAUCCAGAACUGGAUGUUUCGUUAAGGAUUCAACCUUAUCAACUGGAGAAGAUCUCGUGGCUGGAAAAGACGCAACAGAAUCCUUUGAUUGAUCAAGAUUGAUUUGAUGAUUCGAUGUUUGUCUAAAUAUUAUUGGAAUGUUCUACUUAUGGAAACCGAGAUCCUGAUUGUAUGGGCGAACAGGAUUGAUGGGCUAUCAACACGUUCCUUAAAUAGCUCGAACAAUCUUCCUAAUUGAUUCCGUCCAACGGGUAGAUUGGAGGAAUUCCUUUGGUAAGUGCCAACGGGUAUGAUGGCAUAAAGGAGUAUAUAAGGAAGACGGUCUUAGUUGUUCGAGGUGUGCGCGAUAGAAGAAUUCCAAAGUCUGAAGCUCCUUUUUGUUUAGACAAUUCCUUGAGCGAAUACUUGUAUACAAAAGAGAGUCUAUAUUUGUGAGAAACCUUGAGGAGGUGUGGUAGAACAUCUACACUGUGGAAUCAAGGCUAAGCUGUGCUGUAACUUCUCUUUUGAUCAUAGUGAAAUCCAGCCGGUGGGCUGUCAGUGCGGAAGAGUGGACGUAGGCUUGGAAUAAGCCGAACCACUAUAAAUCCUGUGUUCAAUUUUCUCUUCCUCACUCUCUCUACCUCGAUCGUAUUUCAUUUUGUUAAUCAAGAGAGAAUUUCCAUUAUAUCGUUUGCCAAGAAUCGCUUCCGUAUCUCAAUAAAUUGUUUGUGCACCUAUUCACCCCCCUCUAGGUGUUUAUACUAGCUAUCUCAAUUGGUAUCAGAGCCCGUGUACUCACUUUAUUUGAAGUGUUUUACUUCAGAGUUAAAGAUCCAUGGCUAGUAUGCUAGCACCGGGGCUGAUGGAAGGGCAAAGCAAUACCAGACCACCCUACUUUGAUGGAAAGGAUUACAACAUCUAGAAAAACAAGAUGAAAGCUUUCCUACGAUCAAAGGAUCCUCUGGAAUGGGACGUUGUAGAAAAAGGAAUUACUCCUACAGCUGCAUCAGUCUCUGAAAGAGGGAAAGAAACUAUUGAGACCAGUGGAAUGACUUAGGAAGAGAUAAACAAGAGACAAACACUCGAUGCAAAAGCAAUUUACUCUUUAUAUUGUGCUUUGUCACCAACUGAAUAUAAUAGAAUAUCUUCUUGUGUUACAGCAAAAGAAGUCUGGGACAGAUUGCAUAUCACCUAUGAAGGAACAGAUCGAGUGAAGGAAACAAGGAUUAAUAUUCUUCUCGGUCAAUAUGAAGCCUUCAAAAUGAAACCAGGAGAAUCUAUAACUGACAUGUUUAGCCGUUUUACAGAUAUUGUCAAUGGUCUUGAGAAUCAAGGACAAAAAAUUUAUGAUCCCAUGAAGGUAAACAAGCUACUGCGUGGACUCUCCAAGGAUUGGAAUCACAUAGACUUCGAUAAGAGAGACGCAAAGAAUUAUGCCACUAUUUGUUGACGAGCUGAUUGGAACUCUUCAGUCUUAUGAAGUGGAACGGAUCAAUGAAGAUGAAGAUCCAAAAGGUAAGAAAUCCAUUGCAUUAAAAUCAAAUGAUGAUUCUGAUGAUACAGAUUCUGAAGAUGAUAUGGACGAUGAGGAGCUUGCUCUCAUGAUAAGAAGAUUCAGAAAACUGAAUAGAAAAGGAAGAAGGUUCAACUCAAAGAAACAAAGCUUUCAAAGACAGUAGACCAAGUCUGUUGAUGAUGAGGAACCAAACAAAGAUGUAGUCUGCUUUGAAUGUAAGAAAAAGGGACACAUCAGACCCAACUGUCCUCUUCUGAAGAAGAAGAGAGGAAAAGCUGAAAAAUUUCGAAAAGCUCUCAAAGCCGAAACCUGGAGUGAUACAGAGUGUGAAGAAAGUGAUGAUGAAUAUGCCAAUCUAUGUCUGAUGGCACAAUCAGACUCAGACUCUGGAUCAGACUCAGACAGUGAAUUUGAGGCAAGUAAUUUUAAAAUUCCUGUCAAAGUUUCUAAAUACAUUGAUGAACUGUGUUUUAUUCUUAAGACUUCUCUCAAAAGAAUUUCCGAACUGAAAAAGGAAAACUCAGCUCUAAAACAAAAGGAAAAUGUUUCAGUAGAAAGAGUUAAAAAUCUAGACUUGACUGUUUCCACUCUUAAAGAAAAUGAAGAUAAUCUUUUAAAAGAAAAUGCUCUUUUAAAAACUGACUUAUCAAAUACUUCAAAGAAAUUUUCAAUAGGGUCUGAAAAACUUGAAAAAAUUAUUUCAGCUCAAAGACCUUACUUCAAUAAGUCCGGUCUAGGUAUGACAGUAGAAACAAUUCCCUUGAUUGAUUUUCCUAAAGUAAAAGAAAGAAUUAAUAAAAGACCCUCGAGAGAGGGUUACAAAAAUCAUUUCAAGAAAGUUUUUGUAAAAUCUGUAGGUAGAAAUGCUCUCAGAUGUUCAAAAUGUAACAGUCCGGAUCACUUUGAAAAGGAGUGUCCUAAGGUUUGGAAACCUGUUAAGAAAGUAUGGGCUAAUACUGUUUAUCUUACUAACACCAAAGGACCCAAGAAAGUUUGGGUACCAAAGAAAGCUUGAGACUUUAUUUUAAAUGCGGGUCUCCGUCAAGAAAAAGGUAAAGUGGUAUCUUGACAGUGGAUGUUCAAGACACAUGACAGGAGACUCAAAUUGUUUUAUAAAGCUUGCUCAAGUAAAUGGUGGAAAAGUUUCAUUUGGAGGAAACAGCAAAGGAAGUAUUGUGGGAUUUGGAACUGUGAAAAUUGGAACUCUCACAAUAAGUAAUGUUUCCUUAGUGGAAGGACUCAAUUACAAUCUUCUCAGCAUUAGUCAAUUAUGUGAUACUGGUUUCAAGAUCUUCUUUCAAGAAGGAACAUGUUCUGGAAUCAGUAAAGACUCUACUCAGUCUUUCAUGGGUCGAAGACAUGGAAAUAUCUAUCUUCUGGAUGUGAAACCAAAUGAAUCGCAAUGUCUUAUCUCAAUUCAAGACGAAGCAAGCCUAUGGCACAAAAAGCUUGGUCAUGUCAACAUGAAGCAAUUAGCCAAAAUCUCAUCAAAGCAGCUUGUUCGAGGUCUACCCAAAUUGCCAUACCAAAAGACUGGUCCAUGCACUCCAUGUAUUCUGGGAAAGCAGGUAAGAAAUUCAUUUAAGCCAAUAAAUCAUGUCUCUACUAAUCAUGUACUACAGUUGCUGCAUAUGGAUCUCUUCGGACCAACCAGAACUCAGAGUAUUGGGGGUAAGAAAUAUUGCUUAGUAAUUGUGGAUGAUUACUCCCAUUUUACUUGGGUAUAUUUUCUUGCAAGUAAGUCUGAAACCUUCUCGUAUUUUGAAAAAUUUGCUAAAAAGGUUCAAAAUGAAAAAGGAUGUGUUAUCUCAAGUAUAAGAGCAGAUCAUGGAGGUGAAUUUGAAAAUCAAGAUUUUACAAAAUUUUGUGAUGAAUCUGGCUUUAAGCAUGUGUUCUCCUCUCCAUAUACUCCUUAGCAAAAUGGAGUUGUGGAAAGAAAGAACAGAUCUCUUCAAGAAAUGGCUAGAACUCUUUUAAUUGAAAGUAAGAUUUCUUCACGAUUUUGGGCUGAAGCUGUUUCAACAGCUUGCUAUAUCAUCAAUAGAGUCUUCUUAAGACCUAUUCUAGAAAAAACCCCUUAUGAGUUAUUCAAAGAUAAGAAGCCAAUUGUUUCAUACUUUCAUGUAUUCGGUUGCAAAUGUUUUAUAUUGAAAAAUGCAAAAGAUCGAGUGGGUAAGUUUGAAGAAAGAUCAGAUGAAGGUAUCUUCCUUGGAUAUUCUUCAUCAAGCAAAGCCUACAGAGUCUAUAACAAGAAGAGUCAGUCUGUGGAGGAGUCAAUGAAUGUCAAAUUUCAAGACUCAACGCAAAAUGAAUCAAGUCAGACUCAUCAAGAAGAGUCUGAACCUGCUCCAGACCUUUCAAAGCUUUCAACUCAAGAAGCAUCUCAGACUCUGGAAGACCAGCAUCAGAUUGUUCGUGAAGAUCUAAAUAAAGAAAGAGAUCAUCAACCAGACAAAUCAGCAAGUAACUGGAAGCAUAAGUCCAGUCAUCCCAAAGAUCUUAUUAUUGGCGAAAUUAAUGAAGGAAUUCGCACCAGAUCCAAAAGGCGAGAAGAGUCUAGUGUUGUGGCUCUCGUUUCUGAAAUUGAACCAAAGAGCAUAGAAGAAGCUUUAUCUGAUGAAAGUUGGAUUGAAGCUAUGCAAGAAGAGCUCAGACAGUUCAACAUUAAUGAUGUCUGGGAAUUGACAUCCAAACCAAAAGGUAAAACUGUUAUUGGAGCUAAAUGGGUGUUCAGAAACAAGAUGAAUGAGAAAGGAAAAGUCGUACGAAACAAAGCAAGACUCGUGGCCAAGGGAUAUACGCAAGAAGAAGGAAUAGACUAUGAUGAGACUUACGCUCCAGUAGCAAGGUUAGAAGCUAUUCGACUAUUACUUGCGUUUGCUUGUUAUAAGAAUUUCAGGUUAUUCUAAAUGGACGUCAAAAGCGCCUUCCUAAAUGGAUUUAUCCAUGAGGAAGUUUAUGUGGAACAACCACCAGGGUUUGAAGACCCAAAGAAGCCAGACUCAGUCUUCAGACUGAAAAAGGCUUUGUAUGGUUUAAAGCAAGCACCUCGGGCUUGGUACGAAAGAUUAAGUAAGUUUUUAUUUCAAAAUGGAUUUGUUAAAGGUAAAGUGGACACUGCUCUUUUUAUUAAAAAAGAAAGCAAAAGUUUUCUGCUUGUUCAAAUAUAUGUGGAUGAUAUUAUUUUUGGAUCCUCUAAUGAAAGUCUGUGCAAGAAAUUUUUUAAGUCUAUGCAGGAUGAGUUUGAAAUGAGUAUGAUGGGAGAAUUAACAUUCUUUCUUGGACUUCAAAUAAAACAAUUGGAGGAAGGAACUUUUAUUCAUCAAGAAAAGUAUGCAAAUGAUCUAGUAAAAAAGUUUGGUCUGAACAAUUGCAAAAAGACUGACAUGCCAAUGUCAAGUUCGUUGAAGAUAGACAAAGAUGAAGAAGGGAAGAAAGUCGAUCAAAAGCUGUACAGGAGUAUCAUCGGAUCUCUUCUUUAUCUUACUGCUUCUAGACCUGACAUUCUGUUUAGUGUUUGCAUUUGUGCCAGAUUUCAAUCAGACCCAAAAGAAUCUCAUUUGAAUGCUGCGAAGCGUAUUAUUAAAUAUGUUUCAUCAACUUCAAGCAUCGGUCUUUAGUAUCCUAAGAAGGGAGACUUUAAUCUUAUGGGAUAUUCAGACGCAGAUCUGGCCGGUUGCAGAGUUGAUAGAAAGAGCACCUCGGGAACUUGCCAAUUGCUUGGAAGCAGGAUAGUGUCUUGGUUUUCAAGGAAACAAAGCACUGUGUCUCUUUCAACAACAGAAGCAGAGUAUGUAGCUCUUGGAAGCUGCUGUUCGCAAAUUCUAUGGAUAAAACAACAGCUAAGAGACUUUGAAAUUGAAGACUCAUGCACGGAGAUUAAUUGCGACAACACCAGCGCUAUCAACCUCACCAAAAAUCCAAUUCUCCACUCAAGAGCAAAGCACAUAGAGAUUCGACAUCACUUUAUUAGAGACCAUGUUCAAAAUGGAGAUGUUUCAAUUCAAUUUGUUGACUCAAAGAAUCAACUGGCGGACAUAUUCACAAAGCCUUUGGAGAAAAAUCAAUUUGAAUCUAUACGUUCCAGACUCAACAUUUUGAGGUAUGAGGAUAUCAAAGUCUAAAGACUUUCAGACUCAGACUUACAAGACUUUAUCUGAAAGAUAGUCUUGGUACGACCGUCAGACUGUAAGUCUUUCUCUUCUCAAUCUCAUAUUGAAAAGGUACGAUCGUCAGACUGUGUUUUAAUUGUUGAUAUAUUUAAACGACGUAAUUAUUGCAUCGUUUCAUUUUCAAAAAGGAAGUUAAUUUUGAAAUGACUAUUUUUGCGGAAAAAGACAGUUAUUUUGAAAAGGCAUCUUUUUAUUUCCUUUGUGACGGUUCGUUUAUCUUUCUUUUUAACCGAUCGGGCACUGUCAAUUCCUCUUCACUUUACUCUAAAAAACCCUAGAAAGCAUCGAUCCUCCAUUCCCAUUUGGUUUCUUUGUUUAAUCUUCAAAAAGUUGUCAUCUUUCCUGGGAAAGUCAAGCAAGGAAUCUUCCAAAAACUGAGAAAGAUGUCAUCUUCAAGAAAGUCUUCGAGAAUCGCAAGCAGGGGACCACGGCAAAUGAGUGAGGGGCCUACGCACUUCGAUCUUACUGAAGAAGAAGUGACUCCAGAACAGCAAGCGAGCCCACAACAUUCUCAGCAGCGUCAUUCUCCUCCAUCUAGUCCUCAAGGCGUUGAUCAUCAACAACAGGAAGAAAUCAUCGAGGAUGCAGACCCAAUAAGAGUUCAAAAGCCCGCUUUUAUUUGCAAGCUAUAUCGUGCCUUAAAAGGAAUUCAUACUCCUUUGAACUAUGUUGAUGACUUUCUUAAAGACAAAGGAUAUAGGAAUGAAUAUAUCUUUCUGCGAAAAAUAGAAAGUUUGGGAAUUGCUCGUAAAGGGGUGGCUGAGGAAUCCCUUGCGAAUAUCCCAAGUGAUCCUCAUGACUGGGGGCCGAAUCCUGUAGAUGGGAAUGAUGAUGAUAAUUUGUACAGCCUAUUUCAACCGAAAAUGGGUAUUGCGGCUGAAAUUCAAGGGAAAAGGGGAGAUUUGUUCAGAUCAAAGGAACAAAAGGAUCUGUACUCGAAAUUGCUGAAGCGUGGGGUAAUAAACCCUAGGAGUGUGGAUUUUGAUUUUCUGGAUGCUGUGAAUGUGAACUUGAGGGAAAAGUUCAGUUAUCUUCAACUUGAAAAGUUCUGCUCUAACUCUACUGAGGCCUAUGCUGGAUUAACUGCAUAUUUCUAUUCAAAUCUUAGCUUUUUGGAUGCGAAUAGAUUCUCUUUCAGCGUUAAAGACCAAGACUAUGUUGUGGAUAUGAAUAUGCUGGCAGAUGUGUUAGAAGUUGAGAGAGGCAGAUAUCAACCAAUCAAAGUUUCCAUUGCUCGGGCCACACUAGAACUGGUGAAGGACAGGAGAACAGAUGAGAAAAUCACUUACUUAAGGAUGAGUGCAUUCAACAUCUUGCUUCACAAGAUUGUGAUUAACUGCCUUCAACCGAAAUCGACUUCCAAAACUGAUGUUUCAAGUUCAAAGGCAAAGUUGAUGUAUGCCAUCCUCUGUGGAAAAAAGUUUUCUCUCCCUCAUACUGUUAUGUUUCACAUGAAUAGAGCAGUGAUGAAGGACAGAGGUCAACUUCCUUACCCAAGCCUUAUUACAAAGUUAUUCAGACACCUGAAUAUUCAGCCUCCACAAAUCUUUUGUGUUCGACCAUGCGAUCAUAUGGUGGUAGGACUGAAAAUGGUGACCAAAAUGCGUCUGAAGGAACUAAGCAAGGAGUUGGAGAAAUUCAAGGAGAAGACUCUUGCCAAAUCUCAUCUAAUCUCUUCUGCAUCUAAGAGAAAAGGGAAAGAGCCCAUGGUUGCUCCAUCCAAAAGAAGAAGAGCUCUCCUCGUUGAGGAUGUAGAUGAUGAGGAAGACAUCACCAUCUCUGCAUUGGCUUUGAAGAAUUUGAGUCGUCCUGUUCCACAGAAAGAAUCGGAACAAAUGACGAAAGAAGCAGAGGAGAAGGAAGAAGAAGAAAGAGAAGCUGAAAAAGAAGCUGAAAAAGAAGCAGAGGAGGAAAGACCUGAAGAAGAAAGAAGAGAAGAAGGAGAACCUGAGAAAAUCUCUUCUCCACCUGUAGGCAUGGAAAUAAGGGGGAGAUCAGGAGAAAGGAGUGAAGUCUUCAUAUCCUAAUGCAAGUGAAGGAGUCAGUCGCUCGCCUGCAGACCCAGAGGAUGUUUAUGCAUCUCAUUUUCCAGAGGAAGGUCAUGAAGUUUCAUCGCCAAACCUGCGAGAUUAUGCUGAUCUACCAUCGUCUACAUUUACUCCAUUAGAUCGAGCCGAAGCAAGUACUCAGACUGAUAAUGGAGCAGAUUUUCGCAGAAUCAUGGAUAUUCUCUUGGAAAUGAGAGGUCAAAUUUAUGCCUUGGGAUGCGAAGUUCAAAGCUUGAAGAAUGAAAGUCAAGCUUCUUCCUGUUCAUUGAAUGAUAAAAUGCAAGCCCUCUCUGUUCAGAAUCAGGCUAAUGCUAAGAGUGAGGAGAUUGCACAACUGAAGGAAGACUUCAAAAGGCUGGAAGGCAUCGUUCAGUCUAUGGAAGAUUUCCAGCUUGUCCGCAUUCCCAAGCAAUCUUGACUUCAUCUCAUCCUUUUUAAUGAUGACAAAAAGGGGGAGAGAUGCAAGAUUUGAUUAAAUUUUCAAUCAUUAAACUUUUAACUGUUUGUUGGAUUGUUUUGUUGUUUAAAACUCUGUUUGACUUUGUUUUGUGUCUGGAUGAGAACUGAACUAGACUUGGACUUGACUGCUUCUAUUAACUAGUAUUGAUAUCUUAUGGAUGGCUUUUCAUAUAUUAGACUAACCUAUUUUCUGUGGUUGCAGAUUCUAGUGUUAUUCUUUUAAGCCAUUUAUCUCUAUAAGAUAUGCAUAUGUGUUUGAGAAAUGUUUUGCAAGUCAUAGUUAUCCAAAUAUGCAGAAAAGUUUUGUCACCAUCAAAAAGGGGGAGAUUGUUGGAGAAAUCUUCUUGAAGUAUUUUGAAGUUGACAAAACGUUUCUAUCAGUCUAGUCUAAAGGUUUGCAGACUCUGUUAUUUAAAGUCUGAAGACCUCCGGACAGCCAGACUCAAGACUCAAAGUCUAUCCUCAUUGACAGUCUCUAAUCCGUUGAAGAAAGGUUAUCCAGAACUGGAUGUUUCGUUAAGGAUUCAACCUUAUCAACUGGAGAAGAUCUCGUGGCUGGAAAAGACGCAACAGAAUCCUUUGAUUGAUCAAGAUUGAUUUGAUGAUUCGAUGAUUGUCUAAAUAUUAUUGGAAGGUUCUACUUAUGGAAACCGAGAUCCUGAUUGUAUGGGCGAACAUGAUUGAUGGGCUAUCAACACGUUCCUUAAAUAGCUCGAACAAUCUUCCUAAUUGAUUCCGUCCAACGGGUAGAUUGGAGGAAUUCCUUUGGUAAGUGCCAACGGGUAUGAUGGCAUAAAGGAGUAUAUAAGGAAGACGGUCUUAGUUGUUCGAGGUGUGCGCGAUAGAAGAAUUCCAAAGUCUGAAGCUCCUUUUUGUUUAGACAAUUCCUUGAGCGAAUACUUGUAUAUAAAAGAGAGUCUAUAUUUGUGAGAAACCUUGAGGAGGUGUGGUAGAACAUCUACACUGUGGAAUCAAGGCUAAGCUGUGCUGUAACUUCUCUUUCGAUCAUAGUGAAAUCCAGCCGGUAGGCUGUCAGUGCGAAAGAGUGGACGUAGGCUUGGAAUAAGUCGAACCACUAUAAAUCCUGUGUUCAAUUUUCUCUUCCUCACUCUCUCUACCUCGAUCGUAUUUCAUUUUGUUAAUCAAGAGAGAAUUUCCAUUAUAUCGUUUGCCAAGAAUCGCUUCCGUAUCUCAAUAAAUUGUUUAUGCACCUAUUCACCCCCCUUUAGGUGUUUAUACUAGCUAUCUCACCAUCGUCUCUAGUGUUUGAUUAGAGCAUAAAUUGCAUUCCGGCUCUAAGUUGAUGUGUCUAUGAAAAAGAUUGUCUUUGGUGGGCAGUGCGUUCUGGCAUAUAGACCAAAAGGAAAAUUCGAAUUUUGGGUGCUAGGUUAAUUUUCCAAAUUCUUCUCCAAAGGAUCUGAGGUGUUUGAAAGGAAGAUGAGGCUCUAUUGUCGUUAGUACUUGGGGCUACAUGUCUGAUAGUAUGGUAGUCGCUUUUCACUAUAUAAUGACCUUGUGUUGUAUUUGUCCAAAUUAGUUGAUCUACUGCAUAAUGAGGCCUUACCUGGAUGUUAAGGAUUUCUUGUGUAGUCUCAGCAUCAAAAUAACAUUAUAGUAAAGUAACAUUCCAGUGAUUGUAUUCCGGUGCAAUCAAGAUAGCCACCAUAACAAGUUCAUCUCUAGCAGCAGGUCCGCCUAGCAUUCCUCUUGGUAUCCAUCGAUCUUCGCAAAUUUUGAUCUUUGUCCCAUCGCCAACCGACCAUUGAAGCUUUGGUAAAAUUGAGUCCCGUCCUAAUAGUAGGCAGCCAACCCCAGGAAGGUUGAGCACCUUUAUCAGCAUAUCUAAAAUCCUGUGAAUGGAAAUAUAGACCCUUAAAGAGUUUGCUCCACAAAGAUAAAGGUUGUUGGAUUAAAUGCCAGGUUUGUUUGCCAAGCAUUGUUUUAUUAAAUGCAAUGAGAUCUCGAAAUCCGAGGCCUCCCUUUUCCUUCCUACUCUUUAGUACUUCCCAUUUCUUCCAAUGAAUACCUGACUUGCGACAAUCAUUCUGCCACUAGAAUCUCACUAUCUUCUUUUUUAUUGGAGUAACAUAGUGACAUAGGAAUUUUAGAAAUGGACAUGGCAUACUGUGGUAUCGCCUGAACAACAGUUUUGAUCAGAAUCUAUUUACCACCCUUCGAUAUAAGGUUUUAUUUCCAUCCUUCAAGUUUUGCAUUCACUCUCCCCAAAAUCUAGGCAAACAUGUCCCAUUUAGAGCGUCCCUAAUCUGACGGGAUAUCUAGGUAUUUACCCGUCCUAUCUAGCACAGGGAUUCGAAAUUCCUUCGCCCGGUUCGGGAAUUUGGAAGGUACCCUAUUGUUAAAGAAUUCAUGAGUUUAGUUGGGUGUUGAUUUGUGGGAAAGCCCUAAAACUAUGAGAGAGAGGAGGUAAAUGCAAUGAAAACUUUUAACUUUGCCACAAUAGAAUUUCCUAGUCACUGCAAUGCAAACCGUUUCACAAAAGCAACCAAGUACGCUCAAGUUGUUACUCCCGCUAUGUUUGGAAAAGUAUUCUAGGUGGGUGUGAAGAAAAAGAAGGUGCAGAAAAUAUAUUCUUUGUGUUGGUUGGAAUCACUCCAAUGGACUAUGAUUUUAGUGAUUGGUACAUUGUUUGAUAGAUUUAAAACGAAAUUCUACUAGCUUGUUCAUGUGUAAGAUCUAGGAAAUCAUUGACCGCCCGUUUUAAUGUUACUCAAGCAUUUGGUCGGCUCACUAUCAAAGAAAAAAGAAAUGGAUUUCCAUUGAUUUAUUCCACGUCAUAAAAUUCUGCAAAGCUGCAUUCAUUUGCUUUGCUAAUUAUUAACGAUGUGAAAAUUUCAUUUUGAAAUGAAAAUGGAUUAUGAAUUUAAUGUUUGGUACAUUGUUUGAAAGAUUAAAAUGAAAUUAGACUAACUUGUUCAUGUAUAGGAUCUAAAAAAUCAUUAAACUUCCACUCUCUAUCGGGCGGUUAGCGAAGCUUGCACGUUUGUCAUUAAGGGGGUGCCGGGAGAUAGAGGAGCUUUUGAAUUCUAGUGAAGGACAAGUUAAAGCUUACACAUUUAUGUUGAUUUGGAGCUUCCAUACUCAUGUGAAAUUCAAAUUGUGGAGUGAGUUGGACUUAAAAAUAUUAAAGAUGGCCGAUCUAUUUGAUUCAACUGGCAAUUUAAAGAAAGUAAAAGUAAUUAGUGUCGCAACCUACUGUUUCCAUUUAAAGGGAAACGGUAUAUAGGUUUAAGGGUAUUGUUCAAAUGAUGAGCUUAAGGCACUUGAUUAGAUAUGGGCCCUCCCAGCUCUUACUCCGUUCGACAUUAGAGUAUUUAAUGUUAAAAAAAAAAAUUGACGCUAUAAGUAUUCUCAAAUAUGUCACCACUAGCCUAUUAAAAUCGGCUAGAAACCAAGCAAAGUAUGUGACUAUACCUCAUUUCCUACGCAAUUAGAGAAUUUAAAGUCGGAGACUUGAUUAAACUAAUCUUGUUCAACAAGAUGUUUAUCAAAUUAGAUUGAUUUUAAGCCUAUCCAUUAACAUGUAAUGCGAUCAAGUAUGGUGUGCAAUAAUUAAAAUAGCAAUCAAUAACAAAGGAAGUAUUAAAUAAAUUGCAAGAAAAAAAAAGAAUCUAACACUAAUAGAUAAGAAAAAUCCCAUUCCUAACUAGACUAAAGGGAAACAAUAAUCAACACAUUGAGAACAUGUAAUCCAAUGAUAAUCGAAAUAGAAAUGUGCAAACAAUAACCUAGCAUUUGUCUUUAAGAAUAUUCAAAACUUUAUUUCUAAACUCUAAGAGCUUGUUUAAUUUCGAGCGCAAUUUUUUAUCAAGAAUUUUCAUACAUUUUAAGGGGAAAAUACUACAAAGUUAACUUUUAAGCUCUUUCCUAAUUUUUAGAAGAAAUUAAUUUUUUAGGAAUUUUCCAAUUUUUAAAAUAUUUUUCAAUUAAAAAAUUUGGUUUUUAAUUUAAUUCUUUUUUUAAAUAAAAUAAAAUAUUCCUUUAACCUAGCCCGAACAAGAGUUGUUGUAGUCUUUCUAGCUUGGGCCUCGGACGCAAAUCGGGCUAUUACACUAGGCCCUUCCUUCCGACAAGGCCAAUCUGCUAAGGAACAGAUUCAGCCCAAACAGUCACAAACCAGACCCAACCCCAUUUCUUCUAACUCAAAUCGAGCCCAAGUCUACUCACAUGUAGCCUCAAGCCCACCACGGUUGAAUUAAACCUGAAUCUGACCAAGCCCACCCAAGGUACUCAAACACGUCUUUCUUUUGUUCUCUGUCAUCUACGCCCACUCACAUUCCCAAAACUCCAAACUCUUCACCGCAUCGUUCCCCAACGUCAAAAUUCCUUCUUCUCUUUUAUUUCAAUAUUAAGGUUUUUGGAAAAGAAAAGAAAAAAAAAAAAGACACACCAAAGGGAAAGCUCACUUGUUGACAAAGCUCUCAAGGCACUAAGCCAAGGCUCACUGUUAUCCACCACCCCGUAGCCACGACAGCCCGAAAACUAAUGGUCGAACUUUUUACUCUAGCAGCGCUAGAUCUACAUCUCUGACCACCAUCGUCUAUCGCUUACCAUAUGUCGAUCUAACACCACCGGGCCAUCACUAACCACCACAGUGGCUUACCACUGAAAAAACCAAAUUCGCUCCCAACAUCUACCAUCACUUUGGCCACUCAUCCACGUUCAAUGGAGGAGACGCAACAUAUAUCAAACAAAGUGCAACACAGUGACUUCAUUGUCAAUGAAAAUCAAGUUUAACAACUAGUGAACAAACAAGCCACAUCAAGACGCACCUUCAGAUUCGAACCAAAACAGAAGUCAUUUCUUAAACACUUCUUGGAAACAUUUCGUCGAGCAAGUCUCAGGCGUUCAACUAAAAGCGAUAUGGCAUGUCGAUGACCCAACACUUUGGUGUCAAGUUCAUCCUACAUCAAUCAAUCAAAGGACAUCUUAAGUCGAUGAAAAUAUUUUAGACAGAUCCUUGACAUGCUUUCAUAGAAACAAACCAAACCUCGGUCUCAUUUUUACAACAACACUAACUGAGGCAUUAUAUCGACUAUCGAGCAUUUAAAGCACACUCACUGAAAGAGAAAGAAAACCCAAACUGAUGAGGCUCAAACUUGUUGGGAUUGUCGGAUUCCCUGAAAUCGGAUUCGACACUAAAUCAAACCCUUAAACUUAUGUGGAAGACGAGCCCAGGAAAAACAUGUAUCACCGAUCCUAAAGCAUAUCACGGAAUUGAGCGUACCUUGUUAGCCACAGAUUAAACACCAAUGCUGAAGAUCGAGGAAGAAAUUCUGAUCCCGUUAGAUCCGAUGAUGUCAAUUCGCCUUGAAGGGAAGAUGGGUGUCGCCUCUUGCGCACUGUUCUUUCUUUUGGAACGUUUUUUAGGGAGAGAGGGAGGAGGAACGUACGUAAUGCCAAAAGGUGCGUUCCUCCCUCUUUAUUUCCCCUUAUAUACGUCCCCUCCAAAAAGAAACGUGUCCCUUCAUCAUAUCCCUUCAUCCAUGGACUCUAAUUUUGUGGGCCGGGCUUUUAGGCCCAACAUGGGCGAACGGGCCAACUUAGGCCCAUCACAAUAAUAAUAAAACCAUCAUCUCCAACUCGCACAUGGUGGGCCGAACAUGAUCCUUUUUACCUCUCUUUAACAUUCAUAUCGGUGAAUAAUCCGUGCGACUAGCAUACUUUGAGAGCUCGUUACCAUACAUCUGUUAGGAAUAUAUAGCAGCUCAUAAUGGGCAUCACACUCUAAGUAGAUUUAGUAUGCAGUACCCUAGAUCGAUCGAUCACAUUUAUAUCUCUCUUGAUCUCUUUUAAGCAAUGAUAUAUAUUGUAUUCACAAUUAUGAUUAUCCCAAAGACAGUCAUAAUUGGUUAACCAGUGAAUACAAAACUACAAUGUGCUUCUACAAAAUCGAUCUUCAUUUUUCCUUCAAACUCUCAAUUUCAGUUCAGCUUGCUUUUCUAGAAUUGUCCCAUUAGAUUGAAUCAACUCAUGACCAUUAGCAACAUCCUAAGAUAGCAAACACUAAAUAGAAAUCUUAAAAAUAAGUAAGAGUCAUGAGGGCACUCAAAUUGGUCGUCAAGAGCCUCACACGGUAUAAAAGUUAAGAUCAAACUUUUACCACUCUUAUUGGUCGUCUCAUGCAUACGUAGUAUCAAAUAUGUAUUACGGUAUUAACUCCUUUCCCAUGGAGCGUAUGUCUACACCUUCAAUACCGUACAGAUGAUAGUUCAGACAUACCCAAUGUCUAACUUGAGUUCACGUUUCUACUCAUUCACAAAAUUCAUCAGAACUCACAUCUGGCAUCAUAGACAGAUAAAGUAAAAUAUGUGGGUUAUUUUACUUUCGGACAUAGUAAGUAUUAUGUCAUCAUCUUAACACUCAGUUAAGGCAACAUACGUAUUUUAAGCUUGAGCUCUCGAUUAUCACAUAGAUAAUAAGCUUAAAAACAGUCUCAUCUCUCUUUAUCACACAGUAAAUAGAGGCGAUUACCCGUGUGUGACAUCCUGAAAUUCGACCCCGUUUCGAUAAAAUGAAAUGUGCAUUUCGUCGACGUGACUAUGGUCCUUUUUCUCUGAGCUGAUCACUCACGAGUUAGCCAACCUAUUGGGCGAAGCCGUUAAGGGAUAUAACCGCGGUAAAAUCCCUAAAAGCUACCUAAUUGGUUGGAUUGGACUAAAAUCGCGUCCGAUCGAUUUUAAUCAUGAAAUUUAAUUCGGUUUUGGGAAUCGAAUAUUCGGACGUGUCACAAUUCAUUUUUAGGACCGUCUCAUCGUCUAUCAAUUUAUUGCCGAGUCCCAAAUUUCAAUAAAGAAAUUAUCGGAGGAAGAAUCGAAGACCAAAAGAAAUUAAAAAGGGAAUGAGAAAAGGAAAAUAAUAGAGGUAAUGAGAAAAUGGUAUUUUCUUAUUUAAAAUAUUAUUUUCCUUUCCCUUUUUCUUUCUCUCUCUCUUUUUCUCUCUUUUCUCUCUCCUCUCCCCUCCCCAUCGUGCGGACAGCUUUCUUUUUCUCCCCACCGACUGCUCUCUCUCUUAGCUGUCUCCCUCUUUGUUUUUCUUUUUGGACCAGUCAAACUUUCAUCUUCUCUCUCUUCCAUCUCUCCAUCUCUCUCGACUCUCUUUCACCCCCUCUGUUUGAGCGGAAACAGAAGGCAGAAGAAUAAGUGGAGACGGCAGCACCGAGAGGGGAAGACCGGAGCAGCUCGCCGUCACUGACCGUGCUCCGCCGCUCACCGCCCGCCUUCGCUUCUCUCUCACUCUCCUUAGCCGCCGACACCCUCUCUCUCUCGGUACUCUCUCUCCUCUGGUUCGAACGAAUUAGCAAGACAGAAGCGGACCGAAGCAGGAGCAGCAGCUAGCUGCUCGUCGCCGCCGCGCCGGAGCCGGACCUCCGUUCGCUCGACGCCCGCCCGCGCGACGCCGCGCGUUUAGUCGCCGCCCCUCGCGCCCAGGCGUCCCUCCCCGAGCGAACCAGCCUCUGUUCAGUUCGAUUUUGCCCCGACCAGCCGCCUCCGGCCACCGCCUACCUCCGUCCGGCCACCUCACAGCUCCCCGGCGUCCCCCUCACCUUCCGCCGGCCUUCCCUCGCCGUUUUGGCCGCCGGAUCUGCUCCGACCAGCCAUGGGCAGAAACCCACGAAAUGGGUUUCCAGCACUUCGAGCCCGCUUUUGGGCCAUUUCCCGGCCCCGAACCCGAGGCCCGCUUUGGAGUUUGUCGUUCCUCGCAUCGCCGCCGUCGGAUUGAUCCGAUUUGCGCGCGAUUUGGUGAGUAAUCUCACUAAUCCUAGAUCAGUUGGCUAAUUAUGCUUAAGGUUGGUUUAGUUUUAAUUAAUUAUGUUUAGGUUGUUAGAUUAGAAUAAAUUAGCGAUUAUUAGUCAAUUGUGAUGCGAUUUAGAUAAAUUGAUUGCGCAAUUAGCAAGUAGACGUGGUCUACUAAUUAUUGGAAGUGCCUCGGGAUUUUUCCCAACCCUUAGUGGGCUCCAAUUAGGCUUUUCGGGCCUAAGUUGAUUUUUUUUGUAUUUAAAUAUUAAUUUUCGGAAUUAAAUUAAAUAAUUAUUUAUUUUCCGAAAAUUCAACUGAGAUGGCUCGGGACCGGAAUAUUGUGCUGAUAACCGUGGUGAAGUCCGUUUAGUUAAUCGGGCUUUAUUUUGAGCUAAAUUGAAUUUUUAAUAUUAUUUAUUUAAUUUUCGAAAUUAAUAAAUUAAUUAAUUAUUUUUUUGGAAAUUAAGAUUUUGAUGGCCGACGACCGAAAUCUCGUGCUGAUUGUCGUGGCGCGGUCCGUUUAUUUAUUUGAGCUCUACGUUGUAUGGAAUUGAAUAAAUUGUGAUAUUUUAAGGAUUUACCCUAAAUUGAUUGGAAUCGAUUGAGAUUGAAUUAUUGAUUGGUGAUUGGCCAAGUAUGUUAUUCAGCAUUUAUAAUGCUUUGUUGAGUUGAUUUAAUUAUUUGAUUGAGAAAUCGUUGGGCAUUGGUUGUCGGUAUUGAAAGAAGAAUGGUAACCACUUGAAAGACGACACGUGGGCUCGGUGAAUUGGAAUGUCACCUGGAAAAUGCACGUGAGUUCAGUGGUUGAAUAUGUCACCUUGGCGAAGAGGUCGCCUGAGAGAAUGCACGUGGCUCGGAGACUCGGUAUGUCGUCCUAGAGAAUGCACGUGGCUCGGUGACAGAGUUUGGCAUCUAAAAGGGCACGUGGCUCGGUGAUCUGAUGCGUCACUUUGGUAAGCGAGUACCUUAGAAAAUGCACGUGGGCCCAGGCAUCUAAAAGGACAUGUGGCUCGGUGAUCUGAUGCGUCACUUUGGUAAGCGAGUACCUUAGAGAAUGCACGUGGGCCCAGGCAUCUAAAAGGACACGUGGCUCGGUGAUCUGAUGCGUCACUUUGGUAAGCGAGUACCUUAGAGAAUGCACGUGGGUCCAGUAUUCGGAAUGGCAUCUAAAAGGGCACGUGGCUCGGUGAUCUGAUGCGUCACUUUGGUAAGCGAGUACCUUAGAGAAUGCAUGUGGGCCCGAGCAUCGUAAAAAGGACACGUGGCUCGGUGGCUUGAUGUACCACCUUGGCGAAGAGGUCGCCUUAGAGAAUGCACGUGGGUCCGAGGUUUGAGGCACAUGGCUCGGAGACUUGGAAGGUCGUCCUGGAGAAUGCACGUGGCCUAGCUUUUAAAUAUCCCACAGUGGGGAUUGAUUUGUUUGACAUGUAAUCGACUAGGUCGAUGUUUUGAUUUGAUGUUGUGAAUUGAUUGACUGAAUGGAAAUGACCGUGAGUGGUCUUGUUGGAAUAUAAUCGACUAGGUCGAUUUGAUCGAUGCUUUGAUCAGUGAUAUGAUUGCUUGGGUGCCUAUUAUGAAUUGUACUGACUUGCAGGUGGGAUCAGAGGCCAAGGCAAGUCAUCUGCCCUGUGCGUGUUUAGGCAGCCUUUAGUAUAUUGAUUUACUAAUCGGGCUUAGUGGGGUAGAACUCGCUGAGACGUAGUCUCAUCCCAGUUUGGGGAAACCAUUUCAGGACCCCGCUGAAGAGUUGAGGAGGAGGAAUCCGAGAAGGAGAACUCGGAGGUGAGAUCUGAAGAGAAGGAUUUUUGGAAGAAGAAGAUAGUCCCGAGAGGGACCUUGAGUACGGCCCGGAUGGCUGAGAGUUUAUCUUCUUUUGAGAUCUCCUUUUUGAUGUGAAUAGUUAUGAAGUGAUUUAUGGUUUGUAUAAAAGUUUGGUUAUAAAUUUCAAUAUGAAAAAUAUGGCCCUGCUUUUCUAUCCCAUCGUUUUAUUGUCUGGGGAUUUUAACAGCUUCCGCAUGUGCUUAAAUAAAUGAAAGGGUCGGCAAUACAUUGUCCUGGGAUAUCGCAUUAUAAAAUCGACCUAAUAGAAGGAUGUGCACGUGCCCGAGGAUCGGGGCGUGACACCGUGUGAGUGGGCUAAUCUUAUAUCUGUCUGACAUACUUUCUCAACUUAAAGUAAUGCACUGAGCAUUAAGAUGCAUAAAGUUCAAACAAAUAUUCAUAGGCAUUAAUGAUGAGAACACAAAUUCAUCAAAUGUGAACACUUAGGGUGUGACACCCCUCGACGGCCCCCGAUCCGAUUUGGGUCGCCACAGUUUGCUUACCAUUUACUUUCCUAAUAACAUGUCACUCUGAUACCAUUUCAAUUGCAGCGGGUCCAUACAACAUAGGGGGUUUACGUUUUUUUUUCUUUUUUUUUUUUGAUAGGUCCCUUGCGCAAUUCACAUACGGAAGCACAUAUAACAAACUCCCUUCCCUACAUUCGGAAAACGAUGCACACCUACUAAAUAUCUUAUAUAAGUUAAAACCAAAUACGUUUAUUUACAUAGAGUAGAUGGACAUCUUUAGUCGGUACAUCAAAAUGCCGUAGUUUUCUAUACUCGGCUACACUUCAAAAUAUGACCGACAUCUUCUCCCACAAUCGUAUGCUUAAGGUCCAUCAACCAGUGUCGGCGUCCAAAGGUUCCCUCCUUUGCUAUUCUUCUCCUCGCGGUCAUAUCCAACCGCUCAAACCAUCUACUAAUCUGAAAUGUUAUUCCCCAAAAGGGGUGAGUACAACCACUCAGCAAAUAGGGAAAUCCAAUAACAACUCAAUGCAUCAGGCAGAUCAUACAUGCAUUGCAGGCGUUACUUACCUUGAAGCCAUGCGCAUACUAUCAUGCAUCAUCAUAUCAAUUUAUAAUACAUACAUGUACAUCAUCAUCGUAUCAUACAUGUCAUCAUCGUCAUGAACAUCAUUACAUCAUACCGUGUCAUCAUCAUCAUGGCCNNNNNNNNNNNNNNNNNNNNNNNNNNNNNNNNNNNNNNNNNNNNNNNNNNNNNNNNNNNNNNNNNNNNNNNNNNNNNNNNNNNNNNNNNNNNNNNNNNNNNNNNNNNNNNNNNNNNNNNNNNNNNCAUAUAUCAUCAUCACAUAUCAUCAUCAUGCAUAUCAUCAUGCAUAUCAUAUCAUGGGUGAUCAUCAUAUCACAUCACAUAUCAUCAUCAUCAUCAUCAUGCAUAUCACAUCACAUAUCAUCAUCAUCAUCAUCAUCAUGCAUAUCAUAUCAUGGGUGAUCAUCAUAUCACAUCACAUAAUCAUCAUCAUCAUCAUCAUGCAUAUCAUAUCAUGGGUUAAUUUUCAUCUUUUAUCUUUAAAUUUGAUCACCACAUCACCCAUUUCUCAUAUCAUCAAUUUCAUCAUCCCCUCGGGCAAAGACCUCUGACAGGGUUCCCGGCAUUCCAGCCAUCCCAUGGCCACCGGGCUUCCGGCCCCCCACAUUCCGGGCAUCUCGCAUCUCAAUUAGUAUCACGAGGCAUUCCCUUCGGGCAGAAACCUCCGACAGGGCUUCCGGCCUUUACCCUCUAGCUAGGCAUCUCGCACCCCAAUCCUGGCAUCGCGAGGCAUUCCUUUCGGGCAAAGACCUCCGACAAGGCUUCCGGAAUUAUAUACCGACAUACCACCAGGCCUCCCCUGAAAUUACGUACCGUAUACCACCGGGCAUCCCGACACUCCCGAGGAAUCUCUGGAAUUACGCCACUAGGCCACUGAGCAUCAUCAUCCACCACAACCACUUCCUCACUUAUCAUUAUCCACAUUUACCAUUAUUUUGAUCUCAAUUUAACAUGGCAUAUGGCGUGACAUCAAACAAGUCAUACUUGGCACACAUGCAUCACAAUUCAAUGUCAUACAUACACCAAUAUCAUAGUCAUAUCAAGACUUUAUCACAUGUGCAUCUCAAUUCAAUAUCAUAGACAUAUCAAGACUUUAUCACAUGUGCAUCUCAAUUCAAUAUCAUAGACAUAUCAAGACUUUAUCACAUGUGCAUCUCAAUUCAAUAUCAUAGACAUAUCAAAGGUUUAUUACACAUGCAACAUAAAUUAAUUAAAUGGAAACUAUGGCCAAUGAAAUAAUUCCUUUUUAUUUAUUUAUUUAUUUUAUUUUAUUUAUUUCUAUUUAUUUAUUUAUUAUUAUUAUUAUUUUUUAAAAUAACUAUAAACUCCCAAAAUUAUAAAAAUUCAAGAAAUUAUUAAACAAACCCAUAGGAUGAUAAUUACUUGCAAAAUUCAUGGCCAAAUUGAAUUUUUAUAAAAUUUCAUAAUUUUCCCAAAACAUCCUAUGCUUCUCGGAUGAAACCAGAAUGCACGGUUUCCGAAUAAAUUCGAUUAAUAUAUCCAUAUGGCCUCCAAAAAUUACGAAAUUUUACAGAGUGAUGACCAAGACAUUCUCGCACAACUUUCAUGAAGAACUCCAAGCCAGAUUCUUUUGAGAUUAUUUUAUACAACCUCACGAAUCUUCUGGAUCCAUUACCGCAUCGUCCAGUGAACACAUCUCCAAAAUAUUGAGAUUUAACCUACCUAUUCUCUUUCUUUUCCUCUGAAAUUUGGAUAUGUUAUACAUCAAGGUAUCCUCUACAAUUUUCAUGAGGAGAUCCAAGUCAAAUAACCAGAUUAGAGUCAUCAUUUAGGUCCUUGAAGUCUCGGGUAUCUCAAAAUACAUCACCAGAAUCAUCUUCUUCAAGAUCUAGUCGAUUCACUAGGCUAUACUUGUUCAUUUCACUUCAAAUUUGAGCAUGUUGUAUUUUAAGAUGUAUUCUAUAACUUUCAUGAAGAAACCGAAGUGAUAUUCUCAACAAAAACCAACAUACAACCAUGAAUCCAGCAAGAGGUCAGUAAAAACUCUCCAGAUCUGAGGUCUCCGUAUAACAAGACUUUAACCCCUCAAAUCUCCAUCAUUUUCCACUAAAUUUUAGUAAGUUAUAUUACAAGAUGUUAGCUACAACUUCCAUGAAGACAUCGAAGCCAAAAUCGGACUCCAAACACACAUGCAAGCUCAAACAAGUUUCUGACUCACAUGAUCCGAACGAAAACAGUCACACUACUCACACACCACACAUCCAAGCUUCGGUUUUUGACAUCUAUCACUCAAGAUUUCAACAUGCAAACAACAUAUAAGCAUGCAAGAGAAGCUAGAGGACUCCACUUGCCUCUAGACCGGACGGACAGCAGCAAAAGAGACGGCACACCGGCGACGGACGAACGGCGUGCGGGCAGCAACGGUUCCUUCUCCUCCUCUCUCGGCCUCCCCUCUCUCUCGCAUCUCACUCUCUCGGCUCACUCUCUUGGCCGAACAAGCCACUCUCUCUCUCUCCCUCACUCUCUCUCUUUUUGGUUGUAUAUAUUUGCAUGCACUCUAGGUUUGCAUGAGGGACAAGUGUAAUUGUGGAGGAAGACAAGUGUCCACCAUGCUUCACCUCCUCCAUGCCACUUGUCCUAUUGCAUGCAUCAUGGGCCUUGGAGUUGGGCUUGGGCCUCCCCUCCUUGGGCCGGCGACUACUCCUGUUCUUGGGCCACUAUUGGGCCGGCCAACUUGGCCCAUUAAAGGCUUAGGCCAAAUGGGUCUAAGGCCCAUUCUAAAAAUUGACAUUUUCCUCUCUCUUUUUUUUUUUAAAAUUUCUUUUAUAAAUAUUUUAAACUUUAAAUUUUCCACAUGGCCAAAGUCUUUCGACAUUUCAUUUAUUGAAAUUUAAUUUAUAAAGUGCAUGGCCAAGCAUAGAUUAUUAAUUUAUCCUACAGUCCUAAAUUCAAAAUUCAUAAACACAAGCACAAUAACACCUAGCCUUAAGAAAACUAAUGGCUAACACAUAGACCAUAGGUAAUUUCAUUACCUAAUCAUAGGCUUUAAUUUCUCUAGAGGAUGACUUGAAUUUUGGGAUGCCACAUAGGGAAAUUACAAUAUUCAGUACAUCAGCCUCUACGCAAUCCUAGAGAUUUUACAUGACCACAAAACACAUCUCUAGGUAUUGACUUUGUCAUAGGAUCUGCUGCCAUUCUAUGUGUAAUAUGUACUGUAAGUUCAUAUCUUUUCGUGCAACCAUAUCUUUGAUAAAAUUAUACUUUGUAUCUAUGUGUUUGGUCUUGCCAUGAUAUUUUGGAUCUUUAGUGUACGCUAUAGCUGCUUAGCUAUCACAGUUAACUAAUAAUGGACUUGCAGCUUUCUUAAUAACACCUAAAUAAUCCAAAAAAUCUCUUAAGCCAAACACAUUCUUAUACUGCUGCUGAUAAUGCCACAAACUCAACUUCCAUUGUGGACAAGUUAUACACGUUUGUUUCUUACUGCUCCAACAUAUGGCGCUAUUAUUUAGUAAGAAAACAAAGCCAGAUGUAGAUUUCCUUUCAUUUAAAUCUCCUCCAUAAUCAAUAUCAGAAUAGCCUUAGAGUCACAGAUCCUUUCCUUGAUAACUCAGUGUAUAAUCAGCAGUUCCCUUUAGAUACCUUAGUAUUCUUUUAACGGUCUUCCAAUGUGCUUGACCUGGAUUGGAUUGGUAUCUACUCACCAUUCCAACUACAAAACAUAUGUCAGGUUUUGUACACAUCAUAGGGUACAUCAAGCUUCCAACAGCACUAGCAUAAGGAACAUGUUUCAUUUGUUCAUUCUCUUGUGGAGUCCUUGGAUAUAGUCUAUGGCUCAAUCCUUCACCUUUUGCAAUAGGAGUGUUUAUGGGUUUACAAUAUUACAUACGAAAUCGUUCAAGAACCUUAUUUAUAUAUGUUUCUUGCGAAAGAGAUAACAAUUUCUUCGAACGCUCUCUUGAAAUCUUAACCCCAAGAAUGUAUGCAGCCUCACCCAUAUCCUUCAUCUCAAAGUUGGAAGACAACCAACUCUUGAUAGUAUUAACAAACUCCAUACUGCUUCCAGCAAUUAGUAUAUCAUCAACAUAUAAUGAUAUGAUCACAAAUUGAUCUUUGGAUCUUUUGAUAUAUACACAAUGAUCCUCAUCUAUCAUUGUAAAAUCAUAUGCCAUUAUGGCAUUAUGAAAGCGUAUAUACCAUUGUCUCGAUGACUACUUAAGGUCGUAUAUCGAUUUCAAAAGUCGACAUACCUUUCCUUCUUGGCCUUCUUUAAUGAAACCAGCAGGUUGUUCCAUAUAUAUCUCUUUCUCUAAUUCUCCAUUGAGGAAAGCAGUCUUUAUAUCCAUUUGAUGUAACUUAAGAUCCAUACUUGCCACUAUUGCUAGAAUAAUGCGAAUCGAGGUAAAACUCACUACAGGAGAAAAUGUUUCUUCAUAAUCAAUUCAUUCUUGUUGAUUAUACAUCUUUGCCACAAGGCAAGCCUUAUGCCUUUCUAUCGAGCCAUCAGCUUUUCGCUUUAUUUUGAGAACCCACUUGUUUCCAAUAGCUUUGCGUCUUUUUGGAAGAUCAACUAGUUCCCAAACAUGGUUUGACUUCAUUGACUCCAUUUCCUCUUCUAUUACAUGAAUCAAUUUUUCCUUACUAGGGCAAUUUAGAGCCUCAUUAAUAUUUCUUGGCUCUUCCUCCUCUUGCGGAGCAAUCAUAAAAGUUUCCCCUUUAAUAUCAAAACGUCAACGGGGAAUACUUUGGCGACUUGUUUGCCGUAUGGGAGAUUGUACACUUUGCACAUCAUUCCCCAUUAUACUCCCACUAGGAUUAGAUAAUAAUGACGUCGUCUCAUCAUGUGGUAGUAAUUGAGACUGAGUUGAAUUCAAUUCAUCACUUCUCAUAUUACUCCCACUUGGACGAACUCCACUAAUAUCAUUAUCUUGAUCUAAGGUUUCAAAUAGGGAGUAAUCUUCCCUUAUUUUGCCCUUCUUAGGAAAUUCAUCCUCUAAGAAUGUGACAUCCCGUGAUUCAAAUUCAGUUAUACUCCCACUUUCCUGCUUACCUAUGAACACAUACACUUUCGAGUGUUCGGAGUAUCUUAUGAAAAUACUCUUAUUUCCUUUGGGACCCAAUUUCCUAAACUUGUGAGAGGACUCAUGAGUAUAGGCAGCACGACCCCAUGGCUUAAGAAAACUUAAGUCCGUUUUUCUACCUGUCCAUAACUCAUAUGGAGUGGAAGUAACUGAUUUGGAAGGCACCCGGUUAAGUAUAUAGGCAACAGUUAACAACGCAUCACUCCAAAAAGUGAUAGAUAAGUUAGCAUGUGCCAUCAUGGACUUAACCAUUUCCAGACCAUUUUGUUGAGGAGUACUUGGAAGAGACAAUUGUCUUUCUAUUCAUUUUUCAUCACAUAACUUUUUAAACUCAUCAGAUAAAUAUUCUCGACCUCGAUCAGAUCUUAAUACUUUUAUUUUCUUGUCUAAUUGAUUUUCUACCAAGUUCAUAACCUUUUGAAACAACUUAAUGUUUCAGAUUUAUGAGAAAUCAAAUAGACAUAUUCGAAUCGAGUAUAAUCAUCUAUAAAAGUGAUGAAAUAAACAGCCCCAUGCCUUCCUCUCACAUUCAUUAGACCACAAACGUCAUAAUGGAUUAAAUGCAGAGGAAAUUCAGCUCUUUUACCUUUUCCAAAUGGUUUUCUUGUCGUUUUCCCUUCUAGGCAAUGCUCAUAUAUGAACAAAUCGACUUUUUCAAUGUUGCCCAACAAGCCCUCUUUGAUUAGUCUAUUCAUACGUUGUUCGCCAAUAUGACAAAGUCUAGCAUGCCAUACAUUCACAUUAUUAUCAUACGAAUUAGGAGAUGUGAGAAGGGAAUAACAAACAUUUACAUUAACAUAGUCAAUAUCUAAUACAAUGAAAUCAUCCAGAAAAUAACCACAACCAUAGUAGUUUGUAUCCAAAUACAAAUCUACACCUCUAUUAUGGAAGUUCAUAUUAAAACCAAGUUUAACCAACACCAAAAUAGACAUUAAAUUUCGACGAAUCUCUGGAGCAUAUAGAACAUCAUGUAGGAACAAGGUGCGUCCACCACGCAUGUUCAAUUGGCAAGUGCCAAUCCCUUUAACUUCAGCUCUGGAGUUAUUUCUCACAUAGAUCCACUUAGUUCCAGUUGGUACUCGUCGGAAUUCCAAGAAAGAUUCUCUAUCCUUCGCUACAUGGUCUGUCGCUCAUGAAUCUAUAGUCCACAAAGGAUUGGAUUCAGCCAAUAAUACAGAACUUGACACAUAAACAAAGUUCUCAAAUGUACAAGAGGUGUUUACCUUUUUCAGCUCACAACAGUUGCGAGCAUAGUGACCUUUCUUGUCACAAUUGUAACACCUCACCCUUGACAUUUUCUUCACUUGAGGACGUUUUCCUCUCUUGUGUUGGUUAACUCUUGAUUUCUUGCAAUAAGGACUUGAUCCUUUGCAUUCCUACAUAUUGAGCGAAUCAAUACGCUUGCGCUUAGAGCUCAAAGCCCUUUCUGAGCUAGAACCAGCAUUGCAAAUGUCUAUUUUCGGCUCAAAUGCCGUUAGGCGGUCCUCUACUAGCACAAAGUGGCACAUGGCAUUCUCAAGAUCUUCUAUAACAUGGUCAAGAGCUUCUAGUGCUUCUUGCUUUUCCAGCACAUAUUGAAUCAUCAUAUUCAAUAUUUCACAAUUGUUGCCGUUCAUAUCAGCAAUUAUGUUCUUAGUUGCUGAAACCAUCGAUCUGAACACAUAAGACAUAUAUGCACGAAUAAUUAAUGCCUAUCAUUUAUGCAUCCACUUUACAUGGACCCAUCAUAUCAAUGAACAAUUUCAAGUAAGGUUUCAAAAUCAAAAGGUUACUAUGUUUCCAAUCAUCCUCCAAAAAUCCUAACUUAAAACUAUUAUUAAUAUAAUUGUCUUAUGCAAAAUAAAUUCUACGAAGUUACAAAAACUUCUAUAAACUACCCACAGUAGUCAAUAAUAACAGAAAGCAAAUAAUAUUUGACAUUCAAUAGAAUAAUAAUGCUUUCACAUAAUACAACUAUUCACUACACUAAGUAAUAUAUACAGAGGAAAAUAUCAACAUAGAAAGAGAUAUUUACACCCAAAAACAUCUCAAACUAAUCUAAGAAAUAAAUAGGGAAUGUCUCUUCUAAUCUAUCAGUCAAAAUAUCUAAGAAAUCUGAAAGCACAUUUGUCAACCAUGGAAAAACUUUUGGAGAGCUUUCAUGUCGCCUCCAAGGCGCAUUUAAUCUGUGCCAUGUGGCGCUCAAUUUGAGGGUUGAAGUUUUGGUUAACUCAAUCCUAUAGUACUCUCUUACAAAAGUUACUACUAGCCUCCUAUAACCCGGGACCACGUUGACCUCCCAUAUGCGAUCUAACACUGCUUGCCAUUCAGGUGGAAGAGUGUUCAUCAAGACCGGCACCUUCUCAAAAUCCGACAUUAGAUAACCAUUCUAGAUGAUUUUCUGUAUCAUUUGAUUGACCCUGAUCACAUGUGAUACUAAAUCACCGUCAUGCCAACGAUAAUUAGCUAACUCUGUCAUCAACCUUUUAAGUCUUGCACUUCCUUCGUCUGUUCUCGGGAAUGCAAGUAUCCGAGCAUAACAUAUCAUAGUUCCUGCAACAAAUGCAGAACUAAAAAAUGGAUCACUUAUAAUCCAUAAUGAACAUAAGGGAAAAUACAUAACUUUCCAUGAUUUAUGCAACAAAUACAGAAUAAAAAAUGGAUUACUUAUAACCCACAAAGACAUAAUUGGAAAAUAAACAGAUUCUUUUUUUUUGGGUCAACGGUCGAGGUCAAAGGUCAACGGUCAACGGGUUGCCGGGUCCGGUCGGGCCGGACGAGCCGGGUCGGACCGGUCGGACCAGGUCGGACGGACCGACCCGGCACAUGCGACACGCGUGCAACUGACGUCAUGAUGACGUCAACUGGCGCGUGCCUCGCACACACCAUUGACGGCCCCCCGCUCGCGUGCGUCGCAUGUGCGUGCGUCGGCCCCACGCGCAAGUGCGACACACGCGUCUGCGCGUCUGAUGUCCUUUGGCGGCGUUCCACCACUCGUCGCGCUCGUCUUGACGAGACCUUCCAUCCAACGCUAUUAGAAAUGGAUCUCGACUUAUAGAAACUCGAAAAAGUGAAUGAACAGUGCUUGGGUGUCGGGAUUUUUCCACCCCGAUCGGUGUCGACUGAUUAAUUUCACGAAAAUUAACAAGAAAUCAUCCAUAAACAUGAAAUGGGUCGUGAAAAACAUGGAAAAUGAUCAGGAAACAAGAACUACAGCUCUGAUACCAAUGUUGGGAUUGUCAGAUUCCUUGAAACCGAAUUCGACAUUAAAUCGAACCCCUAAACUUAUGUGGAAGACGAGCCCGGGAAAAACAUGUAUCACCGAUCCUAAAGCUCACCACGGAAUCGAGCGUACCUUGUUAGCCACAGAUUAAACAUCAAUGCUAAAGAUCGAGGAAGAAAUUCUAAUCCCGUUAGAUCCAAUGAUGUCAAUUCGCCUUGAAUGGAAGAUGGGUGUCGCCUCUUGUGCACUGUUCUUUCUUUUGGAACGUUUUUUAGGGAGAGAGGGAGGAGGAACGUGUGUUAUGCCAAAAGGUGCGUUCCUCCCUCUUUAUUUCCCCUUAUAUACGUCUCCUCCAAAAAGAAACGUGUCCCUUCAUCAUAUCCCUUCAUCCAUGGGCUCUAAUCUUGUGGGCCGGGCUCUUAGGCCCAACAUGGGCGGACGGGCCAACUUAGGCCCAUCACAAUAAUAAUAAAACCAUCAAAACUCGAGCCCAAAUUUGUGACCAUCAACAAGCAACAAUCUAAAAUAGCAUAGCACAAACAAAUAGGGACGAGACUCACACGAACCGGACAACAACGCGAGGCAAAACAGGGCACAAAAAUGGGGAAAAGCUGAGGGCUGUCGGCAUGCUCCCUACCUGGCUUGAUGACGGCGAAUGGGGGCGAGCUCGAUAGAUCGAACUACGUCUGGGGGCCCCGCACGCCCCCCGAACCGGGAUCCUCGGGAAAUCAACGUGACUCGAAACAAGCGAAAAAAAAAAAAUUGAACAGAAACCUACCGUGGGGAGAGGCACGUGUUGGCGAGGGUCAGCGGCUGAGGUCCAAGCGCGACGGUUACUAGAGGAGGCCCUUCACUCACAGCCUCACUUUUUGCUCCCUACUUCUCGCUCUCUCUGUCUCACUCUCUCCCCCUUUCUCUCUUCUCCUCCAAUCCCCCUAGGGUCGCUCUCCUCUCUCCCUUUUAAGUUGCCCAAUGCGCAUGGCUUUCUACGAUGCUAGCUAACCUUGCCACCCUGACCCCUUACCGAACGUCUUCGCGCGACACUCCCUGCGGUUGUACUGUUCCCCAUCGAACCAGUGUCCUCGUCGCGCUCCAGAGGGUGCGAGGGAAAGAGAGGGAAGAGAUGAGCAGCGCUCGGGAAAAAGAGGAAAUGAAGGAAGCUGGGUCGGGCCGAGAAAUAGAGAAUGGGCCGAUCCAGACGGAAAAGGAAGAGGAAAAAGAAAAGAAUGGGCCGAGUCAACCUGGCCCCGCUUAUUUUUAAAUAAUCUUUUUAAAAUAUUAAUUUUUCUUUUCUUUUCUUUUUGUUUUUUGUUUUUGCUAUUUUUCUAAUAAAUUCUAUCACUAUUAAUACAAAUGCUCCUAAUAUUUAUAUGCCAUUCAAUUUAAAUAGAAAUUAUUUUUGUUUAAGAGUUAAUGAUUAAUUCCUACUUUCUAUGCAAUUCAAUCCUAAAAUAAUAGCCAAAAUUUAGUUGUUGACAAUCUGAAUAGAUUUUUCAGUAAUGAAAAAGUUAUGCGGCUCGUAUACAGGCCUAACAAGUGAAAUCUCAGUUGAAAUGAGGAGACUAUUCCGUUUGAGAAUGUUGGAUUUAAUCAUUCUCUAAUACUAUUUAUGGAUUCCCAUGACCAACGGUUGUUUCUCGUCUCCAGAGAAUCUCUCCAGGGUUGCUAUUAGAUUCAAAGCUUCUCUCUAUGGCCUAUCCAUCUUUCUUCCAUGGGCUAAUAUUACAAAAAUUCUAAAUUGAUAUACCCAUGUCACAUUUACUCAGACUAAUUUUUUUAUCAACAAAACUCUUAAACCAAUAUGCUUGUGCUUCCUUUACCCACUAACUAUAUUUGUAUCAUAAAAAAUAAAAAAAACACACACACAAAUAAGUACUACUGCGACCCCCUUCCAAGCAAGUGUCGACGAAAUGACAAAUUUAGAGUUAAUAUUGAGUUGAGGACAAUCUUUACUCAACUCAAGUUUUCCCAAUCCCUUACCUCAUGCGACAUUGUGAUUCUCAUUUAAUUUCGAUCAGCUCUAUGAGAAUUCUAUAUGAAAAGUGUGACAUCCUGAAAUUCGACCCCAUUUCGAUAAAGUGAAAUGGGCAUUUCGUCGACGUGCUUAGGGUCCUUUUUCUCUUAGCUGAUCACUCACGAGUUAACUAACCUAUUGGGUGAAGCCAUUAAGGGACGUAUCUGCAGUAAAAUCCCUAAAAGCUACUCAAUUUGUUGGAUUGGACUAAAAUCACGUCUGAUCGAUUUUUAACCAUGAGAUUGAACUCGAUUUCGGGAAUCGAAUUUUAAGCGCGUCAUAAUUCUUUUCUUUUUUUAGGACAUUGUCUCAUCGUUCGUCAAUUUAUAGACGAGUCCGAAAUUUCAAGAAAGAAAUUAUCGGAAGAAAAAUUGAAGAUCAAAAAGAAAUUAGAAAGGGAAAGAGAAAAGAAAAUCAAAUAAGAAAAGUAUUAUUGUUUAUUUUUCUUUUUCUCUCUCUCUCUCCCUUCUCUUUUCUUUUUCUCUCUCUCUUUCCUCCCUUAUUUCCCCCUCCCCCUCGUGCAAUUUUUCCCCCACCGCCUGCCCUCUCUCUCUCUUUCUUCUCUCUUUGACUGGUCAAUACCUAUCUUCUCUCUCUCUUCUCUCUCUUCUCUCUCUUCUUCCUCCCCCACACGACCGAACUCUCCCUUUUUCUUCUUCUCUUUCUUAUCCGAAUUGCAUCGUAGUAGUUACAGUGUUCAUCCUGGAAGUAUUAGGAUGUGUCAAAAUCUGAGUCAACACUAUUGGUGGUCAGGUAUGAAGGCGAACAUUGCUAAACAUGUCACCAAGUGUUUGACGUGUCAACAAGUAAAAGACCAGCAUUGCAAACCGAAGGACUUCUGCAACCUCUCACGAUCCCAUAUUGGAAAUGGGAGCAUAUCACGAUGGAUUUUGUGAUUGGACUACCAAUGAGUCAAAGAGGAAAUAAUUCAAUUUGGGUAAUGGUCGACAGGCUAACAGAGUCGGCUCACUUCAUUGCAGUUUGAAAGGACCUGAGUCUGGAUAGACACGCUGUCUUGUAUGUACGUCGGGUGGUUCGUAUGCAUGGAGUGCCGGUUACGAUAACUUCCGACAAAGACCCGAGGUUUAUUGUUGCUUUUUGGAAGAGCUUGCAGAGUGCUUUAGGUGCAAAGCUUCAAUACAGUACGGUGUAUCAUCCUCAGACGAAUGGCCAGUCUAAAAGGACAAUUCAGACUCUUGAAGACGUGCUGAGAGCGUGUGUAUUAGACUUCAAAGGAAGUUGGGAAGAUCAGCUUCAUCUGGUGAAAUUCGCCUACAACAACAGUUAUCAGCAGAGCAUUAAGAUGGCUGCUUUUGAAGCGUUGUAUGGCAGAGCGUGCAGAACUCCAGUGUGUUAGGAUGAAGUCGGACAAAAGGAAGAUAACAGGCCCAAAGUUGGUUCAGCAAUCAGUAGAUGCCAUGGCAGUGAUCAAAGACAGAUUAAAGACAGCGCAGAGCAGGCAGAAAAGUUAUGCAGACAAGCGUUGAAGGUCUUUGGAAUUCCAAGUUGGUGAUCACGUUUUUCUGAAAGUGUCACCAAUGAGGGGAACUUCGCACUUUGGUAAGAAAUGAAAAUUGAGUCCGAGGUAUGUAGGUUCGUUUGAGAUUCUUGAAAGAAUCGGAAACCUAGCGUAUCGUCUUGCGUUGCCGCCAAAAUUGGCGCAAAUGCAUGACGUCUUUCACGUGUCGAUGUUAAGGAAGUACGAGCCUGACCCGACCCACGUGCUCAAUUUCGAGGAAUUGGACGUGGAUGACCAUGUGUCAUACGUGGAAAGCCCGGUUCAUAUUGUUGAUCGUAAAGAGCAAGUUCUACGUACAGAGAUCAUUUCGUUGGUCAAAGUGGUCUGGCAACACCACGGUGUUGAAGGAGCGACUUGGGAGACUGAAAAUCAAUGAGACAAUUGUACCCCCGCCUUUUUGAUCAAAGUGUAAUGGUUUAAAUUUCGAGGACAAAAUUUUUAUAAGAGGGGAAGAGUUGUGAUAUUCGGAAAUUCGACCCCGUUUCAAUAAAGUGAAAUGGGCAUUUCGUCGACGUGCUUAGGGUCCUUUUUCUCUUAGCUGAUCACUCACGAGUUAACUAACCUAUUGGGUGAAGCCGUUAAGGGACGUAUCUGCAGUAAAAUCCCUAAAAGCUACUCAAUUUGUUGGAUUGGACUAAAAUCACGUCUGAUCAAUUUUUAACCACGAGAUUGAACUCAAUUUCGGGAAUCGAAUUUUAAGUGCGUCACAAUUCUUUUUUUUUUUAGGACAUUGUCUCAUCGUUCGUCAAUUUAUUGACGAAUCCGAAAUUUCAAGAAAGAAAUUAUCGGAAGAAAAAUUGAAGAUCAAAAAGAAAUUAGAAAGGGAAAGAGAAAAGAAAAUCAAAUAAGAAAAGUAUUAUUGUUUAUUUUUCUUUUUCUCUCUCUCUUUCCUCCCUUCUUUCCCCCUCCCCCUCGUGCGAUUUUUCCCCCACCGCCUGCCCUCUCUCUCUCUUUCUUUUCCCUCUUUGACCGGUCAAUACCUAUCUUCUCUCUCUCUUCUCUCUUUUCUUCCUCCCCCACGCGACCGAACUCUCCCUUUUUCUUCUUCUCCUUCGUGCAAACCAGAAGCUGAGGAAGAUCAGAAGCUGCAGCCCACCGUCGUCGCCCGUCCCGCCGCCACACCGCACUUGCGACGCCCACCCGCGCAACGCCGCGCGUUCUGCCGGCCGUCCCUUGCGCCUAGGCGUGCUCCCCCGUGCGACCCAGCCACUGCCCAGCCUCCGUCCAGCCCCGUCCGGCCACCUCCGGCCGCUGUUCAACCUCGUCGGACCUCCCCGGCGUCCCCCUUGCUCUCCGUCGGCCUCCUCUCGCCACCCUAGCCGCCGGACGAGCUUUGUCUAGCCAAGAACAGUGGCUGGAAAAGUGGGUUUCCAGCCCUAUUCAAGGCCGUUUUGGGCCAUUUCCGAGCCCCAAAUCCGAGGCCCGCUUUGGAGUUUGUUGUUCCUCGCAUCGCGCCCGUCGGAUUGAUCCGAUUUGCGCACGAUUUGGUGAGUAAUCUCACUAAUCCCGGAUUAGUUGGCUAAUUAUGCUUAAGGUUGGUUUAGUUUUAAUUAAUUAUGUCUAGGUGGUUAGAUUAGAAUAUAUUAGCAAUUAUUAGUCAAUUGUGAUGCGAUUUAGAUAAAUUGAUUGCGCAAUUAGCAAGUAGACGUGGUCUACUAAUAAUUGGAAGUGCCUUGGGAUUUUUCCCAACCCUUCGUGGGCUCCAAUUAGGCUUUUCAGGCCUAAGUGGAAUUUUUAGUAUUUAAAUAUUAAUUUUCGGAAUUAAAUUAAAUAAUUAUUUAUUUUCCGAAAAUUCAACUGAGAUGGUCUGGAACCGGAAUUUUAUGCUAGUGAUCGUGGUGAAAUCCGUUUAUUUAAUUGGGCUUUAUUUUGUGCUAAAUUGAAUUUUAAUAUUUAUUAAUUAAUUUUAGAAAUUAAUUAAUUAAUUAAUUAAUUUUUGGAAAUUAAGAUUUUGAUGGCCGACGACUGAAAUCUCGUGCUGAUUGUCGUGGCACAGUCCGUUUAUUUAUUUGAGCUCCACGUUGCAUGGAAUUAAAUAAAUUGUGAUAUUUUGAGGAUUUACCCUAAAUUGAUUGGAAUUGAUUGAGAUUGAAUUGUUGAUUGGUAAAUGGCCAAGUAUGUUAUUCAGCAUUUAUAAUGCUUUGUUGAGUUGAUUUAAUUAUUUGAUUGAGAAAUCGUUGGGCAUUGGUUGUCGGUAUUGAAAAUAGAUUGGUAAUCACUUGAAAGAAAGCACGUGGGCUCGGUGAAUUGGAAUAUCACCUGGAGAAUGCACGUGAAUUCGGGGAUUGAUUAUGUCAUCUUGGCGAAAAGGUCGCCUAAGAGAAUGCACAUGGCUCGGAGACUCGGUAUGUCAUCCUGGAGAAUGCACGUGGCUCGGUGACAGAGUUUGGCAUCUAAAAGGGCACGUGGCUCGGUGAAUUGAUGCAUCACUUUGGUGAGAUAGCACCUAAGAGAAGGCACGUGGGCCCGGGCAUCGUAAAAAGGACAUGUGGCUUGGCAAUUAUUACAUCGCUUUGGCAUGUAGGAUGCCUUAGAGAAUGUACGUAAAUUGUUGAAUAUUGAUCAUGCCUGUGUGGUGAUAGUUGAUCAUGCCUAUGUGGCGAUAAUUGAUCAUGCCUGUGUGGCGAUAACUAAUCAUGCCUGUGUGGCGUAGAUUGUGCCUCCGUGGCCGUAUUUCUGUGUGUCGAGUAUCGUGCCCAUGUGGCCGAAAGUAAUUGGAAUGCCUAAAAGCCUGCUCAUAAAGUGUGUAUUGUACAUCACUUUGGCGAAUGGACGCUCGAGAGCAUUACUGUGGCUCGGUGACUGAGUGUACUAUUGGGGAUUAUAUGGUGUGGAGUGAGAUGACCUAGAAAUGGUCCAACUGACAUGUAAUCGACUAGGUCGAUUGAUCAUUGCUUUGAUUUGAUGUUGUGAAAUGAUUGAUUGAAUUGAAAUGACUGUGAGUGGUCGACUAGGUCGAUUGAUCGAGAUAUCGAUCUGUGAUGUGAUUGCUUGGGUGCCUAUUGAAUUGUGCUAAUAUGCAGGUGGAAUCUGAGGCCAAGGUAAGUCAUCUGCCCUGUGCGUGUUUAGGCAGCCUAUAGUAUAAUGGUUUACUAAUCGGGCCUUAGUGGGGUAGAACUCGCUGAGACGUAGUCUCAUCCCAGUUUGGGGAAAACAUUUCAGGACACCGAUGAGAAGCUGAUGAAGAGGAAUCUGAGUGCGAGAACUCUGAGGUGAAACCUGAGGAGAAGAAUUUUGGAGGAAGAAGAUAAUCCCGAGAGGAGUCUUGAGUACGGCCUGGAUGGAUUGAGAUUCCAUCUUCUUUUGAUAUCUCCAUUUUGAUGUGAAUAGAGAUAGAGUAUAAAGUUGUGGAGUGCUCUGGUUUGCGUUUUGUAUAAAAGUUUGGUUAUAAGUUUCAAUAUGAAAAAUAUGGCCCUGCUUUUCUAUCCCACCGAUAUAUUGUCUGGGGAUUUAUGAUUGCUUGCGCAUGUGCUUAAUAAAUGAAAGGGUUGGCGAUACUAGUCCUGGGAUAUCGCAUUAUAAAAUCGACCAAGUGAGAAGGAUGUGUGUGUGCCCGAGGAUCGGGGCGUGACAAAAAGUCACUAUCAACCUAUUGGGGUCGGUAAGAAAUCAAAUGAGGUAUGAGAAUAUACCUUACUUUCUAUGCAAUUAAAGAUAUAGGGUCGUGGCCUCUAGUGAGGUCGGGCCUCACCCAUAGUUAGCAAGACUUACCCUUACGGUCUCUGGUGAGGCCAAAGGCUCACCCUUGGCUUGCAAGUUGCCUAGGAUUUGGUGUACUAAGUAAGCGCCAUUUUGCUUAUAUAUGUAUCAAAUAUGAUUUGAAUGACGUAAAGUUUGAGUCGAGUUUAGUUAUACUCAAGUUAAUUGGAAUUAAGUUUGAGAUUGUUAACACCCAACUCGAACUGCGUAAAGGAUCACGUGUUUAUUUGCAAUAGCUAAGUAGAUGAUUUGAAUCAAGGUGAGGUUGAGCUUUAUAAUACCUACUUCAAGCGGCUCACUAGCCUUAUUUUAAUAGUCAAGUAUUUAUUUAUGUUAUGUUAUAAUUGCAUUAGUGAACUGUAAAAUAAAUGAAAAUAACAUUACUUUUAGCUUUUUACUUCGUUAGAUUUAGGGAGGGAAGGCUCGAGCUUUACAGUGAAUGUAGUUUUUCAACUAUGGGUUAAGGGACAAAGUAUAGGAAUUUUUUUAAAUAGUUAAGUAUUUGUUUAUGUUAAGUUUUUAAUUGCAAGGGGUAAUGCGCGUGGAACUUUGGUAUUGCUAGUUGGUCUCUUGUGUACAUGACCACACAUUGCAAGCCUAUUUAUAGGCUCCAUCCACUGACUUAUAAUCUUCUUGCCCUGCAUUUGUCGGAGACAUUCUUUCUUGGACAUAUUUAUGGCCACAAGCUUUAACUAACUCCAAUUAAAACUAAACUAGAGACUUGUAGAAAUUACACCUAAAGGAGUCUAGGCCAUUCUAGAAAAUUGAUCAAUAUCUCAUUAAGUUGUGCUUUUGCAAUUACUGUAAGAUCACAUUGAAUUAUAAAAAUGAGGAUUGUACAUCAACUUCCCCAAGAUAUAGAUGGUAAGAUGAUUGUCAUGUUUAAUUCUAUUUAAUUCACUUUUUUUUUUCCAGCAGGUGACAAAAAAUUUGAAAGUUCUGAAUUUAACAAGUUGCAAAAAGUUGACGAGGACACCCGACUUCUCAAAUUUCAAGUCUUUGGAAAUGUUAAUACUUGCUCAGUGUCCCAGGCUGAUCACAAUUGAUAGCUCCAUUGGUAAUCUUGAGGAACUGAAAACUUUGAAUAUCAAGCGGUGCCAUUCUCUUGCAGAGUUGCCCGGAGAAGUUGCUUCUUUACUUUCUUUGACGAAGAUUGUCAUUCCCCAAAAUUUUAAACUGUUGAAGCUUCCAGAGGGAUUUGGCAAUCUGAAAUCUUUGUCAAGUUUCAUACUAGACGGGCACCCCGGAAUCAGCCAACUUCCAAAGUCUAUUGGAAGGUUGGUGCAACUGACACACUUAUCCUUAAGUGGGUGUGUGGGAAUAAAGCAGCUUCCAUGGUCCAUUGGGGAGUUAAAGAUGUUGCUCAAGUUGGAUGUAUCAAAGUCAGGAAUAGGCAUACUACUCGAUUCUAUUGGAGAGCUAAAAAAUCUAAGGGUGAUGAGGAUAGUUUAUACGGCGAUAACAAAGUUUCCUUGUACUAUCGGGGGUGUGGAGAUGCUCCAAGAGUUGCAUGCCUUGAAAUGCUCGAAACUGACAGAUGAAAACCUGGAGAAAAUUGGGAAGCUAUCCCAUUUAAGGAUAUUGAACUUAUCAGGAACUUGGGUCUCUACAUUGCCUGAGGUGAUAGGCCUUCCAACUCAUCUCCAAACACUUCGAUUGGGUUCGUAGAACCUUCAAGAAGUGACAUCUCUCCCAUCAAGUUUGACACACCUUCAGCUUCAAGCUCGUGACUUCUCGUUUUUGCCUAACCUCUCAAGCCUCGUAAAAUUAGAAUAUCUGGAAUUAAUUAGAUCAGCCGAGGAACCUUACUCAACUCGGAUGAAAAAGCAAUUCAUUGAUCAGCUUCCAUCUUGUUUGUCAGCCUUGAAACUCCAGGGUUGUCCACUGCCAAACUUUUCCAAGUUAAAGAAUUUAUCCAAUCUGUGUGUCAAUGGAUGGCCUAUUUCAAGCUUACCUGUCUCUCAAGACCUAAUACAUUUGAGGGAACUGGAAAUAAGUAGAUCGGAAUCCCUCGUAGAAAUACCUGAUCUGUCACUCUGGAAGAGUAUAGCGCUUGCAUCUGAACAGGUUAUUCAAAAUUGUUUAGAUUCGAGGUUUGUCAGAACUGGAAUCCUUGAUGUACCUCCGUCUUUCCAGAUGUCCUUUAGUAAAAGAAUUACCCAACUUAUCAAAGUUGGAUAAAUUGCAACAUAUUGAGCCGGAAGAUUGUGAGAAUUUAAAAGGCAUCGAGGGCAUCGAGGGCAUAGAAAGCUGGGAGUGGGAUGGUCAUGGUUGCACUGUCCUGGAAAGAUUAAUGGAUGUGUCAAGGACCUGGCUUUGCCACAGAAAACCAACAUCUGAUGUGUUCCUGAGUUGUAGGGGACCAGACACUCGUAAUAGCAUAAUUUAUUUGCGUUUGAAUGGCCUGAUUUUCCUUUCCUUGGGAUGACGUACAAUUGCAAAAACAAAACCAUCAUGAAAAUUUGCUGCGAAAAAUGGACCAGUGUCACACCUACAUACCCAUCUUAAAAACUAUGCUUGAAGUCCGUGGUGUCUUCGUAAAGUUGCGUACAUGAUAGAUUGCACGUCAAAGUCAAAAGGUGAAAAUAUAGUCCUCCCCAUUCUCUUUGACGUGGACAUUAAGGAUGUUAAGCUCGAAAGCCCGUUAUAUAGACACGCCCUAGACAGGCACAGAGAUGAAAGAUACGCCGGCGAAGUGGAGGCAUGGGAACGGGCUCUUAAAGAGGUCCCGCGGGCCAAGGUGUUCGACCUGAAAACUGACUGGUAAGGCUUAUAUUCGGACUAAUUGCUUUUUAUCCUCAAAAUUAUGAGACAUCAGUGAUUCAGUUUACUUUACCAACAUUGGUUUUCGCAUGGAAGAAAUGGCAUGCAAUACGAAUGACGAAGAUUUUGAUGAAGGGAGAGAAGCGUGAUAUAAGUUUUAGGAAAUGCAUAUAAAUUGGAGAAAAGUUGAUUAAAUGUUGGAAUCUAUAAAAGAUUUAUGAAAUAAAGUGUCAGCUUUGUUGACCAUUGGAAACCAAUUUCUCCAUUCUUGAACGGUGUCCACUUAUUGUUCUUUGUUAUAGAGUGUCUAUGCCAGGGAAAAAUUUUUGAAUGGAAGGUUGAGUAGGAUGUGUUUGAGUCCACUCUAUAUUUGAGAGAUAAUAGCAUUAAAGGAGAUGUGAGAUCCCUUUUUUUUUUUUCUUUAACAGUAUCCAUAACAUAUCAGAAAAGAUACCACAGAAAGCGUUGACUAUGGAAUUAAUAAGGUACCAUUUUCAUUAUAACUCAUGGAAAUUUGAAUUGAAACAAAAUUGAUGACACUCAUAACGAUAUAUAGGUGUAGUGACUAUAAUAUCCAAUUGUUUCGAACGAAUAAACAUUUCCUAGAUUGUUUGGCUACCGUAUCAUUUGGGGAAAUGAGUUAGUAGAAAAUACUUUUAUACAAAAAUCUAUAUUUAUAUAUUUUUAUUGAUGAUAAAAAAAAAUUGUUGGCUCAUUUUCCUAAGCAAUACAAACAAUGGAAAAUGAAGAAAUAUUCUUUGAUUGCUGAUUUACCGGAAAGCAAGCGGAAUGUAAGGAGAACAAUAAUGGGAUCCAAGCAUGUAACUUUGCGGAACAAUAGACAACACUCUUGUAAGUCAACAAGGUUAACUUAAAAAAAAAAAAUCAACGAUGCUGGAACUAAGGGAAUCGAUAUAUGCACAGAAAUUCAAAUAUUUUAAGAUCUUUAAUUUAAAAUAAAAAAGGAAUUUUAAAAUUCUCAUAUCACGAGUGUUCUAAUAGUUUAAAUAUAAAUUAGAAGAAAUUGCCCCAAGAAUUGGAGAACCGCUUUUUAUUAUACGUAGCAAAGAUAAAUAGGUUUAUUUACUUUAUACAUAAAAAAAUAAAAGAGAUUAAUAUUGUUUCUGCUCGAACAUCACUAAAAUACAGCUUGUAAGAAUAUGCCUAGUUUCUCUAGAUUUUAUUUGGAAAUUUUGAACCAGCAUCUUAUUUACUUGUCACGGAAUUCAAGUUCCAUAUUAUUUCAGAUUACAUAAAUGUUAGACGUUAAAUGAUAUCCUCAAGUCUGGUAGGUGGACCCAAUUUCAUUCAUUUCAUCAAGAAUAGCUACUUCGCAUUGGUGCCUGAAAUUCUAGAGCAUCUCUAUUUCUUGAAACCGAGCAAUAUCUGAUGAAAUUUGGUAUAGCUGUGGAUCAACUGAUGCUCAUACUAAAUUCCACCGGUUGGAGUUAUGAAGUUUUUAAGUUAUUUCACCAAAUGGCCGUACAUAUAUGUUCACAGAAGUAGAUCCUCUGGUUUUACAUAUCCGGGGGGAACCAUGUGGCGAAACAGAAUUGCCUAGCGGUACACCAUAAAAAAUCUUCACUUUUUGUUUUUGUUUUUGUUUUUGUUUUUCAUUCUCUCUUCCUUUGUGCAUGAGUCGAAAGGUCUCAGGGUUACAUUUGUUGGAGGCAUUGAAUCAGCAAUUUGGUUGUCAUUUCGAUAUCACCGUGUCUUCAGCUGGAACAAUUUUUCUUUCUUUGUGCAAUACUGCAGCCUUGAAGAUGUAGUUGAAUUGGUUAUUGAGGAGGUUUUGGGUCAUCGGAUAAAAGUCAACCCAAAAGCGUUGACUGAAGUUUAGGUCAAGAUCGGUGACAGCUCGCAGACGCUGCAAGGAAAUUAUUAUAGAAGUUUUCGUUUGGUUCAUUGUCCAAGAAAAAGCGAAUGGAUUUCUGUUACAAGUGAUAAAGUCCUGUAGAACUGAUGAGUUCUUUUUCUAAUGUUUGGAGGCUCUCUAGAGAUUUCGUGUCGAGAUUAAAUUGGAUUAUGAUUCUAAUGCUUGGUACAUUUUUAAAGAUAAGAAUGAAAUUACACUAAUUUGUUCAUGUGCAAGAUCUAGAAAAUCAUCGAACUUCCGAACUCUUGAGAAAAGAGAUUAGCUGGUUGUGUCGGACUUGAAAAUGGUUAAAUAGAGUCGAUUUAUCUGAUUAAAUUGGAAAUUUAAGGAAAACGAAAGGAAAUUACAAUGUACUCCUCAAAUAAUCAGAAAGUUCGGUGAUGCUGUUGGUUAGCUGGAGAUGCUUGAGUUACAUGUAGCUAAUAAGGAUAUUGGACUUAUCAUGCUAAAAACACGGUGAAUCCAUACUUUUAAUUGGAGAGCGAGUCACGGACAUGCUUCUCCUUGUGUGGUAUUUCUUUUUAAAUGUUGGGUCUUCAAAUCACUUCGCAUUUAGCCUCACUUAAUUGAGAAUAGAUCUAGUAUUCGAUCGUGUUAACAAAAACUCGAUUUGGGCCACAACUUAACUUUCCUCCCAUGAAUUCCAAGUUCGAUCAGCUCAGGGCUUUGCAUUCUCUACGCACCACAAACAAGAAGUCUCCUGGCGUGGAAUUUUCGGAAUUUCCGCCGAGCUUUAGAGUGAGGAAUGAAAUUAGCAAAAUAAUGGCUAAUAUAUGCAAAAAGUAUCAUAGCUCAAAUGGUUGUUUUUUAGGCUAUUUAUACUUACUCUGAUUAAACCUGAGGUUCCCUAAUUUUCGAAGAUGUCGGGGGAUGAUCUCUCUCGAAGGGUGCAACUUGUGGCUCUUUGCCCACGUUUCGCCCUUGUAUGCUGAAAUAUAGGAGGCAUGGUUGUUCUGGUUCUUCAGACCUCGCUUCCACUUCCUUCUGAAUUCUUCAUCUUAUUCCCGUCCGGUCGGAAUUGAACCUUCGGUUUAUGAACCUCACUUAAUGACUUUCUAAUUGGCCACAUCAAUGGUUUCAUUUUCUUUUUCUUUUUUCUUUUUUACUGUUGUUCGGUUUUAUGCAAAGUUGGUGUUAUCAAUGUAGUCAAGGCGAUGUUAAACUUUUUUUUUGGUCAAAUCUUGGCGAAAUAUUACUGACAUGCACGCCUCAGCGUGGGCGGGAGAGAGAAUUCCUUUUGAUUUUAUGCCGACGUUUCCUAUUUGGUAGUAUGGUAUAUACUAGACAAGAUCAAGUAAUUCAUUAGUUAGAUACCAUCGAAUGACCAUGAGUAAGGAAAUGGAUGACCACGAAUUUGGAGAGGAAAUUCUACCUAAGGCAUGGCAUUGAAUAAACCUAGAAAAAAUAGGAAAGAUGAUUCAGAAGUGGCUUUGGUUUUUCUUUCUCUCAUUGGAACUUGGCCAAGCAGCCCAGCAACCGCAUUACGACGGUCGAUAUGGUCACCGAUCCAAUGGCAAUUCUUGCUCUCGCUGUCCUCUCUCCAGCUGUUUUAGUCAUAAAAUCUCAAGUUCCCGUGAUCUCGAUCGUUGAUAAUGUUGCAUCAAGAUCACCAUUGGCCCUGAUGUCAACCAUCAACAACCGCCACCACUGGCCAGUAGCACCGCGAUGACCACCGGCGGUUUUUCCCCCACUAACCUCUCUAUCAUAUUCUUUAGCCCAGUCCUACUCUUAAAUAGGCCGAACGCCGGGUCCAAUAUAUGCAAUUCACAAGCCCAUGGUUAUUUUCACCUGGGCCUCCAUUGCAACGCCGUUUUCGUGUAAAAAAACAGAGACAGUUUUUAUGUCGAAGAAUGUUCGAUAAACGACCUGUGUGACGGAAAUAGUUUGAUGCCCCUCCGACGCCAUUGAAAUCUAAUCACGUUAAUUACUUGGAGAAACACGAUGAACAGUAUACAAUAAGGUUAGCCUCUUAAAUUACAAGUCAACGACUGGGAUUUGUCCUAGUGGCUAUCCUUUCCACUUGAGAAUGAGGAGGUGGUGGUUAGGGUAGGGACGAUUUAGUUUCAGAUAUAGGUUUUGACUCUCACGCCUCACAAAAAGGCAGGAUAAAUUUUUGAGUAAUAAGAGUAGAAUAAGACAAAAAAAAAAUUACAAGCCAAAUUUGCUGUCAUCUUUGUUAAGUCGACUCUUUUAUUUUCCCCUUUAAUCAAUCUUUUAAGAAUGGAUUUUAUUGAGAGAGAAGCAACAUCAUAAUGGGGAAGCACAAAACAAUGUCCGACGACUUAACAAGACCCAAAAGGAACGUGGGGAUGCGUGUGGGAACGAAGAAAUAGAAACUCAUCUCAGACCAACCCUCGUUACAAAAUUCACUACCAUUGCUCUGAUUAUACUACGGACGCCUUAUAUUAUUCGUUAGGAAUCUUCUUGGCAGAUACACCAUUGAGAAAAGCAAUUAUCAAGAUUAUUGCAAAUAUAUAUAUAUAUAUAUAUAUAUAUAUAUCCCUUUAAAUACUUUAUGUUUUCGAGAUAUAUAAGAUCUUAUUAAAUACUUUUAGAAAAAUGAUUGGAUUCCCGUAUAGAUAGAGGUCAACAUACAUAACAACCCUGUUGUUCCAUAUAUAUCCCAUACGGUUAACAUUAACGUAAAAAUAAUUCUCAUUAUGUGUUCAUCCAAAUGCACUAUUAAGAAAACAAUUAUCAAGGUUAUCACAUUGGGAAAUGAAAACAGAUGGUUGAUUUGGACUUAAAUGAUUAAAUAUGAUCAAUCUAGUCUUUUUUGUAUGAUCAUAUUCUAUAUCUAUUUACAAGCCACGACGUGUGUUAUGUGCUGUACACAGAUUACAAAACCCUACUUCCUCAUUCAUGUGAAUCCGUCAUAGCCCUCGAGAAGGUGGGGCAUCAAACUCCCUACCUCUCCCUUCCCAAGUGGGAAGGAUAGCCACUUAGUCGAUCUACUUGAUACACUUGGCCACUUGGCCACUUGGUCGAUUCCUCUUUAAUUUGAAAUUUAGGUAAUGCUAUGGACAGCUUGAGAUGCUCGAGCAGAGAAGUCGCAUGCGGUGCAUAUGGGUCCUGACGAAGGCCCUGUAUUUAAAUACCAAUCAUUGUAUAUUUGCAUCAUGUAAAAGAUAAUUGAGGUUGACUAUCUAAAUUCACGACUUGGUCUCCUAGGCCAAGCCUCACGCCUCCCUCGGGUGGUCACUAGCUUGCCGCUACAGCUUUGCCUAAACCUGCAUUCAUCUAAAUCUAUUUCCAACGUUGUUAGGUUGUUUUUCAUGUUCUGUAUACACGCACUCCGUGGGUGGCAUUUUUUUUUUUUUUUUUUUGCUAGUGACGAUGAGAAAGAACAAUCUCCCCAAACACAAACGCUAAAUAGAAAAUUAAUAUAUGAAUGGUAAUUAUUAACACUCCUUCGAUAUGAUCGUUUUCGCUAUAAAAGCCCAGUACACCUACGAUUGAACCAGUAAUAUUUUGAUAGAAAUCAAAUGACAAAUCAACAUUUCUUAUCGUACAUCUUAAUCUCUUCUUAAUCUCGUCAUGGCGAUUCUAUAUCUAUCCUUCAAAAUAAAGAGUGGAUAUCGCCCUAAAUUUUGAACAAUAUUUAGCAAAUGUACUUUGUGACAUUUGGCCUUUGAAAUAAUUUGGUGCCCCUUUAAUGCCAUCAAUAUUCAAUCACAUUGAUUACUCGGAAAAAUUGAUGAGCAGUGUACAAUAAGAUAGCUAUUUCUUGCCCCAUGGACAAUUCACAUUAAAAUCGCCAGAAACAUCGUGAAUUGCGAGCCGAAUUAGCUGCCAUCUUUGUUCUUCAAAUCCUUUAUUGACCCCUUUAAGAAACGAUUUUAUUAAGAAAGAAGCAACACUUUGGGAAGCACAAGACAAGGUCCGAUGACUCGUAAGACCCCAAAACACGUGGGGAUGGUGGGGGAAACCGAAGAAAUAUCAUUACUAAGUUCACCACCCCUGCUCUGAUUAUCAUAAUUAUAUGUUACGUUUAGAAUUUUCUUCGCAGAUACACCAAUAAGGAAACAUUUAUCAAGCUUAAAGGUUUGUAAGGCCUUAUUAAAUACAUUUAACCAGAGAUUAAUCAAGACGAAAUAUCAAAUACGUUAUAUAUGGUCAAAUAGAAAUUGUAACUUUAACUCAUUAAUAAUCUCCAAAAUAAGUAACCACUAGGAUUCGCCCUAGUGGCUAUCCUUCUAACAUGGAAGGGGGAGAUGAGAGGUUUAAAUCCCCACAUUCUUGGGGAGGGAUGGGGUGAGGACGAGUAAGUUUCAAAAAUGGGUUUCGACUCCCACACCCUGCAAGAAGCAAGGCAAAAGUCUGAGAGUGAGGGUAGGGUAGAUAUAAAGUAGGACUGGCAAAAAAAAAAAAUCUCCAAAAUAAGUUUUGAUAAAUUAUUGAAAUAGUUGGUACUUUGAAACAAUCAAAUAACGAUUGGCAAGUGGACUCAAGUAAGAGCAACUAAUUUUUUAGUAACUUUAACAUGCAGAAAAAUCCGCAAAUAAAUAUUAGUAAAUUCUCAAAUAAGUGGUGAUUUUGAAACAAUUGAAUAAACAUUGACACCUCAAUCAAAUAUUAAUAAAGCUAAACUAGAUGAUAACUUAAUCAAUGAAAAGUUGAUAAAUCACUUAAGUUUAUAUCAGUAAUUUGCUAUAAGAGUUAAUAGCUUUAGUAUGAUUGUCGUUGGAGCAAAUAAAUAUUUUCAAGUCUCGGAACGAUUGCUGAUUUUGAAACAAUAAAAUGAAAGUCAGUGAACGGACUCAAAUCAGAAUUGGUAUUUUUCUACAAAAGUUGGUAACCUUAAUAUGACGCUACGUUACAUGACUAAACAUUGGUAACAUAUAAUACUUUGAAAAGGUCAAAUAACUAACGACAUUUCCACAUAGUGUUGGUAUUUUACUAAAACGUUACAGGUUAAAUAACUGUUGAUACUAAUACCAUCUAUUAGAGUGGGGCUGUAACAAUCCCGAUUCAAGAUCUAAGGUUGUCAUAGACUGUAUAUUACUGGGCAGAUCUACUUGGAGCUGUAGCAAUUGAAGAACCGCAAUUAGGAAGUCAAACGUUGCUAACCAUUUACACAUUCUUUUCACCUACUGAACAGCGUAGAGAAUCACAAGUUUAUUUGGAAAGCUAAGUUAAUCAUUUAAAUCAAGGUGAGCUUGAGCUUCACAAUACUUAAUUCAAGCGGCUCGCUAGCCUAAUUUGUUAGUUAAGUAUUUCUUUAUAGAUUAUUAUAGUUGCAUUAAUGAACUGUAAAAUAAAUGAAAAUGACUUUACUUUUGCCUUCUUAUUUUGCUUGAGUUAAUCAGGGAAGACUCGAGCUUUACAUUGAAUUUAGGUUUCAAUUUCCGCGUCAAAUCAAAUCUCAUAUAAAUCUGUAGUUCGGUCCAGGGUAGAGAACAAAUCUAAUGGAUUCGGAUCUUCCCUCCAUCUCCGGUUCUAUCUAAAAAUUUUCAACUUAAAACAGAUGCUCGUAUUAAAUCAUUUGCACUAUUUGUUGUACUUUAGCUAGUACGUACAUGAUGGGGUGCAAUUGGACCACACCAUUUGGACUUGAUAUGCUACGAUGAAGGGGUGUGAUGGGGUCAUAUAAAAGACCCCUGAAGACAACCGUUGGAGUGGUUGGACAAACGUAUGUUCAGAACAUUUUCUUCAUUUUCUCUCCCAUUUCCAUCAAGGCGUUCCAUUUCAUCUUUGCAAGAAUAAUAGGUAUUUAUGCUAUGGAAAUCGAGUGUUUUCCUUGUGAUUACAUCCAGACUAAUGUGAGGAAGUGUUGUUCGUGUUUCAUCAGCAAUUCAACGUUCGUUCCGGGACCAUUUGCUGUUUGCACAUCAGAAUCAAGUAAGUUGUCUUCCGCCAACAUGAAUUCCAACAUUGGUAUUAGAGCACGAUCGUGAUUUAUGCCUUAUUUUUCAUUGAGUUUGUGACAUCCUGAAAUUUGACCCGUUCCGAUAAAAUGAAAUGUGCAUAUCGUCAGUGCGCCUAUGGUCCUUUUUCUCUGAGCUAAUCACUCACGAGUUAAUUAACCUAUUAGGUGAAGCCGUUAAGGGAUAUAUCCGCGGUAAAAUCCCUAAAAGCUACCUAAUUGGUUGGAUUGGAUUAAAAUCACGUCCGGUCAAUUUUAACCAUGAAAUUUGAUUCGGUUUUGGGAAUCGAAUAUUUGAGCGUGUCACAAUUCAUUUUUAGGACCGCCUCAUCGUCAGUCAAAUUUAUUGACAAGUCCGAAAUUUCAAGAAAGAAAUUAUCGGAGGAAAAAAAAAUCGAAGACCGGAAGAAUUUAGAAAGGGAAAGAGAAAAGAAAAAAAUAAGAAUAAUGAUAUUAUUUUUGUUAUUUCUUUCUCUCCCUCUCUCUUCUUUCCUCUCUCUCCCUCUCUCUCUUUUCCCCUCCCCUUCGUGCGAGCCCCCUCUCUUAGCUGUCUCCCUCUUUCUUUUCUUUUCUCUCUUUGACCAUUCAAACUUCUUCCUUCUCUCUCUUCUCCCCCACUCCCCCACGUGACUAAAGGCCCCCCUCUUCCUUUCUUCUUUAUGCAACCAGCGAUCAAAUGCAGAAGCAGAAGUUGAAGCGGAGACAACAGCACGCCGAGACAGCAGGCAGCCAGCCGCCGUCGCCGCCCCCGCACCGCCACAGCUCGCCACUAGGCCGCCGUCCGCACCACCCGCGCGACGCCGCGCGUCCAGCCACCCGCCUCUCACGCCUAGGCGUCCUACCCUGUGCGAAUCCGCCUCUGCCUAGCCUUGUUACGCCCUUGUCCGGCCACCUCCAGCCACCGUUCGACCCCGCCGGACCUCCCCGACGUCCCUCUCACCCUCCGCCGGCCUCCCCUUGCCGCCUCAGCCACCGAACCAGCUCCGACCAGCCUAAUCCAGCAAACUCGCGAGUGGGUUUCCAGCUGGUUCGAGCCCGCUUUUGGGCCGUUUUCGGGCCCCGAACUCGAGCCGUGCUUUGGGAAGUUUUGUUCCUCACGUCGCCCCCGUCGGAUUGAUCUGAUUUGCGCGCGAUUCCAGUGAGUAAUCUCACUAAUCCUUACUUAGUGGACUAAUUGCGCUUAAGGAUUGUUUAUUUUUAAUUAAUUAGGUUUAGGUAGUUAGAUUAGUAUGGGUUAGUGUUUAUUAGUCAAUUGUGAUGCGAAUUAGAUAAAUUGAAUGUGUAUUUAGUAAGUAGACAUGGUCUACUAUUUAUUGAAGGUAGCUCGGGAAUUUUCGGACCCCUAAUCGGGCUUCAAUUUGAUGAUUCGGGCCUAAGUGGAAUUUUUGGCAUUUAAAUAUUAUUUUUCGAAAUUAAAUUAAUUAAUUAAUUAUUUUCUGAAAAUUCAACUAGGAUGGUUAGUGACCGAAAUAUUAUGCCGAUGACCGUGGUGAAGUCCGUUUAUUUAAUUGGGCUUUAUUUUGAGCUAAAUUGAAUUUUUAAUAUUAAUUAUUUAAUUUUCGAAAUUAAUUAAUUAAUUAUUUAAUUACCGAAAAUUCAAAUGGGAUGGCUAGUGACCGGAAUAUUAUGUUGAUGAUUGUGGUGAAGUCCGUUUAUUUAAUCGGGCUUUAUUUUGAGCUAAAUUGAAUUUUUAAUAUUUAUUAAUUAAUUUUCGAAAUUAUUUAUUUAUUUAUUUAUUUUUCGGAAAUUAAGGCUGAGAUAGCCAGCGACUGAAAUUUCAUGCUAAUUGUCGUAGUACAGUCCGUUUAUUUAGUUGAGCUUGAUUUUGUGCUAAAUCAAUUUAUGAGUGAUUUUAGGAUUUAUUCAUAAAUUAUUGGAUUUUGGUUAUUAAUUGGAAAAUAAUCGGGUGUCGGUUGACAGCACCAAAAGUGUUUUGGUGGGCUAUAGAGAAUGGUGGGAAUUAUGAAAAAGGAAAUUAUAAUAUGUUGGCUAAGGCCGAUCGUGUACCCACACACGACUAUUUUAUUGGGUAUGAUAAAAAUAAUGAGAAUAUUGGACGAUGGAGAUGGUAUAUUAUAUCGGCCUUCGGGCGAUAUGUCAGCUUUGGAUGAGCAGUAUACCGGUAUACUAUAUCGACCUACGAGCGAUAUGUCAGCUUUGGGUGAUGCUGAGCUGUAUGCAAGAUGAUCUCAUGUGUGAGUUUGAGAGUUAUGACAAAGCUCAAGCUUUGUGGGUUGCCUUGAAAAAAACAAUUGGGGAUACAUCUACCACUAAGCUAAGGAGACUCACCAUCAAGUUUGACACAUUUUGAAAGCGCCCAAAUGUAACGAUGAGGUAGCAUCUUCGGGAGAUGUCAAACAUGAUCCGCGAGCUGAGGUCAGCAAAUCACUCCCUUACUGAUGAACAGCAAGUUCAGGCUGUUAUAAGGUCUCUUCCUGACAAUUGAGAGCAUAUGAAGAUCAAUAUGACGCAUAAUGAGAAUAUUGUCACUUUUGAUGAUAUUGCGCGUCAUUUGGAAUUAAAGGAUGAGCGCCUAGAGGCUGCAAGAUCCUCUACCCAUGCUUAUGUUGCUGAAUCGAGUUCACGCAAAGCUUCGGGCUUCAAGCGCAAGAGGAAUCUUCGGUUCAACAACAAAGGGAAGAUGACUUAUUAGGGACCCAAGAGGGCUAAGACCUUCCGACGCAAGAAGCGUGGUGGGAAGAAGAACAAGGCCAAGAUGGAGUGCCAUAAUUGUGGCAAGAUGGUCACUUUGCUCGUAAAUGCACUGAACCGAAAAAUGUACCCUAUUACUCAAUUACUUUCAGUAAUGCUUUUGUUUCUAGUACUGUAAUGCUUGCUGAAUCUCAUCCAAUGUGGACUGUAGACUCAGGAGCAACAAACCAUGUAGCUAGAGACCGAGAAGCAUUUGUGGAGUAUCGUCGGAUACCGCCUAGAAGUGAAGGGUAUCGGUACAUGUAAAUUAAUCUUACGUUAUGGUCAAAACCUAUUCCUGCAUGAUGUCCUUUAUGCUCCAAAUAUUUGACGAAACUUGGUCUCUGUAGUUGUUCUUCUUAGCUUAGGUUAUGUAUUGAAUUUCCAUGGUGAUUCUGUUGACAUUUUAUAUGGAACAAUUUAUUAUGGUUCAGGUCAUGUAUCGAAUGGUUUUAUGGUGUUAGACAUUGACUAUGAUCAGUAUAAUAUUAAUGUUGAUGGUUGUUUUUAUUUAAUUGCAUCUUCUAAAAACGUUGAGAUUGAUGCAAGUACUUGGCAUGCUAGAUUAAGUCACAUUGGAUUGCAAAUAAUGCAAAGAUUAGCUAGAGAAUGCCUUUUAGGAUCACUUACUAAUGUUAGUCUAUCCAUAUGUGAACAUUGUCUAGUGGGAAAAACAACUAGAAAAUCAUUCGGUAAAGGGACUAGAGUUGAAUUUCCAUUGCAUCUAAUACAUUCUGACAUUUGUGGUCUUUUAAAUGUGAGGGCGAGGCAUGGAGCCUCAUAUUUCAUCACUUUCAUAGAUGACUUCAUACGUUUCGGUUAUAUCUUUAUGAUCUCCCAUAAGUCAGAAGCAUUAGACUGCUUUAGACGAUAUAUAACGAUGGUAGAGAAUCAAUUGAACAAAACAAUAAAGGCAUUGAGAACCGAUCGUGGACGUGAGUAUCUAUCGGAGCAAUUCAAGGCUUUUUGUGAUGAAAAUGGAAUUGUACGACAAUUGACUAUUCCCGGUACUCCACAACAAAAUGGGGUCGCUGAGAGAAGGAAUAGAACCCUAUUGGAAAUGGUUAGGUCUAUGAUAGCGCAAGCAAAUUUAUCUAUCUCCUAUUGGGGAGAUACGUUAUUGAUUGCUACCUAUAUACUUAACCGUGUGCCCUCAAAAUCGGUCACUUCCACCCCUUAUGAAUUAUGGAUUGGUAGGAAACCAGACUUGAGUAGUCUAUAUUCAUGGGGAUGUGCAGCUUAUGUUCAUGAUUCUUCCCAUAAACAUGGCAAAUUAGGUCCUAGAGGGAAGAAAUGUAUCUUUAUAAGAUAUUCCGAACACUCUAAAGGGUACGUGUUCAUAGGUGAACAAGCUGAUGGAAGUGUGACCGAAAUGGAGUCACAAGAUGUCACGUUCUUGGAGAACGAUUUUUCUAGUAGAUGUGAGAUUGAUAAGGACUUCCAAUUAUAUGAGAUGGAAGAUCCUGAUAACACACCCACUGAUGUUGUAGAGGGAAAUGAAGAUUUACCUCAACACACAAAACUUAGUGGGAGUGUUGCAUCGCCUGAUGAAUUGAAUUCAAGAGAAAUUCAAUUGCGUAAAAGUAAUCGUAAAAGUAUUCCCCGUCGUCGUUUUGAGAUUGAAGGGGAAGCAUUUAUGAUUGCUCAAAAUGACGAUGCCGAGCUUAAGACUGUUCAAGAGGUUCCCUCAUCCUCUGAUAAGGAAGAAUGGAGAAAAGCUUUGGAAGACGAGAUGGAGUCAAUGAGGGCAAACCAUGUCUGGGACUUGGUUGAUCUACCACACAAUCGUAAGGCCAUUGGAAACAAAUGGGCUUUUAAGAUUAAGUGAAGGGUGGAUGGAUCCAUUGAAAAGUAUAAGGCUUGCCUUAUGGCAAAAUAUUAUACUUAACAAGAGGGUAUAGACUAUGAGGAAACUUUUUCACCAGUUGUAAGGUUUGCCUCAAUACGCCUUAUUCUAGCCAUCGUUGCACAUUUGGACCUUGAAUUACAUCAAAUUGAUGUAAAGACGGCAUUUCUCAAUGGAGAAUUAGAUGAGGAAAUCUAUAUGAAACAACCAAUAGGUUUCAUAGCUAAAGGUCAAGAGCAUAAAGUUUGCAAGCUUCAUCGCUCAAUAUAUGGCCUUAAGCAAUCAUCUAGACAGUGGUAUCUUCAUUUUCAUCGAGCAAUAAUAAAUUUUGGUUUCACGAUGAUUGAAGAAGAUCACUGUGUAUAUGUCAAGUGGUCCAAAGAUAAAUUUGUAAUUUUAUCACUUUAUGUGGACGAUAUUAUAUUGGCUGGAAAUGACAAGCUUUUGGUUAUCACCAUAAAAGAAUGGUUGUCCUCCAAUUUUAAGAUGAAAGACAUGGGAGAAGCUGCUUAUAUAUUAGAAGUUAAAAUCGAAAGAGAUCGAUCAAGGAAACUCCUUACUUUAUCACAAGAGUCUUAUAUUAUGAAGAUUCUUGAGCGUUUCAAUAUGCAGCACUGUAAUCCCAUUGAUACCCUUGUCAUGCAAGGUGAAGGUCUAAAUAUUGAGAUGUGUCCUAAGACUCUAGAAGAAAUUAAAGUGAUGGAAACUGUUCCUUACGCUAGUGCGGUCAGAAGUUUGAUGUAUGCUAUGAUGUGUACUCGACCCAACAUAUAUUAUGCCAUAGGAUUGGUGAGCCGAUAUCAAUCAAAUCCAGGUCAAGCACACUAGAAAGCAGUGAAGAGGAUUCUGAGAUACUUGAAGGGCACCAUUGACUAUCGACUUUGUUACUAAGGGAAUGAUUUACGCCUAUUGGGUUAUUCAGAUGCCGAUUGAGGUGGAGACCUGGAUGAGCGUAAAUCAACUUCUUGAUAUGCGUUCUUGCUCAAUGGAGGUGCGUUUUUUUUUGGAAUAACAAGAAACAGACAUGCACGGCCUUGUCUACAAUGGAGGCAGAAUUUAUUGCAUGUUCUGCCACAGUGCAAAAAGCAGUAUGGCUAAAACGUUUCUUGGAAAAUUUAGCCACUGUCACUGAAGUUCCAAGACCGGUGACAGUUUAUUGCGAUAGUCAAGCAGCCAUUACCUAUGUGAAAGAUCUCAAGUAGCAUGGAAGGACAAAGUACAUUGACAUAAAGAAUAAUUUCAUCAGAGAUAAUAUAGCGCAGAAAGAAGUGAUCCUGUAAUACAUUUUAACUAAUAGAAUGGUUGCUGAUCCAUUUACGAAGGCCAUUCCUAGAGACAUAUUCUUGACCCAUAGGAUGUUGCUAGGACUGCGUAGAAUGUGAUAUCUGUUAUUGUAGAGGAUCAUUGAUUUAUGUAUUUGUGGACAGAUGUAUUGUACUUGUUUGUUUAAUAUUGAUUUAAUGUUUUAAUCAAUAAGUACAAAUCCACUAUGAGACUAGCACAAACGAACAUAUAUUAUUGAAAAGUAUGUCAGCAGGCAAUGAUUGGCUCACUCACAUGAGCAAUCGCCUCAAGUGCUUUAGAAAGCAUGUUGGGAUGAGACAUUAUGUACAAAUAAAUGCUAGAGAGCAAGUUUAGUACAUAAAAUAUGUUGCCUUGAUUAGAGUCAAGAUGAGGUCUGUGAUUUAUUUAUAAUAAGACCGAACAUGAUAAUCCCAUAAUCAUGUAUGCCUGUAAGAAGCCGGAUGCAAGUACUUAAUUGGGCGCUAUAGAAAGCGAGCUGAUAUAGCACUCGGGCUAAACAUGAGUACGUGAGAAGCACGUGACUAUGUUUAAGCUAAGAUCCGUAUAGUGGAUAUAUUUAAUAAAUGACAUACGCUCUUAUAGAAAGAGUAAUCCACUAUAGCAUGUAAUUCAUACUACAUGUGCAUUAUACGACCAAUAAGGGAAUGUGAGUAAAAUUAUCCCUAUUUACUCAUCGUGUGAGCCAUUGAGGUAAUUUAUAAUUUACCUCAAUUUUGUGCCCUAUGUUAGUUUUGACUAUGUUCUCGAAGUGAAAGAUCAAUGUUGCUAUUUUAGCAUGUUACGGGCGAUCAUGAAUGGAUAUGGCCUAUGGGACGUAUCUAGGAAAGUAGUUGUUUUGAAAUUGAGAGAGACAUGAGUGCGAAGGAAGACUAUUGUUGUUUUACAUCUAUCACAUGUAUUUACUGGUCGAUCAAUUAUAUCGCCCUAUGUAGUUGUGGAUGUAAUUGUAAAUACAUGGUGUUUUUUAGAAUAAUCAAGUAUAGCUUUUAAGGGAUAGGUAUACUUGGAUUGAUGUAACAAAAUAUGUAUGGGGUACUGUGAGACAUCGAUUGUUUAUUUCUUUUCGGGGUUGUAGCUAUUAUGUUAUCCCUAACAGGUGCAUAAUUUGAGCUCCCAAGUGCAGGUGUACUCACUGGUCGCACGGCUUAUUUGCCCGUAUGAAUUGUUUUGUAAAGUUGAUGAAUGUUGAUAUUCUUAUAUUUUUUAUAGCCCAUCAUGUCCGAGUGGGAGAUGUUGUACUUUAGCUAGUGCGUCCAUGAUGGGGUGCAAUUGGACCGCACCAUUUGGACUUUGAUAUGCUACGAUGAAGGGGUGAUAUGGAGUCAUAUAAAAGACCCCUGAAGACAACCAUUAAAGUGGUUGGACAAACGUACGUUCAGAACAUUUUCUUCAUUUUCUCUCCCCUUUCCAUCAAGGCAUUCCAUUUCAUCUUUGCAAGAACUGUCACGCCCCGAACCUCGAGCACGUGCACAUCCCACUACGGUCGAUAGAAAUGCGACUUCCCAGGACACGUCGCCGACCCAUUCUUUUUAAUUGCACAUGCGGAAGCGGAUAAAUAAUCCCCAGACAAAACUUAAUUGGGAUAGAAAAGUAGGAUCACAUUUUUAAAACCAAUCACAUACUUUUUAUACACAUCAAACUAGUUCAUUUACAGGACUAGGCUAUUUACAAAAGAUCUAUUGAAGAUCAGUCCUCAAAAACUAGGCUAUCCUAAGAUCAGCUAGACAGGUCCAUUCGCCAGCUCUUCAGUCAGGAUCGGCGAAGUCAAAAAUCCUCUCAGCGACCCUCACUGGUUUACCAAAAAGCUCCGGAGGUUCCGCCAUCUAGGGACCUGAAAUAUUAUCACACAACCGGGAUGAGACAAUGUCUUAGCGAGUCCUACCCUCUAGAACUCGAUUAGGAAGAAAAUAAGCCCCAAGGUGCUCUAGCCACGCAAAGAGAAUAGAGGACUUACCUCGCCUCAGUCCUUCCUGCACGUCAGUGCAACUCAUACGUCGAUAAAUUCAUACCAUAUAUCAAUUCAUAUCAUCUAUCAAUUCAUACCAUCUAUUCAUCCAUUAAUAAAUCACGGCUCACACAAGCUGAUAUAGAUGGUAGCUCGCACAAGCUGAUAUAUGCAUAGAUGAUAGCUCACACAAGCUGAUGUAUGGAUCGAUGCUCUCACAAGCUGACAUAUAUAAACCAAUUGCUCGCCAAAGCGGAUAAUUCAAUAAUAAACCAACUCAUAUCUCAAUUCAAUCAAUUCAAUCGAUUCAAACUGGUCAUACAAUUCAAUUACGGUGCUAAAAGCUAACACCGGGUAUUUUUAAGUUAAAUACCACAACUUCAUCAAUUUCACACAAUUCCACACUUUUGGAAUUAUUAACCAUAAUCAUCAAUCACUCAAUUUCUCAAUUUAAACAUACAAUUAGCACAAUCCGACCGCACUGCUGCGAUCAGCGCGAAAUUCUAACGACCGGCCAUCCCGGCAAAAUUUUCGAAAUUAUUAAAUAAUUAAAUUUAAUUCCGAAAAUUAAAUAAUUAAAUAUUAUAUUAUAAUAAUAUAAAAUAAUAAAAUAAUAUUUAAAAAUUCGAAAUAAUUAUUUAAUUAAAAAUAAUCAAUUAGGGCUUCAAUUAGAUUACACUAAUUUAAACAUACAAUUAGCCCUAAUUAAACGUCCAUUAAACUAAUCAUACAACUAAUCUAAUUUACAUUAAAAUAAUCUAAUCUAACCACCUAACCCUAAUUAGACUAAUCUAAACACCCCUUAAGCAUGAUUAACUUGCUAAGCGAGGUUUAGAAGAUAAACUCACCCGAUUAACGAUCCGAACGGCUCAAAACGACAAGGACGACACGAGGGUCGAUAGUCUCCAAGGCGGGCCUAGCUUUCGGGGUCGGGAAGCCGACCAAAACGGGCUAAACCUUCGCUGCGAUACCCAUUUUCCAGCUCUCUGUUCACUGCUGGUUGAGGCCGGGAAAGGGCGGAUCCGGGGCUGGUUGGGUUCGGGAAUGGGCGGAGGAGCUGCAGCGGUGCUGUACGGCCAACGGCGGGGCCUCACGGUGGCCGGAGGUGAGCUGAACGGCUUCGGUUGAGCUUCCCCAGAUCUGGAAUGGUUGCUGGAACAGAGAAGCCGGCGAGAUGGAGACUAAGACGGACGGAGCAGCGGUGAGGCGACGGCGGUCCAAGCGGAGUCGGAGGGUGGCUGGACGGAGACGGAGGGAGCUCGGCGGGGCUGGGACACGCCUCGAGCAGCUUGGAACAGGGAGCUCGGACUGUGGAACAGCGAGAACGCACGGCGACGGGCUCGGGUGCGCGCGAGCAGCUCCGGUGGCUGGUGGGCGUGCGACGACGGGGCUCCUCGACGGACUGCUGGUCGAUCUCCGUUGCUGCUGGUGGCGUUCAAAGAAGAAGAAGAAGAUGGAGAUGGAGGAGAGAGCGUCGACGGAGAGGAGGGGAGGAAGAAGAAGACCGGUUCUCUCUCUCUCUCUUUCUCUUUUUCUUUUUCUCUAAUCCCUCACACAUGGCCCACCAUGACCUAGGAUGACCUCACAAUCCACUCACCCAAUCCACCACAACCUCUUCCAAUGGUUGCAAUUUCAUUUUCCGCCGGGGUCCAAUUCUUGUACACUUAAUUCAAUCAAUUCUCAAUCAAUUCCAUCCAAUUGAAGCUCAAUUAAAUUAACCCAUGUGUCCUCGGCCUUCUCAAGACAUUUCCCCAUCAAAUGAUCCAACUUGCAUCCCGAAGAUUCGAUUAAAAACGGCCCUCUGACAAUCCCGAACAAAAACGGCCUUACUUUGCUUUUCCGCCAAAAAUCUCGGUUUGUAGAAAAAUCUUCUGGAGAUGAGUCGACGUUCCUAAAAUGAAUUGUGACAUGCCAGAACCUUCAAUUUUUUUGAAUCCGGGUUUAAAAUCAUGGUUAAUUUCAAUCUGGCGCGAUUUGAGCACGUCCUAAUCUACCGGGUAGCUUUUAGGAAAUUUUCAGUGCAAUUGACCGUGGUUGAUUAUUUUCAAGCCACGACAUAAAUCUUUGACACAUUGGCGACUCUUGAUUGUCGUAAAAAUCUCGAGGUUUCAAAUACGGACACAGGGUACCCAAAACGACAGAAUAAUCAGUUCAGUGCCGGUCGACGAGGAUAUUGAAAUCAGGUGGAAUCACCCACACUCUAAUUACAUAUCUCAGUCGAAUCGACCUAUUACUGAUCUCUGUUCGAUUCUGACAGUGUCGUAAUGAUCCUUGCAGAUUUAUACGGUCGAGCAGUCGGUUCAUGGUCAGAUUCUCAAGCCUAUUGCAUUUAAAUUCCUUAACGGCUUCACUUGAUAGACUAGUUAUCUCGUGAGUGAUCAGCUCGGAGAAUUGAACUAUAAGCGCGUCGAUGAAAAGUCCGUCUCAUUUAAUUGAAAACAGAAUCAGAAAUUUGGGAUGUCACAACUCUUCCCCUCUUAUAAAAAUUUCGUCCUCGAAAUUUAAACCAUUACAAUCCUUGAAUAAAAAAGGUGGGGGUACAAUUCUCUUAUCGACUCUUCACUUUCCCAGGUUGCUCCUUCAGUGCCAUGGUGUUGCCAGACCACUUUGACCAACGGAAUGGUCUUGGUGCGCAGAACUUGCUCUUUGCGAUCCACGAUCUGAACCGGGCUUUCAACGUACGACACACGGUCGUCCACGUCCAAUUCCUCAAAAUUAAACACGUGGGUCGGGUCAGGCUCAUACUUCCUCAACAUCGACACGUGAAAGACGUCAUGCACUUGCGCCAACUUUGGCGGUAAUGCAAGACGAUACGCUAGAAUCCCGAUUCUUUCUAGAAUCUCAAAGGGACCUACGUACCUCGGACUCAGUUUUCCUUUCUUUCCAAAGCGCGAAGUACCCCUCAUUGGCGACACCUUUAGAAAAACGUGAUCACUAACUUGGAACUCCAACGGUCUUCGACGCUUGUCUGCAUAGCUUUUCUGACGACUCUGAGCGGUCUGUAAUCUGCUUCUAAUCACUGCAACUGCAUCCGCUGACUGCUGAACUAAUUCUGGGCCUAUAAGCUUUCUUUCUCCAACCUCAUCCCAACACACGGGUGUUCUGCAUGCUCUGCCAUACAACGCUUUGAAAGGUGCCAUCUGAAUACUCUGCUGAUAACUGUUAUUGUAGGCGAAUUCGACAAGAUGAAGCUGAUCUUCCCAACUCCCUUUAAAAUCCAGUAUGCAAGCUCGCAGCAUGUCUUCGAGGGUUUGAAUAGUCCUCUCAGACUGGCCAUCCGUCUGAGGAUGAUAGGCCGUACUGUACUGCAGCUUCGUACCCAAAGCACUCUGUAAGCUUUUCCAAAAGGCGGCUGUGAACCUCGGGUCUCUGUCUGAAGUAAUCGUCACUGGCACUCCAUGCAAACGAACGAUCUGAAGCACAUACAGGUCUGCGUGUCUAUCCAAACUAAGGUCCUUUCGUACUGCAAUGAAGUGAGCCGAUUUCGUCAAUCUGUCGACCACUACCCAAAUCGAAUCACUUCCUCUUUGACUCCUCGGUAGUCCAGUCACGAAGUCCAUCGUGAUAUGUUCCCAUUUCCACUCAGGAAUCUCGAGAGGUUGCAGAAGUCCUCCAGGCUUACAGUGCUGUGCCUUUACUUGCUGACAGGUCAGACAUUUAGCGACAUGCUUGGCGAUGUCCGCCUUCAUACCAGACCACCAAUAAUGUUGACGCAGAUUCUGAUACAUCUUCGUACUGCCAGGAUGAAUGCUGUAACUGCUACGAUGAGCCUCUGAUAAAAUCUCCUCUCUAAGCUCCACAUUGUCAGGUACACACAAUCGUCCUUGGAACCUGAGUGUUCUAGCCUCAGCAAUCUGAAAGUUAGCAUUCUUCUUUUCUGUAUUCUCUUGCAGAAUCUUCUGAAUCUCUGGAUCUGUCCAUUGAAGCGUCUUGAUUCUGAUCUGAACUUCCGGCUCAAUUCUGAGGGUGGCCAUAAGGUUCGAAAGGUGGCCUACCUCAAAUUUGAAACCCGAAUCUCGAACUUUCUCAAUCAAUCUCCAUUCCUCGAGUACCAUCUGAGCUAUUGAAGACUUCCGACUUAGAGCAUCAGUGACCUUAUUUGCUUUUCCAGGGUGAUACAGAAUAUCACAGUCAUAAUCCUUCAAGAGUUCCAUCCAACGACGCUGUCUCAUAUUCAACUCCUUCUGAGAGAAUAAAUACUUGAGACUCUGAUGGUCAGUGAAGAUCUGGAAUCUUUCUCCGCACAAAUAGUGUCUCCAAAUCUUCAAAGCGAAGAUGAUAGCUGCAAGUUAUAAGUCAUGCGUCGGGUAAUUCAAUUCAUUAGGCAUCAACUGAUGGGACGCGUAUGCAACAACCCUACCAUGUUGCAUCAACACGCAACCCAGUCCAUUGAAAGACGCAUCACUGUAGAUCUCAUAACCUCCAGGACCAGACGGUAUGGUCAGCACAGGUGCAGUAGUCAGCUUCUUCUUAAGCUCUUGAAAACUACACUCGCACUUGUCUGUCCACACGAACUUCUCAUCUUUCCUCAGUAAACGAGUUAACGGCGAUGCCAAUGCUGAAAACCCUUCCACAAACCUUCUGUAAUACCCUGCCAAACCCAGAAAACUUCUGAUCUCUAUUACUGUCGUCGGUCUCGGCUAAUUGAUCACUGCUUCAAUCUUGGACGGGUCCACUGAUAUUCCUUCACCUGAAUUCACGUGACCUAGAAACGCCACACGAGUUAACCAAAACUCGCACUUACUGAACUUGGCAUACAGCUCGUGAUUCCUCAAAGUCUAUAGCACUAUCCUCAACUGUCUUUCAUGAUCUUUUGGACUUCUCGAGUACACCAAGAUGUCGUCGAUGAACACAAUUACAAACUGAUCCAGAUACUCCUUGAACACACGGUUCAUCAGAUCCAUAAAAGCAGCUGGAGCGUUCGUCAAACCAAAUGGCAUUACAGUAAAUUCAUAAUGGCCGUAUCGAGUACGAAACGCUGACUUCGGUAUGUCUUCCUUCUUGAUCCUCAACUGAUGAUACCCUGUCCUCAAGUCGAUCUUUGAAAAUAUCGACGCUCCUUGAAGCUGGUCAAAUAAGUCAUCGAUCCUCGGAAGUGGAUACUUGUUCUUAAUCGUCACUUGAUUGAGUUGACGGUAAUCGAUGCACAGACGUAACGAACCAUCUUUCUUCUUCACGAACAAAACUGGUGCUCCCCAAGGUGAUGCGCUAGGGCGUAUGAAUCCCUUAUCCAGCAAUUCUUGCAUCUACACCUUCAGUUCCUUCAAUUCAGACAACGCCAUUCGGUAAGGAGCCUUAGAGAUUGGCUCUGUCCCGGGUGCUAGCUCAAUCACAAACUCGAUCUCUCUCUUUGGCGGUAGACCUGGCAACUCUUUAGGAAACACAUCUGGAAAUUCUCGAACCACUAAUAUAUCUUCUAGCUUCAGCUCCUCGACUGUCGUAUCUACGACAGUUGCCAAGUAACCUUGACAACCCCCGUCUAACAAACGGGUUGCCUCAAGCGACGAGAUCAGAGCAAUCGAGGGUCCUCCUUGACUCCCAAUAAAUUCGAAACUCUCACCCCCUAACGGGUUAAACUGAAUCGAUUUACGAUAACAGUCCAUCUUAGCUCGUUGCUUGGUGAGCCAGUCCAUGCCAAUAAUCACAUCAAAAUCAUACAUGGCUAGGACUAUCAAAUCUAUUUCCCCCACUCGCUCACCAAUCACUAACUUGCAACCAGAACAACCCAAUGCAACUAACACCUUAUCCUUUAACGGUGUAGAUAUGCUAACCACUGACUCCAACAAUUCAGGACUUAAUCCUAUCAGCUUAACAAACUGCUCAGCUAUAAACGAAUGAGUGGCGCCAAGGUCAAACAAAGCAUAAGCAGCAUGGUCGUUCAACGAAACCGUACCUGUAAUCACAUUAGGCGCUUCCUCCGCCUGUCCUUUGGUGAUGGCAUACGUCCUUCCCUGAGCUGGAGGUCUAAUCGGUCCACCCUGUGGUGCGAUCUGCGACACAAACCCCCUAUUCUGACCCAACUGGAGCGGCGGUGGCGGCGGUAACUGCUGCGGCCCUCUCUGCUUUCUAGGACAAUCUUUGGCUAUGUGACCCUGCUGGCCACAUUCAUAACAGGCGCCCGUCCUAAAAUGGCAUGGGGCCGUACCAUGUCGCCUUCCACAGUAGCCACACGCGCCAUUCUGAUUUGGCGUUGACUUCCCAAUUCCACCCUUCCUAUUGGGCGGAACAUGAUACUUUCCUCCAUACAUCGGUUUCUUCCCAAACCGAUUACCUUCUCUGUUCGACCCAAACUGCGACCCAGAUGCGGCGACUCUCUCAUUCUGGUCUCUCUCAAUCAUCUGGACUCAUUUGUACAAGUCAUUGUAGUUCCCCAAGUUCAGUAGUAUCAGCGAACUCCUCAGUUCCGGCCUAAGCCCAUCUCUGAACCUCCUAACUCGGUUCACCGGAUUCUCGACAAAUUCAGGGGCAUACCGCGAUAGUUCCGUGAACUUCGCUUCAUAUUGGUCUACGGUCAUAGUACCUUGGCGAAGACGCUGAAAUUCUACCAUCUUCACUUCUCUGGCAGAUUUAGAAAAGUACUUGUCGUUGAAAACUUCGAGAAAGGCGUUCCACUCUGGAACUACGCCUUCAGGGAAUACUGUGUCUCUCGCGGCUUCCCACCAAAUCUCAGCAUUACCUUCUAGUUGGUAGACUGCAAGAGCUACCUUCUCCACUUCAGUGCACAUUAGCAGUGCAAAAGCCUUCUCUAAGCCCUUGGUCCAAAGAACUGCAGCUUCGGGGUCUCCUGAUCCAGUGAACUUCGGUGGAUUCAACCUCCUGAAAUGCUCCACCAACUUAUGCAUUGGUCUCCCAGCGACCACGUUCCCAGGUGGAACUUCAGCAGGUGCAACAACAGGCACGGCAACUGGUGCGGCGGCGGGUGCAACAACAGGUACAGCAGCGGUGGCAGCAGCAACGGCAGCAGCAAUAGCGGCGGCUUGAUUCUGGGCCUGCUGAUCCAUCCGAUUCCCCAUGGCCUCAAGCAUCUACAGGAUCCCGUCGAUCCUCGGAUCACCAGGGGCUGCUACCCCAGCACCAACAGGAGGUGGUGCUACUCCACUAGCGCUAGCCUCAGCUUGCGCUCGACCACGUCCACCUCGGGUACCGACCCUUGUUGGCGUCCUCCCCUGAGUAAUGAGACUCAUGGUCUUCUUCCUAGGAGUCCUCUCCUGAUCACUCAUAACGCAAGUUCUCUACAGAUACCUGCUUUCCAAUUCACAUUGAAUUAGAAUUGAGUGACCUACCAAACAAUUUACCAAUCAACUAGAAAUCACAUGCACCAGCAUGAAAUCAAAGUCAUUCCUACUAACUGUCCCAUAAACCAUCGCACCUUAUCACUCCAAUCACAGACCCGCUCUGAUACCACUUAAACGGGGAUGUCACGCCCCGAACCUCGAGCACGUGCACAUCCCACUACGGUCGAUAGAAAUGCGACUUCCCAGGACACGUCGCCGACCCAUUCUUUUUAAUUGCACAUGCGGAAGCGGAUAAAUAAUCCCCAGACAAAACUCAAUUGGGAUAGAAAAGUAGGAUCACAUUUUUAAAACCAACCACAUACUUUUUAUACACAUCAAACCAGUUCAUUUACAGGACUAGGCUAUUUACAAAAGAUCUAUAGAAGAUCAGUCCUCAAAAACUAGGCUGUCCUAAGAUCAGCUAGACAGGUCCAUUCGCCAGCUCUUCAGUCAGGAUCGGCGAAGUCAAAAAUCCUCUCAGCGACCCUCACUGGUCUACCAAAAAGCUCCGGAGGAUCCACCAUCUAGGGACCUGAAAUAUUAUCCCACAACCGGGAUGAGACAAUGUCUCAGCGAGUCCUACCCUCUAGAACUCGAUUAGGAAGAAAAUAAGCCCCAAGGUGCUCUAGCCACGCAAAGAGAAUAGAGGACUUACCUCGCCUCAGUCCUUCCUGCACGUCAGUGCAACUCAUACGUCGAUAAAUUCAUACCAUAUAACAAUUCAUAUCAUCUAUCAAUUCAUACCAUCUAUUCAUCCAUUAAUAAAUCACGGCUCACACAAGCUGAUAUAGAUGGUAGCUCGCACAAGCUGAUAUAUGCAUAGAUGAUAGCUCACACAAGCUGAUGUAUGGAUCGAUGCUCUCACAAGCUGACAUAUAUAAACCAAUUGCUCGCCAAAGCGGAUAAUUCAAUAAUAAACCAACUCAUAUCUCAAUUCAAUCAAUUCAAUCGAUUCAAACUGGUCAUACAAUUCAAUUACGGUGCUAAAAGCUAACACCGGGUAUUUUUAAGUUAAAUACCACAACUUCAUCAAUUUCACACAAUUCAAUUAAAGGUCUCAAUCACCCGUUCUUGAGAAUCAAAUAGCUCUUUUUACACGCCGUGGUUCAAAUGCGGGUUGGUUUGAGAUUUGUCGGUGAAUGCAGCGUAAAGGAUCGGCCACAGAUUGGACUCCAUCAUCUUGCUUAGAAUUAUUUCUAGAAAGAGUGCGCAUAACAGAAAUGCACGUGCGAUGCAUGUGUGAAAAUAUGCUGUCAAUCUUUGUUAAGUCAGCUCUUUUAUUCUCCCCUUUAAUAAAACUUCUAAGAAUGGAUUUUAUUGAGAGAGAAGCAACAUCAUAAUGAGGAAGCACAAAACAAUGUCCGACGACUUCACAAGACCCAAAAGGAACGUGGGGAUGGGGUGUGGAAACGAAGAAAUAGAAACUCAUCUCUGGCCAACCCUCGUUACAAAAUUCACUGCCAUUGCUCUGAUUAUUCUACGGACGCCUUAUAUUAUUCGUUAGGAAUAUUCUUGGCAGAUACACCAUUGAGAAAAGCAAUUAUCAAGAUUAUUGCAUAAAUAUCCCUUAAAGUACUUUAUGUUUUCAAGAUCUAUAAGGCCUUAUUAAAUAUUUUAAGAAAAAUGAUUGGAUUGCCGUAUAGAUAGAGGUCAACAUACACAACAACCCCGUUAUUCCAUAUAUAUCUCAUACGUUUAACAUUAACGUAAAAAUAAUUCUCUUUAUGUGUUUGUCCAAAUGCACUAUAGAGAAAACAAUUAUCAAGGGUAUCGCAUUGGGAAAUGAAAACAGACGGUUGAUUUGGACUUGAAAUGAUUAAAUAUAAUCAAUCUACUCUUUUUUGUAUGAUCAUAUUCUAUAUCUAUUUAGAAGCCAUGACGUGUAUUAUGUGUUGUACACAGACAGCAAAAUCCUACUUCCUCAUUCAUGUGAAUCCGUCAUAGCUCUUGAGAAGGUGGGGCAUCAAACUCCCCACCUGUCCCUUCCCAAGUGGGAAGGAUAGCCACUUAGUCGCUCUACUUGAUACACUUGGCCACUUGGCCACUUGGCCACUUGGUCGAUUCCUCAUUAAUUUGAAAGUUAGGUGAUGCUAUGGACAGCUGGAGAUGCUCGAGCAGAGAAGUCGCAUGCGGUGCAUAUGGGUCUUGACGAAGGCCCUGUAUUUAAAUACCAAUCAUUGUAUAUUUGCAUCAUGUAAAAGAUAAUUGAGGUUGACUAUCUAAAUUCACGACUUGGUCUCCUAGGCCAAGCCUCACGCCUCCCUCGGGUGGUCACUAGCUUGCCGCUAGAGCUUUGCCUAAACCUGCAUUCAUCUAAAUCCAUUUCCAACGUUGUUAGGUUGUUUUUCAUGUUCUGUAUACACGCACUCCGUGUGUGCUUUUUUUUUUUUUUUUUUUGCUAGUGACGAUGAGAAAGGACAAUCUCCACAAACACAAACGCUAAAUGGAAAAUUAAUAUAUGAAUGGUAAUUAUUAACACUCCUUCGAUAUGAUUGUUUUCGCUAUAAAAGCCCACACUACGAUUGAACCAGUAAUAUUUUGAUAGAAACCAAAUGACAAAUCAACAUUUCUUAUCGUACAUCUUAAUCUCUUCUUAAUCUCAUCACAGUGAUUCUAUAUCUAUCAUUCAAAAUAAAGAGUGAAUAUCGUCCUAAAUUUUGAAUAAUAUUUAGCAAAUGUACUUUGUGAUGUUUGGCCUUUGAAAUAAUUUGGUGCCCCUUUGAUGCCAUCAAUAUUCAAUCACAUUGAUUACUCGAAAAAAUUGAUGAGCAGUGUACAAUAAGAUAGCUAUUUCUUGCCCCAUGGACAAUUCAAAUUAAAAUCGCCAGAAACAUCGUGAAUUGCGAGCCGAAUUAGCUGCCAUCUUUGUUCUUCAAAUCCUUUAUUUACCCCCUUUAAGAAACGAUUUUAUUGAGAAAGAAGCAACACUUUGGGAAGCACAAGACAAGGUCCGAUGACUCGUAAGACCCCGAAACACGUGGGGAUGGUGGGGGAAACCGAAGAAAUAGGCUGUCACUUCCGGUCGAAUAUCAUUACUAAGUUCACCACCCCUGCUCUGAUUAUCAUAAUUAUAUGUUACGUUUAGAAUUUUCUUCGCAGAUACACCAAUAAGGAAACAUUUAUCAAGCUUAAAGGUUUGUAAGGCCUUAUUAAAUACAUUUAACCAGAGAUUAAUCAAGACGAAUAUCAAAUACGUUAUAUAUGGUCAAAUAGAAAUUGUAACUUUAACUCAUUGGUAAUCUCCAAAAUAAAUUUUGAUAAAUUAUUGAAAUAAUUGGUACUUUGAAACAAUCAAAUAACGAUUGGCAAGUGGACUCAAGUAAGAGCAACUAAUUUUCUAGUAACUUUAACAUGCAGAAAAAUCCGCAAAUAAAUAUUAGUAAAUUCUCAAAUAAGUGGUGAUUUCGAAACAAUUGAAUAAACAUUGACACCUCAAUCAAAUAUUAAUAAAGCUAAACUAGAUGAUAACUUAAUCAAUGAAAAUUUGAUAAAUCACUUAAGUUUAUAUCAGUAAUCUGCUAUAAGAGUUAAUAGCUUUAAUAUGAUUGUCGUUGGAGCAAAUAAAUAUUUGCACGUCUUGGAACGAUUGCUGAUUUUGAAACAAUAAAAUUAAAGUCAGUGAACGGACUCAAAUCAGAAUUGGUAUUUUUCUACAAAAGUCGGUAACCUUAAUAUGCCGCUAAGUUACAUGACUAAACAUUGGGAACAUAUAAUACUUUAAAAUGGUCAAAUAACUAACGACAUUUCCACAUAGUGUUGGUAUUUUACUAAAACGUUACAGGUUAAAUAACUGUUGAUACUAAUACCAUAUAUUAGAGUGGAGCCGUAACAAUCCCGAUUCAAGAUCUAAGGUUGUCAUAGACUGUAUAUUACAGGGCAGAUCUACUUGGAGCUGUAGCAAUUGAAGAACCGCAAUUAGGAAGUCAAACGUUGCUAACCAUUUACACAUUCUUUUCACCUACUGAACAGUGUAGAGAAUCACAAGUUUAUCUGGAAAGCUAAGUUAAUCAUUUAAAUCGAGCUUCACAAUACUUAAUUCAAGCGGCUCGCUAGCCUAAUUUGUUAGUUAAGUAUUUCUUUAUAGAUUAUUAUAUUUGCAUUAAUGAACUGUAAAAUAAGUGAAAAUGACUUUAUUUUUGCCUUCUUAUUUUGCUUGAGUUAAUCAGGGAAGACUCGAGCUUUACAUUGAAUUUAGUUUUCAAUUUCCGUGUCAAAUCAAAUCUCAUAUAAAUCUAUAGUUCGGUUCAGGGUGGAGAACAUAUCUAAUGGAUCCGGAUCUUCACUCUAUCUCCGGAUUCUAUCUAAAAAAUUUCAACUUAAAACAGAUGCUCGUAUUAAGUCAUUUUCACUAUUUAUAUCGACACCAAGCGUCAUUUAAUUUUUGAAACAUCACUUUAUAUCCCAAAUAUUAUUAUGCUUUACAUUACACUUUCUAUAAUAAUUUAUAGUGUAAAGGGACCAACUCUUAAUAUUUCAAAUACCCAACUACACUAGUUAAUUUCAAUCGUUCUUUCCAUUUGGCUUUAGUCAUUUUUAUUUUUUAUUACCUAACUUAGACUUAUUAUUCUGCGGUUCCUCUUUUUCCCAGAAAAUCACCUUAAUACUCCCCACGAGUUGGUUUGGGAUUUGUCGGUGAAUGCAACGUAAAGGAUCGGCCACAAAUUGGACUCCACCAUCUUGAUUAGAAUUAUUUCUAGAAAGAGUGUGCAGAACAGAAAUGCACGUGCGAUGCGUGUGUGAAAAUAUGCUAUCAUUUUUGCUAAGUCAACUCUUUUAUUUCCCCCUUUAAUAAAACUUUUAAGAAUGGAUUUUAUCGAGAGAGAAGCAACAUCAUAAUGGGGAAGCACAAAACAAUGUCCGACGACUUCACAAGACCCAUAAGGAACGUGGGGAUGGGGUGUGGAAACGAAGAAAUAGAAACUCAUCUCUGGCCAACCCUCGUUACAAAAUUCACUGCCAUUGCUCUGAUUAUUCUACGGAUGCCUUAUAUUAUUCGUUAGGAAUCUUCUUGGCAGAUACACCAUUGAGAAAAGCAAUUAUCAAGAUUAUUGCAUAUAUAUAUAUAUAUCCCUUAAAAUACUUUAUGUUUUCGAGAUCUAUAAGGCCUUAUUAGAUACUUUUAGAAAAAUGAUUGGAUUCCCGUAUAGAUAGAACAUACAUAACAACCCUGUUAUUCCGUAUAUAUCUCAUACUUUUAACAUUAACAUAAAAAUAAUUCUCAUUAUGCGUUCGUCCAAAUGCACUAUUGAGAAAACAAUUAUCAAGGGUAUCGCAUUGGGAAAUGAAAACAUUUGGUUGAUUUGGACUUGAAAUGAUUAAAUAUAAUCAAUCUACUCUUUUUUGUAUGAUCAUAUUCUAUAUCUAUUUAGAAGCCAUGACGUGUGUUAUGUGUUGUACACAGAAAGCAAAAUCCUACUUCCACAUUCACGUGAAUCCGUCAUAGCCCUCGAGAAGGUAAGGCAUCAAAUUCCCUACCUCUCCCUUUCGAAGUGGGAAGGAUAGCCACUUAGUCGCUCUACUUGAUACAUUUGGCCACUUGGUCGAUUCCUCAUUAAUUUGAAAGUUAGGUGAUGCUAUGGAUAGCUGGAGAUGCUCGAGCAGAGAAGUCGCAUGCGGUGCAUAUGGGUCUUGACGAAGGCCCUGUAUUUAAAUACCAAUCAUUGUAUAUUUGCAUCAUGUAAAAGAUAAUUGAGGUUGACUAUCUAAAUUCACGACUUGGUCUCCUAGGCCAAGCCUCACGCCUCCCUCGGGUGGUCACUAGCUUGCCGCUAGAGCUUUGCCUAAACCUGCAUUCAUCUAAGUCCAUUUCCAACGUUGUUAGGUUGUUUUUCAUGUUCUGUAUACACGCACUCCGUGUGUGCUUUUUUUUUUUUUUUUGCUAGUAACGAUGAGAAAAAAUAAUCUCCGCAAACACAAACGCUAAAUGGAAAAUUAAUAUAUGAAUGGUAAUUAUAAACACUCCUUCGAUAUGAUCGUUUUCGCUAUAAAAGCCCACACAACUACGAUUGAACCGGUAAUAUUUUGAUAGAAACCAAAUGACAAAUCAACAUUUCUUAUCGUACAUCUUAAUCUCUUCUUAAUCUCAUCACAGCGAUCCUAUAUCUAUCAUUCAAAAUAAAGAGUGGAUAUCGUCCUAAAUUUUGAACAAUCUUGAACAAAUGUACUUUUUGACGUUUGGCCUUUGAAAUAAUUUGGUGCCCCUUUGAUGCCAUCAAUAUUCAAUCACAUUGAUUACUUGAAAGAAAUUAUGAAUAGUGUACAAUAAGAUAGCUAUUUCUUGCCCCUUGGACAAUUCAAAUUAAAAUCGCCAGAAACACCGUUAAUUAAGAGCCGAAUUAGCUGCCAUCUUUGUUCUUCAAAUCCUUUAUUUACCCCUUUAAGAAACGAUUUUAUUGAGAAAGAAGCAACACUUUGGGAAGCACAAGACAAGGUCCGAUGACUUCGUAAGACCCCAAAACACGUGGGGAUGGUGGGGGAAGGGAAACCGAAGAAAUAGGCUGUCACCUCCGGUCGAAUAUCAUUACUAAGUUCACCACCCCUGCUCUGAUUAUCAUAAUUAUAUGUUACGUUUAGAAUUCUCUUCGCAGAUACACCAAUAAGGAAACAUUUAUCAAGCUUAAAGGUUUGUAAGGCCUUAUUAAAUACAUUUAACCAGAGAUUAAUCAAGACGAAAUAUCAAAUACGUUAUAUAUGGUCAAAUAGAAAUUGUAACUUUAACUCAUUGGUAAUCUCCAAAAUAAGUUUUGAUAAAUUAUUGAAAUAAUUGGUAUUUGAAACAAUCAAAUAACGAUUGGCAAGUGGACUCAAGUAAGAGCAACUAAUUUUCUAGUAACUUUAACAUGCAGAAAAAUCCGCAAAUAAAUAUUAGUAAAUUCUCAAAUAAGUGGUGAUUUCGAAACAAUUGAAUAAACAUUGACACCUCAAUCAAAUAUUAAUAAAGCUAAACUAGAUGAUAACUUAAUCAAUGAAAAUUUGAUAAAUCACUUAAGUUUAUAUCAGUAAUCUGCUAUAAGAGUUAAUAGCUUUAAUAUGAUUGUCGUUGGAGCAAAUAAAUAUUUGCACGUCUUGGAACGAUUGCUGAUUUUGAAACAAUAAAAUUAAAGUCAGUGAACGGACUCAAAUCAGAAUUGGUAUUUUUCUACAAAAGUCGGUAACCUUAAUAUGCCGCUAAGUUACAUGACUAAACAUUGGUAACAUAUAAUACUUUAAAAUGGACAAAUAACUAACGACAUUUCCACAUAGUGUUGGUAUUUUACUAAAACGUUACAGGUUAAAUAACUGUUGAUACUAAUACCAUAUAUUAGAGUGGAGCUGUAACAAUCCCGAUUCAAGAUCUAAGGUUGUCAUAGACUGUAUAUUACAGGGCAGAUCUACUUGGGAGCUGUAGCAAUUGAAGAACCGCAAUUAGGAAGUCAAACGUUGCUAACCAUUUACACAUUCUUUUCACCUACUGAACAGUGUAGAGAAUCACAAGUUUAUCUGGAAAGCUAAGUUAAUCAUUUAAAUCGAGCUUCACAAUACUUAAUUCAAGCGGCUCGCUAGCCUAAUUUGUUAGUUAAGUAUUUCUUUAUAGAUUAUUAUAUUUGCAUUAAUGAACUGUAAAAUAAGUGAAAAUGACUUUAUUUUUGCCUUCUUAUUUUGCUUGAGUUAAUCAGGGAAGAAUCGAGCUUUACAUUGAAUUUAGUUUUCAAUUUCCGUGUCAAAUCAAAUCUCAUAUAAAUCUAUAGUUCGGUUCAGGGUGGAGAACAUAUCUAAUGGAUCCGGAUCUUCACUCUAUCUCCGGAUUCUAUCUAAAAAAUUUCAACUUAAAACAGAUGCUCGUAUUAAGUCAUUUUCACUAUUUAUAUCGACACCAAGCGUCAUUUAAUUUUUGAAACAUCACUUUAUAUCCCAAAUAUUAUUAUGCUUUACAUUACACUUUCUAUAAUAAUUUAUAGUGUAAAGGGACCAACUCUUAAUAUUUCAAAUACCCAACUACACUAGUUAAUUUCAAUCGUUCUUUCCAUUUGGCUUUAGUCAUUUUUAUUUUUUAUUACCUAACUUAGACUUAUUAUUCUGCGGUUCCUCUUUUUCCCAGAAAAUCACCUUAAUACUCCCCACGACUCUUAAUGUUUUCUUCAUACUGAGAGCAAUCAAAGGUCUCAAUCACCCGUUCUUGAGAAUCAAAUAGCUCUUUUUACACGCUGUGGUUUAAAUGCGGGUUGUUUUGGGAUUUGUCGGUGAAUGCAGCGUAAAGGAUCGGCCACAAACUGGACUCCACCAUCUUGAUUAGCAUUAUUUCUAGAAAGAGUGCGCAUAACAGAAAUGCACGUGCGAUGCAUGUGUGAAAAUAUGNNNNNNNNNNNNNNNNNNNNNNNNNNNNNNNNNNNNNNNNNNNNNNNNNNNNNNNNNNNNNNNNNNNNNNNNNNNNNNNNNNNNNNNNNNNNNNNNNNNNUGACGGCUUGGAGGGGAUCGAGUGGGAUCUGACGAAAGAUAGCAUUAUUUCGUUGUCUCCAGAUCUCCUACAGAAGAUGAGCGAUCACAGCAAACUCAGGAGAUGCUUAUGGGAGGGAAGCUCUUGCGACAAGCCAGGCAUCAAAUCGGCUAACUGAGGUAGGUAAGAUAUUGACUCCAAUGUCUUCGUGAUUCCAAAUAUCAGUUGUCCACGGGCAGAAGAAAAAGAGAUGCUCUACUGAUUCAGGAACAGAAUUAUUGCAUAGAGAACAGUAGGGAUGUGGGGUGAUAUGGCGUUGAUAAAGAUUGAGUUUUGUAGCAAUGGCAUUUUUGCAAGCUAACCAGAGAAAAACCUUAAGCUUUGGGGCUGUACACAUAUGCCAAAUUUUCCUCCAUAACAUGGGUGGGUUAGUAUAAGAGGAUGAGGGUUGAUGUAUUGGUUGCUGAGAUUGUUUAGAGAGAGAAUGAUAACAACUCUUUACUGUGUAGGUACCAGAAGGUGUUUCUGUCCAAACUAGUUGAUCCUGAAGGAGAGACGGAUUGAUGGGGGUAUUGAGAAUUGCCUUACUGACCUGAUCAUCGAAGAAUGCAGUAACAAGGGAGGACUUCCAUUCAAAAUGCUGUAAAUCAAUGAGAUCAACAACUAGAUCAGGUUCUCCCUCCUCUGGUAAGCCUCCUAUCAGACCUAAUGGUAGCCAAUUAUCUUCUCUGAUAUGUAUCUGCGAUCCAUCCCUGACUAACCAACGUAGUUUAGGAGUAAUUGCUUGACGACCUUUUAAUAAACUCUGCCAUCCCCAAGAAGGACGAUGUCCUGAGGGAGCAGAUUGAAAAGAGGAGUAUCUAAAAUAUAAACCCUUAAAGAGCUAACUCCAUAUAGCUUGAGGUUGCUGAAAAAGACGCCACGCUUGCUUUCCAAGCAUUGCAUUGUUAAAGUUGAUUAAAUCUCUGAAUCCCAUCCCCCCUGAAACUUUCGAGAGCUUUAAUUCUGACCAUUGUUUCCAGUGAAUUCCAGAUUGACUAUUUUGUUUACUCCACCAGAAUGCUGAGAUCUUCCUUUCAAUCAAUCUGCAGAGAGAUAGCGGAAGCUUGAAGAUAGACAUGGCAUACUGCGGUAAGGCCUGGAUUACUGAUUUCAGUAAGAUUUCCUUGCCACCUUUCGAUAAAAAAUUUUCCUGCCAACCUGCUAACUUAGCAUUUACUCUUGCCAGGAUCCAGGAAAACAUCUCCUUUUUGGAACGGCCCCAAUCCGAGGGAAUGCCCAGGUAUUUACCAUACUUACUGAUAAUAGGGACUCUGAGUUCUUGUGCAAGAUUAUGUUGUAACGAAAUAGGACAGUAUUUGCUAAAGAAACACCAGAUUUGUUUCUAUUAAUGAGCUGGCCCGUAGCAACACAAUAUUGGUUUAGGAGAUUGGUAAGGUUAUGGCAUUCAGAGAUAGUGGCUUUAAGAAAAAUAUUGAAUCAUCAGCAAAAAAUAGGUGAGAUAACUUAGGACAGUCUCGAUUGAAUUGAAUCCCCUUUAUAUGGCCAAUAGCGACAGCUUGAGUGAGAGUAGUGGAGAGGGCAUUGGCAAUUAAAAUGAAGAGAUAUGGAGAUAGGGGAUCUCCUUGGCGAAUCCCUCGAGUAAGUUUAAAAUAAGGGAGCUGUUCACCAUUAAAACGAAUACUAAAAGAGACUGUAGUAACGCAAGCCAUUACCUGAGUAACCCAACUGUCAUUGAAUCCCAAUUGCUUCAAGUAGGCUUCUAAAAGGUCCCAUUCAACCCUAUCGUAAGCUUUCUGCAUGUCUGUUUUGAGAAUAAGAUUGAAGCGUUUCUUGCAUGCUCGCACUUUAAAUUGAUGCAUGACUUCUUGAACCACCAUAAUAUUGUCCUGAAUCUGUCUAUCGCUAAUAAAUGCUGCUUGCUCUUUGGAAAUCAAAAUAGACAGCAGAGGUUUAAGUCUGUUGGCCAUAAUUUUUGAGAUGAUCUUAUAAGCGAAGUUGCAGAGACUUAUGGGUCGGUAUUGUUCUAUACUUUCUGGAUGUUGGACUUUAGGGACUAGGGCAAUGAUUGUUCUGUUUAAUGUAGGGGCCAUACAACCUGUGGUACAGAAAUCUCGGACUGUUUGAAUGACGGUUGCUUUGAUAACAUGCCAGUGAUGCCGAUAGAAGAGGCCUGGAAGACCAUCAGGACCAGGAGCCUUUGAAGCUCCCAACUGGAAGGUAGCCUGGUAAAUCUCCUCCUCUGUUACCCUGCUCAUCAAAUGUGUAUUCAUUUCAGGAGUUACCACUGGUGGACAUUGGUCUAGGAAAGGCCUAAAAUCCCUGUAGCCCACAGAUCGGUAUAGCUGAGAGAAGAAUCCCUGAGUGAGUUCUUUUAGCUGUUCUGGUUCUCUGAUCCAUUGCUGGUGAGUAUCCACGAGCAUAGUAAUUCGAUUCCGUUGUCUCCUUUGCAUAGUGUAUGCAUGGAAGAACUUUGAGUUAUGAUCGCCCCACUUCAACCAUUGAAUACGAGAACGCAUAGCCCAAAACUGUUCAUCUCGAGUCCAUAGUUUCUGAAUUUCACAUCGUAUUGCAUUGGCGUACUCCUUAUCCCCUUCUUGAUAGGAUGUUCUAUUUAUAAUCAUCUGCAGUUGAGAUUGCAAGUGAUAGAUUCGUUGAUGACAAUUGCUGAACCGUGCUCUACUCCAUCUUGUUAAUUGCGUUGCAACUGCCUGUAAUUUGGACAUCAAUGAGGUACUACUAUUUUCCCAUGCCUGUUGAACCAUGUCUUUACACUCUUUAUCUUGGUUCCAAAAAGCUUCAUAUUGAAAAGUCUUUGCACGUUUGACAGAUGAUGGCCGAGCUUGCAGCAAGAUAGGACAAUGAUCCGAACCAACAGACGGAAGGGCAAAUGCUUCUGCAGAAGGGUAAGACGUCAGCCAUUCCAGUGAGCAAAAUACACGAUCCAGCCUCUCCUUUACUAGAGCAUGCCCUUCACGAUUAUUUGACCAGGUGAAUUCACAACCUUUACUUGGUAGUUCUAGUAAUGCACAAUCAUUGAUCACAUUCCGAAAGGAGGUCAUACGCGAAGUGAUUGCUGGUCGCUUGCCCAUUUUUUUCCCAGGGAGAAAGGAAAUCAUUGAAAUCACCUAUACACAGCCACGGUAAAUGAUUUGCAGCAUGAAUAACUCGGAUGGUAUUCUAGAAUUCCUGACGUAGCUGAUAUAUUGGAGGUGCGUGCAGGCAAGUGAUAUACAUGGAAGAGUUCGUCCUAGGAUCAAGUGCAACAAAAUCAACAAACUGAACAUCCGAGUGUACCAAAGUGACUUCGAAGUUAUCAUUCCAGAACAGAGCAAGACCACCCUUUAAACCAACAGGGUCCUUCACAAAAGAGUGAGAAAAUUUAAACCUACGCUGUAUCUUAGAUACGAAGUGUUUAUCUUUCUUCAUUUCCAUUAAAAACACAAAAUCGGGCUUAUCACAGGCUACCAUUGCCUUUAGGGCUUGAAUUGUCAGGGGAUUGCCCAGCCCCUGACAAUUCCAACUUAGGAGCUUCAUUUGGAACACGGUGGCUGUUGAGGGCCAGCCGCCAAAGCCCAAGGAUCAGGGAUAUCUUGUGACAUCCUGAAAUUCGACCCUAUUUCGAUAAAAUGAAAUGUGCAUUUCAUCGACGUGCCUAUGGUCCUUUUUCUCUGAGCUGAUCACUCACGAGUUAGCUAACCAAUUGGGUGAAGCCGUUAAGGGAUAUAACCGCGGUAAAAUCCCUAAAAGCUACCUAAUUGGUUGGAUUGGACUAAAAUCGCGUCCGGUCGAUUUUAAUCAUGAAAUUUAAUUCGGUUUUGGGAAUCGAAUAUUCGGACGUGUCACAAUUCAUUUUUAGGACCGUCUCAUCGUCUAUUAAUUUAUUGCCGAGUCCGAAAUUUCAAGAAAGAAAUUAUCGGAGGAAAAAUCGAAGGCCGGAAGAAAAUAAAAAAAAAAGGAAUGAGAAAAGAAAAAUAAUAGAAGUAAUAAGAAAAUUGUGUUUUCUUAUUAAAAUGUUAUUUUCUUUCCCUUUUUCUUUUCUCUCUUUCUUUUCUCUCUUUUUUCUCCCUCUUCUCUCUCCUCUCCCCUCCCCCUCGUGCGAAUCCACUCCCCACCGAUUACUCCCUGCUGUCUUCCACUCUACUUCUCUUUUAUUUUACUUUUUGACCAGUCAAACCUGAUCUUUCUCUCAUCUCUCUCUCUGGACUCUCUCUCUCCUUCUCCCCUUCACGCGUUCAAGCGAGCAAGACCAGAAGCGGAAGAAGAGAAGAAGGCAGCAGCUCGACGAAGCCACCGCCGCUCGUCCCGCGCCCCCGAGUCCGUCGCUCGCCGCCGUGCACCGCCUGCCCUCUCCUCCACCCAGGCGCUCCUCUUCCGCGCGAGUCAGCCCCGUUCGGCCUCUGCUCACCCCUGCUCCGCCUCUGUCCAGCUCGAUCCGGCCACCUCCGGCCACCGCCCAGCCCCGCCGGACCUCCCCCGUGUCCCCCUCACCCUCCGCCUCCGCCGACUUCCCCUCGCCGCCCUAGCUGCCGGACGAGCUUCGUCCAGCCAAGAACAGUGACUGGAAAAAUGGGUUUCCAGCACUGUUCAAGGCCGUUUUGGGCCGUUUCCGGGCCCCGAACCCGAGGCCCGCUUUGGAGUUUGUCGUUCCUCGUGUCACCGCCGUCGGAUUGAUCCAAUUUGCGCGCGAUUUGGUGAGUAAUCUCACUAAUCCCGGAUUAGUUGGCUAAUUAUGCUUAAGGUUGGUUUAGAUUUAAUUAAUUAUGUUUAGGUUGUUAGAUUAGAAUAAAUUAGCAAUUAUUAGUCAAUUGUGAUGUGAUUUAGAUAAAUUGAUUGUGCAAUUAGCUCGUAGACGUGGUCUACUAAUUAUCGGAAGUGCCUCGGGAUUUUUCCCGACCCUUAGUGGGAUCCAAUUAGGCUUUUCGGGCCUAAGUGGAUUUUUUUGUAUUUAAAUAUUAAUUUUCGGAAUUAAAUUAAAUAAUUAUUUAUUUUUCGAAAAUUCAAGGGAGAUGGUUCGGAACCAGAAUAUUAUGUGGAUGACUGUGGUGAAGUCCGUUUAUUUAAUCGGGCUUUAUUCUGAGCUAAAUUGAAUUUUUAAUAUUAAUUAUUUAAUUUUCGAAAUUAAUUAUUUAUUUAUUUUUCGGAAAUUAAGAUUUUGAUGGCCGACGACCGAAAUCUCGUGCUGAUUGUCGUGGCGCAGUCCGUUUAUUUAUUUGAGCUCUACGUUGUAUGAAAUUAAAUAAAUUGUGAUAUUUUAGGGAUUUACCCUAAAUUGAUUGAAUUUGAGUGAAAUUGAAUUAUUGAUUGAUAGAUGGCCGAGUAUGGCUAGUUAGCUAUUGUAAUGCCUUGUUGAGCUGUAAGUGGAGAGAGCGAUGAGAGCUAACUGAGAAAUCUAUUGGCUGAGAUCGAUCAAGUACGAAGUAUAGACNNNNNNNNNNNNNNNNNNNNNNNNNNNNNNNNNNNNNNNNNNNNNNNNNNNNNNNNNNNNNNNNNNNNNNNNNNNNNNNNNNNNNNNNNNNNNNNNNNNNNNNNNNNNNNNNNNNNNNNNNNNNNNNNNNNNNNNNNNNNNNNNNNNNNNNNNNNNNNNNNNNNNNNNNNNNNNNNNNNNNNNNNNNNNNNNNNNNNNNNNNNNNNNNNNNNNNNNNNNNNNNNNNNNNNNNNNNNNNNNNNNNNNNNNNNNNNNNNNNNNNNNNNNNNNNNNNNNNNNNNNNNNNNNNNNNNNNNNNNNNNNNNNNNNNNNNNNNNNNNNNNNNNNNNNNNNNNNNNNNNNNNNNNNNNNNNNNNGAGAGCAUUCAUCCGGCUCUGUGACUGAGUACUCGAAUGGAGAUUAUAAAGUAUGGUGUUGAUGUGACCGAGAGGUGGUCCGAAUGACAUGUAAUCAACUAGGUCAAUUGAUCAUUGUUUUGAUCUAAUGUUGUGAAUUGAUUGAUUGAAUGGGAAUGACCGUGAGUGGUCUUGUUGGCGUGUAAUCGACUAGGUCGAUUCGAUCGAUGCUUUGAUCGGUGAUAUGAUUGCUUGGGUGCCUAUUAUGAAUUGUACUGACUUGCAGGUGGGAUCUGAUGCCAAGGUACGUCUUCUGCCCUGUGCGUGUAUAAGCAGCCUGUAGUAUAGUGGUUUACUAAUCGGGCUUAGUGGGGUAGAACUCGCUGAGACGUAGUCUCAUCCCAGUUUGGGGAAAACAUUUCAGGACCCGAUAAGGAGCUGAGAAGGAGAAAUCUGGGAAGGAGAUUUUGGAGGUGAAACUUGAAGGGAAGGAUUUUGAAAGAAGAAGAUAAUACCAAGAUGGGCCUUGAGUAUGGCCUGGAUGGAUUGAGAUCCUAUCUUCUUUUGAUAUCUCCAUUUUUUAUGUGAAUAGUUAUGAAGUGAUUUGUGUUUUGUAUAAAAGUUUGGUUAUAAAUUUCAAUAUGAAAAAUAUGGCCCUGCUUUUCUAUCCCAUCGUUUUAUUGUCUGGGGAUUUUAACUGCUUCCGCAUGUGCUUAAUAAAUGAAAGGGUCGGCGAUACAUUGUCCUGGGAUAUCGCAUUAUAAAAUCGACCAAGUGAGAAGGAUGUGUGCGUGCCCGAGGAUCGAGGCGUGACAUAUCUGCCUCCACAACCGGAGUAUCAAGAAGGAGGGACUCAUCAAGAGCUGUUGAGUAUGGAAUUUUGAUUUCAUAUGGUGUGAAUCUUUUUGUUUUCUUACUGGAACCCCCAUGUGGCAUUGGCCGAGGAAUCUUCGGCCUCUUCUGCUGUUGUGUAUCCACUGGAAGAGCCUGAGUGUUUUUCAUCUUUGCUGCUGCAGGUACUAAAUCAGUAGUGAUAGCAGUUGAAGUAACCGGAUGCAGUUGCUUGGAAGUCCCUUGAGGUAAUACAAGGUUCGAAGUAACAACCUCUGUAGCAGGGAUAGGAGGGAGAGCUAGGAGGGCAGGCUGCAUUUGAGGAGGAGUUUCAAGUACUGUCUCUUCCAUUGACUCAACUUUAGGAUGAUAAAAAGCAUCCCAGUAAGGACUAAAUUGUUUAAGCUCUACUCUGAGCCAAGGUCCGUAGAUCAUCGUGUCACGGCCAUCAAAUUGUGUUUCAACAUAUGGAAACUCUGGACAGGAAGUUGCAUAGUGACCAAGCCGUCCACAUGAGUAACAAUAAUGGGACAGUCUCUCAUACCUAAAAUCAAUCCAUAAGGUUUUGCCUUCAAUACUGAUAAGUUUACCAUUUUUCAGAGGUUCUUUCAAACCUAACUCAAUCCGUAUUCUUGCAGAAAUAUCAGUUUUCACCUCCAGUACUUUACCUAUCUGGGAUGCAGCUCGACGCAGAAUAGUUGGAGAAGUCCACUCCAAAGGUAAGCCAAUAACAUGCACCCAAAACAUACAUUUGCCAAAAUCAUAAUGUUGCAAGGGAGUAUGAGGUUGCCAUGGUCGUAGGUUAACUAAGUGACCAGAAAAUAACCAAGGGCUACCAUCCAGAAUGCGACGUUUUUCCACUUUAGUUCUAAAUUUGAUUAUAUAUAGCCCUGUAUCUGCGGAAGUAAUGUCUACAUGAUCCACUCUCCAGGCUUUCUUCAUCGCAACUUGAAAGGCGGAUAAAUUCACAGAAGGAUUGGUAAAUAUAUUGCCUACCAGAAUGAGGCGACAAUCCUUUAGUUUGGCCGAUGCAGGGAUGUCAUCCCAAACCUCCAACUCUUGUUCUGAGCAUAAACGUCCCAGGCGAUUGCAUAGGGAAGCAAUUCGUGAGGUAUUAUCACUGUCUUCCAUUAGUAAAGUAAACAGAAAUACAUUAAUAUGGAGAAUUUAAAGAGCAGAUGACUGAAACUAAGAGUUGCCAAGAUUGCAUGUUACAGAUCGGCAACAUGCAGAGCAGGAAUGGCGGGGAAUUGCAAGAGAACAGAAGAACAGCGGAACCAGGGAACGGUGAUAGUUGAAAGGGAUAGAAGAAUUUGCACAUGCAGAAGGAUGAAAUACGAGGAAAAGCAGUUAAGGUGAAAUGGGCGGAGAAAGACGGUGAUGCAGAAAGACCUCAAAGAUCAGAGAAGGAACUGAGGAAAUCGAAGACAUGGUGAAAAAGCUCGAACAUCACGCGAGAGAAAACUCUAACAUAGUUGAGAGAGAGAAAAUCCCCUUCUAACAUUGUUCUCUAGUCUUCAACCACCUGUCAUUUAAUUAUACUGAAUGUUGUGCCGCAUGCGUCCCACGUGACUUGGUAAUAUUGGGCUUUAAAUUUUCCACGGGGAGGACUUGUCCCGGUCUCCGUGCACGUCCAAAGGUCUGAUCUUCGGCGACAUUGCUUCGUUUCCCAUAAACUCACCUUCGAUUUCUAGGUUACUUUCAAGAGAGAGAGAGGGCACGCACCCAAGAAGAGCACACAGACAUGGCAGAAGGUGGAAGAUAUGACAUCUCGAAUUUCAAUACUGUUUUACAUCGAAUAAAUCGAGCAUUUCAUCGAUGUGCCUAUAGGGCUGUUCUCAGAGGCGAUCACUCUCGACCGUGCUCAUCUUUAGAGGAAUUUUAAAUGAAAUAGACUUGAGAAUUCAACCAAGAAUUGGCUAAUCGACCGUGCUCAUCUUUAGAGGCCAUUACGGCACAAUUAAAAAUCGAUCAGAGAUCAGAAAUAGGUCGAUUUGAUUGAAAUAUGUGGCUAAACAUAGGUGACUCCACUAAAUUGGAAAAUUAUUGUCGGCCAGCACUAAACUGAAUUUUCUAUCGUUUUAGUACCAUGUGUCCCUAUUUGAAUCAUUGAGAUUUUCACGACAACCAAGAGUUACUAACGUGUCAAGUGGGUUCAUUGUGGCUCAAAGAAAAUCGACUACGGGUCAUUUGCACUAAAAAUUUCUGAAAGCUACCCAGUAACCUAAGUCAUGCUAAAAACACGCCAGAGUGAAAUUAAUCGCAAAUUUGAGUCCGAUUUCAAAAAUUGAAAGUUCUAUCAUGUCACAAGUCAUUUUAGGAACGUUGACUCAAUCUCAGAAGAUUUUUCUACAACCCGAGACUUUUUGGGAAAAAGUCGCCCUAGAGCCGUUUUUGUCCAGAAAAUGUCGGGGAUCGUUUUUUAUCGCAAAAUUAGGAAGCAAGUGGGAUCAAUUAGUGGGGAAAAAUACCAAUUGGAUUAAUGAGGUGUCAAUUGAAUUUAUUGAGAUCGAUUGUGUUGAAUUGAGCAAGAAUAAGUGUCCAAUUGAAGAGGAAAUCAAGCAAAUUCGUAUGCCCCCCACCACCAUGACUUUUGGACUCUCUCAAGCUUCUAGAUGGGGGAAAUCAAGUAUGGAAAAUGCUGGCGGAAGACAGCAAAUGCAAGAGGAUAGGGUCAAGGGAAUUACUUGUGAGAAAAUAAGGCCAAGUGCCCCCCCCCCCCAACCCCAUCUUGUUCCCCUCUCCUCUAGCUGCCAUCGACCAACCCUCCUCCUUCUUCAUUGUGCUUUGAAGACUUCCAAAUCAGCAUAGAGAAGUCGCCGAAGCCAGCCCCCGUCACCGAACCGCCUUCGCUCGUCGCACACCAUAGCCGGAGUCGCCACCGUUGCUCGGUGUCGCCUCUUCCUGCUCGCGACGUCUUCGCUGCUCUGGCGUCUAGCUUGCUGUCUCAGCCCAUGCCAAAGCUNNNNNNNNNNNNNNNNNNNNNNNNNNNNNNNNNNNNNNNNNNNNNNNNNNNNNNNNNNNNNNNNNNNNNNNNNNNNNNNNNNNNNNNNNNNNNNNNNNNNNNNNNNNNNNNNNNNNNNNNNNNNNNNNNNNNNNNNNNNNNNNNNNNNNNNNNNNNNNNNNNNNNNNNNNNNNNNNNNNNNNNNNNNNNNNNNNNNNNNNNNNNNNNNNNNNNNNNNNNNNNNNNNNNNNNNNNNNNNNNNNNNNNNNNNNNNNNNNNNNNNNNNNNNNNNNNNNNNNNNNNNNNNNNNNNNNNNNNNNNNNNNNNNNNNNNNNNNNNNNNNNNNNNNNNNNNNNNNNNNNNNNNNNNNNNNNNNNNNNNNNNNNNNNNNNNNNNNNNNNNNNNNNNNNNNNNNNNNNNNNNNNNNNNNNNNNNNNNNNNNNNNNNNNNNNNNNNNNNNNNNNNNNNNNNNNNNNNNNNNNNNNNNNNNNNNNNNNNNNNNNNNNNNNNNNNNNNNNNNNNNNNNNNNNNNNNNNNNNNNNNNNNNNNNNNNNNNNNNNNNNNNNNNNNNNNNNNNNNNNNNNNNNNNNNNNNNNNNNNNNNNNNNNNNNNNNNNNNNNNNNNNNNNNNNNNNNNNNNNNNNNNNNNNNNNNNNNNNNNNNNNNNNNNNNNNNNNNNNNNNNNNNNNNNNNNNNNNNNNNNNNNNNNNNNNNNNNNNNNNNNNNNNNNNNNNNNNNNNNNNNNNNNNNNNNNNNNNNNNNNNNNNNNNNNNNNNNNNNNNNNNNNNNNNNNNNNNNNNNNNNNNNNNNNNNNNNNNNNNNNNNNNNNNNNNNNNNNNNNNNNNNNNNNNNNNNNNNNNNNNNNNNNNNNNNNNNNNNNNNNNNNNNNNNNNNNNNNNNNNNNNNNNNNNNNNNNNNNNNNNNNNNNNNNNNNNNNNNNNNNNNNNNNNNNNNNNNNNNNNNNNNNNNNNNNNNNNNNNNNNNNNNNNNNNNNNNNNNNNNNNNNNNNNNNNNNNNNNNNNNNNNNNNNNNNNNNNNNNNNNNNNNNNNNNNNNNNNNNNNNNNNNNNNNNNNNNNNNNNNNNNNNNNNNNNNNNNNNNNNNNNNNNNNNNNNNNNNNNNNNNNNNNNNNNNNNNNNNNNNNNNNNNNNNNNNNNNNNNNNNNNNNNNNNNNNNNNNNNNNNNNNNNNNNNNNNNNNNNNNNNNNNNNNNNNNNNNNNNNNNNNNNNNNNNNNNNNNNNNNNNNNNNNNNNNNNNNNNNNNNNNNNNNNNNNNNNNNNNNNNNNNNNNNNNNNNNNNNNNNNNNNNNNNNNNNNNNNNNNNNNNNNNNNNNNNNNNNNNNNNNNNNNNNNNNNNNNNNNNNNNNNNNNNNNNNNNNNNNNNNNNNNNNNNNNNNNNNNNNNNNNNNNNNNNNNNNNNNNNNNNNNNNNNNNNNNNNNNNNNNNNNNNNNNNNNNNNNNNNNNNNNNNNNNNNNNNNNNNNNNNNNNNNNNNNNNNNNNNNNNNNNNNNNNNNNNNNNNNNNNNNNNNNNNNNNNNNNNNNNNNNNNNNNNNNNNNNNNNNNNNNNNNNNNNNNNNNNNNNNNNNNNNNNNNNNNNNNNNNNNNNNNNNNNNNNNNNNNNNNNNNNNNNNNNNNNNNNNNNNNNNNNNNNNNNNNNNNNNNNNNNNNNNNNNNNNNNNNNNNNNNNNNNNNNNNNNNNNNNNNNNNNNNNNNNNNNNNNNNNNNNNNNNNNNNNNNNNNNNNNNNNNNNNNNNNNNNNNNNNNNNNNNNNNNNNNNNNNNNNNNNNNNNNNNNNNNNNNNNNNNNNNNNNNNNNNNNNNNNNNNNNNNNNNNNNNNNNNNNNNNNNNNNNNNNNNNNNNNNNNNNNNNNNNNNNNNNNNNNNNNNNNNNNNNNNNNNNNNNNNNNNNNNNNNNNNNNNNNNNNNNNNNNNNNNNNNNNNNNNNNNNNNNNNNNNNNNNNNNNNNNNNNNNNNNNNNNNNNNNNNNNNNNNNNNNNNNNNNNNNNNNNNNNNNNNNNNNNNNNNNNNNNNNNNNNNNNNNNNNNNNNNNNNNNNNNNNNNNNNNNNNNNNNNNNNNNNNNNNNNNNNNNNNNNNNNNNNNNNNNNNNNNNNNNNNNNNNNNNNNNNNNNNNNNNNNNNNNNNNNNNNNNNNNNNNNNNNNNNNNNNNNNNNNNNNNNNNNNNNNNNNNNNNNNNNNNNNNNNNNNNNNNNNNNNNNNNNNNNNNNNNNNNNNNNNNNNNNNNNNNNNNNNNNNNNNNNNNNNNNNNNNNNNNNNNNNNNNNNNNNNNNNNNNNNNNNNNNNNNNNNNNNNNNNNNNNNNNNNNNNNNNNNNNNNNNNNNNNNNNNNNNNNNNNNNNNNNNNNNNNNNNNNNNNNNNNNNNNNNNNNNNNNNNNNNNNNNNNNNNNNNNNNNNNNNNNNNNNNNNNNNNNNNNNNNNNNNNNNNNNNNNNNNNNNNNNNNNNNNNNNNNNNNNNNNNNNNNNNNNNNNNNNNNNNNNNNNNNNNNNNNNNNNNNNNNNNNNNNNNNNNNNNNNNNNNNNNNNNNNNNNNNNNNNNNNNNNNNNNNNNNNNNNNNNGAACAUAGCAGAAAUCGGUGGGUAUUCAGCACUGUUUUGGCCUGUUUUGAGGUUGUUCCGGAUCCUGAAAGCUAGGCUCGUUUUGGAGAGAAUUGAGCCCCGUUGCGUCCCUAACGUUUUGAACCGAUCGGAUCGCAAAACAAGUGAGUUUAACUCACUAAUCCUCACUUAGUAGGUUAAUGAUGCUUAAGGGUUGUUUAGUUUAGGCUAAGCUGGAUUAGGUGGUUAGUUAAAUUAUAUUAGUGAAUUUAAUGAAUUGUCAAUUUAUGCUAGGUAGAUAGUUAGUGUAAUUAGUGAGUAAAUAAACUCUAAUAUUUAUUUAACGAGACUCGGAAAUUUUCCGGGUUCGUUUCUGCGUCCUAUUAGGCAUUACAAGCCUAAGUUGGAUUUAUUGGCAUUUAUUUAUUAUUUUUCAUAUUUAUUUAUUUAUUUAUUUAUUUUCUAGAAAUUAGACCGGGAUAGCCAGUGACCGGAAUUUUGUGUUGAUUGCAAUUGUGCUCUCUAUUUAUUUAAUUGAGUACUUGAUUGUGCAAAUUGAUUGUGAUUAGUGUUUGUGGGUAUUUAAUUCCAAAAGUGGAUAAUUUUGGUAAUUAACAGGAAAAUUACCGAGUGUCGAUUUACAGCGCCAAAAAUAUAUUUAGAGACUACUGAAAAUAGUGAGAGGUUCAAAAGUGAAAACCUUGUAUUUUGGCUAAGGCCGGCCGUGUACCCACACACAUGUACUUUUAUAGGGUAUGAUAAAAAUAGUAAAUUGAUUGUACGAUUGAAAUAGUAUACUAUAAUGGCUCAAUGGCUUUAUAUGUCGUCUUGGAGAAAGAACGUUAUACAAUAUCGGCUCGGUGACUCUAUAUGUCAUCUUGGAGAAAAGAAAAUAUGCUAUAUCGGCUCGGUGACUCUAUAUAUCAUCUUAAAGAAAGAACGGUAUGCAAUACUGGCUUGAUGACUUGAUAUAUCAUCUUAGAGAAUGAACAGUAUGCUAUUUAUUAGCCUUUGGGGUAAGCUACUAUCUAUAUAUCACCUAUGGUGAGUAGUCUUGGAUUUUGAUCGGACUCAUAGAUAGUAUGGAAUGAGCUGACCAGGAGAAGGUCAUGAUGACAUGUAAUCGACUAGUUCGAUUGAUCGAUGAUUCGAUCUGAUUUGAUUAGGUGUUAUGAUUGUCAGUAUUUAUUGUUUUAACUGACUUGCAGGAAGGAACGGAAGCCAAGGUAAGUCCUCUGACGCCUGGUUGUGUUAAGGCAGCCCUUAUGGCGUAUUUGCUUCUUAAUCGGAUAUUAAGGGUAGAACUUGCUGAGACAUUAUUUCACUAGUUAUUGUAUAACCAUUUUCAGGUCCUUAGAUGGUGUUGGUAAAGAACCGGAAGCCUCGAAAUUUAGAAGGUGAAGCCCGAAGAAUCAACGAUCUUGUCCGACUAGUUAGUCGUAGGACAAUUCUCUUUUGUUGAGAGCUAAUCCCUUUUGUAAACAUUUGUGUAUAGACCUAUGUAUUUAUAAAAAUGUAUUUUAUGAAAAAUUGGUCAUACUUUUUUAUCCCAUUGUUUUAUUGUUUGGGGAUUAUUUAUAUGCCUCUGCAUUCGUAUAUUAAAUAAAUUGGUCGGCAAUACGUCCUGGGAUGUUACUAUUAAUCUACCGGUGAGGGAUGGGCACGUGCUCGAAAGAUCGGGGUGUGACAGAGGAGGCGAUAUUCGAUUCCUUUUUUCCAUAACCAGCUAGAAAUUGUUGGGGCGAGUGACAAAUGUAGAGAGGAGGAACCGGUUUUGGGGAGAGAGGGGUGAACACCAGAUCUUUCUACUAUGGGUCCUCUCUAUCCCAGGAGUUCACCUCCAUCAUGCCAACGUUCUUGAUUUUUUCCUCGUAUCGAGAGCAAUUGUAGAGCCAAAAAUCACACCCGUUGUUCUGGGAUUCAUUGGUGGAUACAGGGUAGAGGAUCGGCCGCAAUUUGAACUCCAUCGAGGCAUCACCGUUUGAACUCCGUCCACUAAGCAGACUGUAAGUAUCAUCGCCUCACCCUGCUACCGGUGAGGCUCGACUUGUUCUACCAAGCUUGGCCUAGCCAAGGACCAGUGAUGCUCUGGUGAGGUCACUAGCUCUCAUCUAGCUGGUCGUUGAUCAUCCCAAGGUCGGCAACUAGCCAUAGCUUGAAGAAGAAGAAGAAGGAAAAAAGAAGGGAAAAAAGUAAGAAAAAUAUUUUUAAAAAAUAAAAGAAAAUGAUUUGGAUUAGAAAUUUUAAGAACAGUAGCAAACACAAUUCUAUUUAAAAAAUCAUUUUUGAUCAGAAAUAGUUACCAAACACACCAUAAGCAAUCUUUCCAAAAAAUACCUUGGGUGGCGUUUCUUUUGGAAAAUAUGCUCCAUCUGGCCUUAGACUAAUCAUCUACACAAGACGGAAUGAAUUAAGCUACUUAGCUUAUUUGGUGCUUUUCUAAAAGGGACACAUAAUUGACAUUACAAAAGUGUGCGCAUGUAUGCAAGCAAUAUACGUUUAAUAGAUCUUAUAAAAUAUCACUAUUAUGAAGUACUAGAAUUAUUAAAUAAAGGGCAGAAAUUAUUGACAUGGUAUGAAGAAAUUGAAUACUUUUGUGUCAAAAGAUAAAAUUAUUUUAAGAUUUGAAUUUUUUUUAGUUUGUAAGUAGAAAAGAUUCAAAUUGAAUUACAAGAAAGAUAAAAAUAGAAUUAUGAAUUUAGGUCUUUGUCAAUUGAUAAUCGAGGUUUUUUUAGAAAGAACAAAAGUAAUCAUGAUCAGAUAGGACCUCUUUGAUUUAUAUAAAUAUUUAUAUUUAUUGAUUUCAUCCCGACACCUCCAGCAAUAUCAUGAUAAUGGAUAUUUUAUUUAGAAUUGUUACUUGAUUAAAGAGGAGAUGAUGUGGUUAUUUUCCUUUAACUCCUAAAAGGAAAAAUACUCGGCCCAGCCUAUUUAUUUUGGCUUAAAAGAGUAAAAAUCAACUUUUUCACUUUCUCAUCAAAUACUAAAGUAUUCUUUCAAAUAUUAAAAAAAUGAUGUAUAUAUUUACAUAUCAAUAUUUGUAUAACAUGAAAGUUUCAGAUGGUAAGAUUGAUUAAAAAAAAAAUUCAAAGUGCAUAUCACAAAGUUUGAAAAAAAAUAUUAAAAGAUAAAGUCAAUCCGAACAUAUCAAUUAGUUGAUUGAAAAAACACCAUUGGAUAUCUAACAACGUUACUUAACGUGAUUAUUUUGUUUAAGAGAAAAACCUACCUUUUCUCCGUCUUCUAGCCCUUGUUCAAGCAACUCUUACAUUCACCCUUUGACCAAAAGAACUCUGUUGUUUACCCUCUUUUUUUUAUUUACCCCCUUUAGGAAUCGAUUUUAUUGAGAAAGAAGCAACGCUUUGGGAAGCACACGAGAAGAUCCAAUGACUUCGUAAGACUCAAAAACACGUGGGGAUGGCAGGGAAACCGAAGAAAUAGGCUGUCAUAUAUGGUCGACUAUCAUUACUAAAUUCACCGCCCUUGCUCUGAUUAUUAUCAUAAUUUGUUACGUCUAGAAUUUUCUUCUCAAACACACCGCUGAGGAAACAAUUAUCAAGCUUAAAGAUUUAUAAUGCCUUAUUGAUGCAGCUAGUAUAAGCACCUAGAAGGGGGGUGAAUAGGUGUAAAAACAAUUUCUCGAGAUACCACAACAAUACUAAGCAGACAAUAGAAAGGAAGUACUCUUUUGCUUUUCCAAAAUGAAUUACGAUCAAGGUAUAGUAAAGAGUAGGGAAGAGAAGAUUAAACACAAGGUUUAUAGUGGUUCGACUUAUCCCAAGCCUAUGUCCACUCUUCCGCACUGACAACCUAUCGGCUAGAUUCCACUAUGAACAAAAUAGAUGAUAUAGCACAGUUCUUCCUUGAUUCCACGGUGUGGAUGUUCUAUCACAUUUCCUCAAGGUUUCUCACAAGUAUAAACUCUCUUUUGCGUACAAGUUUUUCGCUCAAAUGAAUUGACUAAACAACAAGAAGUUUCAGACUUUGGAAUUCUUCUAUCGCGCACACUCUGAACAACUUAAAACGUCUUCCUUAUAUACUCCUUUACACCAUCAUACCCGUUGGCACUUACCAAAGGAAUUCCUCCAAUCUACCCGUUGGACGGAAUCAAUUAGGAAGAUCAUUCGAGCUAUUAAAGGAAUAUAUCGAUAGCCCAUCAAUCAUGUUCACCCAUACAAUCAGGAUCUCGGUUUCCAUAAGUAGAACCUUCCACGAAUAUUUCGCCAAUCAUCAGAUCCUUGAUCAUCGAAUCAAUCUCGAUCAAUUAAAGGGAUUCCGUUAUGUCAUAUCCAGCCAAGAGAUUUUCUCCAGUCGAUAAGGUCAUAUCAUUAAUAAAACAUCCAGUUCUAGAUAGCCUUUCUUCAACGGAUUAGAACUGUCAAUGAGGAUAGACUUUGAAUCUUGAGUCUGGCUAUCCGGAGUUCUUCAGACUUUAAACAGCAGAGUCUGCAAACCUUCAGACUAGACUGAUGGAAACGUUUUGUCAGCUUCAAAACAUUUCAAGAAGAUUUCUCCAACAAUCUCCCCCUUUUUGAUGGUGACAAAACUUUCCUACAGAUUUAAUUAACUUUGACUUGCAAAACAUUUCUUAAACAAAUAUACAUAUCUUUAUAAAGAUAAAUGGCUAAAUGAAUAACACUAGAAUCUGCAACCACAGAAAGUAGGUUAGUCUUGAAUAUGAUAAAGACAUCCAUAAGAUAUCAAUAGCAAUCAAUAGCAGUCAAAUCCAAAUUCACAUCCAGACACAAAAUUAAAGUCAAACAUCAAUCCAAAUCAAACAAACCAAACGAUUAAAAAUUCAAAGUUUGAUUCAAAUCUUUCUCCCCCUUUUUGUCGGCAUUAAAAAGGUUGAGAAGAAAAUGGAAUAAAGUUAAGAAUGCUUGGGAACGCGGACAAGCUGGAAAUCUCCCAUAGACUAAUCGAUGCCUUCCAACAUUUUCAAGUCUUCCUUCAAUUGUGCAAUCUCCUCACCCUUAGCAUUGGCCUGAAUCUGAACAGAAAGGGCUUAGAUCUGAUCUUUCAAUGAAACUGAAGAAACUUGACCUGCAUUCUGCAAGCUUUGAACCUCACAUCCCAGAGCAUAUAUUUGACCGCACAUUUCCAAGAGAAUAUCCAUAAUUCUGCGAAAAUCUGCUGAGCUGUCGGUCUGCGUACUGGCUUCAGCACGAUCUGCAGAUGAUGGCAUAUCAGAAUAAUCGCGCAGAUUUGGCGAUGAAGCAUCAUGUUCUUCUUCAGGAAAAUGAGAGGCAUGAAUGGCUUCUGGGUCGGCUGGAGAGCGGCUGACUCCCUCAUUAUCUCCCCCUGUUUCAGUGCCUUCAGGUGGAGAAUAGUGUUUUUUAGGCUCUCCUUCCUCUUGAUUCAUUCUCUCUUCUUCUUCAUCUGCUUCUUUUUCGCCAAGUGCUUUUUCUUCUUCUUCUUUUUCAUCCAUUGCCUCCUCAGCAUCCUUUUCUUCUGCUUCUCUUUCCUCUGCUUCCUUCUCCUCUGCUUCUUUCUCUCCUCUUUCUUUCUCCUCUCUUUCUCGAGUCCUUUGUUCUGGAGCAGAACGGCUCAGAUGUUUCAACGCCAUUGCAGAGAUGGUGAUGUCUUCCUCAUCAUCUUCAUCUUCAAUGAUGAGAGCUCUCCUUUUCUUGGAUGGAGCAACCAUGGGCUCCUUUCCUUUUCUUUUUGAUGCAGAAGAGAUUUGAUGAGAUUUUACAAGAGUCUUCUCCUUAAAUUUCUCCAACGCCUUGCUUAGCUCCUUCAGACGCAUCUUGGUUACCAUUUUCAGUCCUAUCACCAUAUGAUCACACAAUCGAGCACAAAGAAUUUGUGGAGGCUGAAUGUUCAGAUGUCUGAAUAACUUCGUCACAAGACUUGGAUAAGGAAGUUGACCUCUGUCUUUCACCACUACUCUAUACAUGUGGAACAUAACAGUGUGAGGAAGAGAAAACUUUUUCCCAGUGAGAAUGGCAUACAUCAGCUUUGCCUCUGAACUUGAAACAUCAGUCUUGGAAGUUGAUUUCGGUCUGAGGCAAUUGAUCACAAUCUUAUGAAGCAGAAUGUUGAAUGCACUCAUCCUUAGGUAGGAAAUCUUUUCCUCUGUUCUCCUGUCCUUCACAAGUUCCAGUGUAGCACGAGCAAUAGAAACUUUGAUCGGUUGAUAUCUUCCUCUCUCAACUCCUAACACAUCUGCCAGCAUAUCCAUAUCCACUACAAAGUCUUGAUCUUUGACACUGAAAGAGAAUCUAUUCGCAUCCAGGAAACUGAGAUUCGAAUAGAAAUAAGCAGUUAAUUCGGCAUAAGCCUCUGUGGUGUCAGUGCAGAACUUUUCAAGUUGAAGAUAACCGAAAUUUUCCCUCAAGUUCACAUUCACAGCAUCCAGAAAAUCAAAAUCCACACUCCUAGGGUUUGUCACCCCCACGCUUCAGCAAUUUUAAGUAUAGAUCAUUCUGUUCUUUCGAUCUAAACAUCUCUCCUCUUUUUCCUCGAUUUUCCGCUGCAAUACCCAUCCUCGGUUGAAAUUAGUUGUACAUUUUGUCAUCAUCAUUCUCAUCUACAGGAUUAACUCCCCAAUCACGAGGAUCACUUGGGAUAUUCGCAAGGGUUUCUUCUGCCACCCCUUUACGAGCAAUUCCCAAACUUUCCAUUUUUCGCAAAAAGAUAUAUUCAUUCCCAUAUCCUUUGUCUUUAAGAAAAUCAUCAACAUAGUUCAAAGGAGUACAAGUCCCCUUUAAAGCACAAUACAGCUUAUAAAUAAAAGCGGGCUUUUGAGCUCUUACAGGAUUUGCGUCUUCAAUGAUAUCUUCUUCUUGUUGAUGUCCAACAUUUUGAGGACUAGAUGGUGGAGAAUGACGCUGCCGAGAAUGUUGUGGGCUCUGCUGCUGAUCUGGAGACACUUCUUAUUCGGUGAGAUCGAAGUGCGUAGGCCCCUCACUCAUUCGUCGUGGUCCCCUGCUUGCAAUCCUCGAAGACUUUCUUGAAGACGACAUCUUUCUCACUCUUUGAAAGAUUCCUUGCUUGACUUUCCCAAGUAAAAAUGACAACUUUUUCGAAGAUUAGGCAAGAGAAGAAAACAGGAAUGGAUGAUCGAUGCUUUCUAGGGUUUUUGAGAGUAAAGUGAAGAGGAAUCAACAGUGCACGAUCAGUUAAAAAGAGAGGUAUACGAAUCGUCACAAAGAAAAAUAAAAAGAUGCAUUUUCAAAAUAACUGUCUUUUUUCCGCGAAAAUAGUCAUUUCAAAAAAUAACUUCUUUUUCGAAAAGGAAACGUUGCAAUAAUUACAUCGAUUAAAUAUAGCAAUAAUUAAUCACAGUUUGACGAUCGUACCUUUUCAAUAUAUGAUUCGAGAGAAAGACUAAUUUACAGUCAAGGUCUUGUUUGCCUAAGUCUGAGAGUCUCUAGACUUUAACUUCUUCAAACCUCAAAAUGUUGAGUUUGGAGCGAAUAAUUUCAAAUUGAUUUUUCUCCAAAGGCUUUGUGAAUAUAUCCGCCAGUUGGUUCUUUGUAUCAACAUAUUGAAUCGAAACUUCUCCAUUUUGAACGUGAUAUCUAAUGAAGUGAUGUCGAAUCUCUAUAUGCUUUGCUCUUGAGUGAAGAAUUGGAUUUUUGGUAAGAUUGAUUGCACUGUUGUUGUCGCAGUUAAUCUUCGUGCAUGAAUCUUCAAUUCCAAAGUCUCUUAGCUGUUGUUUUAUCCAUAGAAUUUGUGAACAGCAACUUCCAAGAGCAACAUACUCUGCUUCUAUUGUAGAGAGAGCUACUAUACUCUGUUUUCUUGAAAACCAAAAUACUGUCCUGCCUCCAAGUAAUUGACAGGUACCCAAGAUGCUCUUUCUAUCAACUCUGCAACUGGCUAGAUCUGCGUUUGAGUAUCCAAGAAGAGUAAAGUCUCCUCUUUUAGGAUACCAUAGACCGAUGCUUGAAGUUGAAGCAAUGUAUUUAAUAAUACGCUUUGUAGCAUUUAAAUUAGAUUCUUUAGGGUCUGCUUGAAAUCUGGCACAAAUGCAAACACUAAACAAAAUGUCAGGUCUAGAAGCAGUAAGAUAAAGAAGUGAGCCAAUGAUACUCCUGUAUAGCUUCUGGUCGACUUUCUUUCCUUCUUCAUUUUUGUCUAUCUUCAAGGAACUUGACAUUGGUAUUUCAACCUUCUUGCAAUUGUUCAGACCAAACUUUUUGACGAGAUCAUUAGUAUAUUUUUCUUGAUGAAUAAAAGUUCAUUCCUUUAGUUGUUUCACUUGAAGCCCGAGAAAGAAGGUUAACUCACCCAUCAUGCUCAUUUCAAAUUCAUCCUGCAUAGUCUUAGAGAAUUUCUUGCACAGACUUUCAUUAGGAGAUCCGAAUAUAAUAUCAUCGACAUAUAUUUGAACUAGCACAAAACUUUUGCUUUCUCUUUUAAUAAACAAAGUAGUGUUUACUUUACCUUUCACAAAACCUUUUUGAAUUAAAAACUUACUCAGCCUGUCGUACCAAGCUCGAGGUGCUUGCUUUAAGCCAUAUAAGGUCUUUUUGAGUCUGAAUACUAAGUCUUGUUUCCUUGGGUCUUCAAAUCCAAGUGGUUGUUCCACAUAGACUUCCUCAUGGAUGAAUCCAUUUAGGAAGACACUUUUGACAUUCAUUUGAAAUAACCUGAAAUUUUUAUGACAAGCAAAUGCAAGUAAUAAACGAAUUGCUUCUAACCUUACUACUGGUGCGUAAGUCUCGUCAUAGUCUAUCCCUUCUUCUUGCGUGUAUCCCUUGGCUACGAGUCUUGCUUUGUUUCUCACGACCUUUCCUUUUUCGUCCAUCUUGUUUUUGAAAACCCAUUUAGCUCCAAUAACUGAUUUACCUUUCGGUUUUUGAGUCAAUUCCCAGACAUCAUUGAUACUGAAUUGCAUGAGUUCUUCUUGCAUGGCUUCAAUCCAGCUUUCAUCAGAUAAAAAUUCUUCUAUGCUUUUGGGUUCUAUUUCAGAAAUAAGAGCCACAGUACUAGACUCUUUGCGCUUUUUGGAUCUUGUGCGAAUUCCUUCAUUAAUGUCGCCAAUGAUAAGAUCUUUUGGAUGACUGAACUUAUGCUUCCAGUUGUUGGUUAGUUUGUCAGAAUGAUGAUCACUUCCUUCACUUGAAUCUUCAACGGUUACUUGCUGUUGGUCCUUCAAAGUCUGAGUUGCUUCUUGAGAUUUAGACUUUGUAGAGUCUGGAGCAGGUUUAGUCUCUUCAAGAUGAGUCUAAAUAAAUUCAUUUUGUAUAGAAUCCUGGAAUUUGAUAUUCAUUAAUUCUUCUAUAGUUUGAGUCUUUUUGUUGUAGACUCUGUACGCUUUGCUUGUGGUUAAGUAUCCAAGGAAGAUGCCUUCAUCUGACUUUUCUUCAAACUUACCAAUUUGAUCAUUUGCAUUUUUCAGUAUAAAACAUUUGCAUCCAAACACAUGAAAAUAUGAAACAAUAGGCUUCUUUUCUUUGAAUAAUUCAUAGGGGUUUUUUUUCUAGAAUAGGCCUUAGAAAAACUCUGUUGAUAAUAUAACAUGCUCUAAAAACUGCUUCGGCCCAAAAACGUGAGGAGAUGUUACUUUCAAUUAAAAGAGUUCUAGCCAUUUCUUGAAGCAAUCUAUUCUUUCUUUCCACAACUCCAUUUUGUUCUGGAGUAUAUGGAGAGGAGAACAAUGCUGAAAACCAGAUUCAUCACAAAAUCUUUGUAAAAUCUUGAUUUUCAAAUUCNNNNNNNNNNNNNNNNNNNNNNNNNNNNNNNNNNNNNNNNNNNNNNNNNNNNNNNNNNNNNNNNNNNNNNNNNNNNNNNNNNNNNNNNNNNNNNNNNNNNUUACUUGCUAGGAAAUACACCCAAGUAAAUCGUGAGUAGUCAUCACGAUUACUAGGCAAUAUUUCUACUCCAAUGCUCUAUGUUCUGGUUGGUCCAAAGAGAUCCAUAUGCAGAAGCUGUAGUACACGGUUAGUGGAAACUUGAUUUAUUAGUUUAAAGGAAUUUCUUACAUGUUUUCCCAAUAUGCAUGGUGUACAUAGGUCAGACUUUGAUAUGAUAAAUUAGGCAGACCACGAACAACUUUCUUUGUUGAAAUUUUGGCUAUUUGCUUCAUAUUGAUGUGCCCAAGCUUUCUGUGCCAUAAACUUACUUCUUCUUGGAUUGAAAUUAAACAUUGUGAUUCAUCUGGUUUCACAUCCAAGAAGUAGAUAUUUCCAUGUCUUCGUCCUAUAAAUGACUAAGUAGAGUCUUUACUGGUUCCUGAACAUAUAGCCUCUUGAAAAUAGAUUUUGAAACCGGUAUCACAUAAUUGACUGACACUGAACAGAUUGUAGUUGAGUCAUUCAACUAAAGAAACAUUGCUUAUUGUGAGGUUUCCAAUCUUCACAGUUCCAAAUCCCACAAUUUUUCCUUUGAUGUUUCCUCCAAAUGAGACUUUUCCACCAUUUACUUGAACAAGUUUUAUGAAGCAAUUUGAGUCUCCUGUCAUGUGUCUUGAGCAUCCACUAUCCAUAUACCAUUUUACCUUUUUCUUAAUAGUGACCUGCAUUUAAAAAAGAAACUCAAAUUUUCUUUGGUACCCAUCUUUUCUUGGGUCCAUUCGUGUUAGUAUGAUAUGUGGUUUUUGCCCAUACUUUAUUGAUAGGUUUCCAAACCAUAGGACAUUCUUUUUCAAAAUGAUCUGCACUAUUGCACUUUGAACAUCUGAGAGCAUUGCGACCUACUGGUUUUACAAAGGUCCUUUUAAAAUGAUUUUUAUAAGCAUCUCUUGAGGGUCUUUGUUUGAUUCUUUCAUUCACUUUAGGAAAAUCAAUUAAAUGAAUGGUUUCAGCAGUCAUUCCCAAACCAGAUUUAUUGAAAUAAGGUCUUUGAACAGAAAGUAUUUUUUCUAGUUUCUCAGAUCCUAUCGAAAUUUUUUGGAAAUAUUUGAGAUAUCAUUUUUCAAGAAUGCAUUUUUCUUUUNNNNNNNNNNNNNNNNNNNNNNNNNNNNNNNNNNNNNNNNNNNNNNNNNNNNNNNNNNNNNNNNNNNNNNNNNNNNNNNNNNNNNNNNNNNNNNNNNNNNNNNNNNNNNNNNNNNNNNNNNNNNNNNNNNNNNNNNUAAGACGAACCAAGCCAGAGACCCUACAUUAGAGAAACUUUAAUAGGGUUUUUGAAGUUACUUACCUCAAAUUCAUUGUCUAAAUCUGAGUCUAUCUUGGAGUUUGAAUCUGAAUCCGAUUGUACCAUCAGACAUAUGUUGGCAUAAUCAUCAUCACUUUCUUCACAUUCUGUAUCACUCCAGGUUUAUGCUUUAAGAGCCUUUCGAUACUUUUCAGCUUUUCCUUUCUUCUUCCUCAGAAGAGGACAGUUGGGUCUGAUGUGUCCCUUUUUCUUACAUUCAAAGCAGACUACAUCUUUGUUUGAUUCAUCAUCAUCAACAGACUUAGUCUGUUGCUUUUGAAAAUUUUGUUUCCUUGGAUUGAAUCUUCUUCCUUUUCUGUUCAGCUUUCUGAAUCUUCUUAUCAUGAGAGCAAGCUCCUCAUCGUCCAUAUCGUCUUCAGAAUCUGCAACAUCAGAAUCAUCAUUGGAUUUUAAUGCAAUGGAUUUCUUACCUUUAAGGUCUUCGUCUUCAUUGAUUCGUUCCACUUCAUAAGACUGAAGAGUUCCAACCAAUUCAUCAACAUAUAGAGGCAUGAUUCUUUGGGUUUCUCUAAUUGAGGUCUUUAUGUGAUUCCAAUCCUUGGAGAGUCCACGCAGUAGCUUGUUUACCUUCAUGGGAUCAGAAAUUGGUUGACCUUGAUUUUCAAGACCAUUCACGAUAUCUGUAAAACGACUAAACAUGUCAGUUAUAGAUUCUCCUGAUUUCAUUCUAAAGGCUUCGUAUUGACCGAGGAGAAUGUUGAUUCUGGUCUCCUUCACUCAAUCGGUUCCUUCAUAGGUAAUAUGUAAUCUAUCCCAGACUUCUUUAGCUGUAACACAAGAAGAUAUUCUGUUAUAUUCAGUAGGUGAUAAAGCACAAUAUAAAGAAUAAAUUGCUUUUGCAUCAAGAGCUUGUCUCUUGAUUAUCUCGUCCCGAGUCAUUUGGCUAGACUCCACAGUAUCUUUUCCUCUUUCUAAGACAGGUGCAGCUUUAAGAGUGAUUCCUUUUUCUACAACAUCCCAUUCCAGAGGAUCCUUUGAUCUUAGAAACGCCUUCAUUUUGUUUUUCCAUAUGCUGUAAUCCUUUCCAUCAAAGUAAGGUGGUCUGGUAUUGUUUUGCCCUUCUACCAGCCUUGGAGCCAACAUACUAGCCAUGGAUCUUUAACUCUGAAGUAAAACACUUCAAACAAAGUGAGUACACAGGCUCUGAUACCAAUUGAUGUAGCUAGUAUAAGCACCUAGAGGGGGGUGAAUAGGUGUAAAAACAAUUUCUCGAGAUACCACGGCAAUACUAAGCAGACGAUAGAAAGGAAGUACUCUUUUGCUUUUCCAAAAUGAAUUAAGAUCAAGGUAAAGUAAAGAGUAGGGAAGAGAAGAUUAAACACAAGGUUUAUAGUGGUUCGGCUUAUCCCAAGCCUACGUCCACUUUUCCGCACCGACAGCCUAUCGGCUGGAUUCCACUAUGAACAAAAGAGAUGAUACAGCACAAUUCUUCCUUGAUACCACAGUGUGGAUGUUCUAUCACACUUCCUCAAGGUUUCUCACAAGUAUAAACUCUAUUUUGCGUACAAGUUUUUCACUCAAAUGAAUUGACUAAACAAUAAGAAGCUUCAGACUUUGGAAUUCUUCUAUCGCGCACACUCUGAACAGCUUAGAACGUCUUCCUUAUAAACUCCUUUACACCAUCAUACCCGUCGGCACUUACCAAAGAAAUUCCUCCAAUCUACCCAUUGGACGGAAUCAAUUAGGAAGAUCAUUCAAGCUAUUAAAGGAACAUGUCGAUAGCCCAUCAAUCAUGUUCGCCCAUACAAUCAGGAUCUCGAUUUCCAUAAGUAGAACCUUCCACAAAUAUUUCGCCAAUCAUCGGAUCCUUGAUCAUCGAAUCAAUCUCGAUCAAUUAAAGGGAUUCCGUUAUGUCAUAUCCAGCCAAGAGAUCUUCUCCAGUCGAUAAGGUCAUAUCCUUAAUAAAACAUCCAGUUCUGGAUAGCCUUUCUUCAACGGAUUAGAACUAUCAAUGAGGAUAGACUUUGAAUCUUGAGUCUGGCUGUCCAGAGGUCUUCAAACUUUAAAUAGCAGAGUCUGCAAACCUUCAGACUAGACUGAUGGAAACGUUUUGUCAGCUUCAAAACAUUUCAAGAAGAUUUCUCCAACACUUAUUACAUACAUUUAACUAAAGAUUAGUCGAGAUAAAAUAUUAAAUACGUUAUACUAUGGUCAAAUAGAAAUGGUAACUUUAAGUCAUGGGUAAUCUUCAAAAUAACUUUUUAUAAAUUAUUGAAAUAGUUGGUACUAUAAAACAAACAAAUAACCGUUGGCAAGUGGAUUCAAGUAAGAGUUACUAAUCUUCUAGUAACUCUAAACAUGCAGAAAUAUCCGCAAACAAAUAUUGAUAAAGCUAAAACUAGAUGAUAACUCAAUCUGUAAAAAGUUGUUGAAUCACUUAAAUUAAUAUUAGUAAUUAGCUAUAAGAAUUGAUACUUUAAUACAAUCGUCAUUGUAGCAAAGAAAUAUUUGCAAGUCUUGGAACAAUUGCUAAUUUUGAAAUAAUCAAAUAAAAGUUGGUAAACGAUAAAAAAAAGUUNNNNNNNNNNNNNNNNNNNNNNNNNNNNNNNNNNNNNNNNNNNNNNNNNNNNNNNNNNNNNNNNNNNNNNNNNNNNNNNNNNNNNNNNNNNNNNNNNNNNNNNNNNNNNNNNNNNNNNNNNNNNNNNNNNNNNNNNNNNNNNNNNNNNNNNNNNNNNNNNNNNNNNNNNNNNNNNNNNNNNNNNNNNNNNNNNNNNNNNNNNNNNNNNNNNNNNNNNNNNNNNNNNNNNNNNNNNNNNNNNNNNNNNNNNNNNNNNNNNNNNNNNNNNNNNNNNNNNNNNNNNNNNNNNNNNNNNNNNNNNNNNNNNNNNNNNNNNNNNNNNNNNNNNNNNNNNNNNNNNNNNNNNNNNNNNNNNNNNNNNNNNNNNNNNNNNNNNNNNNNNNNNNNNNNNNNNNNNNNNNNNNNNNNNNNNNNNNNNNNNNNNNNNNNNNNNNNNNNNNNNNNNNNNNNNNNNNNNNNNNNNNNNNNNNNNNNNNNNNNNNNNNNNNNNNNNNNNNNNNNNNNNNNNNNNNNNNNNNNNNNNNNNNNNNNNNNNNNNNNNNNNNNNNNNNNNNNNNNNNNNNNNNNNNNNNNNNNNNNNNNNNNNNNNNNNNNNNNNNNNNNNNNNNNNNNNNNNNNNNNNNNNNNNNNNNNNNNNNNNNNNNNNNNNNNNNNNNNNNNNNNNNNNNNNNNNNNNNNNNNNNNNNNNNNNNNNNNNNNNNNNNNNNNNNNNNNNNNNNNNNNNNNNNNNNNNNNNNNNNNNNNNNNNNNNNNNNNNNNNNNNNNNNNNNNNNNNNNNNNNNNNNNNNNNNNNNNNNNNNNNNNNNNNNNNNNNNNNNNNNNNNNNNNNNNNNNNNNNNNNNNNNNNNNNNNNNNNNNNNNNNNNNNNNNNNNNNNNNNNNNNNNNNNNNNNNNNNNNNNNNNNNNNNNNNNNNNNNNNNNNNNNNNNNNNNNNNNNNNNNNNNNNNNNNNNNNNNNNNNNNNNNNNNNNNNNNNNNNNNNNNNNNNNNNNNNNNNNNNNNNNNNNNNNNNNNNGUAAGGUAAGGUAAAGUAAUGGUAAGGAUAUAAAUGAAUUUCAAUAAGGGUUAAGCUUACCCUUUUUUUUCGCCAUAAGGCACUAUGCGUGUUUUAUUUGGAAAGUAAUAAUUAUUUUCCGUCACAUGUGCAGAAUUUCUAUACUAGAAAACAGCCUGUAACUUCAUCAUGUCCGUUAAUAUAGCAAAUAUUUGGUCUAGGAGGGCACGCUUACAGCUGCGAGCUGUAAUCUUUUGUUUUCUGGGUUAUGUUUUGUUUUGUAGCUCUUAGUUGCAUUAAAUGCAAAUGUGUCCAUUCACCGCACAUUUAAUGGCCAUCUUAAUGCUGAUCUUUUUUCUCUCGAGCUGAGCAAUCCCAACAACAUUGAUCAUAUUAUAAAGUAGUGGGGUAAUACUUCAAUUGGGUCAGCUAGAGCUUUUUAGCUACGGAUAAGAGUCAUUUGAUUGAACAUGUUAGUCAAAGAUGCAACUGCAAUUUUGAUUAAGUUGGCAAUCUCUAUUUUGAUAUGAUAUAAUUAUACAGACAUUCGCCGUUUCCCACGAAUAACGACAUUGACGAACGCGAAGGCUGGAUUUCUUAAAUCAAACCCAGGGUGUAGUCUCAGCAUCUCCGGAACUUGCCCCCCUCACAUGCAAGUGUCAAAGGGCGUGGUAGGUUGGUCAACGGGGUCGCUUGUUUCUUGAAGGGGCGCUACACCACCAUUAAUCAUCAUGAAAUUACCAACAAAAUCGAUAGUACUACUUCAGAGAGAAUUUGGUGUAUAAAUUUCAGACCCUCAGGCUUUGACUUCCCAGAGGAAGGUUCCUGCAAUGGAGAGAGACGGAGGCUCGAGGAUUGAGUACGAGGUGUUCUUAAGCUUCAGAGGGGCUGAUAGUCGUGAAACAUUCACCGAUUGCCUCUACGAAGGCAUGAAAGGUGCUGGGAUUCGCGUCUUCAGGGAUGAUGACGAGCUCCAAGUCAGGCAAAGGAUCAAGGAAGAGCUCCCUCGGGCCAUCCAGAGCUCCAGGAUCUACAUGCCCAUCUUGUCAAGGAACUAUGCAUCCAGCAAAUGGUGCCUCGUCAAGCUCACUAAGAUGGUUACGAUGGCUUCAAAGUCGGACAGCACGAAAGAGAUUCUCCCCAUUUAUCUUCACGUGAAUUCGGAUGACGUCAAGCUCAAGACUCCGCUGUAUCACGACGCGUUCGUACAGCACGAGAGGAACUUUGGGGCAGACCAAGUGAAGGUGAGGCGUGACGCCCUCAUGGAGGUUGAAGAAAUAAAGCGAUGGAGCUUGAAAUCUUAUACAGGGUAAGGAAUUUCGUAGAGUAACCUUAUUUUCUCUUCAGAUCCAUUAUAUUUGAGAAAAUAGGAGAAUGUUCAGAAAAUAGGAGAGUGAUGAGUCUCCUGUUUCUGAAUUUUUUUUCAUCAUACGCUCUUCAAUUUCAUGUCUAGAGUGAAAUGAAUUGUCUCACGCAUCGGUGCAGCUAUGGCAAACUCAUUAAAGAGAUCGUCCAGGAGGUCCUGAUUAAGCUGAAUGCCAGAUAUAAGAAUGUGACUGAACAUUUAGUCGAAGAUCAUGUUCAGAUUGAUGCGAUAAUGAAGCUGCUGGAGGUUGACUACAGUGGCGUGCGUUUUGUGGGAGUCCAUGGAAUAGGUGGUAUUGGUAAGACAACACUUGCAAAAGUCAUUUACAACAAAUUAUAUUCUCGUUUUGACCACUACAGUUUCCUCGAAAAUGUCCAAGAGAUCUCCAGAAGAUCGGACGGUAUCAUCUACUUGCAGAAGCAACUGCUGUCAAGCAUUCUCCAUUCGACGUGCAGCAACAGUAUUUUUGUUCGUGACAAUGACCAAGGGAUUGGCAUGAUAAAGAAGGCACUUUGUGACAAGAAAAUCCUCAUUGUGCUCGAUGAUGUGGAAAAAAAGGAGCAGCUCGAAAAGCUUGUUGGGAAGAGCGAUUGGUUUGAAACGGAAGCAGGGUCAUUAUAACAACUAGGAACAUGAGCGUCCUGACCGACCGGACGGAAAGAUUAGAGGUCGACGCUGUCCCAAAUCGACAUGAAGGAAUCUUGACAUAUGAAGUCAAGGAAAUGGGAUUCAGUCAAGCGCUUCAGCUAUUCUUCCGACAUUCCUUUAGAAGAGACUUUCCUACAGAAGAUUACAAUAUCCUAUCAAGACAGAUCAUCUUGAUUUUAGGGAAGCUGCCUUUGGCUAUCGAGGUGAUAGGGUCAUCGCUUUCUGGCGUUUCCACUGACAAGGCCUUAUGGGAAGAGACGCUGAAGAAGUUACAGAAAGUUCCUCCGAAGGAAGUCCAAGAGACGUUGAUGAUAAGUUACGAGGGAUUAGAACCAACACAGCGGAGAGUUCUUUUGGACAUCGCGUGCUUUUUCAUCAAAGAAAAUAAUAAAUAUCCAAUUUUCAUGUGGAGUGAUUGUGAAUUCUAUCCUCAUGACGCAAUCAGAGUCCUCCUUCUUAGGUCCUUGAUAAAUAUUGGAGAUGAUAAUAAGUUCUCAAUGCAUGACCAAGUUAGGGAUCUUGGAAGGCACAUUGUCUACGAAGAGAAUUGCAGAUUUCCUGGCAAGCGUAGCGGGGUAUGGAAUCCUUAGGAGGCAUUGAACUUAUUGAGGACUAAACAGGUAUAACUUAACAUAAUGUAAUUUAGAGGCCAUUCUGCUAGUUAUUUCCAGGAAAUAGACAAACUUCACAAGUGGCUCACAGAGUUAACUUUUUCCUUUUUUGUAUUAUUUGUUUUCAUUCAUGCUUGAUCUCUAAUGGCAGGCAAGUGAAGAAAUAGAAGCACUGAGUCUGAGCUAUAAUGGUCAAAGUGAUGGUGGUGGCUAUACCUUCACUGAUGAAGAAUUACAGAGACUACGGAGUCUAAGUUUCCUCCGAGGGAAAGGGUUGAAUUUCUUCGGCAACUUCAAAGAUCACUGUGAGCUAAGAUGGCUUUCUUGGCAUGAGUGUCCUCCAAAUUUCACAGCGAUGAAUUUUUGCCUAGUUAAUGUGGUGGUGCUCGACCUUUCGAGGAGUAAAAUUACUGAAGACCGGACCGGGUGGAGUCAAAUCAAGGUAUUAAUGUCUCCCCAUAUUGUCUUUUGAUGCUUCUAAUUCUUGGAACACAAUGUUUUUUUUUCCUUCUUUAUAUAAUGUUUAUUUUUGGUGCAGAUGGCAAAAAAGUUAAAAGUUUUAGAUUUGAGAAGCUGCAAUUGCUUGAGAAGCACACCUGACUUGUCUAACUUCAUGUUUCUGGAGAUAUUGAUUCUUGCUUGGUGUUCCAAGUUAGUCACCAUAGAUCGCUCCACUAUUAACCUACAGAACUUGAGCACUCUGAAUAUGGAAGGAUGCAAUUCUCUUUAGGAAUUGCCAGAAGAAGUUGGUUCUCUAAAAUCUUUGACGGAGUUAAGCAUGCCCAAAUAUUCUCUGCCGUGCAAGCUUCCGAAGACAAUUAGCAAUUUGCAAUCUUUGUCAAGUUUGAGUAUAAAAUGGAAUGAGAGAAUAAGCAGACUCCCAUACUCUAUUGGAGUACUAGCGAAAAUCAAGCAUUUGUCUAUAGAAGGUUGCAAAGGGAUCAAGGAGCUUCCGCUGUCGCUUGGGGAAUUAGAAUCGAUGAUUGAGUUAGAUCUGUCAUUCUCAGGAGUAGUCAAUGUACCCGAUUCAAUCGCAAAUAUGAGGAAGCUCAAAUUCAUCAGGAUGGGAAACACCAAGAUAGAAAAGUUGCCUGACGCCAUUGGGCAAUUGGAGAUGCUUGAAGAGUUACAUUGCCCAGAGUGUCAGCACCUAUCUAGUGAAAUCCCCUGUAGCAUUGGGGAAUUGUCCCAUUUAAGGAUCUUGGACGUAUCGGGCACUCGCAUCUCUGGAUUGCCAGCCACAAUGAGUCAUCUCCCUUGUCUCAAACAACUUGAGUUGAAGGAGUGCCAUGAGCUUCAACGAUUGCCAGAGCUUCCCUCGAGCUUGACAAGCCUUACCCUUGAUGUUUAUUACUAUCAAAUCACUCCAGAGCUUACAAACCUAGUUAAUUUAGAACACUUGGACUUAUCGUUCCACAGGGAUUCUCAUGGGGGCACUGGCAAGUGGAAUGAACUUCUCUCACUUUGGAAAAACCUAAAAUCUAUCCACAGACUUCCAUCUAGCUUGUCAACCUUGAAACUUACUGAUAUCACGCUGCUGCCACAGUUUUCCAGCUUCAGGAACCUGUAAAAACUCUCCGUUUCUAGCUGCUCGAUGACGCAUUUUCCAGCUCUUGAACACCUGGAGAAUUUGAGGGAAUUGUCUGUAGAAAAAUGCACAUCUCUCGUGGGAAUGCCUGAUCUAUCAAAUUUGAAGAAUCUAGAAACCUUGCAUCUAUCCGACUUACAAGAACUGGUAGAAGUACAAGGUCUGGGGGAAUUGGAAUCUCUGGAGUCCUUAAAGAUUACGUGUUGUGGGUCGAUAGAAAUAUUGCCCAACCUAUUGAAGCUAGGAAAGCUGAAGCAUUUCGAUCUGGAAUGUUGUUCGGGGCUAAGAUGCGUUGAAGGCCUAAGUGGCUUACGACAUUUGACCCAUGUGACUGUUAAACAUUGUGAGUCCCUGCAAGGUUUGCCAGAUCUACCGAGAGGGACCAAGCUAGACACGGAUUGGGAAUCACCAGAAAUGUCAAACCCUUGUGUUUAUAUCAGCGGCUAGACCAAUCGGAGCCUUGGGAUACACUCAUACAGGAGAUCGGGACAGAGUCUGAAGAUAACACAACACAGCUCUUGCUAAGAGAUCUUUAGAUGGCAAUCUCUUGAGCCGGCAUUGUAACUGUUAUAUUCGGAAUUUUUUUUAGGAAAGGACAACAAGUUUACAGAACAGUGGAUAAUCCUAAGGCGUAAGGUGUGGGCAGAUUAAAAAUGGGUCAUAAGGUGUCCCGUCGUCUUCGUCCUUAGUAUUUAAUCAUAUUAUCACAAUAAAUAUAGUGGAAAUCAUGCGUUUUUGUGUAUGUUUCCCCUCCCAUGAUAAUCACAAAAUUCUGUACAAUAACAAUCUCGUGUUAGAUUGUUGAAUUGAUAGGAAUAUUGCAAUAUUAGAAUUUAUACCAAGACAUGAUUAGAAUUGUUUCCACAAAGAGUGCAUAAUUAAUAUUACAAAAGUGCACGCACAAUGCAUUUAUGCAAAAAAUCGACUAUUAAUUUUUUUACGGAAUUUCUCUAUUAUGAAUUAUUGGAAUUACUAUUUAAUGAAAAGAAUUUAUCGACACCAUGCGGAAAAUUGAACAUAAUACGAGAAAGAAAAUAAUAUUUCAAGAUUUGUACGGAAAGGAAAAUAUUAAGCUCAGAACCGGUUUGUACAAAAAAGCGAUAUCGAAGCACACGGAGAAGUUUGGCCCGAUGGAUUGAAGCGGUGGAGGAAGGCUCUUGUAGAGGAUGCCCAUGUAAAGGGAUGGGAUGUUUUAGGCAAAGGGGAUUUUUCCUGCAAUUUUCUCAUGGUCAAUAGUUGCAAACUACAUCUGUCUGGAAGAAACCGUGUGUCCAAAUUUUCAAACUUAAAGCACUGUGGCAUUACAUUAGAACAUAAUGGAAUCNNNNNNNNNNNNNNNNNNNNNNNNNNNNNNNNNNNNNNNNNNNNNNNNNNNNNNNNNNNNNNNNNNNNNNNNNNNNNNNNNNNNNNNNNNNNNNNNNNNNAAACCUACAAAAGGAAAUGAGGUGUGGGUGCCCGCAAAAAGCUAUGGCAAAUCCAAUCUGUACCCAAAAUAUAAUUUCGAGUUCAACUUAUUAUAAUGCCUAAUGUCCAUUUGUCAAAGUUGUUGAAAUAGCUGAAUUAUGCAUCCAUAAGUUCCUAGAGUCCUGUAGUCUAUCAUGUCUCUAACUGAAACGAUAUUUUCAUGCUUUGCUGCAGCCAUCGAGAAGAAAUUGACUCGAUUGUUGAACAGGUUUCCCGUAAGUUUAAUAAAAGACACAAGAGUGUCACUGAACAUUUGGUUGAAGAUAGUGCUCAGGUGAAAGCCAUAAUGAAAUUGUUGGAUGUUAGGUCUGAUGGUGUAUGUUUUGUUGGUAUCCAUGGCAUAGGUGGUAUUGGAAAAACAACUCUUGCCAAGGUUUUGCACAACAAAUUAUCUUUUCACUUUGAUGGCUCUAGUUUCCUUCCUGAUGUUCGAGUACGUUGGCAAUCUCCUGGUGGUUGUUUAGAAUUGCAAAAAGGGCUCUUAUCAGAUUAUGUCGGUUCUAAAAAAACUAACCGAAUUAAAGAUGUCAAUGACGGGAUCGAGAUGAUCAAAAGAGUGUUAGGUAAAAAAAAAGUACUCAUUGUUCUUGAUGAUCUAGACAAGAAGGAGCAACUCGAACAGCUAGCCGGAAAAUCUAAUUGGUUUGGUUCAGGCAGUAGGAUCAUCUUCACCACUAGAAACAAAGAAGUCUUGAUGACUCAAGUGGAAUUAUCCGGUGAAGAGGUCCUAAAUCAAACCAAAGGAAUUUUGGCUUAUGAAGUUCAACGGAUGGAAUUUAAUCAAGCAUUUCGGCUAUUUUGUAAGCACGCAUUCAGAAGAGUAUCUCCCAUAAAGGGAUAUGAUUGUCUUGCAGAGAAAAUUGUUCGUAGAGUGGAUAUGCUUCCUUUGGCUAUCGAGGUGAUCGGUUCAUCUCUUUAUUGCGAAGGCCAAAGCCUGGAGCAACAUUUUGAUAAAACAAAGCUAUGGAAAGACACGUUGGAACUGUUAGGUGAAGGUCUUGUUAAGAAAGUCCGAGAUGUAUUAAUUUUAAGUUAUGAAGGAUUGGAGGAUAAGCAAAAAGAAGUAUUUCUCGAUAUUGCUUGCUUUUUCACAAAUGAGGACCAAACAUAUCCAGUUCUCAUGUGGGAUGACUGUAAUUACCAUCCUACCAGAGCAAUUGGUGUCCUUCUCCUACGGUCCUUGAUUAAAAUUAGAGAUAAUAAGUUUAGGAUGCAUGAUCAAGUUCGAGAUCUGGGAAGACAAAUUGUCCUUGAAGAAUAUCCUUGAAAAUUUAGUAGGGUGUGGAUUCAUGAAGAUGUCAUAGAACUACUGGAGAGAAAAGAGGUAAAAUGGGACAGCAAGUCACAUAAUCUUUAUUUAAAAGGAGAUACUAGUCGAAUUUUUUCCUUUAUUUUAUAGUUAGCUUUGUUUAACUUUCCAUUUGUUCUGAAAGGGAGAUAGCUGUCUCUCUCUCAAACAUUUGGGUCAAAGGUCUAGUUUAUUGGUGGAGCGAGACCAAAUAGAUUGCCUAAUAGUUAGCUUUGUUUUUCAGUUUCUAUGGAAUGGAAAAUAGUUUUCUGAAAAUUCUGAAACAAUAAAGCACCCUUUCACGUGCUCUCCGGUUGGAGUUUUUAAAUUAUUUUCAAAGAGAAUUACAGUGAAAACAAAAAACUAUGAAGAUUGGAAUUGAUAUGAUAAUAAUAUUUCUUGAAAAAAAAAGGAAAUGGAGAAAUGAUUUAGAAUAUAUCUUCAAAUAGAAGCCGAAAAAUUUCGAGAAUGGUGUGAACGAAAACAUAGAAAUCUACUUGCUGGGAAAAGGCAUGGGCCACGGUAGGUUCCCUGUUGGAGAAAUUGUCUACCGUUGUUCAUAUGCUUCCUUUUCUAUAGCUCUGUUAAGAGUGUUACCUGCUGUGCACUCAAUUAAUCUUGAGUCUCUGUUGGCAGAGAAAUGAAGAUGUAGAAGCUAUAAGCCUGACUUCUAGUGGCAGCAGCCACAACUUCACAGAUGAAGAAUUAGCUGCUCUACCAAAACUACGGUUCCUUCGAGCAAAAGGCUCGGAUUUUUCUGGUGACUUUCAGAAUCUUCUAUUGAAGCUAAGAUGGCUUUCUUGGCAGACAUGGCAAAUAGCUUUCCAGGCAAAAAACUUUCACUUUGGAGGAUUGGUUGUGCUCAACCUUUCGGAUAGCAAUAUUGAAGACAGCUGGGAUGGGUGGAGCCAAAUGAAGGUAUGAUAUGCCUUACUCUAUUUUUUAUUUUUUUUGUCAUUACCUCAUUCGCGAUGAUGGAAGGAAGGAAGAUAUAUAUUUCACUUCUUUGUAUCAUUACCUCAUGUGAUUGAUUUAACGGUUGCAUGCUCUCCCCUACUCAUCUGAGUGUAGAGUAUAUUUUGCAUAAGUAACAUUCAGUAUCUUUCUAUAUGUCAAAGUAAACACAAUUAUGUCCCACAUAAAAGUUGCUUAGGCUUUGUAAUUGGUAUGUUCUAGUAAAAGUGCCAUUUUUCUUCAACAUGCAUCAGAUAUAAUUUGAAUGAAUGUAAAGUUUGAGUCAAGUUCAAUAAUAAAAAAGUUAAUUGGAAUCAAGUAUGAGAUUGGUAUCACUCGACUUAAACAGCGUAAAAGAUCACGAGUCUAUUUGUUAUAUAACUAAGUUCAUGAUUUGAAUCAAGGCGAGCUUAAACUUCAUAAUACGUAAUUCAAGGGGCUCACAGCCUAAUUUAAUAGGUAAGUAUUUCUUUAUAAAUGAAUUAAUGAACUGUAAAAUAAAUGAAAAUGGCAUUACUUUUACUUCUUCUUCUUUUUUAUGUAACUUGAGUUAAUGAGCGAAGGCUCGAUGUUUUCCAUUGAAUCUAGUUAUAAACUAAAGUACCAAAUCUACCACCCACCUGGGUGGCAUUGCUGGCGGCGAGCUUCUCCCCCUAACGCAAGGGGAGGAGUUCGAUUCUCGGGCAUCGCAGUGAAUUUCCCGAUGGCACGUNNNNNNNNNNNNNNNNNNNNNNNNNNNNNNNNNNNNNNNNNNNNNNNNNNNNNNNNNNNNNNNNNNNNNNNNNNNNNNNNNNNNNNNNNNNNNNNNNNNNNNNNNNNNNNNNNNNNNNNNNNNNNNNNNNNNNNNNNNNNNNNNNNNNNNNNNNNNNNNNNNNNNNNNNNNNNNNNNNNNNNNNNNNNNNNNNNNNNNNNUUUCUAACAUUUAGUUUAAAGUCAAUUUACGGGCUACAAAAAUUGUCAAUUUCUAACAUUUAUUAUUCCCCCGUCAAAGGACCGCCUCACUGACAGUUGCUAUGAGUUCACCUCUUGCAAACCCUUCCCUCCAUCUCAGAUUCUUUCUAAAAAAUUUCAACUGAUAAUGGAUUGUCGAAUUAAGUUGAAGGUAGAAUACCAAAAUUAAUUUUUAAAUCCAUCACUUUUAUGUCCUGACUAUUAUAGGUUAUACAUUCACUUGGCAUAGAGAGUAAGAGAGAGUUGAGUUGGGGACACGGAGCAGAGGGGUUGAAUGCGGUGAUGUUGAAGAAUGUGGUCGCAAGUGGUGUGCUGGUAGCAAGCGGGGUUGUGUGUUGGUAUGUGGGACCUUGUGGGUGAUUUGGGAGGAAAUUAGAGUUUUCUGUGUGUUCAUGGCGAGGUUAUAGAGAUUUGUCUUUGACUUCUAGCAGGGGCCUAACUCCAAUUAAAAAAACUCAGGUUGGAGAUUAUCUGCAACAUCCCCAAAAAACUUGCGAUGUUCAAAUUACCCCAGCUUAUCUUAAAUUAUUGACUUAUGGAUAAUUGGCUUAUAAAUAACACUACAAUGUAUGCUGAUGUUUCUCGUUUAUUUUUUUACUUUAACUUUUUUCUGCAGAUGAAUAAGUUAAAGGUACUAGAUUUGACGGGUUGCAGGUUGUUAACAAGGACACCUGACUUCUCCAAGUUCACGUCUUUAGAGACGUUGAUUCUUGCUCGGUGUGUCAAGUUAACUACAAUUGAUGGCUCCAUUGGUGAGCUAAAACUCUUAAGAACUUUCAAUAUCAACGGAUGCAAGGUUCUUCGGAAGUUGCCUGCAAAAUUCGGUUCUCUACAAUCUUUGAUAGAGAUUAUCAUGCCCCAUCAUUAUCAACACUUCAAGCUUCCAAAGACAUUUGGCAAUUUGCAAUCUCUGUCAAGUUUUAUAUUAGACGAGCACCCUGGAAUCAAAAGACUUCCAAAAUCUAUAGGAAGAUUGGUGAAACUUAAACGUUUAUCUUUAUGCGGGUGUGUGGGCAUAAAGAAGCUUCCAAGCUCUAUUGGAGAAAUGAAAAUGUUGGCUGAGUUGGAUUUAUCAAAGUCGGGAAUAGUUAAAUUACCUGAUUCCAUCGGAUCUUUAAAGAAACUGAAAGUGAUCAAGAUGAGUUAUACAGUGAUAAGAAACUUUCCUCAAACUAUUGGAGACGUGAUAAAGCUUAAAGAAUUACAUGCCAAGAAAUGUUGGAAUUUGACAGAUGAAAACCUAAAGAAAAUUGGGAACCUAUCCAAUUUGAGGAUAUUGGACAUAUCAUAUACGGGUGUAACUAGUUUUCCUACAGUACUAGGUUGUCUCUCUCGUCUCGAAACACUUGAAAUGAGUUCAAGUCACCUACAAGAAGUACCAAAUCUUCCCUCAAGUUUGACACACCUUCACAUGCAAGCACCUCGCUUCCCAUCUAUCCCUAACCUCUCAAGCCUUGUCAAUUUAGAUUAUCUGGAAUUAUCUAUAUUAACUGGUUCAAUGGAGGAACCUGACAUAGCUCGGAUGAACAAUUCGUCGGAAGAGCAAUUGAUCCAUUUGCUUCCAUCUAGUUUGUCGACCUUGAAAUUAAGGGGCAUUCAUCUACUACCACCUUUUUCCAACCUAAAAAAAUUGUCGGAAAUGUCCAUAAUGGAACAUCCAAUGUCACGCUUCUCCAUCUCUGAAGACCUAAUACAUUUGAGAAUAUUGAAACUUAGAAAAUGUAAAUUGCUGGAGAAAAUACCUGGUCUGGCACUCUUGAAGAACCUAUGGUGCCUGGAUUUGAACAGAUUGGAAAGUCUGGUUGAGAUUCAUGAGUGUUGGAACUCAAAUCGUGGAGCACUUCCGUAUUGCCAUGUAAUGAGAUAGAAAGGUUACCCAACUUAUCAAAGUUAGAUAAGCUACGGCACAUUGAACUAGAAGCUUGUUUGAAGAUAAAAGAGAUCGAGGGUGUCAAGGACACAGGAAGCUUGAAGUUAGAUAGUCGUGGUUGCACUGUCCUGGAAAGGUUGCUGGAUGACCCAGGAUCAACUUGGCUUUCUCGCAGAAUACCUACUUAUGAUGUGUUCCUGAGUUUUAGGGGACUAGACACUCGUUAUGGCAUUGUCGAGAUCCUUUACAAGAACCUUGUUCAUAACAAAAUUCUGGUUUAUAGGGACGAUGAGGCGGUGAGCCAUGGCAGGGGAAUUAGCUGGGAGCUUCUACAAGCACUUGAUGACUCUCAUAUCUACAUACCCUUCUUAUCUGAAAACUAUGCUUCUAGUGAGUGGUGUCUCCGUGAACUAACCCGCAUGGUAGAACUCAAGAAGUCAAAUGGGAUAAGAAUCCUGCCCAUUUUCUAUGAAGUGGAGAAGGAAGAUGUUAAGCUUGAAAGCAAUUUAUACAGAGAUGCCCUAAGUAACCACAGGAGGAAGUACGGCGACAAAGUGGAGGAAUGGGAAAAGGCUCUUAAAUAUGUCGGGGACAUGGAUGGGUAUCACGCGACAACUAACAGGUAAUGCUGCUUUUUUAUUAAUUGCAUUUUACCUUCUAAAUCAUGAGCUAAUAAGUCAUUCAAUUCAACUUUACCACCAAAGAAUUUCAAAGUCACUGCAAUGCAAACUUUUGUUUAAAAAUAAUCAAGUACACUCGAGUAGAUUCUUAACACUCUCUUUGGAAGAGCUCUUUAGGUGGGUAAACAAAUCUGAGGUGAAGAAAACACAUUCUUUGUUGGUUGGAAGUAUUAAGAUACGGAGGGGAAGACAGUGUAGGGAUUUGAAAAAUGAUGAGAGAAAAAUGAAAAUUGGCAUGUUUACAUUGUAAGUUGGACUGCAUCUCAUUGAACAAUUACUAUAUCAUUCUUCACAAUUGUCGCUUUCUAUUACUUUUGAUGGUAUAUUGGGAAAUAAGGGAAGAAGUGUGACUUUCUCCCCUGCUUUCUUCACACCUCCGCGAGGAACAAAAUUUAUCCAUUUUCUCUUGCUCUUCCAAACAUUGGUUUUGCAUUCACAAUCAUUCCUUCCCCUAUAAUUCUUUCCACUCUGAAUCUUGCUUUCCAAACAGAGUGUUAGCGUUAAGUACUUACAACAUUGCAAUGGAUAGAAAAAAAAAAAACGGCACGCAAAAAGAAUGAAGAAGAUUUUGGUGAAGGGAGAAAAAGUGUGAUUUAUAUCAAUCUAGGAAAUUGAUUUAAAUUGUUACGAGAUGGGUAAAAGUUCAUCCAAGUUUACUGUUUGUUUGCACGAGCUUCCGUGGAACUUUUUCAUAAUAUUUAAGAUUAAAAUUUGUUACUGAGUGUAAUAACAUUAAUUAAAGGAGCUAUGAAAUUCUUAAUUCAAUUAUCUCCAUAACAGAACAUGAAAUGUACUGCAAAAGUGCUAGAUGGAAUAAAUGAGGUAUUUUCACCUCUGCAUUAGUCUAAUUUUAUUAAGAGAAUAAUUAAAAUUUAAAAAGUUAAAAUGAAAAAAAAUUAUUAAUAUGUAAGAAUGUUUAAAGAUGAUUUAAUAUGAUUAUUUUUCGAGAACAAAUGACAAAAUACAUUCCAAUCUUUUAAAUGAUUUUCAUUUUUAUCCCUACCUUUUAAACUUAUGAAAAAAAUGUCCAGCCUUUCGAAUUUGUUUCGAAUCUAUUACGAGUCUUUCGACACCAUUAAUAGGAGGGAAUGUUCCAUUAGAUUAUUUCCCGAAUUCUGACUUUGCCACUAAAAGAAAAAAGAUUAUCUUGACUUAUUAUUCCAAAGAGAAUAUAUUAGGAAAAAUAAUUUAACGUAUGUAUAACUCAAGGAAGAGUUAUUUCGCUCCAUAUCUGCCUUUUUUUGGUUUAUUCCAAGUAUUGUUGAAUUUUUUAGUAUGAAGAAAAAAAUAAAGAAAAAUGGGUUCUUCUAUAACGCAUAGUCACCUGUGCAAUGUUAUAAGUACCUAAAGCUAAAAAGGCCAAAAGGGCAUUCGAAAAUAAUUUCUUCUAUAAAAUAUAGUCUUCUCAAGAUUUUGCUUAGAACCCAUGCCUAAUUUUCUUAUCUCAGAAUUCAAGUUCUGUUGAGAGCGACAUAUCAUUUCAGUUGGUUGGAUGCAAUCUCACUGAUUCUAUCAAGAACAGCAACAUCACAUUGGUUUUGCGAAUUUUUAGGGCACCUUAAAUUCCUUCAUACUGAGCAAUGUCCGACCAAAUUCUAGCAUAGCUGUAAACCAAUAAGGUGUUGAUAUCCUUCUAUUGCGUGCCUGACCAAAAUAAACCUUUUCUUUCGUUGUGCAUUGCUGCAGCCUCGAAGGACUAAUUGAAUCGGUUACUGAAGAUGUUUUGAAAGAUCUGGAAGGUGCCGACAUAAGGAGACCUCAAGCAGUUGAAGACUAGUGGUUGUCGAUAGGAAUCUGCACGGAAAUAAGCAUCAAGGAAAAAAGAACAAAGAAAUGGAAUUCCAUUCCAAGUGACCGCACAUAUCAGCGAUGGGGAGAAUUUCCACCCCUCUAAGUGAAGGCAUACAUCGAGGGAGUUGACAGAAAACUUACGGGUAUUGCUUCCAUUUCGAUAUGACAACAUAUGUCAUUCAGUGAUUUAAACAUACAUAGAUUCAAAGUACUACAGUGCAGCCUUUGCAUCCAANNNNNNNNNNNNNNNNNNNNNNNNNNNNNNNNNNNNNNNNNNNNNNNNNNNNNNNNNNNNNNNNNNNNNNNNNNNNNNNNNNNNNNNNNNNNNNNNNNNNNNUGAAGGCCAAAUCCAAAAACACUGUAUGAACUUAUAUCUACAAGACAAAAGUAUCCCCACUUUCCAAAUGGCCCAAAAGGAUAUAUGAGUUACGGGAAAAUUACCAAAAAAUUUUUGAACUUAUUAUAAUUUUGUCAAUUCAGUUCCAAGUUUAUUUUUUUGAUCAAUUGAGUCAUAAACCUUUUGAAAUUGUGUCAGUUAAGUCCCUCCAGCCAAAAUUAGCCGACUGGCAUUGACGACAAUUUUUUAAUAAUAUUUUAUUUUUUCGAAUUAUUUUAUUAUUUUUUUAAUCUUUUUUCCUUUUUUUUUCUCCUCCUUCCUCUUUCCUCGUCCCUUCUCCUCUCUUCUUCUUCUUUUGGCUGGCUGUUCGCUAGAGCCAAAUGAAGAAGGAGGGAGGAGGGAGGAGAACAAAAGAUAAAAAAAAAAUUAAUAAAAUAAUUCAAAAAUAAAAUAUUAUUAAAAAAUUAUCGCCAUUGGCCACGUCAGUGCCAAUUUUGGCCGAAAUGACUGAAUUUGCAUAAUUUCAAAAGAUUUAGGACUCUAUUGACUAAAAACAUAAGUUUAUGACUAAAUUGGUGUAAUUAUAAUAGGUUUAGGAUUCUUUGGUAAUUUUCCCUAUAAAUCUUUACUUGAGGGAUGAAAAACCAACUUUUAAGUUUUCCAUCCAUUCAAGUUGAUGAAAUCUGACAACAAAAAAAAAAGUCGAUGAAUACGCUCGAAAUAGUCUCUUUGCAACAAUAAUUUUCGGUUUGGGGGCAAAACGAAUUCUAUUAACAACGGACUUUUUCAAUUUGGGGUUUGCUCUCUCUCUCUCUCUCUCUCUCUCUCUCUCUCUCUCUCUCUCUCUCUCUCUCGUUGAAACAGACGAGUCAUAAAUUCAGAAAUCUAAAAAACGACAUCUUUAUUCAUUGGCGAGAAACAACGUUGUUUUGUCUCGCUGACAUCACUAUUGUACUCACCCACACCAUUAGCCACGAUAAAUGCCACAUUAGCUUGCACGCACGAAAAAUUUGAUGGUGCAAAUUUUUGUAUAUAAGUAAUGGUCCGUGCAGUUUUUGGGGCCUUUGAAAAGUGAAGAUAUUUCUGUCCUCCAGAUUUAAGUUCAUGUCUUCUUUAUAAAAAAAAAAAAAAAUGCUGCAGUUAAAAUGUAAAGAAGAAGAAAAUGCUCAAAGAAAGAGGAGCACCUUUUUUCAUCAUAAGUUAAUUUAAUACCAUCAAUUUUGUUUUUAGAAUAGCCCUAAAAAUAUCUUAAAAGAAUAUGUCCCGAAUGCUCAAGAUCUUUCUUGGAACCUGCAUCUAAUAUUCCAAAUUAUUUUUUGUAGCGAUCAACAUGUUAUUGUAAUAUAGAUCCCUGGAUUUUACAUGUUGUCAACGAGAUUAUCUCCUCAAAUUUGGUAGGUGGAUCCAAUUUCAUUCAUUCUAUCAAGAAUAGCUACUUCGCAUUGGUUCCUGAAUUCUAGAGCAUCUUAAUUUCUUCUUGCAAGCAACAUUCGAUGAAAAUUUGGUGUAGCUGUAGAUUUUUUUUUUUUUUUUUUUUUUUGUAGCUGUAGAUUAAUGGGUGCUAAUACUUAAAUCUCUAGAGUCAUAAAACCAUUAAGUUUUCAUUUACAGAUGAUGUUCUCAAAAGUAGAAUUCUAUAGUUAAAUAUAUCCGGAGGAAUUUUGUGGUCGAACAAAAUUGCAUAGCCGUAUCUUUACCAUCUACUUUUUCAUUGUUUUGUUUCUUUUGUGUAGCGAGUUAAAGAUCUUCAAGUCGUUAUUUUUUGGGACAUCAGAUCAAUAAUUACAUUGUUAUUUUGAUAUCCUGUUACUUUCUGUCUGUCUGACUAAAAUGAACUAUCCUUCACCUGUGCAUCGUUGGUAGGUAUGGAGAACUAGUCAAGAAGGUUGUUAAAAGGUUCUAGGAGCAAGAGGAUUACUAGACGUUGACACUUGAAGCCAUCUUUUGUUUCUUUGUCAAAGUAAAAAAGGAUGGAUUGCUUUAUAGUUAAUAUUCCAUACAACUGCAUUCUCUUUCGAUUGCUUGGAGGAUCUAGAUAUUUCAUUUUGUCAUGAAAUUAGUUUACAGUUCUAAAGCUUUGGUGCACAAUUUACAAAAGGUUAGCAUAUCACCAUGAACGAGUGAGAGAUAGAGUUUGAACUCUCAUGCUUUAUUGUAGGGUUAGUGUCUAGGGAAGCCUUUGCAUGAACUUACAUAUAUGGAGACUUGGCAGCUAGCUUCGCUUGUCCGUCUCCAACGCCAUGAAAGGAUAAGUACGGUGAAAAAGAAACUUUCUUAUUAUUAAAUGGGAAAAGACCACCAAAAAUCCAAACUUUGUCAUGACAAAUUUACCUCAAACUUUUUUUUGUAACAUGAAGAAUCCUAAACUUUACAAACUGUGACAUAUUUACCCUAUUAAGGGUAUUUUCAUCUUAUUCUUUCUAUUUUUCUUUCUUCUUUUUUUUUCUUUUUUUCUUUCUUUUUCUCUCUUCCCUUCGUCAGAACUGACGGAGGGAAGCCGGCAUCCGAUGAGGGCUGGCCUCCCUGGCAUCGGCCUAGGCGAGGGCGACCCUCGCUCGACGCCGGCUAGGGUUGCCCUCGUCGGCAUUGGGCGAGGGCCUCCCUCACCAAAUCUAGCGAGGCCACCCUCACUCGACGCAACCGAGGGCACCCCUUGCCCAACACAGGAGAGGGCACCCCUCAUCGGGGUCGGGUGAGGCCCUCACCAGUGCCCUCGCCCGACCUGGCGAGGGCAACCCUAGCCAGCCCAAGUGAGGGCAGCCCUCGCCUGGUGCAGGUUUCCCUCUGCUGGCUCCGUCAUGGCCGGCGGAGGGUAGAAAGAAGAAGAAAAAAAUAAUGAAAAAAAAAGUUUUUAAAAGUAAAANNNNNNNNNNNNNNNNNNNNNNNNNNNNNNNNNNNNNNNNNNNNNNNNNNNNNNNNNNNNNNNNNNNNNNNNNNNNNNNNNNNNNNNNNNNNNNNNNNNNUUAAAUAGCACCCUUAUGAAUGAAUUUAAAAAACAAUCAAGGAGCCCGGAUCAAGUUGUAUUACAUGAUCCCUUGACUAUUUCAUUGCGUUAUGAAGAAGAUAUUAUAUGAAUUCUUAUCUGAUAAGAAUAUUUUAUAAAUUCUAAUCUAAUGAGAAGUAUCGUAAUCGCAUAAAGACCAUAUUUCUAGUAGCCAUGUUAAGAUAGCACAACUGAGACACAUUUAAGUGACUAUUAAUUCCCCGCACAACACGGCUAGUUUGCACGUUUGGGAAUACGUGAUGUCAUGACCUACCAUGUUCGUCCAAAGGGAAAAAGACAUAAGUUUAGAGGUAUUGUCUAAAAAAUUAAUCUACGGCCCUCAUUAUAGAUGUGGACUCUCCCAAACCCAUAUCUUGUGCAAUAUUAGGGUAUUUACAAUGAUGCUAUAAGAAUUUUCUAAUGAUAAGUCGCCACUAGCCUAUUGAGGUAAGUUACAAACCAAGUAUAGCAUGAGAGUAUACUUCAUUGCCUAUGCAACUAGAGAAUCUAAGGCCGAGGCCUUGAUUAUACUAAUUGAUCAACUAAUACCUUUUCAGUACUUAAUUUUGUUCAUUUAAAAAAAAAGUGUUUGUCAGGCAGUCUAUAUUGAUUUUUAGACCUAUCCACUAACACAUGAGGUGAUCAUGAGGUGAUCAUGCAGGUACGCAAAUAUUAAAGUAAUAAUUAGCAACCAAGAAAGUAUUAAAUAACUAAUGCUAAGAUAUAAGAAAAAUGCCAUUCCCAUUCCCAACUAAUUUAAAGGGAAAUCACGAUCAAUAUAUUGAAAGCACACCAUCAAUUGAUAAUUUGUCUCAAAGAGGGAAACAUUGGAGCCCUAUUGUAAAGACCUAAGAGUUUGUUCAAUUUUGAACUCGAUUUUUAUCAAUGAUUUUCCCACAUUUUAAAAGAAAACUACUCAAAAACUAAUUUUAAGUUUUUUUUCUGAUUUUAUAAAGAAUCUAUAUUCGAAAUUUUUUCAAAAAUAUAUAUUUUAAAUUUUAAAAAAAAAUAUUUUGUUUUUUAUGUAAUUUUUAUUCCGAAAAUAGGGAUUUGGGCAGGGCCCUCGGCCCGGUUCAAAUGUGGGUCGGGUAAGGACUCAUGGGUUUGGGUCAUGAACACUAAAAGCCUAAUUAAAGAAGUGGGCUCAAUGACUCCAACCCAUUCGGACAAGGGCCAUGAUCAAGCCCAAAUUCAUCAAAGGAAAACACUUAAGCUUACUUACACUAAGGGUCACUAUUAAGCAACUUCCAGCACGUCAAAAAAAGCCCCGCUCCGAAAUUAGCCCACUCUCUCCUUCCUAGACAUAAAAAUAACCUUAAACCCAAUAAACUAACCUAAGCCCAACAACAAAAUUCAGCCCGUACCUAACACAAGGCCCCCCACGCCUUGAGUCUACGAUGGACUCAUCUCAUCCCCUGAACAGCAGCUUCUCUCCCACGACCGAGCCUCCACCAAGCCCCACCGCCUAGACCAGCCGAGAAGCAUUAACGGCGCCCGGACCUCCACGUCCGACCACGCUUGGUGCUGGGCGAGUCACGACCGACAACCACGGCCGCCGCCGGAACCCUUUGUUCUAGCUGGCCCCCUCACGGUGGGGCCAACCUUGCUCCGAACAGCCAAACCGAGACCCACUCUAGGGUUUCGACACACCCCUACCGUCCGAAAGCCACGCCUCAGCAACACUUGCCCCCGUCGGCUCGAUCAAAGAAAGGGGCAGCGACGGCCACAGAUGAAACAACACGGCGAGAGCGAGUAUUUCCCACACAAACUUUCAAAUCUAGUUCAGGCAUUAUAUCAAACAAUUGGGGUACCUCAACCGCAGCUCGGCCCGUACCAUGACUCUCGACACGCGACGAAAAAAGAUAUCGGAAAAAAAACGAGGGGCGACGCCCGCCGGACCUCGCGGGAGCCGGACGGCGGGGAGCUCCGGUUAGGCGCGCCCAAACAGGCAAGAGCAGAGCUGAGCUUACCUGUUCGGCUUAAGGGCGUCGCUGGGAAGGUCGCCGGACGGGUCGGCGCGCGGCCGAGGCUCCCUCUCUCUUUGUCUCUCAGUCGCUCGGAUAUGUCACUCUCCGUUUGCCCUCUCUCCCCAUCCCGGUCUCAAGCUCUCCAAAGCCCCCCAAAAAUCCCCCCUUUCGACGCACGCCCCCUCUAUCCCUUUGAAGCAUCGGCUCGUGCGCGUGGCUUCUUAGUUCUUGCCUUGCCAGCUGCGAUUGCCAGCCUAGCCCCCCACCGGACGUCUCGCGCGACGCUUGUCUCCUCCGUGCCGUCCUUUUGUUCGCGUUCGUCGUUCUCGUUUCUGCAGAACGCGAGGGAAAUAGAGGCAGAGAAAGAGAAGGCUGGGCCGGUCUUGGGGUAAAUAAAGCAAAAGUGGGUCGGCCCAGGCGAAGAGAGAGAUAAAGGAAAGUAAAAAGGAAGAGGCUGGGCCGGCCUGCCCAUUUUUUCUUUAAAAAUUUCUGUUACUAUCAAUGAAAGUGAUCCUAAUGUCUAUAUACCGUGCAUUUAAUGUAAAUUAUUUUUGUUACCAGUUAAAAAUUAAUCCCUUUCGAUAAAAUUAAUGAAUGAUUAAACGGAUUGUCAAAAUUUAGGUGUCAACAUGUGAUCUGCCCUAUCUUUAAUCAAUCGGAAAUAUUAUCAAAAUCGCCAUCGUCGUGGUACUACAAAUCCAAUUAGUAUGUGAGGUACUAACACCAUUCCAAUUAUAAAUAUAGUUUCACUGCAUCUGUACAUCCCGUAAUACCUAGCAACCUUGGAAGUCCCAUUUGGAAUAAGAUGCAUAUAAAAAAUACAACGUUGUAAGCCAUUUUAUUUAAUCAAUAACCAGAACAAGCACAGAAACAAGUAUUCAGAAAAACAUAUCAUGCUAGACUCAGUAAUAGAAGGGACAAGGUUUGUCACACAUGACAAACGAAGCAAUAGUUUAAAAAGUUCAUAUUUACAGGCUGCACAGGUGAUUUAUGGAUAAAUUGAUUUUUUUUUUCUGAAUUGCAAACACGAUAUUAGAAUAUGAGAAUUUUUUGCAUAUUAUAUAUUUGUGUAUAAAAAAUUCGUAAAUCAAGACAAGCACACUGUAAUUGUAAAUAAUUCAGCACGAAAUACAAGGUGGAGAAGCCUCAUGCACUGCACGCAUGGACCAACUCGCAGCAGUGAGUGGGGCAGGCAAGUAAGAACAAAAGACAAAUGAAGCCAAGCCCACAAGAAUGGAGCCAUAAAACAAAGGAGUCCACCAUCACAUACUUAUGUCACGGGAAAUCGAUUAUAUACAUUCGCUUCUUUUCCUAUUCUGUGAUAAGCAUCUUAACUUUUUUCAGUUUGAGCAAUGUCGGACCAAAUUUCAGUGUAGAUGUAAACCAAUUAGGUUGUCAUUUUGAUAUUUUUUGUAUUGUGUGCCUAACGAAAACAGAUGUUUUCUUUUAUUGUGCAAAGCUAUAGACUCAAAGAAGUACUUGAGGUUACUGAAGAGAAUUCUAGACAUCUGAAAUAUGCCAAUGCAAUAAGUAGGAUUUGGAAAUACUUAAGCUGCUAUCAAAGACAAAAAGAAAUGGAAUUCCAUUCCAAGUAAUAUAUCUCUUCAUCUGUUUAGUAAGCGACUUAUUGUACGAGUGAAUGUUUAAUAGAGCCCAAAUUGUAAUUGUAUUUAAACUGCAAAGCUUAGUCAAAAGAUUAGUUAUGAAAAAUAUUAAGGUAAAAAGGAAAAUCGGGUCCAAGUUAGAAUGUUCAUAGAGCCUAGAUGGCAAUGGCCCGAAUUUUCGCUGGCGUGAAGAGAAACUAAAAACACGAUCUACACAAGAAUGGACUAGAACAGGGUGUGGGUGUAACUUGAAAAUACAAAAGACAGGAAAUUAUUUAAUAAAAAUCACAAAAUUUUGGGAGUGGGGCCAAAUCUUGCUAAAUGGAAAAAAAUCGCUUAAAGUUCUAUCAUAAAAGAAAAAGAAAAGAAAAGAAUCAUUUGAGAGGCCGAUAUCCACGAUUCUCUUCAUUUUCUGGAUAAAGCGUACGUUGUCCACAAAUAAUUGUGUGUUUGUGGUAUCUCUCUGUCAAACCUUCUGAUUAAAGGUCUCAAUAGUUUGUAGAGAGAGCCAAAUGAGAUUGACUGAUGGUUAGCUUAACGACCUAUGUGAAUCAUUUCUCAUAUGAAUUGGUUAUCUUGUUUCGAAAGGGUCGCCAUAACACUUGAAUUAGUAAAAGAUAACCAAUGUUCCUACACAACACUAUACAAGAUAACCAAUGUUCAAUUAUUAAAAAAUGGUGAAAAAUGUAUUUUGACACACUGGCCAAUAUUGGACUAAUGUAAAGGUUUCAGAUCUAAGAUUGGGAAACCAAGAUGUGUAUUGGCAUAUUUUAGAGAGAAAAAAAAAAAGAAAGUCAAUCUGAACAAACUAAUUUUUUUCUGUGCAAAAUUUGAACAGACUACUUAGUUGACUUAAAAAACACUAUUCAAUAUCCAAUCACUUUACUUAACGUUAUUGUCUGGCUGUAAAGAAAAAUCCCCCACCUUCUCUGUCUUCUAGCUCAUGUACUUUUUUUGGCAUGUAACAGUGAAAAGCGUGAAUAUAUUGGAAGGAAAAAAAAAACUCAAAUUAUUUUCCAUUUACUUAAACUACCCAAUGUCCUUCCAAAGCCGUUUUUUUUUUUUGAACAGAAACCCUCAUAGCAUUAAGAGGAAUAACCCAUACAGCCUGUGGCUAGUGCAUCCGCGCAUAACAAGUUCAAGAGAGCAGGGGGGAAUUAAGGGCCAAAUUACAAUUCAAGGAGGUACGAUUAUGGGCCUUGCAAGCCCAGUCAGCGACUGAAUUCGCUUCUCUUCGGCAGAACCCUAGCGUGAGAUUGAGAAAUAGGGUUAGGAGGAAGGUAGCCUCAGCGAAUAGAGAGCGAUCCGUCCAUGGCGGCUAUGAGCGGCUGUUCAAAGUUUCCACCAGAGUGAGGUUGUCUGAUUCAACGAUGAUUGUUGCAGUUUGAAGCCCUUGAUGCAGAAGAUGGCGAAGCGAGAAUGAUAAAGCUUGGAUCUCAACUUGAAGAGCAGAGAUGGCCACUACCCCUAAGGAAAAACCAUCGGUAAGCUAGCCUUGAUGAUCCCUACAAAUACAAGCUAUCAUUCCCUUGUUACUGCCCUGAUGAAAUGAUCCAUCUAUGUUAACUUUCAAUACCCGGAGAUCUGGGGGACGCCAUAGAUGGGAUCUGUUUGUGACCAAACUAUUUUGAUGCAGAUUUGAGGCUGAAGAUAAUCGAUCUGCUUGAGCGCAAGUCAGUGCUGCUUCUACAACCUAAGAUGGAUUAGGAUAAGUACCUCGAAAGACGAAGGCAUUCCGAUCGCGCCAGAUCUGCCACAGAAUAUGAGAAAAAAAGGCCAGUCGAGGUAAUCGAUUUUCUGUCCCAAUCGUGGAAGCGAUCCAUGAAUCCAGACGAUGGGUGUUAAUGGGAAAGAUUGAAACCCGGAUCUGGGAAUGAUUCCACACCUAUUGAGUCCACGAGCAGAGUAAGAGUAAAUGCUCUAAAGUUUCUGGAGUCUUUCUUUUACACAAUGUGCAGCAAGGACUGUCUAAUAUGUGUCAUCGAUACAGGUUUUCUCUCGUCGCCAAGGCAUUAUUGCAGAUGGACCAGAGGAAUACUCGGAUUUUGGGUGCAGCAGGCAUUUUCCAGAUAGAGCGCCAUAACCAGGUAGGAAUUUGGUGUGAUGAUGAUGCAUUUGAAGUUGAGAUACCUCAUUGUGUGUGAGUGAGUGCAUAAUAUGCAGAUUUGACCGUAAAUGUGCCUUGCUUGGUUGUUGUCCAUAUAAGUGCAUCUGUGGUGAAGUUAGGUCGGAGUUGGAUGUCUGUGAUCUGUUGAAUGAUUGGCAUAUCGAAAAAUCUGAAUAAUAAAUCAAUUUUCCAUGAACUGGUAGUUCGGUCAAUAAGAUCAGCUACUAGUGUAGGUUCUUCAGGGGCUUUAGGUCCAGCUAGAAUUCCCAUAGGAAGCCAUCUGUCUUCUCUUAUCUUGAUGCUUGUUCCAUCUCCCACAGACCAACUAACGUGUGGUAAAAUUGCAUUCCUUCCGCAUAAUAAGCUUUGCCAGCCCCAUGAUGGGCGAGAACCCUUGUUAGCUUUUAAAAAAGUGGAAGAAUGGAAAUAUAAUCCCCUAAAAAGCUUGCUCCAUAAAGAUAAUGGCUGAUUCAUUAGACGCCAUGCUUGCUUACCGAGCAUGGCUUGAUUAAAACUCACUAAAUCCCUGAAUCCCAGUCCACCGAGUUCUUUUCGGUUCUGUAGAUGUUUCCAGCUCUGCCAAUGCACUCCAGAUCUGCUUGUAUCAUUACUCCACCAGAAUUUGGCCAUUCUUUUCUCAAUAACUUUACAUAAGGAGAUAGGGAUUUUAAACACAGACAUUGCAUACUGAGGGAUAGAUUGAAUAACCGCCUUUAAUAGAACUUCUUUCCCUCCCUUUGAAAUUAGCUUCUCCUUCCAUCCUUCUAGUUUCGAUUGAACUCUACUCAGCAGCCAAGAAAACAUAUCUCUUUUAGAUCUUCCCCAGUCCGUAGGUAUCCCGAGAUACUUCCCACAACGCUGUAAAACUGGUACCCGUAAUUCAGCAGCUAAAUUUUCCUGAAGAUCAACAGGGCAAGAGGAACUAAAGAAAACUCCAGAUUUGUUGCGAUUGAUUGUUUGUCCUGAUGCCAAGCAAUAUUGGUUUAAAAUGUUAGAAAGGUGCUGACACUCCAACAAGGUACCAUCUAGAAAAAACACAGCAUCGUCGGCGAAAAAAAGAUGCGAUAGAGUAGGGCACCUUAGAUUCAACUUGAUACCUUUGAGAGAGCCCAUAUUCAUAGCAUUUCUUAUUAGCAAGGAUAAGAGAUUUGCAAUGAUGAUAAACAAGUAAGGGGAUAAGGGAUCUCCCUGCCGCAGCCCACGAGUUGGCUGGAAACUCGGUAAAAACUCCCCAUUCAUUUUGAUAGAGAAAGAUGGCGUGGAGAUGCACUGCAUGAUUAGAUGGACCCAAUGAGAAUGAAAUCCCAAUCGAAGUAAAUAAUCUCGGAGAAAGUCCCACUCAACACAGUCAUAAGCUUUCUGCAUGUCUACCUUUAGAAUUGCUUUAAAAUGUCGUUUCCUUUACCUUGUUUUAAGCUGAUGAAUGAUUUCCUGUACAACUAGAACAUUGUCCUGAAUCUGUCUGCCAGCAACAAAGGCGCUCUGCUCCUUGGUGAUCAGAAGAGGCAGCAAGGGUUUCAAUCGAUUAGCAAGCACUCUAGCGAAAAUUUUAUAGACAUAGUUGCAUAAGCUAAUAGGACGAUAUUGAUCCAAGCUUUCCGGGUUAGGAGUUUUGGGAAUUAGGGUUAUAGCAGUGCUAUUUAGAGAUGGAGGUAAUGUGCCAUGCUGAAAGAAUUGAUGUACUGCUCGGUGAAUGUCCACUUUAAUGAUUUCCCAAUGCGAUCGAUAGAAUAAUCCGUUCAAACCAUCAGGUCCUAGUGCCUUUGAAGCACCUAGUUGAAAAGUAGCAACGCGAACUUCUUCAAGAGUGGGUAGAGCGAGAAGGUCUGCAUUCAUUUCUGCAUCCACCAGCUGUGGACAUUGUUCUAAGAUCUGUGCAUAAGGUCUAGGCCCUGAAGUAGUGUGUAGCUGUGAGUAAUAGAUGGUAGUCAUUUGUUUGAUAUGGUCACAAUCCCUAACCCAUUGCUGAUUGUCAUCUUUCAAGAUAGUAAUCUGAUUGCGUUGCCUUCUUUGAACUGUGGUAGCAUGGAAGAACUUAAUGUUACGGUCUCCCCACUGUAACCAAUUUAUCCUUGAUCGCAUUGCCCAAUAUUGCUCUUCCCUCUGCCAUACUCGUUGAAGUUCUGUUUUAAUCCGCUGUUGGUGAGAUUGGUUUAGUGAAGUAGGUUGCUGAUUUGAUAAAAUUUGUAACUGUUGAUCUCAUUCCAUGGCAUUUUGCCUGUUGUGGGAGAAAACCUGGCGACUCCAACGUGAUAAAGCUAUAGCAACUGCACGAAGCUUGACUAAGAGAAGAGAGUCCCUUCGCGAGACUGAGUGCCAGGAGGACUUGAUCACUGUUUGAUAGCCUGGAUCCUGGUUCCAGAAAGCCUCAAAGGUAAAGAAUCUCUUUCGCCGAGUCAAACAGGGAUUUAUAUGAAUAACUAGUGGGCUGUGAUAUGAACCUACUGCAGGUAGAGCUAUCACUUGAGCAUUCGGGUAAGAGACACGCCAUUCAGCAUUACAGACAGCUCGAUCCAAACGCUCCUUCACCAAAUCUUCGGCAUCUCUGUUGUUGGACCACGUGUAAGCACAACCAUGGGAGGGCAGAUCCAUCAAACUGCAAUCAUUGAGGACUUCUCUAAAAGAAGAAAGGCGGUAAGAGUCCGCUGGCCUAGAGCCUACUUUCUCCCAUCGGUGUAGAAUUUCAUUAAAGUCGCCAAAACACACCCAAGGUAAGACAUUGGAGCUACUAAAAUGGCGCAAGGUCUGCCAAAGAUACUGACGUUCUUGAUAAACUGCAGGUGCAUGAAUACAAGAAAUCCGCAUGGAUCUGGCAUCGGAGAUAUCGAGACAGGUAAAAUCCAAAAAAUGUGGGGAGGAGGUGAAGUCUGACAGAGAGAGCCCUGCAUUCCAAAAAAGAGCUAAGCCACCUGCAGAUCCAAUAGGGGUAACUAGUCUGUGAUGCAAAAAACCAGAAGACCUUUUCAACCGAAGGAGGACUGCAUCAACGUUUUUCGUCUCCAUCAAAAAUAACAGGUCAGGCUUUUUCUUAGCCAAGAGGGCUUUUAAGGAUAGGACUGUCAGGGGAUUGCCCAAACCCUUACAGUUCCAACCUAUAAGUUUCAUCGUUGAUUUGGUGACUGUUUAGGGCCAGCCACCGUCGCCCGUAAAACUUCUUCAGACGCCUCCAUAAUUGGCGCGUCCAACAAGAGAGAGUCAUCAUAGACCCCCGAAUGCCCUCCUGGUAAGUCAUAGGGAGUAUAGCGCCUGGGUUUCUUUGCAGGACUUAUCUUACUUACCGGUCGUAUACUUGGCCCUUUUUUUGCCUGAUUAGUUAAUGUUGGCCAUUGCACUCCUUUCAUCUUCUCUGUAGCUGGGAUUAAAGCGGUGGUUAAGGUGUGUGGCUCUGAGGGAGGGAUAGUAGAGGUGUCAAAUCUGGUCUGUGUUGAGAUUGGAGUAAUAGGAUGUGGCUGAGAGGUUGUAACAGGAAUUGGUGGUAGAAGAAGAGGAAGAGGACGAAUCUCAGUGGGAGGAGUUUCAGGUAUGGUUUCAUCUCUAUCCUCCUCCAAAAUAGAUGGGCCAUAGUAACACUGCCAGUAAGGGCUAUACUUCUGAACUUCAGCUUUUAACUAGGGAUCGUAAGGAGUAGAGUCAGUUUCUGUGAUCAUUUUCUCCUCAAAGGGAAUGGAGGGGCAAGAAUCAGUAUAAUGGCCCAGUCGUCCACAAGAAUAGCAGUAAUGAGGUAAUCUUUCGUACCGAAAAUCCAACCACAAAGUCUGAUGUGUAAGUUUAAUGAGUCGACCUACCUUCAAUGGUUCAGAUAAAUCCAACUCAACGCGAGCGCGGCAAGUUUUUAGGGCGGAACCAAUGGCAAACUCAGAUUUUACUUGCAGAACAGAGCCUACCGUGCUAACAGCCUUACGUAUCAUAUCAUCAGUACAACAUUCCAAAGGUAACCCAAACACCUGAACCCAAAAUGCACAGGUCGCAAAGUCAUAGCGGUGUAGAGGGGUAUAGGCUACCCAUGGUUUAAAAUUUAUAAGAUGUCCUGAAAAUUGCCAAGGUCCUGUGUCGAGAAUUCUCUGUUUUUCAGCUUGAGACUUAAAUUUGGCUAAAUAAAUUCCGGCUUCUCUCUGUAUGAUUUCCACUUGGUCCAACCGCCAUGCCCGCUUCAAGACUGACUGAAAAGCUUGGAAAUUAAAGGAAGGGUUGGAGUGGACUUUACUAACUAACAGUAGCUUGCAUUCCUCGACUGCACCAGAUGUGGGUUCAACUCUCCAUUCUUCAAUUGCUUUUUCUGUAGAUAAUCGGCCCAGUUUUUGACAAAGUGCAGCAAUCCAAGAUGCAUCAGGAUCAUCGUCAGUAGCCAUCGAUGAAAGGGAGGUUCGACCUAAUGGAUGGAGGUCGGUAGCAUCAAAAUUAUCAACAUGCAGAUGGAGAAAGAGGGAAAGCAAAGGGAAAAGCAGAAACCCUCUGGUGAGGGAGAAGGAAGAUGAUGUGUGGAGGGGUUAACGACGUAGACCUGUGUAGGACAAGAAGAGGACAAAAUUCUGAAGGAUUGCCAUUCGCAUUGCAAUAGAAAGCAGCUGAAGAUUGCAGAGAGGAAGGAACAAAGAAGGACUCUAUCCUGCCGAUAGAGAGGAACUCGAUAAGACGAGAGGAACUCAACAAGACGAGAUAGUUGCUCUGCAUUGUGAAGUCCUUCCAAAGCCAUUUAAAACAUGGAAUGUUGUGCUAAAUUGAUCCCGAAAUUUCAAUUUUGCACCUUUCUUUUUUUUUUUUUUUGGUUGCCUGUAAGAUUUUUCCUUUUCUAAUAUUCAACUCCCCGUUGUUGGGCCACGUGCAUCCCACGUGACUUGGUCUUCACAAAUUUUCCUCGAGGAGGACUUUGCCUUUGCCCUUUGCCCUGUAUUGUUAAGUUGUUGACUCCUCUCCGUCUCCGUGUGUCUCCAUGUUCUGAUUUUUGCCGACUCCCUUCGUUUCCCAGUAACUCGCCUUCAACCUUCCUGCAUCGACUUUGCCUUCUUCUCUUCAACUUGAGAGGUUAUAGUCGAUCUUACUCCACUGCACCCUCCCAAUUAGCUCUUUUCGCAGAGCGGUUCUCUCCUGUGGGUGAAUACAGCUGAGAGGAUCGGCCCACAGAUGGAAUUCAACGGAAGUCAGGCUCUAAUGAUCAUCCUUGCAUUGACUGUAGGAGGACUGUAUGUGCUCUGAUUGCGCUUCCGUUCGAGCUAUUGUUGGCAGUUGGCAGAUGAUGGGCAGAAAAGAAAACUUUGCUUGGGGACAACUCACGAAAUCGAAGAGGGGGGGCUCGGAGUCAACCUCGAGAACAGAUGAUGCGUCUGGAGAAGAGAACGAGGCGCUAAGGGGGGACUCGGAGUCAACCUCAAGAACGGACGAUGUGUCGGGAGAAGAGAACGAGGCAUUCAACACAUCGGGAACAGAGUACGACGUGUUCUUGAGUUUCCGGGGACCGGACACACGCAAUAAUUUCACCGAUUGCCUUUACCGUAGAUUGAGACUCGCUGGAUUCCAUGUCUUUCUAGACAACGAAGAACUCCGAGUCGGCAAAGAAAUCGGUGGAGAGCUUUUGAAAGCACUUAACAAGUCUCGAAUCUACAUACCCAUGUUCUCUCAUGAUUACGCUGCCAGCUCGUGGUGUCUCCGUGAGGUUGCGCAUAUGGAAAAAUGCACCUCAAAAUCAAAUGGGAAGAAAGAGAUACUUCCCAUCUUUUAUGAUGUGGACCCUGAUGAUGUUAAACUCAAAACCGAAUUAUACAAAAAUGCCAUAGCCAAGCACGAGGAGAAAUUCGGCCUUGAUGAAUUGAAGCGGUGGGAGGCUGCUCUCGUAAAAGUUGCACGUCUCAAGGGAUGGGAUCUUAAACGGAAAGGGUAAUCUUCUUCAAAUUUUUUGGUUCUUGUUAAUGGACGCAGUAGCUAGACUUCUCAUUUGAAGAAAUUUUGUCCUCAAAAUUUUAGGAAUAAAGCAAUGCGACAUUUUUUCAUUCUAGGAAAAAAUUAAUAGGGCAAAAAGGUCCACCUCAAUUUAAUUUAUGAGUGAAUCUGAUGACUCUUACUUGAAUCCGGUCCGAUAGGUCUAGUGAGAACUUACUAACUAAAAUCUGUUCCCCUUUUUUUGGCCCAAAAAAAAAAAAAAACUUGUUUACUUAGAUAACAAGAGAACAGUUUUACCUAUUAAGAAUAUCCAUUGCGCUUCUUUCGAUUUUGCUCAAGUCCCCGAAUUUUUUCUUUUAUCUCAGAAUUCAACUGCUACAUGAGCUCAAUCCUAUAAAUAUAUCUCAACAAUACUGGCAUGUUGCUGCAUGUUAGCAGUAUGAAAAAAAAAUAUUAAAUCUUGCUCCGUCCAUUCCAUCAAGAAUAUCUCCUCCACGUCAAUCGGCUCAUGCAUUAUCUGAAUCAUCUCUCAUACAUAAAAUUGAGUGACAUCCAUGAAAUUCCAACAUGUGUAUUAACUGAUUGUGCCGCUUAAUUUCCACGACUUAUUUAACCAUAUUGUCCCUAGAGAAAGAGAGAUCUCAUAUCCAGGAGGAUUUUUACCCUUUUCUUUCAUGUCGUUGACUAAAAUAAAAAUUUUCUAUUUUGCUGCAGCCAAGGGGAACUAAUUGACUUGGUUGUUGAAGAGGUAUUCUGUAGGCUUAAUGCCAGAUGCGUGGAUGUGCCUAAACAUCUGAUUGAAGAUCAUCCCCAGAUAAAAGCCAUAACAGAAAAGUUGUAAGUUGACUCUGAUGGUGUAUGUUUCCUUGGUUGACGGCGUUAGUUUCCUUAAUGAUGUUCGAGAGUCAUCGAAGCGUGGUCUUAUAAACUUACAAAAAAAGUUAUUAUCAAGUUUUGUUGGUUCUGUGAUUAAUGACCAAAUUAAAGAGAUUGAGGAUGGGAUCCGUUGGAUCAAGAAAGUAUGUAAUACUAAAAAAUGCCUCAUUGUUCUUGAUGAUCUAGACAAAAAAGAGCAACUCGAAAAGCUAGCUGGAGAAUCUGAUUGGUUUGGUUCUGGUAGUAGGAUCAUUAUCACAACCAGGGACAAAAGUAUCCUGAUGACUCAAGUGGAAUCAUCUAAUGAACAAGGCCAAAAUCAAACCAAAGGAAUUUUGGCAUAUGAAGUUCGUGAGAUGGAAUAUGGUCGAGCACUUCAGUUAUUUUGUAAGCACGCAUUCAGAAGAGACUCUCCUGUAGAAGGAUAUGACCAUCUUGCAGAGAAAAUUGUCCGUAGAGUAGGGAUGCUUCCUUUGGCUAUUGAGGUGAUAGGUUCAUCUCUUUAUUGUGAGGGCUUGGUCCUGGAGGAACAUCUUGAUAAAAUAGAGUUAUGGAAAGACACAUUGAAGCAAUUAGAUGAAGGUCCUCACAAGGAUGUCCAAGAUGCAUUAAUGAUAAGUUAUGAUCGAUUGGAGCCUAAGAACAAAGAAGUAUUUUUAGAUAUUGCUUGCUUUUUCACCAAUGAGGACCAAACAUAUCCAAUUAUCAUGUGGCGUGACCGUAAUUACCAUCCUUACCAUGCAAUUAGUAUUCUCCUCCUGUGGUCCUUGAUAAAAACUAGAGAUGGUAAAAAGUUUUGGAUGCAUGACCAAGUUCGAGAUCUGGGAAGGUACAUUGUCCUCGAAGAAUAUCCUUGCAAAGAAAAUCCUCACAAAUUUAAUAGGGUAUGGAUUCAAGAGGAUGCUUUAAAGCUAUUGGAGAGAAAAGAGGUAAAUGGAAGAGUAUGUCAUACAAUAUUUAUUUGGAAAGAGAAACUCGUUGAAUUUUUUCUUUUAAUUUACAGUUAGCUUUGUUUAACUUCCCAUUUGUCUUCUUAGUGAGGCAGCUCUCUUUCAAACAUUUGGGUCAAAAGGUCUUGUAAAUAUGUGGAGAGAGACAAGAUAGAUUGCCUAAUAGUUAGCUCUGUUUUCUUGAUUCUGUAGAGUAGAAAAUAGCUUUUGGGAAAUUCUGAAACAACAAAGGACCGAUUCACGUGCUAUCCGAGCAAAGGCAGAAGAAAACUUGUAUGAAGAAUUUUUAAAUUACUUUCAAACAUAAUUACACAAAAAACUAAAAACUAUGAAGAUUGGAUUUGACAUGGCAAUUAUAUUUCUUGAAAAGUAGAAAAUGAGAAAGGGAGAAUAAAUUUAGGAUAAAUGUUCAAAUGGAGCUGAAAUUUUCUGUUAGUCAUGUGAACAAAACAUAUUAAGUCAACUUAGGAGAAGUUGUGUGCCAGGUUGGUUUCCUAUAGGAGAAAUUGUUUACCAGCGCUCAUAUGCUUCUUUCUUUAUAGCUUUUCGAGAGUUUAAAGUUUUAUGAACUCAAUAAUCUUGAGUCUCUGGUGGCAGAGAAAUCCAGAUGUAGAAGCAUUAAGCCUGACUUCCAAUGGCUGUAGCCGCAACUUUACACCUAAAGAGUUUGCCGCUCUACCAAAUCUAAGGUUCCUUCGAUUGAAAGAGUCUGAUUUUUGUGGCGACUUCAAGAAUCUUCUUUCGGAGCUAAGAUGGCUUUCUUGGCAAACAUGGGAAACAACUUUCCAUGCGAAUAACUUUCACUUUAGCAAUUUGCUUGUGCUUGACCUUUCAGAUAGCAAUAUUAGAGAUGGUUGGGGUGGGUGGAGCCAAAUGAAGGUAUGAUUUGCCUUACUCUACAUACUUCUUUCUGGUCAUUUCCUCAUUUGCGAUAAUAGAAGCAACAUAUAUUCUUCACUUCUUUAUAUCAUUACCUCAUGCAAUUUACCCAAUGGUUGGAUGCACUCCUCAUUCUAUUUGAGUAUAGAACAUAUUUUGCAGGAGUAAAUCCCAAAUCUUUUCAUAUCAUAGUAAAAUACAAUUAUGUCCCACAUAGAAAAUGCCUCAUGUGGAUUACAACCUUGGUUUUUUAGCUCUGAAAGUUGCUUAAGCUUUGGAAAUGGCAUAUUCCAAUAAAAUUAGCGUAUUCCAAUAAAUGUAAGUGCCAUUUUGCUUCAAUAUGCACCAGAAUAUGAUUUGAAUGACGUAAACUUUGAGUCAAGUUGAGUUAGAAAAGUCAACUGGAAUCAAGUUUGAGAUUGGUAACAUUUAACUUGAUGGUUUAUUUGGAAUAGCUAAGUUGAUUAUUUGAAUCAAGGCAAGCUUGAGCUUCAUAAUAUUUGAUUCAAGCGGCUCACUAGCCUAAUUUAAUAGCUGAUUGUCCAUGUUUUGUUUAUGAUCUAUGUUAUGUUUAUGAUUACGUUACUGAACUGUAAAUAAAUGAAAAUUCCAUUACUUUUACUUUUCUAUUUUACCUGAGUUAAUGAGCGAAGGCUCAAGCUUUACAUUGAAUCAAAUCAAAUCUCACACGGGGGUUGAAUGCGGUGAUGUUGAAGAUUGUUGUCCAAGGUGGUGUGCUGGUGGUCAAUGGCAGUGGGUGGAGAAAAACUAGGGGUGCUGGUAUUUAGUGCUUGUGGGUGAUCUGGGAAUUAGAGUCUUCUGUAUUUUCGUAGCAAUGAUACUUUAGCCUUUUGUUUAUGGACUUUUGUUAUAAGAAGGGAACUAAGGGUUUUUGAAAAUAAAGCACGUGAAGUAAAAGGUGGGAUGGUCCUUUGUUACCUGUGGCAUAAAUGUGACUCCUAACAGGGGCCUAACUCCCAGGUCGGGGAUUUUUCUAAAAAAAUUAAAGUAUGAGAGUUAUUUGCAGCAACCCUAAAAAUACUGGGAAAUUCAAAUUACCUAGAUUAUCCUAAAUAAUGACUUAUGAAUAAUAAGCUUCUUAGUAAUAUUACGACACAUGCUGAUGUUUCUCAUUUAUUUUUUCAUGUUGACUUUUUUCUGCAGAUGGAUAGAUUGAAGAUUCUAGAUCUGACGGGUUGCGCAAGGUUAAAAAAGACACCCUAGUUCUCUAAUUUCAUGGCUUUUGAGAAGCUAAUUCUUGCUAGGUGUGUCGAGUUAACCACAAUUGACCGCUCCAUUGGUAAGCUAGAACACCUAACUUCUUUGAAUAUCAAGGGAUGCAGGUUGCUUGGGGAGUUACCCGAAGAAGUCGGUGCUCUACAAUCUUUGACAAAGGUUAUCAUGCCCCAAACUUUUCAAUGCUUCAAACUUUUGGAGGCAUUUGGCAAUCUGAAAUCUUUGUUGAGUUUGAUAUUAGACGAGCACCUUGGAAUCAGCCAACUUCCAAGCUAUAUUGGAGGGUUAGUGAAAGUUACAUAUUUAUCUUUACGUUGGUGUAUGGGGAUAGAGAAGCUUCCAUGCUCUCUUGGAAAAAUGGAAAUGUUGGGCGAGUUGGAUUUAUCAAUGUCAGGAAUAGUUGAACUACCUGAUUCCAUUGGAGAUAUGAAGAAACUAAAAGUCAUUAGAGUAAGCUAUACAAUGAGAAGAAAGUUUCCUCAUACGAUUGGACAAGUGGAGAUGCUUGAAGAGUUACAUGCCAAGAAAUGUUGGGAUUAGACAGAUGAAAAUCUAGAGGAAAUUGGGAAGCUAUCCCAUUUGAAGAUAUUGGACUUAUCAUAUACUCAUGUAUCUAGAUUCUCCACGGUGCUAGGUUGUCUCUCUCAUCUCCACACACUUGAAUUGGGUUCGAGUGACCUUCAGGAGGUACCUGAUCUUCCCUCAAGUUUGACACGCCUUCACAUGCAAGCAUGUCAGUUCCAAUCUAUCCUUGACCUCUCAAGUCUCGUUAAUUUAGAUUAUCUGGAAUUAUCUAGAUUAACUGUUUCAAGAGAGAAACCUGACCCAAGUUGGACAAACAAUUUGCCAGUUAAACAACUGAUCCAUCCGCUUCCAAGUGGCUUGUCAACUUUGAAAUGCAGGGGCAUCAUGCUACUACCAUCUCUUUCCAACUUGAGAAAAUUAUCAGUUCUGUGUGUCAUUGAAUAUCCAAUGCCAUACUUCUCUAUCUCUCAGGAGAAAAUACAUUUAACAGAAUUGAAACUAAGUAAGUGCAAAUUUGUUGAGAUAAUAUAUGUGUCAUGCUUGAAGAAUCUACAGCACCUGGAACUAAACAGAUUGGACAGGCUGGUUAAGAUUGAAGGUUUGUUAGAAUUGGCAUCCUUGUUGUACUUUCGUAUUUCUGACUGCUAUAGGAUAAAAAGGUUACCCAACUUAUCAAAGUUAGAUAAGCUACAACACAUUGAGCUAGAAGCUUGUCCAAAAAUAAAAGCGAUUGAGGGCAUCAAGGGCUUAGAAAGGUUGGUGUGGGAUAAUCGUGGUUGCAUUGUACUAGAGAGAUUGCUGGAUGUCUCAAGAUCGACUUGGAUUUCCCGCAAAACACCAGAGUGCCAGGUUUCCUGAGUUUUAAUGGACCGGACACUUCUUAUAGCAUUGUCGAUGUCCUUUACAAGAAUUUGGUUUGUAACCAAAUUUCGGUUAUCAGGGAUGAUGACAUAUUGAGCUUUGGUGAUGGAAUUGGUGAAGAGCUUCCGCAAGCACUCAACGACUGCCAUAUCUACAUACCCUUCUUAUCUAAGAACUAUGCUUCUAACUGGUGGUGUCUCCGUGAAUUAGCCCACAUGGUAAAAUGCAUGUCAAACUCACAUGGGAAAAAAGUAAUCCUGCCCAUUUUCUAUGAUGUGGAGGUUGAUGAUGUUAAUCUUAAAAGCGCUUUGUACAGAAGUGCCCUAGAUAAGCAUAGGUGGAAAUUUGGCAAUGAAGUGGAGGAAUGGGAAAUGGCUCUAAGACAGAUUGCGCACAUAAGGCGGUUCAACAUGAAUGGUAACAGGUAAUGCUGCUAUCUUUUAUUAACCGGACCAAAUUGAACUUUAGCACCAUAGAAUUUCAUGAUAAAAAAAAUGUAAACUUCUGCACAGAAACAGUCGAGGACACUCAAGUGAUUUCUUAUGCUUUGUAUGAAAGAGUUUCUUAGGUCGGUGAAGAAAAAGAAGGCAAAGAAAUUUGAGGUGAAGAAAAUGUUUUCUUUGGGUUGGCUGGAGUUGUAGGGUGCGGAGGUGAAGAUAGUGUAGGGAUAUGAAAAUGAAGAAUGAAAAUUGAAAAUUGGCAUAUAUAUUUCUUUGUAUUUUGACUUCUAUGAAGUUAAUUUGUUUGCAACGCCCGAUAAAAUUCGUUUUCUGAACGAUGUAUCCAGACGAUGUAUACAGAAAGCCUAUUGUUAAAGCAGAGAAGGUUGCCUGGGCUGGACAUCUCAUUCUCCUAUGAAAAUUGAAGGAUUUAGAUAGGCUUUGGAUAAUUACUAUAUAAUCCUUCACAAUUUUGUCAAUUUUUAGUACUUUUGAGAAUUCAUUUGGAAAUGAGAGAAAAAAGUGGGAAUUUCUCCCCUGCUUUCUUGACACCUCGGCGAGAAACAUAGUUGGUUGACUUGGCAAAAAUUUAUUUUACUUCCAUAUCAGCAUCUGCAUUUUAGGAUUCAACCCAGACAUGGUAAAUUCUUUCCACUCUGAAUCUUGCUUUCCAAACGGAGUGUUUUUGUUUAGGAUACAACUAAAGAAUAGAAAACAAGGCACUCAAAAAGAACGAAGAAAAUUUCUAUAAAUGGAGAAAAAGGGUGAUUUAAAAUUAAUCUAGUAAAUUGAUUUAAAUUUUCACAAGAUGUAAAGAAGUUCGUUGGAGUUUAGAACACGUAUGAGAUUCAUGAGGUAAAUCAUUUAACUCUCUUGGCCAUUUUAAGUUUCCGAUUUAUCGUUGGUUUGAUGUUACACAAUUAUCAUUUUUUCUUAUUGAGGUAACAUAGUGUAUAAGCUUCUGUAGAAUUUUCUAAUAAUCUUUGAGUUGAAAGUCGUUUUGAGUGCAUUUUAUGAUAUAAAGUAAUGAUAAAAGGUGCUUUGAAAUAAUCACUUCAAUUGUCUCCAUAACAGGAACAUAAAAGGUAGUGCAAAAGUGUUAAUCCAGAAUAAAUGCAGUGGUUCCUGGAGUGAAAUGAAAUUAAUGAGUCUUAAAUUUAUGUAUAGAUGGAGUGACUAAGAAUGAUCAAUUUUAAGCAUAUAUACAUUGUGAAAAAUUUGAUAACACCUUUCAAGAGCCAGAAAAAUUGCUAAAAAAAUUAGAUAACAUCCUCCAAGAGCGAGAAAAAUUACUAAAAAAAUCAUAAACCUAUUACAAUUGUGUUAAUUAAGUCUUAAACAUUAUUUUUUUGGCCAAUUGAGUCCUAAAUCAUUUGCAUUUGAGUCAAUUCAAUCUAUAUGGCCAAUUUUGGUUGGCUAGCUCUAACAUGGAUGUGAUGCGGCCGAUGCUAAAGUAGACAAUUUUUAAUAAUAUUUUAAUACUUUUUUUGAUUUUUUUGUUGAUUUUUUUGAAUUUAUUUAUUUUCUUUCACUUUUUUUUCCCUUCACUUCUUACUCCAGCUAGUCACUGGACCUUGACAAUCAGCCAAAGGCGAGGGCCGGUGAGCUUGUUGACCUUGCCCAGGCUGCCUAUGUGGUUGGUGAGGCAAGGUUGAGACUUGCCUAGCCACUAGUGAGACCCAAGCCAUCGUCAGAGCUGCUAGGUUGAAGGCUGUGACCUCUUGCAAGGGCAAGUCUUGCGUAGCCCAGCCCAGCCUAAGCCGCCCUCGUGGCCUUUGGCGAGCGCAACCCCAUGGGGCAAGGCUGAUAAAAUCAACCUUGCCGACCCUCGCCUCUAGUUGGUCGUCGAGGUCUAGUGACCAACUGGAAGAGAAAGAAAGGGAAAGACAAAAAAAAAAAAAAAAAAGAGAAAAGGAAAAAGAAAUGAAAAUAACUAAAUAAAUAGUUUGAACUAUUAAAAUAUUAUUAAAAAUUGUUCACAUUAGUGUUGGUUGUGUCAUAUACGACAGCUGGUAUCUAUGUUAGUGCCAACUAGUCAAAAUUAGCUGGAUGAACUAAAUUGACACAAAUGUAAAUAUUUUAAGACUCGAUUGACAAAUAAUAAUAAUAAUAAUAAUAAUAAUAAUAAUAAUAAUAAUAAUAAUAAUAAUAAUAAUAAGUUUAAGACUAAAUUGACACAAUUGUAAUAGAUUUUGGAAUGUUUUGGUAAUUUUUCUUCCAAGAGCCUGCCAUUGAAUGAUAAACUGAAUUUUGCAACAACCAAUGUAGAAUUGUCGAUGUGAUGGUUUUUUCUACCUUGGAAUGUGCCCUUCAACCAAAAAGAAGAUCAAGUCUUUGAAUUAUAAUUAUUCAUGUAUUUGUUAUGUAUUAUGUUUUUAUUAUUUUGUACCCUUGGAAGGGGGUGUGUAAUGGGUUAAAGUGGUAUUUUUUAUUAUUUAAUUUUGUGUCCAAUGCUCCUUGCCUUCUUUAAUUCAAAUAAAAAUAAAUAAAAUACAUAAGAAGACAAAAUUUCCACCACUAACCUCAGGAUUAAUAUGAUUUUAUUAAUAAAAAAUAAUUAAAAGUUAAAAAGUUAAAUGAUGAAAAAAAGGGAAAAUUUUCAAUAAGGGUUCGAAGUGCCCUCGAUUUCUAAAAUGAGGACAUGAAGUAAAUAUAUCUCAAAUAGAAAUAUGAAGUACUUUCAUUUUCUCAAUAAGGGCAUGGAGUGGCCAUGUUAGUCUCAAAGAAGGAGUAAAACCUCAUCGACUGGUGAGAGCAUUUUCAUAAUUUACUUUUUCUUAUUUUCUUUCAUUUUUCUAUUAUUUUAUCUCCAGCCCUCAAGUGGGAGCGCUGGACCUGCCCUCUUGUCUGGUUUUUUGUUUUUAAUUUUUAUUUUUUUAGAAUUAGUCUUUUUUAUGGAAAAAAUAGAAAAAGGAAAAAAGAAAGCAAAAAAGGGAAGAAAAUAAGAAAAUAUAACGGAUAGAAAUGCCCUAGACCAGUCGAUGAAGUGAGGUCCUUCUUUGAGACUGACAUGGCCAUUUAUAGUCCUUAUUUGAAGCAAGGCUCACUUCAGGCCCUUUUUUUGAGAAAUAGAGAGCACUUCGGACUCUUAUUUGAAAUUUCCCUAAAAAAAAAGAUAAAUAAGUAUGAAUAUUUAGGAAAAAUUAUCUGAUAUGGUUAUUACUUAAAGGCCAAGUGACAGUAAAUCUCUAUAUUUUUAACACUCUCCAAUUUUAUCCUAACCUUUAAACCUAUCAGAAAAGUAGCCAAAUCUCUCUAAGUUGUAUCAAAACUAUUCCAAUCCAUUUAAUACCAUUUAUGAGAGGAAUAUUCGGUUAGAUUCUUUCUCGACUUUCAAUUUUGCCUAUAGAAGAAGAAGAUUUAUCUAGUUCUAGUAUUCAAGGGAGGACAUUUAAGGGAAAAUAAUGUAACGGAUGCAUAAGGGAGAAUAUUUAUUUAUCUUCAUAUCAGCUAAUUUUUGUUUAUUAAAUGUAUUUACAAAUUUUUGAUAUGGAGAAAAAGUGAAAAAUUAGGUUCUUCUAUGCAAUAUUCAGAUAGAUCUAGUGUGAACUUACCAAAUAAUAUUUGUUCACUUUUUUACGCCAAAAAUAAAACCUUUUCACGAAGAAAAUAAUAAAACAGUUUUACCUAUAAAGAAUAUCUAUUGUGCUUAUCACUUUGGAUUUUAUGAAAAAAUCCGAGCAUUAUGAAAAAAAAUAUAAUUUUCUUAAGUUUUGUUAAUCUUACUACAUCCAUUCCAUCAAGAAUGUAUACUUCAUAUCAGUCAGCUCAUGCAUUAUCUAAAGCAUCUCCAAUACAUCAAAUUGAGCGGCUUUUCAUGAAAUUCGAGUGUACGUGUCAGCUUACUAUUGUGCUUAAUUUCCAUCCAUAGAAACUGAAACGGUUGACUUAUUUAACCAUGGGAUCGUCAUAUCCGAAAGAAAUUUAUACCCGUCUUUCAUGUCAUUGACGAAAAACGUAUUUCUUGCUUUGUUGCAGCCAUGGAGAACUAAUUGAAUUGUUAGAGAGGUUUCACACAAGCUUAGGGGCAAAAAUGUGGAUGUCCCUGAACAUUUGGUUGAGGAUCACAGACAUAUAGAAGCGAUAAUAGAUAAAUUGGAUGUUGACUCUGGUGGUGUGCGUUUUGUUGGGAUACAUGGAAUGGGUGGUAUCGGUAAAACAACACUUGCGAAGGUUGUGUUCAACAAAUUACUUUUUCAGUUUGACAGUGUUAGUUUCCUCCACAAUGUUCGAGAAUCGUCCCGACAUAGUCUUGAUGGUCUUGUAAACUUGUAGAAAAAGUUAUUAUCGAAUCUUAUUGGUUCUGGAGAUACUAUCUGAAUCAAAGACAUAGGUGAUGGGAUGGCUCAAAUCAAGAGAGUAUGUAGGACUAAAAAGGUUCUCAUGGUUCUUGAUGAUCUAGACAAGAAAGAGCAACUCCAAAAGCUAGCCGGAAAAUCUGAUUGGUUUGGUUCGGGUAGCAGGAUCAUUAUCACAACUAGGGACGAAAGUAUCUUGAUGACUCAAGUGGAAUCAUUCGGUGAAGUGGUCCUAAAUCAACCUAAAGGAAUUUUGGCUUAUGAAAUUUAUGAAAUGGAAUUUGGUCGAGCAAUUCUAUUGUUUAGUGAGCACGCAUUCAGAAGAGACGAUCCCAUAGGAGAAUAUGAGCAUCUUGCAGAGAAAAUUGUCCGUAGAGUGGGAAUGCUUCCUUUGGCUAUCGUGGAGAUAGGUUCAAGUCUUCGUUCCAGUCAAAAAAUUGCAGAAUGGGAAGAUAGGUUGAUGCAGUUAAAUAAAGGUCCUUUGAAGGUUGUCUGCGAUGCAUUUUAUGAAGGAUUAGCAGAUGAGGAAAAAGAAGUAUUUUUGGAUAUUGCUUGCUUUUUCACCAACGAGGACCAAACUUAUCCAUAUAUCAUGUGGGAUGACUAUCAGAGUGCAAUUAGUGUCCUCCUCCAAUAGUCCUUGAUAAAAAUUAGAAAUGAUAAAUUUUGGAUGCAUGACCAAUUACGAGAUCUGGGAAGGAAAAUCAUAGUUGAAAAAUAUCCUCACGAAUGUAGGAGGGUGUGGAUUCAUGAGCGUGUUGUUGCAAUGCUAUGGGACAGAAAAGAGGUAAAAUGGAAGACUAUGUCACAUUAUUUUUAUUUGGAAAGAGAAACUUCUUGCAUUUUUGCUUUCAUUUUAUUGUUAGCUUGUUUAACUUCCCAUGAGAGCUCUCUCAAACAUUUGGGUCAAAAGAUCUUUUAAAUAGGUGGAGAGAGACCAAUUUUUCUUUUUUCUAGAUUUGUUGAGUAGUACAUUGUUUUCUGGAAGUUCUGAAACAACAAAGCGCCGUUUCACGAGCAAUCUGAGAAAAGUCAGAAGAAAGCUAGUGGUAUGAAGAGUUUUUAACUUACUUUCAAACACAAUUAGAGAAAAAAAAAACUAUGAAGAUUGUAAUUAAUAUGCAUAAUAUUUUUCUUGAAUUGUAGAAUAUGGAAAAUGGACAAAUGAUUUAUAAGAUAUCUUCAAAUGUAUGCUUAACUAAUCUUGAGUCUCUGUUGGCAGAGAAAUCAAGGUCCGGAAGCCCUGAGCCCUGAGCCGUAUAGAGACUGAAUUCUUCAGUCUCUAUACGGCUGAAGAAUUAGCUGCUGCAUCAAAAUUAAGGUUCCUUAUAAUGAAAGGCCUAGAUGGCAUCUUUGAUAAUCUUCUUCCGAAGCUAGGAAGGCCUUUUGGGGAAACAUUGGGGACGGCUUUUCAUGCAAAUAACUUUCACUUCAGUAAUUUGGUCAUGUUUGACCUUUCAGAUAGCAAUAUUGGAGAUGGCCGGGAUGGAUGGAGCCAAAUGAAGGUAUGAUAUGCCUUACUCUAUGUACUUCUUUCUAUCAUCACCUCAUUUGCAAUGAUAGAAGCAAGACAUAUUUUACUUCUUUGCAUCAUUACCCCAUACAAUUGACCUAAAGGUUGCAUGCACUCCCCAUCUCGUCUGAGUGUAGAAUAUAUUUUUCAUGAAUCAAAGUAAAAUAUCCCACAUAAAAAAUGCUCCAUGGGGUUUAUAACCUUGAUUUUGUAGUUAUGAAAGUUGCUUACUUAGGAUUUGGAGUUGGUGUACUCUUAUAAAGUAGCCGUUUUGCAUCAAUAAGUUGAUGAUUUAAAUUAAGGCGAUCUUGACCAUCAAGAGACUUUAUUCAAGGGGCUUACUAACCUAAUUUAAUAGUUAAGUGUUUCUUUAUAAUUACAUUAAUGAACUGUCAAAUAAAUGAAAAUUACAUUGUCUAUGCUUUUGUAAUUAAUUCGAGUUAAUGAGCGAAGGCUAGAGUAUUACAUUGAAUCUAGUUUUUAACCACAACGUCAAAUCAAAUCUCAGAGAAAUCUAUGGUAUAGAUUCGGGGUGGAGAACAGAUGUGAUGGAGUGCCUUUUCCAUUUUUAAAAUUAAUUUUAAGUCAGUUUUUGAGCUACAAAAAUUGUGUGAAAUCAAUUUAGCUCGAUUGGGUACCCUCCCCACUAACAGUUGCCAUUUAGUCACUUCUUGUGAUCUUUCUACAAUUUUUCAACUUAAAAUGGAUGCUCCUAUUAAGUUGAAGGUAGAAUGCCCAAAAUCAUUCUCACCUUUUAUAUCAACUUCACUUUGCAUCAUUCAAUUUUGUUAAUUUUGGUUGUUAACGUGCAAGUGUGAGUAUGCGUGUAGGCUAUUAUGCAAAUACCUAUUUUACAAAUAUCUUAUGCACACUAGAUUUUCCUAGAAAUUGCAUUGAUUAUUUUAACAAUUUUUUAAUCCAUCACUUUAUAUCUCUGACUAUUAAGUAGGCUUUACAUUACACUUGAGAGAGGGGGGGGGGGGGAGGGAGGGAGAGAGAGGUAGAGAUUGUGGUCGGAGGUGGUGUGCUGGUGCCCGGUGGCGAUGGGUGGAGAGAAACUUAGCGUGUUGUUAUUUGGGGUUUGUGGGUGAUUUGGGAAUUAUACCUUUUUGUGUUUUCAUAGCGAGGAUACUUUAGUCUUUUGGCUAUGGAGUUUUGUUCUAAGACACAUACUUCUGCAAAUGGCAAAAAACCUGAAAGUUUUGGACCUGACAAACUGCAAAUGCUUAACAAGGACACCUGACUUGUUUGACUUCCUAGAUUUGGAGAUAUUGAUAUUCGCUGGCUGCUCCAAAUUGAUUACAGUUGAUUGCUCCAUUGGUAAGCUACAGCUCUUAAAAACUCUCAAUAUGGAUAGAUGUGACUCUGUUGAGGAGUUGCCUGAAGAGGUUGAUUCUUUAGAAUUUGACAGAGUUCAUCAUCUCUGGAUCUUCUAAAUUGGUCACACUCAUGGAGAGUGUUGGCAAUUUGAAAUCUUUGUCAAGCUUCAGUGUAAAUUAUUGCAAGGGAAGCAACAAACUCUUGAACUCUAUUGGAGGAUUAACAAGAAUCACACAUUUCUCUAUAAAAGGAUGUGAGAGGAUAAAGAAGCUCCCGCACUCUCUCGGAGGAUUACAAUCAUUGGUCGAGUUGGAUUUAUCAUUCUCAAGAAUAGACAGUCUCCCCAAUUCCAUUAGAAAUCUGAAGAAACUCAAAGCCAUCAAGAUGGGACAUACAAAGUUAAAAAGGUUACCAAACGCAAUUGGACAACUAGAAAUGCUUGAAGAGUUACAUUGCCCAGAGUGUCCGGAUCUAUCAGGCAAAGUCCCAAAUGCUAUUGGGAGUCUUUUCCAUUUGUGGAUCUUGGACUUGUCAUGUACUCGUAUUUCUAGUUUGCCAGACACGAUCACUCAUCUCUCUCGCCUAGAAGAGUUACAUGUCCGGGGUUGUGGGGAUCUAAUGGAUGAAAUCUUAGAUGCAAUUGGCAGACUAUCCUGCUUGAGGAUCUUGGACUUCUCUCAUACUCCUAUUUCUAGAUUGCUUGCCACGAUCACUCAUCUCUCUCACCUAGAAGAGUUACAUGUCCAAGGUUGUUGGCAUCUAGGUGAAAUCCUAGAUGCAAUUGGCGGACUACCCCACUUGAGGAUCUUGGACUUCUCUAAUACUAUUAUUUCUGCUUUGCCUGCCACGAUCACUCAUCUCUCUCGCCUAGAAGAGUUACGUGUCCAAGGUUGUUGGCAUCUUAUAGGUAAAAUCUCAAAUGCAAUUGGCAGACUAUCCCGCUUGAGGAUCUUGGACUUCUCUCGAACUGGUAUUUCUGGUUUGCCUGUCACAAUCACUCAUCUCUCUCACCUGGAAGAGUUACAUGUCCAAGGUUGUUGGCGUCUUACAGGUGAAAUCCCAUAUGCAAUUGGCAGACUAUCCCGCUUGAGGAUCUUGGAAUUCUCUAAUACUUUUAUUUAUGCUUUGCCUGCCACAAUCACUCAUCUCUCUCACCUAGAAGAGUUAUGUGUCCAAGAUUGUUGGCAUCUUAUAGGUGAAAUCCCAUAUGCAAUUGGCGGACUAUCCCACUUGAGGAUCUUGGACUUCUCUAGAACUAGUAAUUCUGGUUUGCCUGUCACGAUCAGUUGUCUCGCUUGCCUCAAAGAACUUGUGUUGGGGGGCUGCCGGGAGCUUCAACUAGUGCCACAGCUUCCCUCGAGUUUGAUAAGCCUUAUCCUUGAUGCUUAUCAUUGUGAAAUCAUCCCAAACCUCUUUAACUUAGUUACUUUAGGUCACCUGAACUUGUCUUUUCAUACGUAUGAUCUCGAGGCUCCUCACCAGUCAGAGGAAAUUCUGUCCCCUUGGAAGAUUGUAGAAUCCAUCCAUCGGCUUCCAUCUAGUUUGUCAACUUUGCAUCUCACAGGUAUAUUGCCACCGCAGCGGUUCUCCAACUUUAGGAACCUGUCAAGUCUCUCCAUUUCUAAAUGCUCAAUGGCACAUCUCCCAGUGCUUGAACACUUGGAGAAGUUGAGGAAAUUGUCUAUAGAAGACUGUCCAUCCCUCGAGAGAAUUCCUGAUCUAUCAUGCUUGAAGAAUCUAGAAACUUUGUGUCUGUCUACAUUGGGAAGUCUUGUGGAGGUACAAGGUUUGGGCGAGUUGGAAUCGUUGGAGUCACUAUAGAUUAUCUGGUGUGAGUCAUUAGAUGGAUUACCUCAACUAUCAAAGUUGGCAAAGAUCAAACUUUUUUGGCUAGACAACUGCCAAGUGCUACGGGCUGUCGAGGGUCUCAGUCCCUUACAAUGUUUGAAGCAUUUGACUAUCAUGGGUUGCAUGUCCCUGGAAAGGUUGCCUGAUUAUCCGAGAUGGACUGAGCUAGACACCGAUUGGAAAGCACCAGAAACAUCGAGUGCUAAUUAGGAGUGGCCAAGAACGUCAGGCCCUGCGUCUAUAUCAGGAGCUAGCAUCAAUCAAUGCGUUACCUAGAUUUUGUACCCUUGUAAGUCUUGUCUCUCCAUUUAUUUGUGCAGAGUGGGCUCCUGAUAACGAAAUACGUGGCUUGUCCAUAUAUAUUAGUUUGUCCCACAAAUUCAUUAACGACGAUGAGCAUUUCAUUCUUCAUUUCUUGAUGAGAUGCACAUGAACUGUUUUAGAAAAGUUUCAUAUCGGAAAAUUAAUAUGAUGUGAAGUAAUUAAUAUAUCCUAAUAGAUCCACAAUUCAUUACCUUAAACUUUUUACUGAAGGUGGAUUUAACUACAUAUGUCAAUGAACUUAGAUUUUGGCUCCCUCCCGGGUUAAGGUAUCAGAAAUUCGUGUCUUCUUCUCUUACUUUCGUGCUCCUAACACUCCUAUCCAUUCCUUGCUUUUAUAACUUUUAUCAAUAUAGUAACGUGCGUAUAUCAUACAUUAAAUUGUCCAUGACUUUGUUAUAGGUUUUACAUGAUAUGUUUAUCAUCCUAGUGAAAAGUUAGAUUAAUGGUGGGAAAUAAUGAGGUCAGAUGGAUUGAAUUGAUAUAUAUGCUAAACAUUUAAAAAUUAUUUGGCAAAAAAAAAAAGUUCAAAACUGAAUUGAUACUAUUGCAAUAAAUUUAUGAUUUUUCCUUUUAUAUAAUUUCCUCAAACAAAGUCCUCAGCAAUAGAUUUGUAAAGCCAACAACGAGUCAUGCCUCUACCACUUCCAAUGUGCGGUUUGAUCCAUGUGAAAGCCGGAUACAAAAUUCUUAUAAAAGGUAUGAGUGACCUUAAACAAAGCUUUUUAAGGAAUUGCUCCUUGCAAUGAUUAUGAUUGGGUGAUGCUCAGUGUAAUAGUAUAUGUGUGUAUUUCCUCUUGAAUAUUGCUCAUCCUAAGGCAUCAUGACAAUUCUUGCUCAGAACUCUCUCUAAUCUCUCGCUGUUUUUGCUAUUUGCGUUUGUGUGAAACAGUUUCAUUUGCUUUAAAUUUAAACUCAGGCCAGCCGUUGACCACAUUAGGUCCAAGCCAAGGGUUAAAAGCUUGAAUUUGUCUACAACUGGUUACUUACCUCACAAACCGAUAAUUCAAAUGUUCAAAUUAAGGCUUACCUCAUAUUCUUAUCAUUUCGUGCUCAUACAAAUCUGUAGUGCACUUCUCGGCUGUUCCUUAACAUUGCUGCCACUUGCCCAGAUCUUAUUCCUUUGAAAACCUACCAUGUUUUGACUAUUUUUGUGCACUGCUUGUGGCAUCCUAAAAUCUCGUGACAACCUCUAGAGUGCCAUGAACCAUGAUUAGGUAAUGGAAGUGCCGUUUGAUUUUGCAUUAGCCAUUGAGUUAAUGAAUUUCAAUUAAUUUAAGGCCGAGCAUUGUAAAGGAUGAUUGUUUGGAUGGAGGUGUGUCUUCAAGUGACCCAAGGAUUUAUUAAAGUGCAAAUUGAUAUAGAAAUCUUAUUCUUGGUGGUGCACUUUAUAAGUAGAAUUUUAUUGAUUUAAAUUAUAGAGUUUGUGGGCUUAUAAGUUGAAAUUAGGAGUUUAUUUAAAUAAGGGUUAAAUGGAAUAGGAAUAGGAGAGGGUGGGCUGAUUUUUAGGCCCAAAAGACCAUCCAACCAGCCCACGCCAGCCCCUUGGUCGACUGGCCCAUGAAGGCCCAAGACCGGCCCAAACCUUGAAGCCCAUAAGCCUUGCAUGCGAGCUGCCAAGUGGCAUGGAGGUUGAGCAAAGUGUGGCUGCCCCCAUUGGCUCCUUUGGGCGGCUGCAUGCAAUCAAAUCAUUGAAGGGGAGGAAAGAAAAGGGAUGGAGAGCUCGAGAGGGAGAGGGGUGUCCAAAGAAAGAAGAGAGAAAGAGAGGAAGAGGAGACGCUGUCGAGCCCGCCUAGUCCCACCGUCGUUAUUGCUGUGUUUUCCUUCAAUUUGAGGCAAGUGAAGUCCUAAAACCUACCCUUUGCAUUUCUGUGUAUAUGUGUAGUAGAUGGUAAGUUUUGGUUGUGGUAGAUAGGAUGAAAUUUCGGAGCUAUGGAGAGAGAUUCGUUGGCCAUGCAUACUGUUUCUGGAAAGACCAGUUUGACCGUCCAUGAGAUUGUGUGUUGCAUGUGACUUUUUAGUCAGAAUCUUGUUUCAAUUUCUUCAUGAAAUUUGUAGCGAACACCUUGAAGAACAACAUACAAAAAUUUGAGGCAAAACGGACAAGAAAUGGUUAGUGAAAUGAUUUUUCUUUGGAGAGACUAGAUCUGGAAUUUGUCGUGAUGAACUUCAGUGGUUUCGUGGUCUGUAAAGUAACCUUCUUGUGAAAAUAUCACCUUGAUCUCUUAAUGAAAGUUGUAGUGUACUUCUUGAGGUAGAACAUAUAAAAAAUAUAGAGAAAAAAAACAAGAGUAGGUAGGUGAAAUUGUGGUCUUUCGAAGAUGGUUAGAUCUGGAAAUUUCGGUACUAGGAACAUAAGUUUUAACCGCCUAUAUUUAAUUACCUAGGAUGAAUCUGACUUCGAUGUCUUCAUAAAGUAUUUAAAUUGUGGUCUUGGCUAUCACAUAGUCGAAUUCCAUAAUUUUUAAAUGUCAUUUGGGUAUUUAAUCGAAGGUGUUUCUAAAACUGUGCGAUCUGAUGUGUUUGGACUUGGUAAUGUUGCAAUGCGUGGUCUACACCGUUUUUUAUGAGAUUCUUUUGGAAAAUUUUUCUGCAUGAAAUUCCUUUAUUUAUAUCUUGCCUACAGCAUAUUCAAAUUUCGUAAUUUUUGAAGUUCAUUUGCUUAUUUAACCAAAACAUUUUCAAAAACUGUGCAAGUGGAACGGACAGAAUUAGUAGUGCUGUGAUGCGUGGUCUGUAUUGAACUAUAUAUGGAUAUUUUGGUGUAGUGUUCUUCAUGAAGUAUCUGCCUUUAUGUCUUAAAUAUCACAUGUUCGAAUUUCAUAAUUUUUGAAUGUCAUUUGGGUAUUUAAUGAAAAAAAUUUCUAAAACCGUGCUAGCUGGAUUGUGCAAAUUUCAAAAGCUGUGAUGCAUGAACUAUCCUGUUUUGUAUGAAAUUCUAGUGGUGCUGUGUUCUUCAUGAGAUGAAUGCCCUUAGAGUUUGUCUAUGUUGUACUAAAUUCUUAGGAAUUAUUAGAGACAAUCACUAAAUUUUAGGAAAUGUAAAUUAAAAAGAAUGUUUUCUGUUUUCUAAAAUAAUAGUAAUUGAUCUUGCUGCAUAUGUGAUGAUAUAUGGCAUUGCAUAUAAAAUCAAAAGCUGAAAUUGACUUUGUUGCCAUCACAUUAUGUGCCAUGUUAAUAUUGAGACACAAUUGUGAACAUGAAUUGUGAUAAAUGAGGAUGUCGUUGGAGGUGUGAGCCGACGAUGCCCCGGGAGUGUCUGUGGGGGUACCGGAUGCUCGGUGGCCUAGUGGCGUAAUUCCAGAGGGUCCUCAAGAGUUUCAAGAUGUCCAAUGGUAUACGGUACGUAAUUCCAGAGGGAAUGCCUGGUGGUAUGUCGGUACGUAAUCAUGGAAGCCUCGGAGGUGUGUGCCGAGGGGAUUCCUCGUGAUGCCAAGUGGGAUGCGAGAUGCCCGGAGGUGUGUGCCGGAGGUUCCUCGCGAUGCCAGGUUGGAUGCGAGCGAUAAAUUAUGGGAUGCAAACAUUUGUCCCUAGAUGAAAAAUAAUGAAAUCCUUGUGAAAGAUAAGAGCUGAAAUUGAAUCAUGUGCAUGUGUGUAUGCAUAUGGCAUGAUGCAUGAUCUGCUUAUGAAAGUAAAUUGAUGCUAUUUGAUAUUGAAAAUGCGAUCAUGAAGGCAUGAAUGGAUCUCAUGGUGAUGUAUGCUUGAUAGCAUGGAUGAUACAAGUUAUGGUGAUAUAUACACGAUGGCAUGGUGAGAUAUGCAUGACUGCAUGGUGGUAUAUGCACGAUGGCAUGGCGAGAUAUGCAUGACUGCAUGGUGAUAUAUGCAUGAAUGCUUGAUGAUAAGUGCAUUGUGGUAUAUGCACAUAUGGCAUGGAGAUAUAUGCAUGAAUGCUUGAUGAUAAGUGCAUGGUGAUAUAUACACAUUUGGCAUGGUGAUAUAUGCAUGGCUGCAAGGUAAGUUAUGAUUGAAUGCAUGAAUGAUAUGUGCUUUGUUAUGAUGCCUUGAUUGUUCGGUUUGACGCAAUGAGUAGCUUGGUGGAUCUUUACUGCUGAGUGGUUGUACUCACCCCUUUUGGGGAUUAACAUUUCAUACUAGAUAAGAUUCCCCUGCUGCCACUGCCACUAGUAGAUGGAUCAAGUGGUUGGAUAUGAUCGCGAGGAGGAGGAUAGCAAAGGAAGGAACUUUUGGACACCGACACUAAUCGAUGGACUUUAAGUAUACGACUGUUGGAAGAGAUGUCGGUCUUCUUUUGAAGUACAGCCAAGUAUAGAAAACUAUGGCAUUUUGAUGUACCGAUGAAUGAUGUCCAUCUGGUUUAAGUAAAUAAAAGUGUUUGGCUUUUACUUAUAAAUGUUUAGUUAGUGUGCAUCGUUUUCUGAAUAUAGGGAAAUGAGUUGUUUGGAUGUGCAUCCGCCACAUGAACUGUGCAAGGGACCGAUCUAAAAGAUGUAAACCCCCAUGGUUGUAUGGGCUCGCUGCAAUUGAAAUGGUAUCAGAGUGACAUGUUAUUAGGAAAAGUGAAAGGUAAGUGAACUGUGGCGACCCUAACGGAUCGGGGGCCGUUCGAGGGGUGCCACACUGCUGGACUUCUUCAACUUUUCUUUUGUGGGUAUUGUCUUCAGCCUUGCACUCCACUUAGCAAUUAAUACGAAAGGAUCGAAUCUUAUUGGAAUUCUUCCAAACCUGGGCCGGGAAGUGGUGAGUGAUGUGAGGCGCUGAAGCUACGGGGAGAGAGAGUUCGCUGAUGUUUCCUCUUGCAGACGUGCAAGCACUGUAGGAAAUUGCUGAACUUGCGAAUCCUUGCACCCGAGGGGCUGAUUCUGCGUCUGGACUAGCCGCACUAGAUUGGCCAGGACUGUGAACUCGCUUGAGGUGCUGAGAUGGCCUAUGGAGAGCUUCACCCAUACCAACGCGCUGGGGCCUCGUUGGAGCUAGAACGUUGUGAAGAGGCUCAUUGGUGUUGCUUGGAACUCACCGGACAGAGGAGACUAGGCUGGGAACAAAUGUAGAGAGAUUGGAGAUCGCCAAAAGGCAGAAGCAGCUCAUGAAAGAGAUUUUGUAUUAAAGUCUUCCUGGCUGGGAUGGUAAUUGAUGACUUUCUGCACUUUUAUCACUAAGACGAUCGGUCUGAGCAAAAUCAUUGUCCAUAAGCAUACGAUGUGGGAAGACUUAAAGGUGUCGUGAGGCAUGCAAAGAAAAGAGACAUAGCUGGUUCGGGAUUUGAGCAGCUUUUGAUAGAAAGAGGUCAUGCCUAUUUCCUAUGGCAUAGUACCUGCUAGAGCUACUGACAAUUACAUGGUUUCUAUUUUCCACAUUUGACUUAAUACCCUGAUUAACCAUUUCCUCUUACAUUGUGCUGCACUUUUUUUUUCCCUUCCUUCUCAGUUCAUCUACUUGUUUUUGGCAUAACGAACUUCUAAUGCCAAAGCUUGUCUCUGUAAUGAACUCGCCCUGGAUAUGCAAAUCAACAAAGAUAAAUUGUUUAGCUAAAAAUCUGGGUAGAAGACUCAUGUGGACCGAUUUUCCUAUGUAUCUUUUCAUUUUUGAGUACAAUUUAAUAUGUGACUUUUUAGUGGAGUUCUUUGGCAACAUAUUGAAAUGAAUUACUGAGAUUACAAGUUCAAAACUUUAUGAUAUCUAAGUGUUGUCAUAAUCGAAGGUAGUAACAAAGAGGCAGUUUUCAUUGAUCAUGCUUUUAGCUUGCUUGCAUCCAACCACAUUACGGUCAUUCAGAUGUGGUACAGACGACCACAAGAGUUGGCAGAGUUUCUUGUGCAAGAGAAUGAUGUCUAAACAGAAGCCGAAAAUAUCAUCUAGGUGACUAAGGGCGUGUUUGGUAACGUUUCUGUUCCGAGAAACAAUUUUUGAAUAGAAAUAUAUAUAUAUAUAUAUAUAUAUAUAUAUAUAUAUUGUUUCUGUUCCCGAGAACAAUUUCUGAGUAUAAGAUGCGUUUGGUAACUGCAAAAAAUUUCUAUUCCAGGNNNNNNNNNNNNNNNNNNNNNNNNNNNNNNNNNNNNNNNNNNNNNNNNNNNNNNNNNNNNNNNNNNNNNNNNNNNNNNNNNNNNNNNNNNNNNNNNNNNNCCACCGAGGCCACCAGCAAGGCUCGACCUCACCCAAGUAGUGCGAGGUCGGCCUCACCCAAUGGCUGGGCAAGCUCGGCCUUGCUAAAUCUGGGCAAGGCCAACCUUGCCCAGCCCAAGCGAGUGUCGCUGUGGCUCAAUGUCUCUCUAGGGGCCGGCAAUGCUCCGGUGAGGUCGUUAGCCCUCAUCUGGCAAGUCAUCGGCGCUGGCGAUGGCCAAGGUCGGUGACCGGCAAAAGGAAGAAGAAGAAGAAGAAGAAACAACUUUUUUCUACUUCUUAUUUCUUUUUCAAAUCUGUUCCCAGGAACAAAAAUACUAUUUUUUUUGUUGCUGGGAACAAAAGUUUACAACUUUUUUCUACUUCUUAUUUCUUUUCCAAAUUUGUUUCCGGGAACAAAAGAACUAUUUUUUUGUUCCUGGGAACAAAAGUUUUACCAAACGCGUUUUUGUUCUUUUUUUUUGUUUCCCGGGACAAAAGAACAGAAAUUUUUGUUCCGGGGAACAGAAACAAAAAUAAACAAACAGGCCCUAGCUGAAACCUUUCUUGAGAUUACCAAUUUGUACAGCCUGAGAACUUAGAUAAUUCCUGGUUUUGGAAUACAAAGUUUCAGUUGAAAUUUCUGGAGAAAUUAGAGAUUUGACGUCCUUUGACUUCUCAAACUUGAGAAAAGGUCAAGCCACUUCAAGGAGAAACAGUAUACAGGACAUGAAGAUGUUGAGGAUCAGCAAUAUACCCUGGCCUCUCUCUGUGGCAUUAACAGAUAAAUUUGCGGAUCAAAUGAUGAAUUAAAUUGGUUUCUCAAGUUGUAGUGAUUGGCCUUUUGCAAAAUAUUAUUGAAGUGGACUGGAAACUCUCAUAUCUACCUCUUGUGGAAGCUUGUCAUUAAUAAUCAUAUCUUAGAAGAUGUGAGGUUUAUAGUUGUAGAAUUAAAAUUUUCUAUAAGCAUUGCAUUGAAGGUUCGCAUCCUAUUAUAGAAAAGGGAUCUUCGAAGACACGCAUGCGUAUCUUAAAAAUAACCAUGCCAGAUCUAAGCUACUCUGUAAAGGGAGAACUUUUAAGGUUGGUGUCCGCCGUGAUUUACGUUGAAAUCCCAGUUCAACAUGAUUUAGAACCGUCUCGCACGUUCGUCUCUCCGCUUCCACGUUUCUGGGUAUUUCUUCGCUCAUUCUGUCCACAACUGCUACAUAUUGCUGUUGUUGCGACCUCCGAGGACAAACCGAUCAAAGACAAAUAUAAUCUUGUCCGAAUCAAGGCAAUGUGUGCAGGCGCAAGUCUCAGAUUACUUGGUUUUGUUUGUAAGCAAUGUGAUCUCCAUCCCUUUUGAUAGCCUUUUCAUUUCCUCAAAACACCAAAGAAGAUGACAUUCGAGACGUGAAGUCACAAGCAAUUUAGUCUUAAAUUUGUGUUGGACCAUAUUCGACGAAGGGAGGCUCUACUUUGCAACGAAUUCAUCUAAAAUUUAACAUCUACUUCAAAAAAACAUUGUAAAAAUUGUUAAUGUCAAACGUCCAUCAUGUCACAUAGGACGGUCAGCGGCCACGUCAACUAUUCCCAACCUAUUUUUGUUGAAAGAUUACAUUGACAAAUUGUCAAAUGUUUACGACUAAGUUGGCCAAAAUUUAAAAGCUUAAAAUUGAAUUGAUUUGUUGUCCAGUAGAUUUAAAACUGAAUUGAUCUUUGUUAUUCUAAUUGGUCAACAACAAUCAAAAUAAACUCUAAGUAAACACUUAAUGUGCGAAUAGUUUUUUCCAUACCACUAAAAGUUUAAGAUUGAAUUUGCUUCAGUGGAUCUAUUAAACACCACCAAAAGUUUGUCCUAUUAAUGUGUGAACAAUUCGUUAUACGCCUAGCGUAUAUUGCGGCUUUUGUAUUUUGACUAUCUUACUUUAUUUUUAUUUUUUGGGACUCUCUUACCUGACGCCAACGAUUUAACUGAGGCCGAGCACCGGGCCUUGCUUGGGCAUGCAUGGCCUGAGAAUGCCAGGAUCGGCACCUUAUUUUUGUCGGCCCAUGUGUCGGGCCUUGUUCAUGGUUGGCCUUGGCCCGAUUUUUAAAAUUGAAAAAGUUUUUUUUAAAAAAACCAAUUUUAGUUCAGUUAUAAAAAGAAAAUUUAAUUGAUAAAUUUGAUGAAAAAAACUCAUUAUGUUAUACCAAAUUAAGUACAUGUACAUCUUCAUAUAAUUUGGAAAAAAAAAUUGCACACAAGUUGCACCAAAAGAGAAUGUAUAAUAAACAAAGUAUUUUCAGCACUGUUUCCCUUACUAUAAUUGGACGAUACGUUAUCAUUAUUAUCCUCUUGCUCAUACGGGGCACAUUCUUCUUUAGUUUCUUCCAAAAAUCAAUCAUGCCGUACACCUACCAAAUUUAAAAUUUUUGCAGAUUGUUGACAUCCAAACUUUCGUAACGGUCUAAGUAAGAAAAUUCUUGGUUCAAGACCUCCAAUCAUGGCAACUCUUGUUUCUUGACAAAUAAAUUAGUGUAAUGUCCUUAGUAUCUUAAUUGCAUGUAGAAAUUAGGAGUGUUGUAUUUCAUUAGUAAUUAUGCAUCAUUUGUUCAAUAAAACAAGAGUUGAUUUUUUGUGUUAGUCAAACCCAAAAAACCAAUUCUCGGUAAAAAAUUACGAAAGAAAAAGAAGACAUAAAAAAUUGCAUAUAUAUGCCAAUUUAGAUGGGUGUAUAGAAUUAGGCCUUUAAGUUUCCAAUUUUCUUAAAAAUGGCGAAAGGUUGAAUUUUUGGUUGAAUCUUUGACUAAAUAAAUUAGAAUCUCAUUAAUUUAUAAUUUCGUCUUUGUGACGUCUGAUAUAAGGAUGGUGAAUUUCGAAGUUUUCAAUCUGAUUAAGGAAAUUUCAACCAAUGAAGCCGAUCAAUUAUUUAGAGCAUGAUACUUGACACGUAAGAUUGGAGUUACUUAAACUCACACUUCGUGCCACUUAAUGCGAUCACACAAAAGCCAAAAGAAAAAAAAAAACGUGUUCUUCUACCCAUUUUGGAGGGGUAGCGGCACGUGUACAAGGAGAAACAAUCCCUCGUUUAUUGGUUGAGGUUCUUACGAGCACGUAGGGUAAUACGCCAUUUUUUUUUUCAGAGAGAAAAUCGAGAAGAAAUCCCCUCCAGAAGUUGCCUCUCCCGGGUUAGACACCGAAUGACACCACCGUAUGCCGUUCACCAUCCCCGAUCAACACAACUCCAGUCGCUGGCCAAUACAGAGCCGAGAGGGACCUUUUCUCAGAGCACGUGAGAAAUCUUCCUGAAAACCAGUCCCCGACGUCUUCCAUCUGCCUUGAACACGACUGAUCAUCGCUUGUCACCGUCAGCUAUAGUUUCGAAAGGGUGACGAACGUGCUCUGUUCGGGUUCAUUGCUGAAAGUUAGAUCUUUUUGUUGGCCGUGACUCCGACCCUCAACGACAACCAAAGCUUCCGAUCCAAUUACCAAUCACAGUUUUGUUUCCGUCCAUUAACAAUGGUGAUUAUUGGCGAGCAAAGUGAGCAAGAGUCACAGAUAUGCAUAUUGCCGAAUUUCUAAUAACGUACUUUCAGGUGCUUGGAUUGGCCUUGGUGGUUCUUAACAUAUUGAGUACAUUUUGCAAUAUUGGGGGCCCUUAUCUUGGAAGGCCUGUGAAUGGACAUGGAGAUGGUAUUCCUGAGGCGGUCAAUGGCAGUUGCGGGGUGGUAUAUGAACGGUUCUAGCUGAAUCAUUGUUGUUCAUAGAUGUCAUCUUAGAUCAUGUGUGGGUUUGGUCAGUAGUAGACUGAAAAUUAUAUAUAUAUAUAUAUAUAUAUAUAUAUAUAUGUAUGUAUGUAUGUAUAUGUAUAUGUAUAUGUAUAUGUAUGUAUGUAUGUAUAAAGCGAAGGGGGCAGAAUAGAGAAUAGAGGAUGGGCUUUAUAUUGGAAAAUAAAGUUGGAGUGGGCUCAGGGCCUAAUCCAUAAUUGGCUUAGUACAGUCGUCCUUCAAGAUGGGCUUAAUUAGGUUUAAUGAACUUUGGGCUUGACCAGUCUUAAGUGAGCUUGGGCUUAGCUUAGUGUGAUUUGGUUUUGGGCUGAGUUUGUUCUUUAAUGAGUUGGGCUUACACUAAUUGGAAGACAUUUUGCUCAACACCAACAUAGCUGAGAGGAUUUCAAACCAUUCUCAGGCAUCUUAUAAUUUUUUUUUUCUUUUUCUGUUCUCUAUUUAACUUGUUAAUUAUUGGGGAAAAACAAACAUAAUCAAUGAUGUCAUAAAAAUAAAGCACCCAUAUAUUAAUAUCAGACACUCCUUAAAAAGAGGAGGGCCGGGUGUGAGUAGCCCUUAUAGCUUUGGGCUGAAUGCGGCUCGAGAGCAAAAACCUUGAAAAGGCACUAAAACAUGAAAUUCCUAAUUCAAAUAGAUUAUAAUUGAACAUUGAGACAAACCAAUGGCUAUGAGAGGCUCAAGUUUAGGCCGCCAAAGUAUGGAACGAACUAAGCUCGAACUUAGUGAUACUUGAUUUGAGAGGCUUCUCUAAGCUUAUUAAACUUUUUUAUACUACAAUUGUUGAGACAAGGCAAGUUAAACUUUGAUCAUGCAAAAAAUCUAACCUAACACGUGCAUUUAAUCCCCUCACACAUGUUUGUUAGGGACUCGAAACAGAAUUGUUUUUUCUUCUAAAUAUUGUGUUAAUAGAUCAAUUACAUUACUAAUCACUAGAUUACAUGUAUGAUUGUUCAUUUAUUAAGGCUUGCUUAGGUCAUGGAAAUUCUCAAUUAAACCUGAAAACUGUUUAUUUAUUUGACCAAACCCUUCUCUUUCCUGGAAAAUAAGAAAACUCCAGUUUAAUGGAGAAAAAGAAAAACAAAGCGUGGUCUAGACUCAAUGCAGAUCACAAGGACGGUCAAACGAGGGAAAAAGAAAAGAACUUGCUUCGCGAGUUCUUCCUCGACUCAGUAAAGUUCCACGCAUUCACUUCACCAAUAAUAGUGCAUUGGUGCGGAAGACGCGAUUGACAUCAAAGGACGGGAAAACGCCAAGCCAAGCCAAUUUUUGAUUAAGACAAGCCGAGGAGGGAAAUUUAUGUGUUCAUAUGGCUGGUCGAUAGACAUUGUUUUUUCGUCAUUAUCUCAUAAGAAUUGCGAGUAUAAUGACGUAAUAACAAGAAGUUGGUUCUAUCCAAUCACCGAUGAGUUUCAUGCACAAGAGAGCGUGGACUUGCGAAGUCUGUUCAUUUGUUUAUAAGUAAGAAUUUGUAUUCCAAAAAAUAUUGUAAGUGGAGCAAGUCAUUAAGCACCAUGAAACAUAUCAUGCAUCAAUCAUACUACUAAUGUAUAGUAGUUUAAAAAAAUCCACAAUCAAUUUCUCUGUGAUAUCCACAUAUAAUAAUCUGAAUCUAAUAUUUCGUAUAAAUAAACAACUAGGACGAUAAACGAUGCUAGCAAAUAUUUGGAUACAACCAAAAUAAUCUUGUGACAUGUGAAGAAGCCAUAAAGCUUCAAGAUGCAAAGGUAAAAAUCGAAAUCAAUUGCCUUAAUUAAUUAAGCCGUAAUACUUUUUGGAAAAUUGUAUUAAUUAUGAUUCCUUUGACAACAACUUGCUAAGAUAAUCAAAGGUGAAAAUCUAUUUAUUGAGAUCGAAAGCUGAUGAGGUCUAGAUUGUACAAUUGAGCAACCAAUCAUAUAUAAAAGAGUACAUCUGGCAUUCGUCAAUUAUGAUUUCAAUAUCAAAAGAGAUUAUCUCAUAUGUUUUCAAGAUAAAGUUAUCACAAAAUUAAUGUAUUAUGAUUGUGUAUGUGCCCUAAGAGAAAAUUAUUGCCCGACAACAUUGAUAGACAAGAUCAUCCGCAUAAAUUUUCUCAACUAACAGCAUGGGAAAUUUCCAAACAAACACACUAGACAAUUCAUGGUACUUAGUACUUACACAACCAACUUUUGUUUUUUCUUUUUAUUUUUUUCCCUCUUAUUUCACUCGAAUAGCCAAUGUUUCUAUCUGUAAUUUUGUCCACCUUCCAGAUUCUUUCUUUCCUUGCACUCCAACUUGACUUGAACUUGCUGAGGUUUACAUUUCCUGUUCAACAAUCGGAAGAUUAAUUAUAUAUAUUUGUUUCUUUGUUUGUUAAGCAUUCCACAAGCAAGGGGAAGUUCAAGGUUGAGCCCAUCGGUAUAUUAAGUUGAAAUCAAUUUCACUCAAAAACUGUGAUGGAUCAACUAUAAUAUAUUAACUACUCUACUCCUUAUCAAUUUUCCAAUAUGGAGUUUUUCUAACAUAAUUUAUAAGCGCUAAGUAUAUGUCAAUACAAGGCACUUUAAACUUUAGUCAUGCGAAAAAUCUAACCUAACUCACGCAUUAAAUCCCCUCACACAUGUUUGUAGGGACUCGGAGUAGAAUGCUUUUCUUUUUUCUCUAAAUAUAGUGUUAAUAGCUCGAUUACAUUACUAAUCACUCGAUUACAUGUGCGAUUGAUUAUUUACUAAGGCCUGCUUAGCUCUUGGGAUUUCUCAAUUAAACCUGAAAACUAUUUAUUUUAAUUGACUCCCUUUCCUUUCCUGGAAACUAAAACUCGUCCAACGUGGGUCAGACUCCAUUGGCAAGGAUGGUCAAAUGAGGAAAAAAAAGGGAGUAACUUGCUUCUUGAGUUCUAUACCUUGACUCGGUCAAGUUCCACGCAUUUAGUACACCAAUAAUAGCGAGUCAGUGCAAAAGACGCGACUGAAACAAAGGACCGGGCAAAACUUUCGACUAAGACCCGCCGGGGAGCGAAAUUCAUGUGUUCACAAAUCACCGAUCAGUUUCGUGCCCAACAAAUAGGGAGGUCUUGCGAAGUCUUUUUAUUUAUUUAUAAGUAAGAAUUUAAAUACCAAAAAAUAUUUUAAGUGCACCAAGUCAAUAUACACCGUGAAACUAAUGCAUGAUAGUUUGAAAAAAUCCAUAAUCAAUUUCUCCGUAAUAUCUAUAUGUAAUAACCUAAAUCUAACAUCUCUUAGAUAAUAAAUUAUGCUAGGGGUAAGUAUGGUCCGAGUUGGGCCAGUUCACCCCCUAACCCUAGGAUCAACCCGUACAGUGUUGGUCUUCAAUUUUUGGGACCGAUGAUUGACUCUAUUGAGUUUAGGACCGAAGACCGAACCGGUUCAGUCCGAUUCCAGGAUUAAUCUGAGACCAAUAGAUAAUUUUUUUAUUUCAUUUUUUGUACUCCCUAAAAAGGUGAUCGAUGACUAGACUAACCCAAUAGGUUUGGUGAUGAGCGAGGUUAGCUAAGAGAGGCCAGGGCGAACAUCGAGUGUCGAGUGUUGUGAGCGUCAAGUGGUAAGCGGCACGAGUGGCCAAAAGCAAGCAAGUCGAAUGUCGAGUAGCAAGCGAAUAAGUUGUUUCUAUCGAUUUUGACAAAUUGAAGAUUAAGAUGACAAAUAAGACAAAAAAGAACGAGUACUAGAGGAGGAUGCUAUGAGGAGCUAUUUAUGCCAUUUUGGACGAUGUGAGGACUCCUCAAAAAAACAUUUUCCUCAUUUGUAAAUUAUCGUUGUUGAUGUCAUAAAAUACAUUAGAAAUCUAAGUUAUUAAAGAACGGUGUAAAAUUACUUGGACUCCUCACUAAAGAGUUGUUCAAUGUUGUUGCGUUGUUUAUUUUAGAGUUUUCUCUAUAUAAAAAAAAUAUCAAUAAUAUAUUAGAUAUAACAAUUAUACAGUCAAGGUUGGUCCGGAUUAAACCAACCUUAAACUCUUAGUACCGAGGACCAACCCUUACAAUGCUAGUCCAUGAAUCCUAGGAUCAAAGAUUGACCCAAUCUCCUUGGGAACCAGACUGGGACUAGCAAAGUUGGGUCGGUCUAAAGUCGGUCUAGGGUCAACCCUAGACUAAUGCUUACCCCUGAACUAUGCUACUGAAAAUUUGAACAAAACCAAAAUAAUCUUGUGUCAUGUAAGCAAGCCAUAAAACUUGAAUAUGCAAAAGUAAAAAUUGAAAUCAAUUGCCUUAAUUAAUUAAGCCAUAAUACUUUUUGGGAAAUUGUAGUAACUAUCAUUCGUUUGACAACAACUAGCUAAGAUAAUCGAGGGUGAAAAUACAUUUAUUAAGAUCGAAAGGUGAUGAGGUCUACGUCGUGGUAGGUGGACUGUGAGCACGUAAUCUACUUGACUUCAAAAUUAAAUAAGUGCUAAGCAUAUGUCCAAAUCUUGACAGACCUUGCGGCAUAGCAAAGAAACUAGCACAUAUAAUUAAUGCAAUUGGUUGUGCUUGCCUGAUGGUCUUCCUAUAUCCAAGUCUCAUUAGGUUGGAGUCUAUAAUUAUUGGCUAGCUUCUGAGAUGACCGACUAAAAUCAAGAUGAAGAGGAACUCGAAGGCAAUCCUAAGCAUGGAUAUUGAGCCAAAAGAUGAGUGUGAUGUGUUUUUGAAUUUCAGGGGACUAGACUGUCGCGACCAACUUUUUCGGUGCCCGUUCAAGGCCAAGUGCCUACAGAGGCUAAUGGUUUGGCUAGGUUUAUUAGGCUUAGCUUGGACUCUUCUAAGUCCACCAAUUCACGACUUAAUGGUCCAAGUUUUUUUAACCUGUAAGUUAAUUUUAAAUAGGAAUCGUCACUAAUCAAUUUAGGGUGGGUUGAUUAGAAACUCAAGCGAAGUAUUGGGGGAAAUACUUGCUCAUGCGUAACCAGAGAAACUAGGUUCGGGAACUUAAUUACACUUAAUCACUAAUGCCCUUCUGGUACCUAAUCUUGUUUAAACCCUAAGGUUUUUUUUUUUUGGAUUUUUUAGGGGUUUUCCAUGCAUUUGUGGAGGAAAAACAUUUUUUUGGACAUUUUUCUAUUUUUUAAACAUAAAAGGGAUUUUUGGACUUUUUGGUCUUUUUCUGGAAAAUAUAAAUAAUUAUUUUUGGCUUUUUCUGAUUUUUUUUUGGGAAAAUAUGGGAUAUUUUUUAUUUUUUGAUUUUUCUGGAAAAUAAGCAGCCCCCUUUGGCUGCUUUUUUUUUUCUCUUAUUAUUAUCUAUUAUUUAUUAUCCAAAAAAAAAGGAAAAAUACAUAAAUAGAGAAAUUAAGGCCUAAUUAAAACCUAAUUAAAAUUUAGGUGUCAACAUAGACACACGCCUAACCUUAGCUAAUAGCCCUUACGUCCACUUGAUGCGCACCGCAUGGUCAAAUGGGGAAAAAAAAAAGAAAAAGAAAACAUGGGCUGAACAUCAUUAGCAAAGCCCAAGGAUGAUUCAAUGAGGAAAAUAGAGAUGAACUUGCUGCGUGAGUUCUGAGUUCGAGCUUGACUUAGUAAAGUUCAAUGCAGUCCCUUCACCAACAAUAGUGCGUUAGUACAGAGAUGCAACUAAAAACAAAGGAUCGUGAAAAAGCCAAGUCAACUUUUGAUUGAGACAAGCCGAGGAAGCAUAUUCAUGCAUUCAUAUAACUUAUCGAUAAUCUUUCUGUGAUAUUCAAAGGGCGCGUUUGGUAACGUUUUUAUUCAAAAAUAGUUCCCAGAAUAGAAAUAGAAAAAACUAUUUCUAUUAAAGGGAAUAAUUUUUUAACAGAAAAACGUGUUUUGUAAACUUGUAUAAUUUUUUAUUUCUUUUAAUUUUUUAAUAUUUUUUAUUUUAUUUUUCCUUUUUUCCUUUUUUCUUUGUUCCUUUUGGCCGGUCGCCAGGCCGGCGACCUCACCCAGCCACAACGAGGCUCACCAGCCCCCAAUGAGGCCGGUGACACUUCAGCGAGAUCGCUGGCCCUCGGUGACACUUCGGCGAGAUCACUGGCCCUCGACGGCCAGUCGCCGACCAUGGCCGAGGCCAACAAUUGGCCAAAGUCGAAAUUGUUCCUGGGAACAAGAAAUAAGUUUUUUCUACUUCUUAUUUCUUUUCCAAAUCUGUUCCCAAGAACAAAAAAAUAAAUUUUUUGUUCCUGAAAACAAAAGUGUAAACAAACGCGUUUUUGUUCUUUUUUUGUUCCCCGGGACAAAAGAACAAAAAUUUGUGUUGCGGGGAACAGAAAAAAAUUUAAACAAACAGCCCCAUAGACUCUAUAGUUCCUUAGAAAGUCAAUUUCCAAUUAGUGGUCAUUGAGACUCAUGGGCAAUGCAGAUUAAUAUGUAGGGAUAGAUAUUACCUCUCCUUUUUCCCUUUCAAAAAAAUUGAAAUGAUUGAAAUUUUUCUAUUUGGAAUUGUCUUAGGUCUAAUUCAUAUUACUUUAGCUGGAUUAUUUGCAACUGCAAAUUUACAAUACAAAUGUGGUUUCAUUUCUCGGACAAGCCUUAGCCUAGUGCUGCAUCAUAGGUCAUCUAGAGCAGGGUUAGGGCGAGUGAAUAGAAGAUUGCAGUGCGAGAUUUCGAGAAGCUUGAGAUGAGCUUUUUGGUAAAGAAGAUGAUCUGCUAUUAGUCUAUAGCAUGAGAGAUGCUAUAAAAAAAGAAUCUGUAACCAUCAACUUCCGUUCCCGCUCAAUGGCGUGUUUUCAGUUGAGUAAAACUUUGAACCCGCAGUUUUGUUUAUUUAAAAAAAAAAAAUAAAUUCAUCAAAGCUGUUUGGCGUUUCCAAAAGAGGAUGAGAACGGGGAAAUGGAAGAGGAUUUCCUUGAAAGCAAACUCCUUGAAAGCAAACGGCCCCUACCAAUCGGUCAAAAAGACACUGAGUAAACGGUUAAAAGGGGGGAAAACGGUCAAAAAUAUAUUUUAUAAGAUUGCAGUGCCAUUUGAUUGCAGUGCCAUUUGAUUGCAUAUAUUCUAUAGAUGUUAGUAAGUUUUUAUUUUAUUUUAUUGUAAUGGUCUAAAAAUACCAUGAAAUAAUGUGCAACAAAAGCAAAACUAACCUUAAUCUUAAUUGUUGGGGAUAAGUGAACAAAAAUUUCCUAGAAUUUGUCGUAAAACUGCAAACAAAUCUUACAAGUUUCAAAUGGUAAAAUAAAAUCCUAAAAUUUAUUGAUUUGGUGCAAUAAAAUCCCUCCAUUAACUCUGUUUGAUUUGGCUAACAGAAAAAACUAAUAUGUUAUUUUUAUUAUUUUCAACACGUGGCACUGAUUUGGCCCUUACUGAGCACAAUAUCGGAAAAAAACUUGAAAAUUGAAAAAAGAAAAAAAGAAAAGGAGGAUAAAAAGGAAAAAAGAGAAGGAUAACAGAAAAAAGGACACGAAUUAAAAAAUAAAAAAGUUGAAAGUCUAAGUGACGAAGGAUUAAAGGAUAGGCAAAAGGAAGAUCCGCCAGCUUCCGUAUAGGUUUUUAGUCACUUUCAUGACUUAGGCAUAACAAAUCAUUGGCAUUGUUUUCAAACUUGAAGAACUUACGGGUUCUGGAAGUUCAUAAAUGGUCGAUUGCACACUUCACGGUCCUUGUAGACUUAGAGAUGCUAGAAGGUAUUGAAAUUAAUUUUUCUACAUAUAUAUCAAUUGAGAGAAAUUCACAUAUCCUGCUUGAAGAAUCCACCCUACUUGGUUUCGAUUCAAUUAGAGAGCCUUCUUCAGAUCGAAGGUUUUUGGUGUAAGAACAAUUGCAGCCUAGAUGAUAUUAUCAAUGGUUUAGUAAUUAUCUACAUGCUAAAAAACAUAUUGGUUAUGAAAAGUUGCAAUUUUUUUUUUUAAAUGAAGAUAGCAUAUGAAAAGUCACAACUUUUAUGAAGAUAGAAAAUUCUAUGUGCUUUAAUGGAACACUUGUCGAAAGCAUCUAAUGAUAGCUUAUAAAAGAAGCCUAGUCCUCUCUCCACCCAUCAAGAAAAAGAAAAGUUGUAUUCUAUUCUUUAUUAGAUAAAAUGCAUAAGAAAAAAUGGGUUAAGGGAGAGAAAUCGGAUUUUAUCAUUUCUCCUAUUUUCGCAAUAAUCGAAAGCUCAAGAAUAUUACAUUUUCAAGGUUAUUUUUAUGGAUACAAGUAUACCUAAAUACCUCUUGUCAUGAAUAAAUUAUGAAGAUCUAAGAUUCUUUUAUUAUGAAUUUCCGCAUUAUCGAUUACAUUAUUGCUAACAUUUGGAGGAAUCAAAAUCCUUGGGGAACCUAGAGAUACUGUGAUCUUUUGAAGUUGAAAAAUCGAGGGCAUCUUAACAAGAUUUUUCCUCGGAUGCUUGAUUAAGACCCCUUAUUGGAAUACCAAUCACAGUUUACUGUGUCAUUUAAUAAAAAAUUAGGUUUGGUACACAAACAUGACUUUGUCUCCAGUGCCAAACUUCACACCUCCCCCAGGUGGUCACUGGCUUGGAGCUAGAGCUUUGCCUAACCUGCUUUUGUUUCAUUCCCAUUUUUUUUUUUUUUUGUACUUCUGCAUUCAUUUGACUCCAUUUUCGACAUUAUUAGGUUCUUUUCAUGUUUUGUGCACACUUACUCCGCGUGUGCUUUUUUUCGCUAUCUUCGAUGAAAAAGGUAAAAAGAAUCUCCACAAACACACAUGCUAAGUGGAAAUAAAUUAAUCAAUGGAUUGUCAUCAUUAACACUUCUUCGAUAAAUAUAUAACGAUAAACCAAUUUAAUCUCGCCAUCCCAAUGCCAUGUGUUUGUUAUAUUAAAAUAUUAACACUAUAUGUCAUCUAACAGUUUAAAUUUUUUGAAUAGUUAGUAAUGAUCCCAUAUAGUAAGAGGUCAUGACUUCAAAUAUUUCCAAACCCAUGUUUGCUUCCAAUAUUAUAUAUUUCCACAAUUUAGUCUUAGGUUAAACUCCAGCUUGUGCAUGGGGGGCGUAUUAUAUUUAAAUAUUAAGACCACGCAAUUAUCUUACAACUCAAACUUUUAGAACAAUCAGAAUUUUUUUUUUUGUUAGUUAUCUAUUAUUCAAAUGAACCAAACGUCUUAAGUAUACAAUAAUAUAUACAAAUAUACUUUGUGGCUUUUGGCAUUUGAAAGAAUGACGAAAAUUUUAAUGAAGGGAGGGAUGCAUGAUUAAAGUUUUACGAAAUGCAUUUGAACCGGAGAAAACUUGAUUGAAUAUUAGAACCUAUAAAAGUUUUACGAAAUGAAGUGUUAUCUUUGUUGACCAUUGAAAGUUUCCAGUUUCUCCAUUUUUGUAUGAUGCACAGUUAUUAUUCUUUGUUAUAGUGUGUGGGUUUGGCGAAAUUUUAAGUGAAAGUUUAAGUUGAAUGUCUAUUGAGUCCAGUCUAUUAUAGAGAGAUAAUAGCGUUAAUGGAGCUGUGAGAUCCACUUUUUUUUUCAUUGAAUCCCAAAAACGACAGAAAAGAUACCGCGAAGUGUUAAGUAUGGAAUGACCAAGGUAUUACUUUCAUAACUCUUAGUAAUUUAAACUGAAACAAAAAGUGAUGACUCAUAAAGAUAUAUUUAGAUGGAAUGAUUAUAACAUUUGAUUGUUUUAUAAAAGGUGCCCGUUAGCCCUUGUCAUUGUCAUUGGACUGUUCAUCUUCUUCUCUAUUGAGAUCGGCCAACUUGUUGCGCGGGGCUAUGAGCGGCCGGCAAUGGCUAGAUAGAGGUCAACAUGCUCGCGGUGACUGAUCGUCGCUGAAGUGCGACUGCCACGCCAUUUGGGUCACGACGACCAUUGUGGGUCGCGGCGAGAUUUGAGUCACCGACCUCGCUGCGACCCAAAUCUAGGCCGCUUGGGGACACCUGACCCUGGGCAGCCCUCCCCAGUUGUCUACGAGGUUGCCUAAGGUCUUGCAACUUCAGAUGUCGACUACCAAUGACAGAUUUUGAUCGCCGGCGGCCACCUAUCCUCACUGGCCAACAUUUUUGUUUUUCUUUUGAUGAAUUUUUUCUUUUUUUUUAAUCACAAAAUUCAUUUGUAAAUAUAAUCUCUCCAAACACUAUUUUGCUCAAAGGUACUUCACAAUGAACUUUCAUAUUACAAUUUAACAAACACAAUUUGCAUUUUGAAAAGCGUUUUCAACCUAAAGUUCUUUGUAUUUUCUCAAUAGUUUUCCCCAAAAGUCCAACCAAAUGCACCUAAGCCAUUAAGCACAAUAAGUAACUAUAAUAGAAUUAUUAAUAAAAUAACCGAAAAAAUCUUAAGUUUAUUAUACGGAUAUCAAUUUAAUCCUAAAUUUAUCAAUUUAACCAAUUUAAUCUUAUACAUUUGCGAAAAGUUCCACUAUAGUCCAUCAAGUAAAUUUUGAUUCGAAAUCAUUAACGUAGCGGUUCAAUCAUCUUUGGCCGUGUAUGCCGAUGACAUGGAUGCCAUUGUUUUGAUUUUUUUUUUUUCAAAUUUUUUCAGAUUUUCUUUUUUCAAAUUUGCUCAAAAUGACGUUGAUAUGAUUGAUGAAGUAGUAAUAAUUCUCCGAAAACCAUAGGAAUUAUGAUUUAUCUUUCAUCCCACUUGAUGUUAUUUUUAAACAAUGGUUAUUUUAGAGAACAAUAAGUGCAUUCAAAAUUUUAAGGCUUAUUAAAAAGUGCAAUUCCUAAAAUAUUCAAAAUGUGCAAUCAAGUUGUAAAGUUUAUCAAAUUAAUGCAAUUAAAUCCUUCCAUUAACCUUAUUUAACUUAGCUUAUGAAAAAUGCUAAUGCGGAUUUUUUUUUAUUGUUUUAUCUCCCCUAAGUAGGGUUAAAUUUGUUAAAGUAUUAUGCAUAAGACUAAAACGACAUCAUUUUGGUCCAAAUGAUUUUUUUACCUAAUUCUUAGUUAAACCUUAUUAAAAAAAGGAUAUUUUUUUUUCCAAAAAAAGGAAAUAAAGUGCAUAGGUGAGGAUGAUUUAUGAGGGUUGCCAAACUAGCAAAGUGAAAAAAAGAAAAAGAAAAAGAAAAAAGAAAAAGCGCGCAUUGACAAAGUUAUGUCAGAUUUUUUGUUAGUCAAGUUGGACAGAGCUAAAAAGGAUGUGAUUACACUAAUUGGACAAGUAUUAAGACUUAAUUGUAUUGAUAGUUCAUGAGCUAGAAAAUUACUCUUCAAAAGCAACCCGAUCUCUCCCCACCUAUUUAUACACAUCGACAUAUGUAGUUGAUGGUGCAUCACUCAAACUACUUGCAUUAAGUGUGAAUAUGUCUCUAUGGAUGCUGAUUUUUAAAUUUCAAGCUAAGCACUCCUAAAACCGCUGCAUGUUAUUGUUCAGUAUUCUUAAAAUGUUGUACCCUUUGAGUGUAAAAACAACUUGAAAAUAGCAAUUCAAUGUUGUAAUUUUGGGAAGUUAUUAUUAGUUAAGAAGCAUACAUACAUUAUCAAAAAGACUCUCAAACCAAGUAAUGAAAUCUAGCUUGGAGUCACGUGUAACUUCACUAUAGUGGUAACCUGUUGGGGAGGUUUUUUGUUUUUUGUUUUUUGGUCGGUACUUGUUGGGGAGGUUUUUUUUUUUUUUUUUUUUGUCAGUCCUACUCUAAUCCUACUCGACACUCACUCGCAGACUUGUGCCCUGCCUCUUGCAGGGCGUGGGAGUCGCAACCCACUCUCGAAACUUACGCGUCCCUACCCCCAUCCCCCCCUGAGGAGGUGGGGAUUUGAACCCAUCACCUCCCCCUUCCAUGUUGGAAGGGUGGCCACUGGGUCGUGAACUUUUUCAAGACGUUAGAGACCAACUUCUAGAGUGAGUUAAAAUUAAGUGAGUAUGAAAAUAUGGAGAUUGCAAUGUGAACUUUUUCAAGACGUUAGAGACCAACUUCUAGAGUGAGUUAAAAUUAAGUGAGUAUGAAAAUAUGGAGAUUGCAAUGUGAGAUUUUGAGAAGUUUGAGAUAAGCUGUGCGCUUUUGGUAGAGAAGAUGACGUGCGAUUAGUCCUCAAAAUGAGAUAUUUCUCCAGAAAAGAGCCUGCGAGCAUCAGCCUCCCUUUCCGCUCAAUGGUGUGCUUUCAAUUGAGUAAAAUCUGAACGCCAUUUUUAAAUAAAAAAAACCAGUUUCAGCUUUAAAUUUAUGAAACCGGAUUGGUGUUUUCGAAAGAAAAUGAGAAAAGGAAAGUGGAGGAUCCUCUUUAAAGCAAAAGCAAUACCUACCGAUCGCUCAAAAGGAGCUUUACUCUGCCGUGUCUGCCACUAGCUCGGCGAUCGGUGGAGCUUUUUGACUUUAGGGGUUUCCAUAAUUUAUUCUGCGGGUCCUCUCUUUCCCGGAAAUUCACCUUCGCUUUCCCCCGCGUUUCUUGACGUUUUCUUCGCCUCGAGAGCAACCACAGAGCCAAAAAUCACCUCUCCUUGAGAAGCCUUAGUCGAU